AAAAUUAAGAAAAUACAAAGACACAUAUAUGAUCAUCAGGUGGUCUGGGAGCCAGUAACGUGACCUUCAGCUCCUUGUUUUUACAUUAUUACAGCGGAAAUCACAUAUAUACGUAAAUAAAGCUACGUAGUUGGAGGAGAGUGUACGAAGAUCUGUUUAUUAUAUAAGUAAUGCAUGAGCAGGGGAGAAUUAAGUAUGGAUGGUAAAAGGUAGAUGAAAAUAAUUAAUAGUUUAGUUUCGUACAAAUGUGCGCGGGUAGUAGAAGAUGGACGGACGGAUGGGUGGACGGAUAGAGGAUGAGGGCCUAUAUAUGUAUAUAUAUGAGUUUAAGUUUUAAUGGAAAUGCCAAACUGGGGAGCUUGAAUUAGGAGAUCUUUGAGCUCUUCGAAGGAGAUUUUGUUUUCUCCCUUUUUACUGCCGUAGGCAAUGGCACGUUCAGCCAUGAAACUUGGAGUAAGAGCACCCAGAUCGUCGAACAGCUGCUUCAGCUCUUCCUUGUUUAUAGUUUUGUCGUCGUUCGUAGCCAACCCUUCGAACAUCAUCUUCAACUCGUCAAUCUUCACGUUUUGGCUUAUCAGUGCCCGUCUUCUUGCCAAACGAGCCAUUUCUUCUUCGUCUCUUCCUUAAUUCUCUCUCUCUUUUCUUUGCUUAUCUAAUCUUUGCCUGAUUUGCUGUAUACUUGCAUGGCGCAAGUCUUUAUAUAACCAUCCUCAAGUGCAUGCAUCAACGUUACUUUCUAAAUUUCUAAGCGGAAGUCUCUAGAAGAUAAGUUUAAAUUUUAUUACACGCAUACAUUAAUUAUAAAAUAAUUAUUUAAUAAAAAAUAUAUAAAUAAAGUAUUAUUAAGUGUUAAAUAUUAGAGAUAAAGUGAAAUUACGUGUUUUUAUCUCUAUUAAAUAAAGUAUUAUUUAGUAUACGAGGGAAGUAAUUUAAAAAUUUAGAAAAAAAAUAAUAAUAAUAAUAUUUUAAAAUAUUAUUGUAAUUUGUAAUUAAUUAUAUAAUCUGAAUUAGAAAAGAAACGUCGCCGUUUGAUGUUAUUUGUCGAAGUUGGAAAGAAUAAAAAGUAGAGAUUAGUUUUGUGAAGUGAGAAUCUUAGAAAAAGCAGAUGCUUGAGUUACUUGUUGGAACAAGUGGAGAGGAGGUGGCAUCAUUCAUUGCGUCCUCAACAAUAUUACUCCAUCCCGAAAAGAAAUUCCAAGAAAAUUAAUCGCUCAAAUCUUAUUUAAGCAAUUAAUUAAUUAAAAAUAAACCUUCUAGAACAGUUCUCACAUAGUAUAUAACAGUUUUUACUUUUAACUUAACAAUUUCUAUAUAAUAAUUACGUACAAGAGAUGAUAUAGACAUGUAGGAGAAUCCUUUGGGUGGAGAAUAAUUAAAGGUGCACCGAGUUGUUGUUAUCUUGUAAGAUUCUUUCAUCACCACCUUUCGGUUUUUGUAUUUUUUUGUUUGAUUUAAUUUGAUUCUAUUCGAUUAUAAAGAUAUCAUUUUUUUCGGUUUAAUUUUGUAGACACGAAUAAAUAAAUUAAUUGUCACUAUCUAUUUCAAUAUGCGAUUUUUAAGAAUGAGUGAUUCAAAUAAAUUUACUUAAAUAAUAAUAUAAGUAGGAUUUUUUUGUAAAAAAAAGAAAAUACAAUCCUAAAGUAUUAUAAACUCUUUCUAAAAAAAAAACAAGUUUGUAAUUUGAUUAUAAAAUUUAUAAAAAUCGAAUAUAAAAAUUUACUUCACUAAAUUAACGUAGUAAUUUAAGUAUUAAGUGAUUUUCAACCAAUUUAACAAUGUUUUGCACUUUCUGCGAUUUUUACUAAAUUAUGAGUUAAAAUUAUCCUUAUAUUCUAUACAUAUAACUUAACUAAAGCAAUCGAGAUAUAUUCAACCAUAUCGAUUAAUUGAAGCAUCAAAUUUCAAUUUGUAAAACUCCAUUUGACUGAGGAGACCAUACUCAUUGGUGGAUCGAUGCCUUUACUUGAACAAGCAUCCCCUAAAACAAAUCCUCUACCCAAAGGCUUACCCCUCCAUAACACUAAGACAGAUACACAUACGUGAAAGAUAUGAUCGAUGGUCUAUAACGCUUCCCCAUGCAUCAAACAUAUAGGGUUGACUUGGACACCUUUUUCAUUCAACCUAAUUUGCACUACUAAUAUGUCUUUGUAGAGUCUCCAAAUUAUAUGCUUGACUAGAGGCCAAACCCAGUAUAAUGCUACAUAUGUUAGUUGGUUUCUUUUAUAUAUACAUAAGUCAUAUUUGUUGUAACAAAGUAUUUAUGUUGACAUAUAAGUGCUUUUUAAGAAAGACCAUUUGUGCUUGAAUGAAAGAUAUACAAGUUGGUAUUCGUCAUCAAUAUAAUUCAUGUUUUAUCUUUCAAAUUUUAGAUGUGAAUCUACAAAACAAUUGCUUUUCUUUUCAAGAAAAAGGAUUUAAAAAAUCUACGAGUUGGUGUUCAAAUUUUAACUUCAAUUUAAUUUGAAGGUUUUCAUUUCUCUUUUUCUUUAAUUUUCAUUUAUUCCUUUGUUGUUCGUUCCCUUAGUGUGUUCCUUUCUCUCUUUCGUUUGGCUUUCAUUCCAUUUUCUUUCCUCCAUCGCCAGGGCAGCGUCGUAACAGGUCGAGUAUUCCUCUCUUGCAUGUCCCACUUCAGUGUUUUCCCCAUUUUCCUUCAUCAACUCAGCUCACGCGAAUUUCUCCUCUGCACAUGCCAUGCCAAGCCUUAAAAGAAAUCUUCCCCUUCACAUGGCUCAGCCACCACCUUCCAUCUGGUGGAAGAAGACAAAAGCGAGUCUCCCCAAACUCUUGCGUCCGAUUGAAAGGUUUCUCCAAAACGACGUCGUUUUGUAGCAAAUUAAAAGAAUCGAACUGAACGGUGCCGUUCGGGCUUCUUCUGUUAGCAUUGGCUCCUGUUAAGGCUGUUAGUUUUUUUUUUUUUUGUUGAAUUAUAUUGAAACGGCGUCUAUUUAACCCCUUAGGGACUGGAUCCUCUAUAUCUAGGCCCGCUUUGAAUUCGACCUGCUGUUAUUCCUAAUUACGAUAUCAAAUAUAAAAUAUUUAGUUUAAGAUUGAAUAAAGUUUAUCUUUUUUUUAAAAAAAAAAAAUUCAUUAAAUGCACUUAAUAUAAAAAAUAAAAGCUUUUUUUCCUCAUAAAGUUAUAAGAGGAAAAAUAAAUAAAGAAUAUAUUGAUUUAAAGAAAAAUUAUUACAUUUGGUAUAAGAUAUAAAACUUUAGUACACAGAUAAUUAAUUAGGAAAUGAGAAGUAAAAUUCAUUAUUUUGGGAAUAGACAUUAGUUCUGGUAUGAGCUCUCAAACUUAUCACAGUUUAAUAUGAUGUUUUUAUAGUUAUUUUAAAUAUAUAUACCAUUAAUUAUACGAAUUAAAUUGAUAAUAUAUUUUUUUUUUCAGAUAUAAGAUGCUUUUAUUUAUUUAAAAUUUUGGGUGUUUGUACAUUUUUAAAUAUGGGUUUUGUCAGUAAGAAAAAUUGCACUCAUCUUUUUAGAGGAGUUGAACGAACCCUCCCAUGAAUAUGUCUGUGUGGUUGAUUGUGAUAUAGAAGAAGUAGAAACUUUCAAGUAGAAUAAAAACAGGAGAAGAAAUUCAACGUAUACAAAUACACACACACACACAUAUAUAUAUAUAUAUAUAUAUAUGGAGUAGAGAGAAAUUAGAAACUUUCCAUUAGACAGCAGGAAGUAACAAAAACAAGAGAAAACAUUCAUUAUAUAUAUAUAUAUAUAAAAUAAAGGGUGGGAGAUAUAUUAUUGGCUUAUUGAUGAGUUUGGAAGAAGGGUGCGGAUGUAACUUAUAAGUUUGCUAGGCCUUAAUGGUGUAUCCAAGAGAAGAAACGUAUUUGAUUAGUUUUGGAAGCUCAUUUUCAUCGACGAAGCCAUCUCCGUCGCCAUCAGCAAACUUCAUUCCACGCCAAGCUCUGAAUCCAGGAACUAAGGCACCCAAGUUCAAGAAAGCAAUCUUUAACUCUUCUGUACUCAAACGUUGGUCGCCAUUGGAAUCAAAUUUCAUCAAGGCAGCCUUUAUGUUCUCCUCAGUUGGGCAUUUGAGUGGCGCUGGUGCUCCCUUCCCAAUUAUAUGAGGCAUCUUAAACUAAUUCUUCAAACAAAUUUUAUACUAUUGAUUUUGUUUUUGUUGCUAUGAUCUUACAAAGCAAAUCAACAAGGCUAUUUAUAGAUCUUUUGCAAGUUAAUCUUUCUCAUUCAAAAUAUUCUCGCUUAUCUUCAAAUGGUUGAUGGAUAUAUAGCUAGAAUCUUUUUACUUCCUCAUGCACUGGCCGUGCGCCAAUGGGUAUAUAUAUAUAUAUAUGCUCAAAUCUAUUUAUAUCUACUUGGGCUCCACAGCAUGUAAUAUGUGUUCCAUUACUGAUUAAAGUGUGUUAAGGGAACACUUACAUGGGUGUGUGUAUAUACAUAUACAUAUAUAUAUAUGUGAUCACUUGAUAAUCAUCAAUUUAACAAGUAAACUAAGUUACAACUUACUUUUAUCUUUGGAUUGUAUUUAUACCUUAUUAUUGUGCACUUGGAGUGUCGGCCUUAAUUUGAAUGCAUUAAUGCUUAAAUGGAAUUAUUGCAUGGAUUUCAAUGUUUUUAAUGUGUCAUGUCAAAAGAUUCGGUAAUCCAAUUAAAAGAUUAGUUUGAUUAAGACAAUCACGUAACUAAUUAAAAAUUAAUAUCACAAUUAGAAUUAUCAAGAUAUUAUUAUCAUCACUAUUAUUAUUAUUUAUUUUAUUUUAACAAGAUUAAAUUGAGAUAUCAUAAUUAAAUUUUUUUUAUAAAAUAUGUAUCAUCUUCCACGGUAUCAUUUUAAUGAGGCAAGUUGACACUUCAGUUUUAAAGCAUUCAUAAUUAAAAAAUCUCAAGCACGAUUUAAGAUGGAGAAUGAAUUAAAGUAUGAUAUGAAAAAAAUCUUAAUUUAUCUUAUCAUAGUUAAAGUACAAAAAUAUCAUUAGGUAUUGGCCAAUACAUUUGGUAUCAAGUAAUAGUUGAUGUGACAAAAAAUUUUAUAUUAAUAUUAAACUGAUAUGAUUCGUACUCACUCAUAGAAUAUUAUAUUCAAAUAAUCUCCAUUCAAAAUUUUAUUUGUUCUUAAAGAUUACACUUUUUUAAUGUUCAUUGAAAAAAAUUUCAUAGUUUAUAAUUUUAUGACGUUAUUUAUAUUUAUAAUUAUUUUAAAUUUGAGAAAGCAGUUAAUAGAAAUCAUUUAAGCAUUAUUGUCUAUAUGUAAGAAAGUAUAAAUGAAAUCCAUCACAAUUAGAGAUGAACCAAAAAAAAAAAAUUGUGACCCAUCAAACCUGUAUUUUGAAUUAAGAACAAAACAUGUGUGUGUGUGUGUGUAUAUAUAUAUAUAUAUAUAUAUUUGAAUCAACACUGAGUUUAGAGUAGAUUCUGAGUUUAUGUAUUAUAAUUAUGAAUUAGAUUCAAAUUUUACAAAAAUUCCUUAUGAACUUGAUCUAUUACUAUCCCUAAUUAUAAUACAAAAUAUAAGAUCCUUACUUUAAGAUGAGAAAAAAUGAAUGAAGUUUACCUUAUUUUAGAUAUAUCAAAUUUCAUUUAAAAAAAAAAGUUUUAUCACAUUAUAACACAAUUGUCAAGUUGAAGCUUUUGUAAUUAUCUAAAAUAUACGUACUUCUUGUUAUAAGAACUAAAUUACAUAUAUUCAAGUAAGAAAUUUGUAAUAUUUUUUCGCAUAAGAUGCUUUUAUCUAUUUAAAAUUGACAGUGUUUGCUCAUUAUUAAAUACGUCUUAUUCAAAAAAAUUUAUUCGGUAAGAAAUUUUGUACUCAGUCAUCUUAGCUAUAUAUUAAUUUUUGGGUCGAGUAAGAUUUUGAAUAGAUAAUCCAAAUUGAAAUAUCAUCCAAAUUGAAGAAAUAUAUUUGGUUAAUAUAAUGUAUUGAGUUUAGAAAAAUCAUCGUCAAAAAUAUAAUAUAUUAUGAAGGUGUAUGAACUAUCCAUAUAUUUUUGUGGGUAUGUGUGGUAUACUGGAAGUAGAAAGAAACUUUGAAGUAGAAUAAAAAUAAGAGAAGAAAUUCAAGGUAUAUAAAUAUACAUAUAUAUAUAUAUAGAGAGAGAGAGAGAGAGAGAGUAGAAAGAAGGUAGAAACUUUCCAUUAGACAGCAGAAAGUAACAAAAAUAAGAGAAGAUAUUCAACAUAUAUAUAUAUAUAUAUAUAUAUAAAAUAAAGGAUGCGGGAUAUAUUAUUGGCUUAUUGAUGAGUUUGGAAGAACGGUGCGGAUAGAACUUAUAAGUCCUAGGCCUUAAUGGCGUAUCCAAGAGAAGAAACGUAUUUGAUAAGUUUAGGAAGCUCAUUUUCAUCGACGAAUCCAUCUCCAUCAUCAUCAGCAAGCUUCAUUCCACGCCAAGAUCUGAAUCCAGGAACCAAGGCGCCCAAGUUUGAGAAAGCUUUCUUUAACUCUUCUUUACUCAGACGAUGAUCACCAUUGGAAUCAAAUUUCAUCAAAGCGGCCUUUAUGUCCUCCUCAGUUGGGCGUUUGGGUGGCGAUGGUGCUUUCUUCCCCACCAUAUGAGGCAUCUUUACUUAAUUCUUCAGACAAAUUUUAUAAUAUUGUUUUUGUUUUUGUUUUUGUUGGUACGAUCUUACAGUGCAAAUGAACAAGGCUAUUUAUAGAUGUUAUCAACGUCAAACCUUUCUUUUUCAAAAUAUUCUUGCUUAUCUUUCAAUGAAUGAUGGAUAUAUAACUAGAAUCCUUUUAUUUCCUCAUGCACUUGCCAUGCACCAAGGGAUAUAUACAUAUAUAUAUAUAUAUAUAUGUAUAUGUUUAUAUAUGCUCAAAUCUAUUUAUAUCUAUAUGGGCUCCACGACAUGUAAUGUAGUAUGUUAAGGGAACACUUAUAUUUAUAUAUAUGUAUAAAUGAUCCCGUGAUAAUCUAACUUUUAAAUUUGAAUUGCAUCUAUACUUUAUUAUAAUUAUUUUAGAUAUUUCUCUACUAAGAUAUUUUUAUGUUUAUAGUAAUUUUAUUUGUGAUUAAAAUAAAAUUUAUUUUUAAAAAUAAAAAUAUCAUUUACAUCACGUAAGAAUAUAUAUAAAAAUUGAAUAUUGAAAAUAAUUUAAACAAUUUAAAAAUUUAAUAAAGUUUUUAAGCCAAAGAAAUUUUAAUAUAAAUUAUUUACGUGGUAAAACUUUUUAAAAUAUUUUAAAAGAUAAGCGAAACACGAAAACUUCUCAAAAGAUCCUGUGCAUUAAUGCUAAUGCCAAAACUUUUAAUAUUUAAAUAAUCUGUGUUUAAAUUGAUAAUACUAUAUUAUCUUACUAAUGAUCAAAUUAUAAAUACUAUUACGUGCUAAAAAUAAGCCGCAUUAAAAAUUCCAACACUAUAAUUUCCCAUUGGGCUUUAUCAAAGCCCAAGUGGAAUACGCUAAAGUCCAGGCCCAUUUUUACGAGUCUCUGUCUAACUCUUAACACCGACCCCAAACUCGACAUGUUCCUCUUCCCAAUUCACAAAAAUGGAGUUACCAAAGCCCGCAUUUUCCUUCAAUCCUCUCUCCUCACUCCCAACAUUCAUCAAUCACCAUUCCCACCGACUUGGUACGGAGCUUUCAAGCCGAAUCGACGAAACCAAGCGGCUCGCCGGAUCCCUAGCCGGAAACUUCUCACCGUUUCCGGCUGUUAACUGGCUUCAGCGUCCCGCUUUUCGGCCUCCCUUCGCUUCACUUGCACAGCCGAAGCAAGCUGCCGUCGCAACACUCAGCUCGGAGCAAGUUGCCAAAGCCCUUGCUGGCACUCCCGUAUACACCGUGAGUAACUCGAAUAAUGAGUUCGUGCUCGUGUCGGAUCCCAAUGGAGUCAAAUCCAUCAGUUUGCUUUGCUUUCGACAAGAGGAUGCGGAGGCCUUUCUUGCUCAGGUUGGUGUUUUCCAGUAAGAGUAAGGAAAGGAAUGGAAAAAGAGGGGAAGUUUAAACUCGUGUGUUUUCUGUGCGUGCCAGUGUAUGUGUUUGACUUUUGUUGUUACGUGGCAUUGGGUCUUCAGGUUCGGUUGCGAAGGAGAGAAUUGAGGAGUAAUGCUAAGGUUGUUCCCGUUAGUCUUGACCAGGUAAGGUCUUUAAGCUCACUUACAUUCUUAUUUUCUCGUGUUAACUCUCAAUUUGGUCUCUGUGCAUCUUAAUAUGGAGCCGUACCAAAUGAAUGUUGAAAGUUUCUCUUUCUGUGCAUCUUAUAGGUAUACUCGUUGAAGGUUGAAGGUAUUGCAUUUCGUUUCCUGCCUGAUCCUGUUCAAAUAAAGAAUGCAUUGGAGGUUAGUUCUUCAUAUUGUCUUGUAUUGACUGUUAAUUUAGUCUUCAUUAAAUAAUUAACAAGAAUUAAGAAAUUGUUCAUGAUUUUACUUUGAAAGUUGAUAAGUUUAUUAGUUAUCCUACAAUUCAGAUUGAGCAAUUAUGAGAUCAAACUGACAAUAUUUUCCUUUGUCUAUCAGCUGAAAUCUGCAGAUAUCAAUAGUGGGUUUGAUGGAGUUCCUGUUUUUCAGGUAUACAGUUAACAUGUUGAGUAAAUGCUGGUGCUUCAAACCGGAAAAUAACUAUCCUUCAGAUGGCAUGAUCAUUACUUGUACUUACAAAAAGAACAGCUUUUACAUAUGCUUAUGCAUGCAUGAUCACUUACAUGCAAAUACUUGCAUAGAGGGGUUAAGUGAUUUAUGAUUGUGUUUGAAUGCUUGCAAUUCAUUUAGUUGAAAAAUAGUUUAUGAAAGAAGAUUUAAUAACAGUGUCAGAUUUCAAUACUUCUCCAAAAAAAAAAAUGUUGGGACUCCAUUACCUAUUUACUUUUCUACAAAAGAAAUUAGAAACUAUUCCCUGAAUUCAUUUUAUUUGAAUGGUUAGACUUCUUAUAUUUCUUAUUUUCCUCUAGCAAUUUGAAAAUAGUUUGAGAUGAGCCUUUUCUUUUUAAGGUGCAUUGGUACAAACUGCUGCACCAUUUGCCAAUGUACCAAAAGAUCUAUAUGGUUUCUUACUUCCUUAUCACUGUGUUUGCAGUCAGAUCUUCUGGUAGUGAAGAAGAAAAAUAAGCGUUACUGCCCAGUAUAUUUCAAUAAGGUUCAUUUGUCCCAUAAAUCACCUUUUCUUAAGCUGUUUUAUUUUUGGAACAAUAUUUUAGAAGAAACAGCUUAGAAGCACAACAUAUUGAUUUUCCCUUCUCUUCCCUCUCUUUCCCCCAUGCAGGAAGAUAUAGAAAAGGAACUCUUGAAGUCCUCAAGGGUAUCAAGAGGACUGGGUGUUUCACAGCAUAUUAUGGUAUUACUUUAGCGUCAUAUCCAUUCUUUUUGCAGCUUUUUAAACAUUUGGACUAUAAAAUUUAAGUGGUCAAAGAAUAAUUACUGUACAGAAGAUCUAUGCAAUAUAUGAAAAUUUUAUCUCAUUUGUUGAAGGGAGGGUAGCGAUGGACUAAAAAGUUUGUGGAGGGAGAAGUGACACUUCUUUUCAACUGUGCUAUUCCCAAUUUUUAAAUCGAAUUAGAAGUCAAUGUAAUAGUGACGAUAAUAGUUUCAAUGUUCUCAUUUCAAAGAAUUGUAUACUCUAUUUGGUAGGUGAAAAGACUUUCUAAUUUCAUUUCUAAAUUGGUAUGUCUUUAUUAGUACAAACAUGUGAUAGUUAAACAUGAAAAUCAUAUUUGGAAAAUGGGAAUAAAAAUGUAACAUGAGUUGAAACGAAACAAUUAAAAAAGCUGUGUCCAACAUCUUCUAGAAAACUGUUUUUAUUUAUAUUUAAGUUCAACAUAUACAUCCACCACCGUACAUGUUAUUAUAUAGUAGUGUUUUUUAAUUUAAUGAAAAUUAAAAAUGUUUCCUUUAUGAAGUGAAGCUGUUGCCUUUCACAUCAUGUUUCUACACAGAUUUCAUUAUUUAUGCAUAUAGUAUUUAAGUACGAAAAUAAGUGAUUUGGUAAACAAGAUAAGAAACUUCUCAAAAUAAGUAAUUCACAGGUUUUGCAAACUCGAUGCGGAUUGCAUGUUUAUGUGGUUAUACUGGAAUUGCUCUUUUAUUUUUAUUACCUUGAUAGAAUCUUCUAGAAUCCGUGAUCUUUGGUUCUAACCUUUAUGUAUUUCAUUUAAGGGCCAUCCUCUCCUCAAUGAAGAAGAUAUAGUGCCCUCUUUCUAUCUAGGCCUCUGAGUAUCUAAAGUAUAAGUAAAUGAUUUGAUAAACAAGAUAAUGAAAUUUAAAGGAAAAUAAUUCAGAGUUUCACAAAAUUCGAUCCAAAUUGCACGCUCACGUGGUUAUAGUGGCAUUUCUCUUUUAUUUAUAUUCUCUUAAUUGUAUCUUAAGAGUCAGUAAUCUUUUGUACCGAGCUUUAUGUAUUUUGUUUAAAAGUCGUCCUCUCUUCAAUGAAGAAGACCUAGUGAACUUUGUUGAUAUUUGACUAAUUCUGUUUUCUACUCUCUCCAGAGGCUCACUAUCUUGUAUAUGAGUGAUAUCCCCUCAGUACCUUUUCUCCUCCAAAUGAAAUCUUCUUUUUUUGUUGAAAGAUAUGUGAUAUACUGGCAUGGGUUCAAAUCUUUCUUUGUACUUAACUGAUAAACAUUGGGCAUUUCCUGCCUUAAUAUCCACCAUGUUUAGUUUGUUCGUACCUUAGAUGAAACCAAUAAACUGAUGUGUUCAUUUGACAAAUGCAAGUGCAAUUAUGUAUACAACACCAGGAGUUUCUUAUUUUACUUUGAUCUAUUCUUUUUAAACUUUUAUCAGCACUUUACGCUCUGUAUAAUAUUUGUUAUCUAAUUCAGUCUGUUGAACAGGUUGGAAGUCUAGAAGAUGUCUGAGAAAAAUGGAGGUAAUGAGCAUGAUUAGAUUUAGUACAUUUCUGAUUAGAAAAGGAUUAGAAUCUGAAUCAGUUGCUUUGGUUUUAUCUAGAUGAGUGAGAGGAACUCAGGUUGGGGAGAUCUGAUUUUUAUUCCGCCUGGUAAAAGUCACUCCCAGCACAUCCAAGAGGUGGUCAAAGGAUGAGAUCAUGGAUAUAUUGCUUCUACUGAUGAUGUGGAGCUUCAGAAGACAGUGAAUAUCUUUUUUUUUUCUGCUUCCGAUCUCCAUGGUAAAGCAGGUCAGUCAUCAACACUAAAUGAUAAAUUACCUGCUUGUUGACACCCUUUCUCUCUCGCAAUGGAGAAAGAUUUUGGAAAGUAACAGCCUGUAUGGUAACUUGAUGAGGAUGAAUACAUUUUUAUUGAAAUUAAUACAAGAUAAAUGGCUCGCAUUUAAGUGGAAGAAGUAAGUGAAAUGCUAGCAUGUCAAUGCUGGUCAUUGGAAAUUGUUAUACUGUACAGUUUGAUGUUUUUAAUGAGUACUUUGUUAUUUAGACAUACUGUUGCAGAUGAAUGGACUUAGUCAAUGAAAUGCUAGCAUGUCAAUGCUGGUCUGGAAUUUUCUAGUUGUUUUUCAGCAUCUGAUGAAGCACUACAAAGGAAAAUUAGAAGUUGGGGGAAACUUAAUCUCAACAAUAGGAAGUUGUGAUUAUUGUCCUUUUCAACACUAGACUGAGUUUUAACUGCUUGCCAUUGUGGUUUAUUUUUCCAUUUAAAAGCUUUUUUUGCCUCCUUGGAUUUUUUGUACCCUGCUCUUUCUUGGGAAAUCUAGUAUGGUAUUCCACAAAUUUAUUGGGAUGAGUUUAUAAUGUGAUAGAAAUUUAAGUGUUCGUAUAAAAUUGAGAUCUCAACCACUUGGUUUUCUUUUUGUUCUCAUGUUUUUCCUAUACACUCUUGUUAUUGCAGCUGUGAGUAUUAUCCUGGAGCAGAUGAAUGCAAUUAAAAAUAUGUGGAAUUCCCUUUUUCAAGGCAAAAUUUCUAUGUUUACAAUUCUUUUAGAAUUCGAAUCGAUUUCAAGAUGAAUUUAGCAAGUUUAAAAUUCAUCAAAUAUGAUAUAAUUUGAGAAUGACUUUGAAAGACUGGAGGGAAAAAGGUUUCAGAUGUCUUUUGCAACUGGUAUUCAUGCAUCACAAAAAGAGACUACUGAAACAACUGGUGAGUAUGAAGUAAAUGUGCUCAUAUCAUUUCAUGAUAGUGAGUAUGAACGAGGGUUCCAAGCCUGCAGACCCCCGCACCUCAUACUUCGAGGGAUUCAGACUCUGUUUGGAUUUGUUUUUUUGUUGAAAAAACAUGCUUUGAAGUAGUAGAAUGCCUAAUUACUUACGUGCUUAAAUUUCAAAAGACUAGUACGUAUUAUAUUUUGUAUUCUUUGCAAAAGAAUAAAGAGAUGAUCGCUAAACAAAUGAUUGAACAUGUUAAGAAAAGAAAAGAAUGUUAUAUGUGAGUACAGAAAAAGUUGAAAGCAUACAGGAACGAGUAUGUGUUUUUCAUUGGUUAAAUUUCCUCUAGGUACAGAGGAGGCAGCUUAAUGCGUUACCAGACAUGUAAAUUCGACCUCUGUCGAUUGUAAGAACUCGUCGAGGGAGGGUGUUGAUUCUAAAAAAAAACAUGCUUCCAUUUUAAAACAUGUAAUUAAUCUUAAAACAAAAACUGGGAACGUGAGUAAAGAAUUGGGUGAGUGAAAUGGUGACUGUUCACCAAACCGAAAGGUCAUAGGGCGUGCGUAUAAUAAGCUGUGGAAAUAUGUUUUAGGUGAGGUGUGAUGUCUCAACUUAAAUCACGUUUUGAAUUAUAAAUUAAUGAUUUGAGUUUUGGUGGAUUUCUGGUAACGGCCAAAUGUGACCUUUGCACGUAGAGGAGGUCGACAGGCCAUCCGCAGAGUUGUUGGCGUCCUCGUCUACUUUGACCCGAUGAAUCUCUUUUACCAUUUUAACCUUUUUUAUUCAUAAAUGCUUUUAUCCUAAAAAUACUCAUUAAAACAUUAUUAUGUUUUCUAUAUACUAUUAAUAUUAAUAUACUAAUUGUCCCGGUUGAUAUAGUGACUUGUGUUAAAGUUAUGUAGACAACAUGAAACACCUAAAAAAUGCUUAUGCAAAGUUAUAGUUCCCAGUGCAAUUUGUUCAUUAAAAAUAACAAUAAUUCUUGUUUAUAUUUUUAUAAAAUUAUAAAAUUAUUAAAAUAUAUUUAGAAUUAGAAUAUAUGUAAAUACACAGAGAAAAAAUUUGAAGUCUAUUGUCCAAAACAUGAUAACAAACAUGAGAACACAGUUAUAAAUACCUGACAACACAAUAAUGUGAUUGAAAAGAUAAAACGAACUAUCAUUGAGAAUGUGAGAUGUAUACUCAAAAUGACUACCCUACUUAAACUAUUUUAGGUCAAACCUCUAUUUAUUAUAUGUUACUUACUGAAUCAAUCUCUUUGGUUCUUUUAAAUUAUGACAUCUUUGAAAGAGGCGGGAGGGCAUAGAAAGAAAUCUCAUACUCUCACUUGGUGGAUGAACAUAUCAUCCAAGUAAGUUUAGACCUCAAAAGGAGAAAAUUAAUAAGCAAGAUAUAUAUAUAUAUAUAUAUAUAAAUUAAUCAGCUGGGUAAAAUGAGUUCUCAUAUAAAGAUAAAGAUGGGAGAUGCCCACUUCUUGAUGUUGUUGGUAUUUCACUGGACCAUGUAGUUUGACUACGGUUGAUCUAAUGACAUGCAGACAGUCAAAACAUUUGUGUUUUGAUUACAACUUAAAUGAAUUUUACUUAAAAAGUAUAUACUAAAAAAAAUAUUAUGUAUCUUUCAUUUCUAAUUUUCUGUAUAAAUAAAAAGUGACAAUUUUUAAUAAUUAAUGCCAUGUGUUUAAAUUUACUUCUGAAAUAAUUAAAACACAAUAAGACAAGAACCUGCAAGCUAGAUGUAUAUAUAUAUAUAUACGUGUGGAUAAAAUUGCGUAUACGAAUUAGAGAAAAUCAAGUAUAGACUGUAGAGUAGUUGUUGAAGGGAGAAGGUCAAUUGGGGAAUUGUAGAUUUUGAGUUUCUUUUAAAUAAAAUUCAAGCCGGACCAACAGGCAGGCAACUGCCUGAAAAGUGAAAACGAAAUAAAAGCUUUAUUUCCUCAAAACUUCUUGUCCACAAGCCAAGCAAAUCCUAAACAAGGAACCUCUUGACACAUGUACCUCCCUCGUUGCUCCCAUUUUCCUUUUCCCUUCUUUUACUUCUCUCGUGAUCUCUUAUGUCUAUAUUUAUGCAUGUAUAUAUAAAGAGGUGGGUACUGGUAUAUGCUAGAAUAUGUACAUACAUGUACAUAACUCAUCUGCAGCCGAGAACAUGAAUAAACCCAGUUCAGCUUUAAAUUAAAUCAUAUCUUAUUAGAAUGGUCAUGGGUGAUAGUGCAGUCAGCCUCGAGAAGAUGAUCAUAAACAAGGCCAAUAUUCCUUCCAAGGCAUUGAUCAUCAGACUCAACCUCAUUUUCCUUGUUUUCUUCUUUCUUGUCUACGCUGCUCUUCUUCUCAGACCAUCUUCGUCUUUAUACUUUUACAACGCUGCAUCACUUGUUAGGUGCUCUUUGCGCGAGUGCCAUCACAAGGUAAGGUGAGCUAAAACCCAUUUUCAUUCGUAUAUUGAUAUUUAGGAAUUGUCGUAAGAGGAAGAUGUUGUGUUUUUCAGGUGGAGAGAGGAGUUAAAAUGCAGGCAGAGUUUGACGGGAGAAACCCCAUUAUGGACAACGCUGUAGAGCGUAAGAGUAAUUUGAGUAAGCUAGAGGUGGCUAGCUUCAUGAACGAGAUGGGAAGAGGAUUAAAGAUUGGGAUGAUUAACAUGGAAGACGUGGAUGUUAGUGAAUUGGAAGUUUAUGGAGAACUUAUACAAAUUCAUUUCAAGAGAGUAUCAGAGAAUUUGGAAUGGAAAGAUUUAUUCCCAGAAUGGAUUGACGAGGAGGAAGACAAUGAGAAUCCAUGGUGUCCGGAGAUACCAAUGCCUGAGUUGAGAAUAUAUAAGGAUGAUAUGGACGUAAUAGUAGCAAAGUUGCCGUGCAAGUACCCAGAUGAAGGGUGGUCCAGGGAGGUUUUUAGGCUGCAGAUGCACCUGGUGCUGGCAACAAUGGCGGUGAACAAGGGGAAAAGAGACUGGAAUAGGAGGACAAAAGUGUUGUUGUGGAGCAAGUGCAGACCGAUGAUGGAGAUUUUCCGGUGCGAUGAUCUGAUCAGACAUGAAGGUAACUGGUGGUUGUAUCAGCCGGCCGUCGCAAGGUUGGAACAGAAGUUGAUGUUGCCGGUUGGAUCUUGCAACUUGGCUCUACCCUUGUGGGGACAAGGUUUGUUUCCUUUUUUCAUUUCUAUUAAUUUUUACUUUCCUACAGGUUUCUUCUUACCUCAAAUUUUAAUAAUUUUCUUUAAAUAAAAAUUUUAUAUAUUAACAAAUAAAUAAUAUAUAACACUACUUAUAAUACAAUAAAAAAUAGUUUUUUAAACAAAAAUACACGAAAUAUAAUUAAACUCAAGAAUUAUACCAAUUAUUUAAAUAAAUAAUUAUUAAUAAAUAUUAAAAAAAAUUAUUUCUCAAAAAUUAAUGAUAAAUUGCUUUUAACCAGGGAUUAUUAUGCAUUAAAUAUUUGGAGAAUACAAUUAAUAUGGUCUCCAUUAAUUGACUUUUUGAAUUUUUUUAUAAUAAUUUUUUUUAAGAAUACUCUUGAAUAACAAAAUAAUUUUUUUCUGUAGAUAUAUUGUUAUAGUAUUAAAAAUGAAGAAACUAUAGUAAUAUAUUGUUAUAAUAUAAGGUUUGGUUGUGUUUGAUGAUGUGAAAAUCAUAAGUCGUCUCAAAUAAAGGAAAGAAUAUUAAUCAAGAAAAUAUGCGGGUUACAAUUAUUAGGUACUAACAAAUCUUCACAUUCACACAAUUUAAUCUUUAAUCAUCAUAGGCAUAUUUUCUGUGCGUAUUAUUUAGAAAGUUAUUAUAUAUAUAUAUAUAUAUAUAUAUAUAUAGUCUAUGUUUGGUGAUCACAACAUACCUUAUUAUUAUAUUGGAUUGUAUUGAUCAAUACAAACCCAUUUCUAUAUAUUGCUGUAUAUCAUCUUUCAAGCUAAAUCAAAAUGAUGAACUAUAAAUAAUUAUUUACUUAAGACAUUAUUGUAGCAUAAUUCUUUCUGAAAAUUUCAGAACUUUGGUUCUUACCUUGGUCUAUGAGAAUUAAGAAGAAAUUAAUUAAAUUAAUCAAGUUAUAAUUAAUUACAGGUAUCCACGAAGUCUACGACACUUCCAAGAUCGAAAGCGCCGUAAAAAACCCUAGAAGAGAAGCCUAUGCAACGGUUCUCCAUUCCUCGGAAGCGUAUGUUUGUGGUGCCAUAACUCUCGGCCAGAGCCUCCAAAAAACCGGCACCAAACGCGACCUUCUAAUUCUCGUCGACAACUCCAUCACCGACGCCAAACGUCAAGCUCUGGUCGCUGCCGGUUGGACCAUCCGACUCAUCAAAAGAAUCCGUAACCGCAGAGCAGAAAAAGACUCCUACAACGAAUACAACUACAGCAAGUUCAGACUCUGGCAACUCACUGAUUACCAUAAAGUUAUCUUCAUUGACUCCGACAUCAUCGUACUCCGAAACCUCGAUCUCCUCUUUUACUUCCCACAAAUGUCAGCAACCGGAAACGACGUCUGGAUUUUCAACUCCGGCAUUAUGGUGAUCGAGCCCUCCAACUGCACUUUCAAACUACUGAUGAAACUGCAAGACGACAUCGUUUCGUAUAACGGGGGUGACCAGGGGUUUUUGAAUGAGGUUUUCGUUUGGUGGCACAGGUUGCCUCGGAGAGUCAAUUUUCUCAAGAACUUCUGGGCUAACACUUCGGUUGAGGCCAGCGUUAAGAACCAUCUGUUUGCGGCUGAUCCGCCCAAGCUUUAUUCGAUUCAUUAUUUGGGUUUAAAGCCUUGGUUGUGCUACAGAGACUAUGAUUGCAACUGGGACAUUGAUGAUCAACGAGUUUAUGCCAGUGACGUGGCGCAUGAAAGGUGGUGGAAGCUGCAUGACGCCAUGGAUGAGAACUUGCAGAAACAUUGUAGAUUGACGAAACGGAGGAGGAUCGAGUUGGAUUGGGAUAGAAAGAAAGCAAGAGAAGCUGGGUUUAGUGAUGAGCAUUGGCGGAUCAAUAUUACUGAUCCUAGACGGACCCUUUUGACUUAGAUACUCUAAUUUUCUUAUAUAUAUAUAUAUUUCUUUGUUGAAGAUUUUUGCUAGCUAGCUGUAUGUAGAGAAUUGUAUGGAAUUCUUUUUCUUUAUAUAUAUAAUUUAUGUGUGAAUAGAUGAUCAACACCCAGGAAACCACUUUAUAUCCGUUGUCUAUUCCUCCUCAUAUUAUUUAUUAUUAUAUAUUAACAUUUAUCAUACAUGAACUGUAUAAAAGAAUAUAAAUAUAUACGUGUUUGGGACUGUUAAUUUUGUUGCAGAUUCCUUCGCGAUGUUCUUUAAAAAAAAAAAUUUUUUUUAAAAAAAAGAAAAAGGUGGACCAGCUCCAUAACGGAUUAGGAAACAAAAGUGUUUUCAUUAUUUUAAAGGGAAAAAAUAUUUUUCAUAAUUGUCUGUUUGACGGUGACAGCAUUUUACUUAACCUCUUGUUCGUCGCGCGUGGCCUUCAUUUUGCUGUCACAUGCAUAUUUAUUUACCAAAUUGCCAAUCUCCGUUGAGCGUUUCCGCUACGUUUAUUUUGGUAAUUUGAAUAAGUUAUGAGGGUAAAAAUGUCUUUCGGUCAACGCUCAUCUUAACGGACGUUGAAGAGACAACUUUCCUUAAUGGACGCCGCCUUUUUUUACUUAUUUUCCUUUUUAACUGUAAAUAAUUUUUUAUUUAUUCGCUUUAAAAAUUAGGAAACCCACAGCCUUUUGAUUAUACCCACCAUUAAUUAUUAAGAAAAAAAUAUAUAUAAAGCUAAUCUUAAUAAAAUAUUAUAAGAACAACUUUCUUGUAUUUGUUUUUAAUUGUAAAUUUUCAAAACUCUGUGAGAGGUUGAAAUGAUGGAUUAGAAAUAAGUUAAUUUGGUUAAUAGAAUGAUUAAAGAAGAACCAUUUAUAUAGUUCUUCAAAUCCAUAAUUUGAUUUGUUUUAUGUCAUUGUCUGUCUUAUCUCUAAUGACGUUGUAAAAAAAAAAAAAAAAAAAAGGAAGGGUGGGCAAGCUGUCAAAAAUGUCUUCUUCUGGUUUAAACAUCUUGUGGUCAAAAACCCCGAAAGGGGAAAGAACAAGUAUGAAAGCCAUUACUAUUUUUAAACCCUAAACGAAUUUUCUUUUUGUUUUUGUUUUUUUGGUUUUUGGGUGAUUUUAAUUUUUUUUGUGAAGUUAAGAAAAAUUUAAAAAUCUCAUCUUCAAAGAUAGAAAUGGCGAGCAUACAGAUGGAUCUAGUCUGUGAUAGAUGAGCUAUGCUCCACGCACGUGUUUCCUCUCCGUUCUUUUCUCUUCCUAUUUUUGCCUCUUUAACUUUCCCACCUCUCUUUUCACUAACGUAUAUAUUCUCUUUUCCUUUUUUCCUUCUCUUUUUACUCUCUGAAUUUCCCGAAAUUCAUUCAUCUAUCUUCUUCCUUAAUCCUGGUACGUUCUUUCUAUUUUCUAAUCUUUCUUUAAUUUGCUUGGUUUUGGAUUCUCUUUUCUCUUUAUCCUUUGCUACCUGUUGAUUAAUAUCGACUUCACGAGUUUGAAUUAUUGGUGUUUCUCGAUCGGAUGACGAUAUAUACGUUGGCUUUCACAGCUACAAGAUGACGAAUCAAGUUUCAACUUCAAUUAAUUGAUGAUGUUUAUGUUUAUCAUUUAUUUCCACUAACCCUCCGUUUCUUAAAUGGUUGCUUUGAGCAUGUUGGAAUUUAUACCAAUUGGGUUUUUCUUGAAUUUGCCAACAAAAGCAGGUUUUGAUCCAACACAAGGUUUUGUUUCCAAAUUUGUUCUCAGGAGCUGACAUGUUGGGUAAUCUAGUUAUUUUAAGAUAAUGAGUAGUCUAAUUUACUCCCCUCAAAUUAAUCAAAUCUUGAAAGAGGGUUAUUUUCGUUGUUCUAUUUUGUUUACUGCUAUUCCCUUCUUUUCUCAGCUUGCAAACUUUCAUGGAACUUAACAUUCAGUUAUUUCUAUUUGCAUAUUAGUUUCAUAAUCCAAUAGAUAAUUGAGAGCUAGUUAGUGAUUAUAAUUAAUUUUGUAGCUCAAGCUUAUAAUAACAGUAUUUGAUCGCUGUUUGCUUAAAAUUCUUGUGAAAUCAUGCAUUAUGACUUGAUUGCAUGUUUGAAUCAUACCUGGUCUCAUUUUGGCAGCAUCUAAACGUGGAAAUUAACAUUAGCUGUGGAAAACAAAGAUCUAAUGCUAAACUCUUGAUACAACAAGGCUGGUUUUCUAUAUAACAUUUUGAUUUAUUGAUUAUAUAGUGAAUUAAAUCCAAAUCAUUUCUUUGGCUAUAAUAUUUUCUUUAAUCUAAGAAAGUCACAUAAAUUAUUUUUUUUCGUUUUCCAAGAAUUACUUAAAUUAAACUAUAGUUUCUCUGCCCUCCUUUUGCUGCUCCUUUACUAAUUUCAUUUCCAUUUUGUUGGAUAUUUCAGUUAUCUUACGUGGGCUACCUUGAAAGACUCUUCAAAUGGAGGAUGUAAAAACUUCUGAAGCAAUAGCUCCUCUAGGACCCUCUUCAUCUUCUGAGGAUAAUGCUCAUGCUUCUACCGAACCUCCAAUGAACCCAAUUAAUGGUAAACUCGGACCUGACUCCCAGUCAUCAGUGGUCGAAAAUUCGAAAUCAUCAUCUGCAAAAGAUGCUUCUGGUGAUUCACUACAAACUCUUCUGACGGAUAAUUCUACUUCCACUUUGGCACUUCCUCAUGAGAUCAAUCAUCAUAAUAUUGCGUUGGAAGGUUCUAAGACUGAGCAAGACACACUUGAUGGUCAGAGAUAUCGAGAUACUGAUUCUGUUGUCAGUGUUGAUGCUCGUCCUAACGAAGUACUUAUAGCCUCCACUUCCUCUCCUAAGGGAAGAGAUAAUGAAACUAAUCAACAUGUAUUGCCAUGCUAUGAAGUUACCCUGCCUGUUUUGAAGGUUAACAAAAUUGCUGUUGGAUCACCAAGAGCUAUGGGAUCAACUAGAGCUGUGGGAUCACCAAGAGCUGUGGGAUCACCAGGAGCUGUGAUAAAUAAUAAAGGUGUGUUGAUGGGAGAUUCUGACAGUGGAGGCACAAAAGGUAAUUGUCAAGCACCAAGAGUAGCUGAAUCACCCAGAGCUGCCGGAUUUCCAGGAGCUGCCACAGGGGGAUCUGUGACAAAACAUCCUGGGUCAGUGAUAGAGGAUUCUAAAGCCAAUUUCAUGCUUGAUACUUCUGAAUCUAUGGGAGAUGUUUCAUCACCGAAAGCUCUUACAGGCCAUAAAAUUACAGGGACCACAGAUUCUAAAACUGAAGGCACACAAUCUCAUCUUGCUGGUUCUAUUAGUUCAACCCGAGUUCGUACAGAUGACUUGAAUGUACCUUCUACUUCAUCUCCGAAAGUAAGAAAUUCCAACAAUGAUCACCAAGCACAGAUAUCCAAUGACCUUACUGAACCCCAUUUGAGGGUUGCUGGGGCGACUGUUGGAUCACCCAGAAGUUUUGGAUCACCAAGAGUCAUUUCACCGAGGGCCAUGUCACCAAGGGCAAUGUCGCCGAGGGCCCUUGGAUCCCCUAGAGCUGUUGGAUCACCAAUAGCUGUUAGAUCUCCAAAAGUUGUUGACUUAAACAGAGGCCUUAUUGAUACAGCAGCACCUUUUGAAUCUGUUAAAGAAGCAGUUUCAAAAUUUGGAGGAAUCACUGAUUGGAAAGCCCAUAGGCUCCAAACUGUAGAGGUAUGUUUUUCUUGGAUUUCAAUGUAAGAUGCUGCUUCGUAUCAAUUAAGUAUAGCACCUUCUAAUCAGCUUAUGGAGGUAUUUUCGUAAAGGGAUGUAAAAGGAAAUCCUUUCUCAAAUUUGUUACUUUUUAUAUGAUGAGUAUGUUUGGUCGAUUCAUAUAUAUUUCUAAUAGUAUGUUCUUGGAGUCUCAACUUGGUUGCUAUUUCUCCAAAACUAAAAUUUUGAGCAUAUUUAGUGAAUUAUUGUAGGUCUAAUUGUAUUUUAUUGGAUAUAGUGUAUCCUGGAUAUGUAGUAUAGUUAGGUUUAUUAUUUUGGUUCCCUUAUCAUCCUAUUUGAGUUUACUCUUUAAUUUACCACAAUUUUAAUAUUUGAAUUAACGUAGUGACACCUUUAACUCAUUGGAGGAAGAUUGCCAAAUCUACUUCUCAAAAUAAAAAUUGAAAAUUCUCCUCCAAAGGAAGUAAAGUGGUCCAAACAUUAAAGUGAUGAUGCAAUCAUAUAUCAACUAUUUAAGUAAUUAGUUUAGAAUAAAUUAAAAAGUUGUGCGGAAUUUAUUUUUUAAUCCAUAUUUAUUUUGACUAAGAUGAGAGGAGUCCUAACUAAAAUGAUUAAGUUUGAGUUCAUAUGAAAUUGUAUAUAGAACUUUUUGAGAUAAGAAAUUGUAUAUAGAAUUAAAAUAAUACAUUUUAAAUUUGAUGAAAUCUAUAGUACAUUGUCUUGAUUUCAUAUGGAAUUCCCUGUGAACUCAAUUGUUUGUCAUCCUAAAGAUUUUACAUCGUCUCCUUGUUGAUUUAAGUGUAGAUUUACAAAUAAAUUUCUUGACAUUUUUAAAUUUGUUCCAUACAUAGUGUUAGCGAACGAACAAGGUAAAAAUUAGGAGGAGAAUAAACUAAACUGUGGAUUUGUGAAUGUUUCUUUUGUAAUGGAAAGUUAUUGCUGUGAGAGAAAGUUUGUUAUGGAGAAUUGUGGCAUAUUGUGAUUGUACAGAUGAUUGUGGCGACAGAGUAGUGGUCUUGAAAUGCAAGACUUAUCUAGAUGUAAGGUAUUCUGUAGGAUCCUUUACAAUUCAGCCCUAAAAACAUUUGCUUCCAAAGCACUUGCAUGACGAUGUGCACUAUUUUCUAUAGGCCUAUCUGACUCAAAGUUUAAUGGAUUUAGUUGCCUUGGCAUUUGAUGUUCUGUGGUUGUUUAAUGGACAGUUUUCAAAGUUGCAUCUACAAAUCUCAUUGGGUCAUGAUUUGAUUAUUGUAAUGCCUGGAUAAAAGCAGCAUGGGUCCGCCAAUUUUUUCAUCCUUCCCUGGCCUUGAAAAGGUCAAUUUUAUGUUGUUGACUAGAGCUCUUAUAUCAAAUUCUAAAAUCACACAUUUCUUACGUGAAAUUGGAAAAUCAUGAUUAUGGUCCCUUGUUGUGUUGGUCACUGAAUGUGGUUACUGGCUACUGUACUGCUGUGCCUUGAUGCAGAUAUAAUGAAGGCGUCUUUCUAAGCAUGCAAGUAUUACGAUUUAACAAAUACUUGGUACGAUUAGUAGAAAGAGAAAGAGACAAAGGUCCUAACUCUUAGUGUGAAAGUUUCAUCUUUUUCCUAUCGCUGCUUUGCUUCUUGAAUUGAUAUGCAAAUAGUACAAUGGCUUCCCAACUUUCUCCCUAAUUGCAUUUGAUUGAGCACUAUCCCUGCUUAAGAGAUUUUAGCAUCCUCAUGUUCAAUAAAAGUGACAUGAAUUUCUUUCUGCCGUAUAGAGACGUAAACUUGUAGAACAAGAACUUGAUAAAGUACAGGAGGAGAUGCCCGAGUAUAAGAAACGGUCUGAGGUUGCUGAAGAGGCAAAAAUGCAAGUACUCAAGGAACUAGACAGCACAAAGAGACUCAUAGAGGAUCUAAAGCUAAACCUGGAGAGGGCACAGACAGAAGAGCAUCAAGCAAAACAGGAUUCUGAGCUUGCCAAGCUUAGGGUGGAAGAGAUGGAACAAGGGAUUGCUGAUGAGGCUAGUGUUGCAGCCAAGGCACAGCUUGAGGUUGCAAAAGCCAGACAUGCAGCUGCAGUUUCAGAGCUGCAGUCUGUCAAGGAUGAGCUGGAAACACUACGCAGAGACUUUGAUUCUUUGGUGGCUGAGAGAGAUAUGGCUAUGAAGAAAGCUGAGGAGGCUAUGUCUGCGUCCAAGGAUGUUGAGAGAACAGUGGAGGAACUGACAAUAGAGCUUAUUGCUACAAAGGAAUCCUUAGAAUCUGCACACUCUGCACAUCUAGAAGCAGAAGAACAAAGAAUAGGGGCAGCCUUGGCAAGAGACCAAGAUUCUCACCAUUGGGAGAAGGAACUGAAGCAUGCAGAAGAGGAGUUGCAGAGGCUAAACCAGCAAAUUCUUUCUGCCAAGGAUCUCAAAUCAAAGCUAGACACUGCUUCAGCCUUGCUUCUUGAUUUGAAGGGUGAAUUAGCAGCUUAUAUGGAAUCUAAACUGAAGGAGGAAGCUGAUGAAGACUCAAAUACUGAAUUAGAUGCAGCAGAGAAGAAAACUCAUACUGAUAUACAGACAGCAGUUGCUUCAGCAAAGAAGGAGCUUGAAGAAGUGAAGCACAAUAUUGAGAAAGCAACGGCUGAAGUGAAUUGCUUGAAGGUGGCUGCUACAUCAUUAAAAUCAGAGCUUGAAGAGGAAAAGUCAGCACUUGCCACCAUCAAACAAAGAGAAGGAAUGGCAGCAAUUGCAGUUGCUUCUCUUGAAGCUGAAUUGGAUCAGACAAGGUCAGAAAUUGCUGUUGUUCAAAUGAAGGAAAAAGAAGCUAGGGAAAAGAUGGUAGAGCUCCCCAAGCAACUACAAAGGGCAGCAGAAGACGCUGACCAGGCAAAGUCACUUGCUAAGUCAGCACAUGAAGAGCUGCACAAGGCAAAAGAAGAAGCAGAGCAAGCAAAGGCUGCAUUGAGUACCAUGCGAAGUAGAUUGUUUGCUGCUCAGAAGGAAACAGAGGCUGCCAAAGCUUCAGAAAAUUUGGCCUUAGCAGCUAUUAAGGCAUUGCAAGAGAGUGCGUCUGCUCAAAGCAGCAAUGAUGUCAAUUCAAAUUCAAGUGUAACACUUUCUUUAGAAGAGUACUAUGAGCUUAGCAAGCGUGCUCAUGACGCUGAGGAGCAGGCCAACAUGAGGGUGGCUGUUGCCAUUUCUCAAAUUGAGGUAGCUAAGGAGUCUGAGUCAAGAAGCUUGCAAAAGUUGGAAGAAGUGAAUCGGGAGAUGCUUGCUAGAAAGGAAGCAUUAAAAAUUGCAAUGGAAAAGGCUGAGAAGGCCAAGGAAGGAAAGUUGGGUGUUGAACAAGAGUUGAGAAAGUGGAGGGCUGAGCAUGAGCAACGCCGAAAGGUUGGUGAGUCAGGUCAUGGAGGGAACCCCUCAAAAAGCCCAAGAGCAAGUUUUGAGGUGAAGAAAGAAUCAAAGAACUUUGACCGGACACCAUCUGCUGUUGCCCAGCAGAUGACAAGCCCAAAGGCAUAUGGGCAUGGAAGUAACCCUGAAAUUAAUCCCCUCCCUGAAGCAAAGAUUGGAAAGAAAAAGAAGAAGCCUUUGUUCCCUAGGAUUUUUAUGUUUUUGUCCAGGAGGAAGUCACAUUCGUCCAAGUGAUGUAGCUUUUGCUCAAACCACAUAUAUAUGGUCUUUACUGUUAUGAUUUUAUAUCUCUCAUUGGGCUGGGUAUCGUUUAAUAGCCCUUAGUAUGUAAAUGGUGGUUACAUUUUUGUCAUGUAUGAUAUAGUUACCAGAACAUAUUUUUACUCAGUGAAAAAGGAUGAUGUUGUUGGAUAUUGGUGGCUGUGGAGGAGAGACAAGUUUGUUGGUAGUGUGUGGCUGACGAAGCCAUAAGAUGGUUUUAUCAUGUAUGUAAUUGUGACAGUUUGAACCUACUCAUGUAAAAAAUUUGAGUUUGGUCCAAUGAAAUAACUCUUUUUUGCCUGGUUUUUUGUUUAGUUGAAAUGCAAAAUUAUAGUGAUCUGUUUCGGAUGGCAUGAUGUGUGGAUGAAGUAGAAAAGUUUUCCUCAAUAUUGUGAAAAUGCUAUUUUAUAAACUAUGAAAAAAAUUACAGUAUAGGUUUUGAUUGACUUUACUUGCAGCAUCUUGCCAAGGAGCUUAAAUCUCUCCCCAAUCUGAGAAAGCUUAUUACCAAAUUCGGAAAAUACUAUUUCACCAAACAACUCAAGAAUGCUGUCAUUGCAGACAUUGAAAUGAAUUGGAAUAAACACUAAAGUGAGAGAUUGAAGAAUUAAACUUUCUUGUGUACAAAAUCUUGGAUGAUGAAUCUGAAAAUAAAAGUUUGCAGAACUUGUUUGUUUCUUACAAGCCAAAUGAUAUUGCAAAGAUGCCAUUUUACGGAAUACAUUGAAGAAGCACACUAGUGGGUGAGGACCUGAAUGAUAGUGUUGUGCCAUGGAUUUGAGAGGUGCUGCACAAGGUUGUCAAUAGGUCCUGCAUGAGUCACAUAAGCUUGGACAAAAAUACCAAGCAUUGCAAUCAUUGCAAGUCUUCCUGCAUAAAGACUUUGAGCUUAAAGACAGAUAGGAUAACUAUAAUAAUGCAGCAGCAAGUGAACAAGCCUCACCAUUCUUGAUUUCUUUCAGUUUCCAAUCAUGGGCAUUUCUGAUGUCUUUGGCAAGACCAAGUGGAUUUAGCAGAGGACCUCCAGGGUAGCUGAAUAAACAGAGUGCAGUUAAACUCCAUAUUUUCUCAAGGCGUAUAUGUGUUGGAUCAAUUUGGGUAAAAAAAUCCUGUGUUCUUAUAUCAAGAAUGGUAGAAUCUUCAAGCUGGUAGGAUGAGCAAGUGAGGAAGAAAAAAAUACCCAGGUUCAAGUCCUUCUAAAGCUGCUUCCAAUCCAAAGAAGGAUCCCUCUUUGGCUUGAGAUCCAGGACUAAUGAAAUCCAUAUACCUUUUGGUUUCCACGAAUCUGUCCAGAAUUCCAAUUCAGAAUUUACAACGAACAAGACGCAGAGGAAGAAUUAACUAAGUAAAUUUACCCCAUCAACAAUAGCUGGACGACAAUCAAAGUCGUUGUGCUGGCAAAUUCAAAUUUCACGGCACCUGCUUCAUACCAUACUGGUAUGUUGCUGAUUCCUGUCACACGAAGUAUCUGCAAACAAACAGUCACUACUCCCCAGAAAAAGACAUAUUCAUUUAAAGAUGCAAAUGGCACUUACAUCAGUGAACAAAAUUCCAGCAACUCCAACCAUGGCAAAGCGAGCAUGAACUAGCUCUGCCUGCACAUACCACUUCAAGCUUUCCGGAUCUUCCCCAAGCCCAAGUGGGUCAAACCCAUAAUCUCCAGCCAAACUUCAACCAUUCAAAAAAAAAAAAAAACAACCUCAAACAAUAAAUCGAUUACGCAAAUCAACUCCAACCUCAACAUAGACAAAUGGGGCUCACGUUCCAUCGAGAUAGGGAGGAGGGUCGAGCCCAGGGAGCCACGUGGGUCGCUGCUGAGCUUCAACUACCACUGCGCACGUCCUUGGCUUAGUAGACCAAGAUGUGCUUGUGACACCAAAUGGCUCUCUGUGUAUGUUGUUGCAGAAAAAAGAUGAUGAAGAAGACGAGCGUGGCUGGACAAAGAAGCUUACUCCUGCAACCGCCAUCUUCUUUCGUCUCUAACCACUUACACAAUUGUCAUUCAAUGAAGAAACUUGGGUCCACUUUUCUAACGCUUAGCGCAACCCAUUACAGAUAGGGUGGCUGAGCCUGAGGUAGACAACUCAAGUAAAUCUUAUUUAACAAGAAUGUAAAAUAGUAAAAGGAAUUUAUCUUGCACUAAGAGAGUCUCUACAUAAAUUCUUUUCAUACAGAGAAGAGAAAGCAAUAUCUGCUUUCAGUAAUAACUAAACAACCAAAUUGAAAAGCUUGAGUUGGGAAUCACCCAAAGUACUUGACACAACAACAGAUUUAUCUGCAGCACGACUACAAACCUAAUGAAACAGAGAUCUAAAAACACAGUGGACAAGUUCUUCAAAAAUCUAAAAAUAAAGUGGUCAUGACUAGGGUGACAUCCCAGCAUGUCAUCGCCUGCUAGACAUGCUGAAGGAGCUGACUUUCAAUGGCGUUGCAAUCACCAGUGGGGCAUCGGGAGAAUCAGUGACUGCAAAUUUAUCGUGCAUGAAACGACUAUCGACAAUUGAGUCAUCCUUUAGAACUAUCUUGUAACAGUAGCAGCUCUUCAGACCUUCUUGAUUACGGUAGCAUUCAUGAGACCCAUUCUUGACCUGUUGAAAGUUCCAUAUGACACUGAACUUGCCCACUGUUGCAACCAAAUGGCGCUCCUGCUUCCCAUUUUCUGUGACCUAAGUUAUUUAAACAUACAACUGUUAACAUCCGAUGACCUAAGUUUCUAACAAAUAAGUACCCUUAUAAAAUAUAAUCCUAGAAUUCCUAAGUAACAACAGAGAAGAACAAAAAUUUAAUAGGAAAAAGGAAAAAGAAAAGCAACAUCAGUUACCACAUAAAGCUUGUCAACGGCACUCAGAAACCAUUGUCCAAAAACAAAGCAAAUUGCGUAAUUUGAAAGGAUGGGCAAAGCACUUAAGCACAAAACAAAAUGGUCAUAGUAGGCAGAAUAUUCGAACAAAUCUCCUAGUUCUAAAUUAAAUGUUCAGAGCAGGAGAUAAAAGCAUAAGAUAUAUGUAUCUGCAUAUGCUUACCCACGAAAACUGAGCACUACGGAACUUGUUAUUAACUCCGGCUAACUGCGAAUCUAAGGGAGACAACUUCAACAAUCGUGGAGCUGCAAUUCUAUUUCCCAUACGGCCAUUAAAGCCAGUCUUCAUCUUACCAUCUUUGUCAGUAAAAAGCGUGCAGAUGAGAAUCAAAUAUGUGUCAGUUGUACCCAAUAUCCAUUUCCCAUCAAAGGUAACAUCCACAUGAGUGAUAGGUGAACCAAGACCAGGAAAAGCUGUCUUUGCCUGUCUCAUUGAAUUGCUAGAGUAGAGUCUGAUCUUCCCAUCGAGAGACCCAACAACUAUUGAGCCAUCACCAGUCGAUGCAAAGCAUUGGAAGUUAGUCCCUCUGGAAAAUUGAUGUCCUUGGGCCCAAUUCAAAACAGGGGUAUCGGCAGUCGCAAGAUUUUGAACCAUGCCUUUCCGAUCACGCAUGUCCCACCUGCAAAGUCUGUUAUCAUCCAGCCCCAAAAACGUUGAUCCAGAUGGGUCCAGUUGGGCUCCUUUGCUAUCAUUUGCAAUAUCCCUCAUGGUGAUAUCCACUCCAUCCUUCUCAAAUCUCCACUCUGUAACAAUUUUACCGGUUUCAAUAUCAAGCUGAUGGAGUCCAGUAGAAUGAGGUUUCUUUACAUCCAUGGGGCUCAUGAGCAGCAUAUUAGUCUCAGCCCUCAUAAGAAGAGCCUUUUUGGGUGUUGAAUGAACCAAACUCGAGCCACUUCUAUAACUCUCCGUAUCAAAAUUCACAUACACACCUUUUCCAUGAAUCCCGUGACUGAAAUUCUUAACAACCUGAAUACCAGAAUUACCCACCAAGAAACUGUUAUCCAAAGCACCCAGCGCCAAGCUUUGUAUGCCAUCAUUCGCUGCCUCUUCAAAUUCCUGUCUCAAAUCCUGACUUGCCCGAACUGGCGUUGAAGCUUCGGGGCUUUUCAGUAAACUAUCGUCAGCAUCUUCCCACAUUGAAUCAUCGGCGAUUUCAGGGUUUGCCCACCCAAUAAAAUCUUUCCCAUAUACCUUAACUUUGUUGACUUCGUUUGAUUCAAACCCAUAUACGUUCUCAAACAAACAAUCAUUAUACUUGGUUACGAAACCUUUAUAAUCCUCAUCAGAAAAAAAUUUCAUAGCCCAAACACCUUGAGCAACAAAAUCAACUCGACGUUGUUCUGGAAAGGUCUUCAAAUACGUCUCUUCCGACACUUUCACUCGAAUCUUAGAACCAACCUUCAGGACCCACCAAGAUUCUCCUUCUCCAGCAUCUUCAUCAUCCUCGUCUUCGUCUUCCUCUUCUUGACCGUCUAGUUUUGAUGUCUUGACGAAAGAGUAAGAUGCAAACUUCUCUGAUGUGAUCCAUUUGGAUUUGGGUGUGUUUGCACCGACGUGAAGGUAAAGCCUCACAGCAUUUUUGACAGAAGGGUUCUGGCUUGACGGGUAUUUGAGCUUCAAAGCUUUGAGUUUGGCCUCUACUUCAUCAAGAGAUGAAGGAGUUUUGGCCCUGCGACCUGAUGAUCUGUCAGGGGUGUCAUCUUUGGAAUCUUGGUAGUCUUCCUCCUCUUCUUCACCUUCCUGUUCUUCGUCUUCUGCAUCCGAGUCUGAGAUAUCAAGAUCUUCGCGACUGUGAGCGCCACCCAUUAUUGGGAUGUGUUUAGAAUCAAUUAAAGAUCAGAAUUGAGAGAAGGAAUUGUUUGCUUUUGAGAGAUCGAUGAGACAAAUAAUUUUAAAAAAAAACGGAGAUUGAAAAGUGAAGAGCGCCAAGUUCAAAUUUUGAAAUUGGAGCCUUCAAGCAUGGUUUAUACAAUAAUUUAGGGUUUUGAAUGAAUGAUGUUAGCCAAUCGAAGCGUUGAGGCUGAGGGGGUCACCGGCUACUCCCGGUGUCCGGGGAUCCUACAUUUGUCCAAUCGGGUUAUUCUGUCCAGAUCUGGACCCUGUAUGUACCCGGACUCUAUAUAUAUUUUAAAUUGAUUAUAAUGUUUAAGCAACAAAAAAUGAUUAUGGUUCGCAAUUUAACUCUUAACUUAUAACUAUUUAAAUUAUAAAAUUAAAUUUUAUGACAUAUUAUAAAUAUAGGCCAACAAGAAGAAUAAAUAGUAAAUUGUAUUAUUCAAUUUAAUUGAUGUAAUUCACUUAAUUUUAACUAAAAUAUAUUUAAUAAGAUAACUUAGGUUAUGUUUGGUACAUAAAAAUAUUUUUAAACUUUUAUUUUUUAAAAUUUUUUUAUCUUUAUUUAUGAAAGUAUUUGAAACUUGCAUAUUUAUAGAUUUAAAAAAUAAAAAAAAUUAAUUAUAAUUUUCUACAAGCACUUACACAAUUUUUUAAAAUUAAGAAAUCUUCACCAUCAUUAUUUUUAAUAUUAAUUAAAUUAUAAACUUUUGUAGAUGAACACAUAUAUGUUUAAAAAAUAUAAACUAGUAAGUAAUUUCAUAUACUAUGUGGCAUCAUAAAACGAACAAAAAAGAUUCAAGGUUGUCCCUUUUUUUUUUUUUUUUCUUUUUCGAAGUAAAACCAACGAUCGUUUUGCCACCCGCUAACAAUUUAGUGUAAAUCACAUAAUUACAUGUAGGAAGGUAGUUUGCUGUGUGCAAUCUGUAGACAAGGUUGGUGUAUGUAUAAAUAAGUCAUUAUGAGAAUAAAUGGUCAAAAGAAUUAGCUUUAAGAUAAACUUCCUUGAAAUGUAAGUGACUAACUCCUGAAAAGCCAUCGCCUCCCAUGUCCUUCAUCAUCUCUCGCACUCUCUCUACAUCAUCCCACAUUCCUUUAACAGCAUACAGAUUUGACAUCAAUAUAUAAAGGCCACCAUUUUUGUUAUCCAUUAAAUAUAAUUUCUUAGCUAAACAUUCCCCGAGCUUGACCUCUCUGUGAAUGCAACAAGCACUAAGCAAUGCUCCCCAAACUGCUGAAUCAGGAUCCAUCUUCAUAUUCUUGAUAAACAGAAGUGCCUCCUCAAAUAAGCCUGCACGACCGAGAAGACCAACCAUGCACGUGCAGUGUUGCAAAUCUGGGACUAUACCAAAUUCUUCUGUCAUCAUUUUGAAGUACUUUCUUCCCUCAUGAACAAGACCCGCAUGAGUACAAGCAGCCAGAAGUCCUAAGAAAGUGAUAUCAUCAGGUUUUAAUGCUUGUUCUUGCAUUUUAGAGUAACAAGCCAGAGCUCUGUGCUCAAAUCCACACAAACUGUAGCCUGAUAUCAUUGCAUUCCAGGUUGCCAAACAUGGAAAUUUUAUGCACUCGAACACCCUUUCUGCACCCUCUAUGCUCCCACACUUGGCAUACAUGUUGAUAAGAGCAGUACCAACAAAAUCUUCCACUUGUAGAUUAUUUCGAAGAAGAUAACCAUGAAGUUCCUCUCCAACCUGCAAGUCUCCAAGUUGCGAACACCCUGUUAACAAACUGGCAAUAGUAACCCCAUCUGGACCAUGUCCACAGAGAUUCAUUUGACGGAACACCUCCAUGGCAUCCCUCGCUUUUCCAGCCUGCACCCAGCCAGAUAUCAAUGAGUUCCAACUAGUUAGAGGCUUCUCAUGCAUGUCAGAGAACAAACAGACCAUAGCUUCAAUGUUGUUGAACUUGCAAUACAUAGUUAUCAGUCCAUUUGCAACCAAAUAGUGAGUGCAUAGCCCACUUUUAAUUGCAUAACCAUGGAAAGCAGCCCCAAUAUCCAUGUAACUGAGGUCUGUAAAGCCAUGGAGAAUGCUAACCAUAGCAACAGCAUCCACUUUCAUUUGCAACUGUUGCAUUCGUGCGAAACAUGCCAUGGCCGACUCUGUAUCUCCUUUUUCAACAUAGCUUGAAAUAAUUGCAGUCAAUGAGACCAAAUUCUCCUUGGGCGCUGACCAGUAAAGCCAUUCUGCUGAGUUUGUCUUUCCAAAUCUUGCAUAUGCACAAAUUAAAGAAGUAAGAACAGAAGCAUUAUUAAUGAGGCCAAUUUUAAUAGCAAAACAAUGAAUAGUCUCAGGGUUAGGAUUAGCCAACAGAAGGCUUACAAGACUGACUGAAUUUACUUCCACACCCUCCUCCAGCAUGUAGUUGAAAACAAGCAUAGCCUCAUCAAAAUAACAGUUUUGUCCAUAAGCACCAAUCAUGGUAUUCCAAGAAACUACAUCUUUGGCAAACAUUUCCUCAAACAAUAACUCCGCUGCUUCCAAAUCCAUACACUUAGCGUACAUAGAGGUGAAAGCAUUCUUCACUUGAGAAUCAAAGUGGAGGCCAGUUUUAAUUCCAAAUCCAUGAACGGAUUUCCCUUGAAACACAAUCUCCCGCUGCGCACAAGAAGGAAUCAAGCCAACCAACGUCGUCUCGCGAGGAGAAAAACCCUCUCUGAGCAUUUGAACAAAACUCUCCAGUGCAUCAAAAUCAUAUCCAUUACGUGAAUACCCGCAAAUUAGGGCAUUCCAUGCGACAACAUCUCUCUCAGGCAUAUCAUCGAACAACAGUCGUGCAACUUUAACGCAAUUCAAUUUCGUAUACAAGUCAAGGGUAGCUGUAGUUAUAUAAACAAACUGAUCAACACCCGAUUUUACCAUGUGCGUUCGAAUUUGAUCGGCUUCUAGCGUUGGACUAAUUGAAUCAUAAACAGAGAAUAGUGAAGGAGAUGAAGUAGAGGCUUUGAGGAAUAAAGAGAAAGUGAAGUCAUUUGGUUUCAAAUUGAACUGUAACAGUUGGCGGAAAAUAAUCAACGGGGAUUCUGGGUUUUUGCCUUCAAUGCAGGAUUUGAGUAGAGAGUGGAAAAAAGAAAGAGAACUGGAAUUGAUCAGAUUCAUAAGAAUAGAAUCAAAAUAUCCUCUGUUAAGACAAGUCCAAACGGAAAAAAGACAGUCCAAGUCUUCCGCCCAGUUUCAGGAAGUGUUUUAAGUGAAAACUACUUUGAUAUAUAUAUAUACACACACAUAUAUGUUUAUAUAUAUAUAUAUAUAUAUAUAUAGUGGCGAAAGUAGAAAAUUGAGCUUUUCUUCUUUUUCUGAAGAAAGUAGAAAAUUGAGUUAGAGGAGAAAAAUUUGUCAUUCAAAAUAAAUUUGGGUCUGACAUGAUAAAAUAUUAUAUUAUUUCCCGUUUAUUUUUUUUAUUUUUGGUUGAAUGGUAAAUAUUGUUACAAUUUUGUGUGUUUUUAUUAGAUGUUGUUUUAUAAUUAGUAUAUAUGUAUUAAUUAAUUAAUUAAUGUACGAAUUUUUAUUUAAAAAACAUUUAUUUACGUUUUCAUAAAACUUUUUUAUUAAAAAUUAGAGAAAUAAGAUAUUGAAAAAUACUUUUGUUUUAUUUAACGUAAUUCUUUAGUAACUAAAAAAUUAAAGAGAAAAGAAUAAGGGAAUUAGAUAAAAGUUUAAUUUUAUUUGAUAUUAUAUAUUUUUAAUUUCAAAAAAAGAAUGAGAUUAUUCAGUGAUUUUUGAAGAAAAUGAAAAAUUAUUUAUUAAAUUUUAUUACUUUUACAUAAACUCAUGUUUUGGAGGAAUCUCCCCUCCAUAUUACUAAAUUAUUAUUAUUAUUAUUAUUAUUAUAUUGUUAUUAUUACUAUAAGGGCAUUCUUGUCAUUUCAUAUCUUCUCCCAUACAGCAUAGUCCUUUCCGGCGCCGUUUGGAACCAGCUUGAAAUUCGGAGGAAUAAGAUUUCCAAGACCCCCAUUUGGCCCAAUUUUCAUUAUGAUUUUCUCAUCGAUCUCCGCCACGUACAGAUCAGAUUGUGCCGCUAGAAUCUUAACCCUGCUUCUUUCAUUGAUCCCGUGCUUCUUCCUAAUCGCCAAAAUGUUGGUAAUCGGCUCCUUUAAGCCCCACUCAAAGUAAUGAUCAUAAAACUGCAAAAACCAGAACCAGUUUAUUUUUUCCUUGCGAAUUUCAGACCUACCUAAAUACUUUCCGAAUCGGCCGUGGAAUAUGAGUAAAUUAAAGGGUAGAGAACAGGAAGAACUUACAAUGGUGGGAGUGCCAGGGUGGGUGAGGAUAUAAACAUAACCCAGCAUCACUUUAUCACUUGGGAAUUUGCAAAAAUCUUGAGACCAAGUGUCGUGAUUGUCGAUGAACGUCACCGCUUUCUCCGGCAAAACUCCGAGCAAUCCCGGCGGUUUUCCGUCGGUGUUAUUCAACCGGAACAACUCUCCCGUCACCGCAACCUGAAGAGAUUCCUUCAAAGGAAAAUCAAAUGCAGCCACCACUCCGCCGGCAUCCUGAAUCCACUUCCGCAGCUCAUCGCGCUUUCUGUUAUCUCCCGGAGGGAGCUUUUCGUUACAGGGAGGAUGCCAAUACUCUGCAACUGCCAAAUCGGGUUUUGUCCGAUCCACGUAAAUUUUGGUAAUGCUUGGCGCGAACCCUACUGCGUAAUCAAUUCGCCAUCCGCCAUUAAAACCGACUUCUGUUUUCAACCAAUUGAGCCAAUCCGAUAGCUCGUUUUGCACUCUGGGAUUGGUAUGGUCAAUGUCAAUGGCGAAAGGGAAGUCAUCGCCGGUGUCUGGAUUGCCGGUGCCGUGAGGGAAGUUCUUGUCGGUGCUACAGACCAUGGCGGGUCCCCAGUCAAGACGAUCAUCUGGUGUCCCUCCUUCGAAGAAUAUAUCGGUCUCUGUCUGGCGCUCUGGGCUUCUGUGGUUAAUUACAAUGUCAGCCAUGCAUUUUAUCCCGCUUUGAUGAUAAGCUGCAAUGAGUGAGCUGAGUUGAUCCCGAGUUCCGUAGUUUGAGUUGAGAUCAUACAGCUUUGCUGGUUUGUAACCUUGGGGUGCAUCGGCGCCGGAAUUAGAAGGAGGCGGCAGCCAGACAUGAGUAAUCCCGGCAUUAGCAAUAUCAGUAGCAGAGUUCUUCAAGAAAUUGUAUAAUUCUCCUCGUUUUUCCGAUGAGGCCCAAGUGAAACCCUGUUACAUUACACAGCGAAGGAGUCUAACUUCGUAAUAUGGCAAUACCAUGACUAGAAAGAAACCUAGAGAAAACGAAGAAGAAGAUGGAGAGAUACCUGAAACAGAACUGCUGGAGAUACGAAAGCAGGGAAGAUAGAGGAUAAGAGGAAGAGGAAGCAAAGUGAAGUGAUGACUGAACUCAUCUUGUUUUAUUUUGUGUUUGAGUAGAUGCAUAUGAUGGUAUAUUUAUAGGCACAUGAUGGAUCCCAUGUUGAUGACGCUGUAAUAUCUGUUCGUAUGCCACCUUUGGGUAAUUUUCCAUUGACUUUGGAAAUAAUUUUUGGUUAUAUAUAAUACAAUUCAAAAACAAAUUAAUCUUGCCCACAUUGAAAUUUUACAUACAUUAAAAAUAAGAACCAACAAAAAAGAAAAAAAAGAUUUGGAUGAGGUUACUCUUGUUAUAUUUUUGUUCUUAAAUCCUAGUUUGUUUUAUAUAAAAUAAUUAUAGUAAUUUACAUAUUCGAUGCAUAACGAUAUCAAAAUAAUCAUAAUUCAUAUUAUGUUUUUAGUUAUGUUUUACUUAUUUAAUAAAAUAAUUAAUGUUUAUAAAUAUAUUUAUUUCUUUUAUAUCGACUCAAAUUUAUAAUACUAUCAGAGUGAAACAUAAGAUUUAAAAAAGAAUAGAUGUUAAACUUUAUUAGUGACAAAUAAAUUUUUUGCAUGUGAAAAAUCUCAAUAUAAUUUUAAAAAUUAAGAAUUAAUCGCAAAAAUUUUAGACGAUCUAAAAAAUACGAAAUUAUGAUUAACUUUAUAAAUUGUCUUGGGUACUGAGCAUUUACUUAUAAGAAUUAAAUUUCUCGCAAUAACUAGCUGCAACAACUUCAUAACUAGGAAUUUGGUAGAUUAUUUCUUACGUAUAGAAUCAUUCAUAUUUUAAAUUAUAUAUAAUAAAUUUUCUAAUCUCGUAUGUUAAUGAACAAAUUACAAAAACAUCUACUAUGAAUUUAUAUAAUUAAAUUAGAAUUAUGAUUUUAUUUUAUUUUUAUAAAAUUUUAUAUUUUGGAUCUUGUAUGUUUAGAUAAAUAUAUAUUUAUCUAAAAUAUAUACAAUAAGAUGAGAUCGGUUCAAUCUUUUUAGUAACAGAUUAAAUAGACUUUAAUUAUAAUUUAACUAAUAUAUAAUAAUACGAACAGUACUUUAUUGAAAUCAUAUUAACAUAGAAAUCUAGAAACAAAAUAAUAAUAAUAAUAACUAAUACAUGGAUCCUUAACCUUCUGUCGUUCUUCGUGAACGAUUAAUACACGUAUCCUUAAAGUGUUUAAUCCAUUUUAACUUGCGUUUGAUAGUCAAAGUUAUGUUUCUAAAGUCAGUAUAAUCUUCCUUGACAAAACUUGGUUUUAAUUCAACGUAUUCUGGUUGUAAUCUUCAUUUAGAAAAACCAACUCUUUGACUAGAGACUGAUUCGCAGAUUCAUGAUUGUAUAAUACUGUAAAAAUAGAAAAAGGACCCAAAUAUAUAUAUAUAUACAUAUAUGUGUGUGUGUAUAAAGGGGCAAGCUUAAUUAUUUUGAAUUUUCACCAACUUAAUUCGGCAAUUCCUUUCUUGACAAGUUCAAUUUCCAAACUCCAGGUCACAAAGUUUGACUCAAGUGUAUUACACAAAUACAAAUUAGAUUUAUCUUCGUGUCAGCUUAAUUUACAGUAUAAAAAUAAUAUUUAAAUAAAUAUAUAUAUAUAUAUAUAUAAGAAUUAAAUUUAUAAUCUCUCAUAAAUAAAUUAUUUAAUUAACCAAUCGGUAAUCACUUUCUAAUCAUUUUUGAUAAAUUUAUUAUAAAUUAAAACUAAAUACAAUCACGUUAUGCUAUUCGUUACUAAAAUGUGUAUUCACAUAUACUAUGGUUAAACGAAUUAACAGAAUUUUAUUUUUUAUUUAAAUAAGAUGCAAUAAAAAUAAUUUUCUAUUUCUAUUCCGUGUAAUAAUAUUGAUUAAACUAUUUACGGAAUUAAUUAAUUAAUUUCAUUUAAAUUAAAUGUAAUAUAUGAGAUAUAUUGUUAAUGUCACAGUAGUUCGNNNNNNNNNNNNNNNNNNNNNNNNNNNNNNNNNNNNNNNNNNNNNNNNNNNNNNNNNNNNNNNNNNNNNNNNNNNNNNNNNNNNNNNNNNNNNNNNNNNNNNNNNNNNNNNNNNNNNNNNNNNNNNNNNNNNNNNNNNNNNNNNNNNNNNNUUAAUGCACAUCUCUUGUGAUAUGAAAUUUAUUUGUUUUUAAAUAAUUAAAGGAUAUAAAUUAAUUUACAAAUUUAAAAUAGAAACUAACAGGGUUUAGUUCGCCAUCCUCUAUUGAUCUUGAACUUGUUUCUCAUCUCCCUCUCACUUGAAUGAAGAUGAAUUGAGGUGAGUUUCACGUGCUAAGUAAGAAAAAAAAAAUCUAUAAUGUAGGAUUUACGUACAUACAUUCACGCAAUAUAUAAAAUAUAAUAAUUUUUAUCAUCAAAAAAAUGUCAAAUAAGCAUCACAACCAAAAUACAUAAUAAAACAAAUCAUCGCACAAAAUAUAUUUUAAUCUUCACUUUUUAAACCUAAUUCUUGUUAUCUUUUCAAAUUACACUCAUGCAUUCAUAGAUUCUUCAAACAAAAACGGAUUUACUCACACACACAUAUCACUCAACUCGAAUUUAUAAUUUUAUAUUAUUUAGCCUUUUAAAGCUUAAUUAGAUUACCAUCGCGCGAUACCCGUUAUAUCAUUAUCGAAUAUAGGAUCCCUCCAUCGCAUGUAUAACACAAAAAAAAAAAAAUCUCAUAUUGGCCACAGAAGUUACGUUUGCUAGGUGACCUACGCUCAUAAACACAUAUCCACGUAUAGACUAAGUUUCAAACUCUAUCUAUGUGCAGGUUCACCAUACCAGCUGAACUUCAGCCAUACACGCACCUUUCCCUCCUCGAUUUACGACUAACAAAUGACGUGUUUUAUUUACUCUUUACAGUUUUCUUAUGAUUGCCUUCCUAGUGGCUUAUUAAGUCUAUUUCUCUAGCUAACUUACACUUAUCAAUUUCUUUGGUGUUUGUUUUCCAGAUGUAUUUAACUUAUUUAGUUUUUUAUUUAAAAAUCUAAAAUUUAUAUUAAUUUAAGGUAUUAACUUUCCAUGCACAAUUAAAUACAAACAUACAUAUAAUAUACGAUAUUAUCAUGCACAUCAGAACUAUACAUGUCAAAAAACUUUCUGAAUCAUCAUAUAUCAGAUCACACAGCAAGCACAAGAUACUCAAAUUUUUCGCGCAACUGUACCAGAUCAUACAGUAAGUACAGUGCACCAUACAUCUACAUCAGAUCACACAGCUAGUGCAAUGUAUCCAAAUUUCAUAAGUACAUACACUGGUUAUACAUUUUACAUACAUAACAUAUGUACACACAUUUUAAUACACACAUAUAUUAUAAUACAGAUAUGUACCAUCACUACAUGUCUCACACAGAAUAUAUAUUUAUAUUUACAUACACACAAACAAUUUCUAUCGAUAUAUAUACACACGUUCAUAUUUAAACAUGUAUACACAAUCACACACAACAUACCAGAUAUAUAUAUAUAUAUAUAUUUAUUCAUGCAUUUGUUCUUAUUAACUCUAUUCAAAUUAAUUCAUCGUAUAUUUUUAUCUAUAUACACAUAUACAUGCGUAAUAACGUGUAUAUAUACACUAUAUAAAUAUAUACAAAUACAAAUUAAAUAUACUAAUUAUAUUUAUAUUACAUUACCCAUACAUUUAAAUAUUCAUACAUAAUGCAUAUUAUAUAUACACAUUUAUAUAAAUAUAUAAUUUAUGUAUUUGUACAAAAUACGCAUAAUUUUUACCUAUGAUAUGAUCGGAAAAACUUUAAAAAUUAUUUUUACCUUGAUCUACAGUUAUAUCAGAAAUUCGAAUAUGGUUUGAAUAAUUUUAUUCGUUUAUAAUAAAAAAAUACAUAUAUUAAAUUAUGAAUAAUUUUAAAAAUUAUACCGAAAAAUGAAUUUUACCUUGAAACACGUGAUCUCGAUUGUUAACAUUACCACGCGACAUCAUACGCAUGUCACCGAAAAUGUUAUACAAUGAUAAUCGAAUCAACGCGCGUUGUCGCAUGUGACACACCAACAUUUCGCCGCACUUACAUUUUUCUUCCUUAAUUUAAUUAAUUUUUUUAUUUUUUGCCCUUUUUUUAUUUUCUUUCAUCAUUUUUUUUCUUUUAUUCCUUUUUUUUUUUUCUCUUCUCCUUUUUCCUUCCUUCUUCUUCUUCCUCCUUUCCCGUAGCUUCCUUUUUUUUUUUUUUCUUUCUUCUUCCUUUUUCUUCUUCCUUUGUUUUUUUUUUCCUUUCUUCCUCUCUUCUUCUUCUUCUUUUUCUUUUUUUCUCUCUCUCUCUCUCUCUCUCUCUCUCUCUCUCUCUCUCUCUCUCUCUCUCUCUCUCUCUCUCUCUCCUUCCUGCGACGUCUCCCCUUCUGCCGCGUCUCACCUCCGCGACUGCCACUCACUCCUCCUCCUCACGCGGCCACGGCUCCUUCCCUCACUCCGCUCUCCCGGUCCCGAUCCUCACUCAACUUGGCCUCCUCUCUCACCCGCUCGAACUCAGCUCUCUUCCCCUAGUUCUUGUUUUUUUCUUCUGCUAUUUCAUUAUAAAUCUAUUUUUUUUUUUUUGCGGCUUGGUUUGUUCUCUUUCUUUUUACAUUCUUUUUUUAAAAAUUAAUUAAUAUAUAUUAUAUAUAUAUUUUUUGUACCCAGCUGGUGCUCGAGCUGACUAUUAUUACACACAAUUAUUUGCUAAACAGUUUUCAAUAUAACGAAUUUUUGAUAAAAUUUGAUUUCAUAAUUUUUUUAAGUAAGUAAAUUAAAAAUUUAACCGUAUAUUAUUAAUAUAAGUUUAUUUAUAAAGUACUACACGGAUAUAAUUAUGUAAGGAAGAUAAGAAAUAUAUUAACUAUACUUUAAAAAAAAUAUUCCCACGCCAUCAUACAGAAUAAAAUUGUAGUAAGAGGGAGCUUUAAAAUUAGCUGUUGCACAUCUAUACAAUUCUUAAUACGAAUUACAUGAGAAAAAUAUGUUGGACAUUAAAUUAAUAAAUUUUUUUUCAGAGAAAAUGGAUUGAGAUAGUUUCUCCAAUUGUUCGCCUUUAAAAGAAUAAUUGGGUUUUAUGUUUGUUCAAAAUUAAUACAUAUAUGAAUUUUGUAAAUAAUCAAAGAGCAAUUUGGUGGCAAAAUGACAAAAGAUUGACUAGAUAUAGUGAAGGGUUCUUCUCUAUAUGUAAAGUUGGGAAAAGUUGAGCUAAACCAAAUAUGGGCACACCUUCAUACGGGUUAGAAGUUUCUAUCUCAUGGGGUGUCAUUGCACAUUUUUUUUUUAUAAAAAACUUUAAUCUAAAAAAUAUCUCAAAUUCAUAUGAAUUUGGUAUAUUAAUUGAUGAUAUUAAUAUUCUAAAAUCAAAAUUUUUGGGUUCAGUCAAUUUAUGAAUUUUUAUAAUAAAAAUCCCAUAUGUAUUAUGAGGAUAUUGGCUGAUUAAAAAAGGUUGUGGCCGCCGAUUUAAUGAAUAAAUAAAUAUCUUUUUUUAUGGCUUUAUAUUUAUUUGCUGGGCCAAAGGAAGAUAAAAGGAAGGGAGUGUUCGGGAAGAAUGGUCAAAAAAAACAAAGAGCCGCCACGUAAUCUCAGACCUCAAGCAAACCCAACAGAUAUUUUCCAUUCCCAUACAAAAUAUCUGAACCUCUUCCCCCCCACCACCACCCUGCGUCUUCACGUGGGACCCGCGCGUCCCCAUUCCACGUGUAAAGCGAUUACUCUUUUCUCUCCAACAUCACUCCCUCCCUCCCCCAUUUCCUCUCUCUCCCUCCCAGAGUUUACUCCUCUCUGAGUUCGAUUCUUACUUCCGGGGUUUAUGGUAUGCAAAUCGUUUGGAUUAGUCUUCCAGUGAAAAUAUGCUCUUGCGAGUUCGUUAAUAUCUGAGUUUACCGGGGGACGAGUCGCGCGGAUUUUCUCAGCAGGUGGAUCUCAGACCUCGAGCAUGGUACUGUCUCUACUCGCUAUUGAUUCUACGUUUUACCUUCCGCAUGAUUAUAUACCUAAUCACCGCAAUUUGUUUUUUCCUCUGCACCUUCUUUUUCUCGAGUCUGAAGACUGAAAAACAAGUAUGUCGUGUGAAAUUGACCUGUGAAGCCAUAAACUGCAAACAUUUAUAUGUUUCUUCUGUAAGCUACGAUGGUAGGUUCUCUACUUUAUGGCUAUCAGACUUGAUUUCCAUGGAGGAAUAAUUCUGAAUGAAGAAAAUUUGGGGUUAAUUGGUAUAUUAUCUGAGUUGUUUGCUAUUUGAUUUAUCACUAUAGGCAAAAGAUCUUGUUGCUAGGGUUAUUAGUGACCUCGUAUUAUCAAUGUUAGGUUCUUUGUUUGUUUGUUUGUUUUUUUUUUUCUAAAACUUUUUUUCUGAAUCAAGAACGCAAUGAAUGUAAAUAAAAGUUGUUGGUUGACAAAUUCCGUUUACCAGUUAUUUCUGGAAAAUACCCCCCUUGGUUAUUAGAAUUUCCAGAGUUUCCUGAUGAUGAUUUUAAUGGCAUGCCAGAAUUCUCAGAUUGAAGAAGGUAAGAGUGCAGAAUGGACCAAUGAGAAGCAUAGAUUAUAUCUUGAAUCCAUUGAAACAUCUUUUGUUAAUCGGCUCUAUAAUUCUUCGGAUCUUCUUAGUUGGCGCCAACAAAAAGGGAACUUGUCAAACAUAAAAUCGUCCAGGCAAGCCUGUUGUAAUCCUCGUGUACCCUCUGGCCAGGUUCAAAAUCGACUUCUUAUGUUUCCUGCUUACUUCCUUCUGUAUUGUAUAUAUGUUUUAUAAACAAACAAAAUGUUUAUUCCAUAAUGGAUGCAUUUUUAUUUCUAUAAUGGAUUCCAUGUCAUUACUCCAGUUUAAGGUUCUUCGUCGUGGUUGCUGGCAAAAGGUCAAUUUUGAAAGACCUGGAGUUCAGUUAAACAAGGAAGAUGAAUCCCUUGGGUUUCUGGCAAGUCCUUGGAUUAGGCAUUUUAGUCCUGUGUACAAGCCCCAGGUUUUAGCACCAGCAAGUCUCCAAGGAAGUUCUGCAUUGAAAAGCCAAGCAAUUGCUUCAACUGCGAGGAAAGACGUGCCCUACAACCCCGAAUCAGCUACUGGUUCAAGGCAGUUUCAUGUGUAUCGCUCCCCCUUACAGGAUCAAGAUUUUAUUGACUCCACCGAAGGUAAUGUUUGCUGAUAGACCCUAUACUUUUCAUUACCACCUUCAUGAUGUAUUGCUCCUGUAGACAUGCUUGCUGAAGCCUAAGCUAUCAAUUUUGAAAAGCAAUGAGUAUUACUUAUGCUAGUUUGUCCCAGUAGAUGUGUUGGAUUAAUACUCUGGUGCCACUAUGAGGAUCAGAAAGUAUUUACCUGGGGAGUGUGGUAGAUCAUAAUCAGAAAUGGUCCAAUAUCUAAUCAGUCAGCGAGCAAUAAGAUUAUUGACUUAUCUUGGAUUGUUUACCAGUUCAUAUUUGAAGCGCGUCACUUUGUUUUUUCCAAAUCCAAUUUAUGUUCUAAGGUAGUUUAUGGAUUUUAAGUAAUAAUGCUGAAAAAUAAAAAAUUUUCAGAUAAUGAGUGCAAGAUAUUUUUGUAUUUACAACUUGAACUAUUGAAGGAUUGACAAAUUCAUUAUUUUAUAUAUCAUGUACUGUAGCUAACAAUGCCUGUAGUUAUUCUUCUUAGAAAGCAAUGAUUUAUUUAUUUAUUUUGAGAUAAAAGAGAAAGAAUAUUAUUAUACACAAAAGUAUUAAGGGAGUACCACCCGAAAACACAAAAUUACAAGUCCAUUAGGUAGUCCAUAACAACUCCAAUAUCUUCCCAUUCUAAUAUGUCACGACUUAACAAAAUAGAAUUAAAAGUAUGAAAUCAUCUAUCCCUAAUAUUUACAAUGUCUGUUUCAAUACCUUCAAAAGCCCUAACAUAUUUCUCCCUCCAAACUACCCACAUAAUAGAAAUCGGAAUAAGGAAUAAUUCUUUUUUCUUUUUACAUAAACCAACCCACACCCACAACUAUUCACUAACACUCCCCGCCAUGGCUCAAUUCAUCCCCAUAAUCCCAUACACAUACUCCCAAAUUCUGUACACCAUAGGACAUUGAAGUAACAAGUGGUUGCAAGAUUCUUCAUCGACCUUGCACAUGUAACACCUAUUAACCAUCAUCAUACCUCUUCUUCUCAACAUAUCAAUGGUCAAUAUUUUUUCUUUAACAGCAUCCCAAAUGAAAAAAAGCCAUUCUAGGUGGAGCUUUUGACCUCCAGAUUUGCUUAAACGGUGCUGCCAUAAAAUUAUUCUCACCAUUUUUUACAAUAAAAUUGUAUUAGGACUUCACAGAAAAGUCUCUUUUCUUGUCCGGUUUCCAUAUUCUUUUGUCCUUCAGAUUUCCCACCUUAAAAUCAGCAAGACAACGAAGCAGAUUACAUUAUUCAACCUCUUCGUCAUCCUUCAAAUUUCUCCUGACUCCCCCCAAACUCCCCUCUCGAACACCUUCUCCACAAGGAUAUCCCUCUCCCUAGCGAUCUCAAAGAUCCUCGGGAACUUGUCUUUCAAUUUGAAGUCACCAGCCCACUCAUCCUUCCAUAAAUUAAUUUCAGUUCCAUUACCCAGCUGCCAGCAUAUGCCAUCAUAAAAAUUCUUGCUGUCAAUGUUAAUUUUCUUCCACAAACGUUUUAAAUGGAAUGUUUUAAGAAAGCAACGUUUUAGUUCGUAAAAUUGAUUUGUUUAUGUUUAUCUUAAAAUGUAUUCUGAUUAAAUGGAAUGUCUGAGUCUUGAAGGUUGAAAAAGUGAGAAUAUAGUUUAUACAUGUCUCUAAGUGAAGCAGGAAAUUAUUGUUAGAUUACAUCAUAAUCUUGAUAGCUAUUAGGAGAGGAAUAAAAGGAGAAUAGGGGUGAGGAGAAGAUACUCUAAUCUUUCCCUUCAUUCCUUGUCCAAAAACUUGGAGAACCUUCAUCACCUUCUCUCCAAUGUAGACUUAAUUCGCUACUGAAUGGUUCUCUUUUCAUGGCCUAAGAGAUAUAAUGCAUGGCAUAAUAUUAUACUCAGCAACUGUUUGCUCAUGAAUGCUUUGGAAUACAAUCUUUCUCUGUCUUAGGUUAGUUUUCUUUUUCCAUUUUGGGUCUUGAUGGUGAUGAUGGACAUGUUUUAUAUGCCAGCAGAGGUGUCAGACCAGAAUUUUGUUGAUGAAGAAAUUAGAGGCGAGAAUGCAAGCGGUAUCUGCAGCUCCGAGAAAGACAAGAAUGUUGACAACUAAUUUUCCAAGUGAUUAUCUAGCAAUAUGUCUCUUUAUUUCAUUGUUAAUCAGUUGCCAGAAUCGGAAUAGCUUCAACAAUCUUAUCUAGCUGUCUAAAUGUUAUGCAUUUCUCGUUUUUUCUAGGCCUUCUUAAGCCUCUGGUAACAUGAACAUUUACUUCUCUGGGACUCUGUUAGAAGGUAAGUUACUUGCAUGUGGGGAAUUUAAAUGGUGUAUGAAGUGAUGAAAGAUUUAACGAGGAAGCUGUAUGUAUUAAAAAAAUAGGGGAAGACUUCUGUUACCGAGUUUUGUCUUCAUACUGCCUUUUCCUUUCAUAUUUAAUCUUGUCGCAGCCAUGGGUGCAUCAAUAUUACAAGGUUGGAUGGGCAAUAGCUAGUUGUCUACUGCCUUUGUGGUGUAAUAAGCUUGUCCAGAAUUAUUAGUUUUACUUCUGUUGCUCAUAUGGACAUGGUGGUCAAAAAUACACUAAAAACCUCUGUUUUAGCAGCAAAGUCAACUCUUGAAAAAUAUAUGGCCAAGUCAUUAAUCAUUCAGAUGAUCCUAAAACAUCUGCUAAGCCUUUAAAUUUGCCUGCGAUGAUGAUGACGAUUAUUAUUUUAAAUCAUAGCCCAAGACGAGCUAUUUCUACUUCGCUAAGGGAUUCAUUCAUACGAGGAAAAAGCCCACGCGAUGUUGCGAUAUAAAUUAUUAUUAUUAUUUAUUAUUUUUAGUUUGAUAUUUGAACAUAAUAUCUUAUAAAAUUAUACUUAGACAUUUAGAAUUUGAUUGGAAGAUUUGCAUAAUAGUUCAUUAAUGUUGGGUAUUAUAUGAUAGGUGUAAAGUUCAUUAAUGUUUAAAUUUAAUAAUGUUUGGAUGAUAGUUUAUUAUUAAUAUUUGAUAGUAAUAAUUGUUUUUAUUUGAAUUGACAGUAUGAUAUGAUUGUAUAUUUGAAUAAAUUAUUUAUUUUGUAUCUAUUUUAUUGUAUAUAAUAAUAAAUAAAAAAUAAAAAAUAUAUAGUGUUAAAUAUAUAGAUAUAUAAUUAUAUAUAUAUAUAUACACACACAAUAAAAUAAGAAGAAGAAGCGAUUUUUUUUGAAUUAGAAGAAAAAGAAGAGUAAAAAAUGUCAGGUAGAAUAAUUUAAAAUAAAAGAAAAUUUUGUAAAUAAUAAAAAAAAUAUAAAACCAUCUUAAAAUCAUUUUAAAAAAUAAAAAGAAUUAUAUUUUUAAAAACCACAACUCAACCAACAAAAAAUUAUAUUAUGCGAUUAAAAAUACAAACAAAUAAAAUUAUAAAAAAAUCAUGAUAAAAGAGAAAUACAAAGGUAUUUUGUAUAUUCAAAGGUAUUUUGAAUCUUACUAUUCAAUUUAUAAAAUCUAAAUUACACCUACCUCUAUUAUGCACCAAACCCAAUUAGGGUGACUACAAACUAAACACUUACAAGUACUUAUUAUAUAUAUAUAUAUAUAUGUUUGAGUUAUAAAAAAAAAAGUGGAGGUGUAUUUGCAUGGAAUUAAAAAACCAUCGACCUAAAAUGUUGAUAUCCAUCAAUUCAAAUUGCAAAGAGGUGGGAACCGAGUGUGUAGUGUUAAUGGGAAAAGUGGUGGAUUCAUGGGUGAUACGAUGGGGCAACCCCAAGUAUCUUGGGGAGAUUUUGUUGUCACGUGGACAUUUCAGAAUGUCAAGUCAGCAUCAGCCACGUGUCCACCAACCCAAUAGUGGAGGAUCGACACGUGCCAGUACCAAAGUGAAGGGGAGGGGACCCUUCGCUAUUUUUAUAUAUGUACAUAUAUGUAAUACAGAGAGAAAGAGAGAAACAGUGAGUGCAGACAUGAACAUUACGAGGCAUACACGUAUGGACGCAUAUAUACAUAUAUAUAUAUAUAUAUGUAUGUAUACACAGCAGUUAAAGGAUGCGGUCAAAAUCUAUUCAUUCAGAAAUCAUAUAUAUAUAUAUAUGUAUGUAUGUAUGUAUGUAUGUAUAUGGGUGCAUGAUUGCAGCAUUUGUGGAGAUAGUUAUAUUCUACUAUAACCAUCAUGACAUUAGAAUGAUCAUGUUCGAUGAGUGGAGAUUGAGCUUUGAUCCAUGCACCAAUUCUCUUAUUAUUAUUAUUUUUUAAUUAUGUUUAUUAUAUGCAAUUUAUAAUUUAAUUUGGCUAUAAUCUCUCCAUACAAAAAAUUAACAUUAAUAACUUAAAUGGUAGUUUAAUAAUUAUAUCAGAUUUAUAGUAAUAAUUUAAUACAUUACGAGUUUUAACUUGGUAUUUCUCUAAUUACUUGGGUGAAGAAUCUAUUUUAUUCUCAUAUAUGAAGCUUAAUUCAUCAAACCUAAAUAUAUAAAUCAACACAUUCUCUUUUGUAUGUAUAUGUAUUAAUAUUUGAUUAAGCAAGUAUUGAUACAAAAAAAUUGACUUCAUAUUAGAUUUGUAAACGUGGGUAUCUAUCUUAGUGGCUCUUAUGAUAUAUUAGGUAUGCAAUUGAUCAAUCUCGUAUCUCACUUCUGGUCUAUUUCUUCAUAACAAGCAAAACCCUUCGUUUUUUUUUUUAGUGUAAAUAUUCAUCAGUACAUUAAAAAUAAGUAACUAAAUUAGAAAUUGAAUAAGNNNNNNNNNNNNNNNNNNNNNNNNNNNNNNNNNNNNNNNNNNNNNNNNNNNNNNNNNGAUUAAAUUUAUAUCAAGAAAAGUUAUUUACUAUUGUAAUACCCUAAUUAAUUUUAAUUGUAAUUAAAAUUAAUGAAUAAAUAUAAUUUUUUAAUUUUUAUUGAAUGUAAAAAUAAAGAAAAUUAAAUGGAAGAUGAAAUUGAAGAUAAUUCUUAAAAAAAUGGGUAAAAAUUUAUGUUAUGUGGGUAUUUUAAAAGAAAAUUCAGAAAUUAGUGGUCAAAACGUAAUUUAAGAAAAUUAUGCAACGUAGAACGCCCAGUCAGCAACCCCAACAAACCGGAGUGCGCAGUGUGGCAAGAAACGAUGACGCAGUGUCACGCGGGAGGCCACGCUGGCGAUCUGCGUGUCCGCGAUCCGACGGUCCAGAUUCGUUCCCGUACGCACGGACGGUCCAGAUCCGUUCUCUCAUCAGAUGUGAUCGGAUGACCAAGAUUAAAUGCAAUGAACGGUUCAGAUCAACUUUCUAUUUAAACAUGAUCGGACGGUGCAGAUCAAAUCGUGAUAGACGGUCCAGAUUCACUCCCUAUUUAAUUGCAAUUGAACGGUCCAGAUGAAACGCGAUGGACGAUCAAGAUUAAAAGAGGACGAAUAUAAAUAACCCUCUUGACACCAAACCCUAACCCUAGUCGCCAGACACCCCCGUCGUAAAAGAAGAGCCAGCCACCGGGAAGGAAGCCGCCCGCCGUCCAUCGCCGUGCCAGAGCCACUUCCGAUUGCCAAAAGAGGUAAAAAAAAUUUCAUUGCUCGAAAUUUGAUUUUAAACACCCUCAUGGUCAAAUCGGAGUAAAAAGACUUAUGGAUUAGCUGAAAAUCACGGGUAAAGUCCGGCGGCACCGUCGCAGAAAAUUGCAAAAACAGCAUCUAAUGAGGCCCUUUUCGAUUUUCGUUCUACGUAAUUCUUCCACCAUUGUAUCACCGUUUCCUUCUCUACAGGUUGACUGAAACAAAACACUUAACUGCAAAAGUGAACCAGCGGAAUCGCCACAUCGGAGAACUCCGCCACCAGUAAGUUUCAGUUUUUUGACUUUUUUCAGUCAACCGAGACCUCUUAACGUAUUUUCUCGUAGGGUGGUCGAAUUCGGCCGAAAACGACCUACUCAAGGUAAACCGCAGGUGUGGGCGACGGUGUCGUCGCCGGAGCACGGCGGAGCCGUCGUGCCGGAAUUCUGGAAUUGGCCAAAAAGAGUUCCUAACACUGAAUUUGGAUUUUUUUGAGAUAUUUAUAGGUACUUGAAGCGCGUUUUAAUCUCCGAAGAAAAAUUCAGGGAACCCGAGGACUGCCAGUAGGCGUAGUCAAAAGUUUAGCAUUUCGGACAUCAAUUUGAGUGAGAAUCCCUCACCAUAUUUCCUGUUAUAGAAUUGAAGUUUAAUUUUAAAUAAUAUAGUAUUUUAUAAAAAUUUAGAAAAUAUUCAUAAUUAAUUACAUAUUAUUAAUGAAUGAGGAAUCAGUUAUUUACUAUUGUUUGCUAUGAUUAAUCGAUUACCUGACUGUACCGGCCCCAGAAAUUCAAAAACGAAAUACAUAUAAUAAUCUGAGUGCGAAAGCGAAAUAAAAGAUUAAGGUUAAUAUCCCUUACACAAUAACUUAAAAGUACUAAAUAACAUCACAGAAUAAGUUCUCUAAAAGAAAUAUGAGAAAUGAAAAAAAUAAAGGAAAUUAUGAAGUAUCUAGCAUCUACUCGCCGUCUUCUUGUGGAUCAGGCUCGGGAACUAGGUCCUCCUGAUAUGAAAUGGUUAAAUAAGGAAUGAAGUACACUAACCCAGUAAGAACAUCAUACUAUAUUACCGUCACAGAAGUAAAGGUUGGUAGAAAACCGAAAAUAACCAAUGGAGCAUAAAUUUUAAACCAAUACAGUUAUUUAAAAUAAAAACACUUACCUUUUUUCUUACCAUCGGAGAACCUGUGAAAACAACCUAUAAAGACAAUAACAUCAUACAGAUCACAAUCUCAUGUAUAAUCAGUAACAUAAAAUACAUUAUAAACCCGUAUUCAUUAACAAUAACUGACUAUCACCAUUUCUCAUUUUUCACCAGCUUACUAGUAUCCAUGGGGAUCCAUAGGGGGUCCUCACUACACGUGAACUAUUCCCUUUAAACAAUCUUAAUUCUAGGGUCAUCCCCAUACCCCGUCCGGUAUGAGCACCAAAACAAUAAACCUCAAUACCCCGCCGGUAUGAGGGUGAAGCGGGUCGUCCCUAUACAUUGUCCGGUAUGAGCACCAAAUGACUAAGUCUCCAUACCCCGUCCGGUAUGAGACAACGUUUACGGUAGGGUUCCCUAUGAACCUAGUACGUCCACCAUCUUCCAAGAUAUCUAGUGAGACUGUCAUCUUAUCCAUUUAUCAAAUCACAUCCCAUUCCUAUUUGUCAUUAGUCUCCGUUACCAACUCAAACAUAAAUAUAUAAACAAGUAACGUGAAUUCAACAAAACAAGCAUAUCUUAGAUUCCCAAAAUCAAACAGUAGUGAAGUAAGCAGUGAUUCAUGCAUUUAAAACCAUAGAAUAGAUAAACCAAAUACUAUAAUACAUUUAAAUUGUAAAAUAAAUCAAACAGGAAUCGACAGAGAAUAAUGUUCGAUUUCGGGCUCCAUUAACAACCUUAAUUAAUUAUGCAUAUAUAUUAAUUACACAAAAUACAGUAUUACUAUUUAUUUGAACUUUAAUUCCAUGAUAGGAAAUAGAGUGAGGGGUCCUUACUUGAUUUGACGCCGAAAACUAGAUUUUCAUUGCGCCUAUGGGCGGUUCCUGGGUUCCCUGAAUUUUUUUCAGGAACUGAAACGUGCUUACGAUACCUACACAUGUCCCAAAUAACCUUAAAAUCAGACCCAUGGCCUACUUGGCCAAUUUUGGAAUUCUAUCCGGCGACGGUGAUCUGCUUUGGGUUGGCUGUUUUCGGCCGAAUUCAGCUAAACUUACAUCGGUUCCUAUGAGAAAACACACUUAGGGCUCUCGGUGGGCCAAAAAAAUAUAAAAAAUCGAAACUUACCAGCGGUGGGGCUCUCCGGUGCGGCGGCUCCUCCGGCUCACGUCGCGGUUGAGUGUUUUGCUAUGGUCAACUUGUAGAGGAGGAAACGGUGAAAAAAAUCACAUUGAACGGAAAUCGGAAAUGGCCUCAUCGGAGGUAAAAAUUGAGAGACCAUGCUGCAGCGUCGCUGAGCUUCGACGGCAUUUUUUGACCAACUAGCCGGUCUUUUCGCUCUGAUUUGGCUAUAGGUGGGUUUAGAAUCAAAUUUUGAGCAAAGAGUGGAAUUUUUACCUCGUUUAGUGCCCGAAAAUUGCUCCGGUACCCAAAUUUUCACUCAUUUCCUCCAAAAUUAUUUUCAAUUAAAUUUCUAAAUAAUUUUUACCUAUUUAUUAUUAUUAUUAUUAUUUUCAUUAAAAUAAAUUAAAUUCUAUUAAUACUAAAUUAUAUUUAUAUAGAAUAAAUUAAAUUAAAAUAAAAUAAGAUAAUAUAAUAAUAAUAAAAAUGAAAAGAAAUUUUUGGGUGUUACAACCUGAUUUUACAGUUUUCGAAUGCAUGAUAAUACACUGAAAUUGGUAUAAUGAUUCGAUUGUAUUCAUUUGAUGCAUGUUUUGCUUAUUUUAUAUGAUUACAGUUGAAUUGGAAAACUUAAAAUUAAAGAUAAAUAGAAAAUUAUUUGAUUAAGUGGAUGGAUGAAACGUCAGCUUUACUGGAUAUCCUGGGAGAUGGUGGACGGAUCGGAUACAUAGAAAAUUCUACCGUGAAUGUUACCUCAUACCAGACGGGGUAUCGAGGUUUGAUAAUUUGGUGUUCAUACCAGUUGAGGUAUGAGGACGACCCUUUUCACCCUCAUACUGGAUAGGUGUAUCGAGAUUUGGUAAUUUGGCGCCCAUAUCGGACGAGGUAUGGGGGAUGACCUGUUAAUUGAAAAUGUUAAAGGAAAAAGUUUACGUAUAGUGAGGACAUCCUUAUGGACUCCCAUGAAUACUAGUAGGAUGAUAAAAGAGAAAAUUAUUGUUCCACCAAUUGCAAAUAAAAUUAUGAUAUGUGUUAUAUUAUUGACUUUAUAGAUUGUUUUUGUAAAGCUCGCUACGGUAAGUAGGCGGUAAAUGAUUUUGUUUAAUUAAGAGUUUCAUUAGUUAUUUUUAUGAUUUAUACUAACUUUCAUUUCUGUGUCGGCGAGUAGCGUGAUAUUCUCACUGGGCUAGUAUAGCUCACUCUUUCAUUAACCAUUUCAGAUUAAGAGAACCAUGAUGCAGAGCCCGAUUCACAAGAGGGUUGCGAGUAUGACGUUCAGUUUAUUCAUUUUUAAUUUAUUUUUUUGGUUAUUAAUUGUUCUUUUAGAAUGGUUAUUCCCGUAAGUCCCAUUUGAUACUUUCAUUUAUUGUGUAAGUAAUGUAAACCCUAAUUAUUUAUUUUGCUUACGUACUAAAUUUAUUAUUUUUCUGUUUUAGAAUUCUGGGAUCGUUAUAACUAUAAUAUAUAAAAAAAAAGAUGAGUUUUUACAAUUAAAAAAAAGGGAUAAAAAAAUAGUAAUAUUUGGAAUGCUUAUAAAAUAAUUCAAACUUAAAAUUUGGGAAAAUAUGUGUAUACUCACAUAUUUAUAAACAGCUGAAUUCUAAAGUAAUGAAAAUAUCUUUUUCUUUUUUGGUACAUGUGAAGGAACAUGGUAUCACAUUUAUAAAACAUGAUAAAUGAAGAUACAAAAAUAUCAUAUCUUUAUUCUUCUAAAUAAAAAAAAAGUCAAAAUGACACGACACAUUAUUUGAAUUUAAAAUAAUAAUAAUAAUAAUAAUUAUUCUAUAUUUAUCCAAAACCAAAUAAUGUUCUUUAAGCUUGCUUAAAUUACAUGCACUUAAAUUGAAGCUUUAGGUCCCCCUAAUUAUUGGAGUUUUCAUUUUUAAGAUUCUUUUUUUUUUUUUCUUUUUUCUUGAGGAAAUCAUUUUUAAGAUUCUUACAAAAAUUAGGUCAAAGAGGGUAGCCAAUAACUGAAAAAGCUCAAAGCUACUUUCUACUCCUACCACCUACAAAAUUAUUAUUAUUUCUUAUAAAAAAAAAAACCUAAAAUAAACUAAAUUUAACUAGAAUUAUAUAAUGUUUAAAAGGAAUUUAAUAUAUAUAGAAUUUAAACAAAAUUCUAAAUUAGGUGGCAUUUAUUUUAAUAUACUAGAAAUACCCAUCUUAUUUCAAAUAUAAUUUUAAUUUUGGUUGAGUUGAAAUUCGAGAAUUGAUAUGUAUAUGUAUAUGUAUAUAUAUAUAUAUAUAUGUAUUGGUUUUGAUAUUUUUGUGAUAAAUUUGAUUCAUUGUGGCUAGCUAGGGCGGCACACAAUCUACCUUAGAGGAUUUGGGUUCAAUGCUUUUAUCUUCUCCACCACAAAACAAAUUAAAAAGUUACUUCUUUUGGGAAUCUACAUUUCUCAUACGUUCCCUUUACUUUCUUUUCUUUUCUUUUGGGGUCCACACUAUAUAUUAUAUAUAUAUAUAUAUAUUAUAUUAUAUUAUAUGUAUACGUACUAAGUCUUACUAACAAAAGUAAUUAGAACAGUAAUACAAAUAAAGUGUGAUUGAUAACGAUACCUAGAAAGAAAUGAAAUUAAUUUAUAUUCAUUUGUUUGUUAAUUUACUCUUUUAAAAACUUAUAAUCAAUCAUCGUUUAAUUAAAUAAUUAAUAUAUUUAUUAAAAAAAUGAUAUAUUAUUACAGAUAAAAUAAUACAUCUUUUUUUUUUAUUUUAAUAAAAAGUUAUAAAUUCAAAUCUGAUCGUAUUUUAUUUUUAUUAAUUUUUUUAAAUAAAUUUAUUAAUCUAAAAAACAAAAAUAAAUAAAUAUAUAUAUAUAUAUAUAAAUAGAUUAGAAAAGUCAAAUAGAAAAUUGUAGUUGCUUAUUAUGUAGUGAAUAAAAAUUAAUUUGUAGAUCACCAACUCUAAAUCCCUACACUUUCAACUCAAUAUGUAUAUUUCAGCCUCCAACUUUCUGGAAAUCAUUAAUUCAUCAUUCGUUGUAUAACUUCAAACUAAGAUGCACAAAAAGAUCAUUAGAUUUGUCAAUUUUAAUAUUUUCUAAAAAUGGUAAAUUAGUUUUUCUUUUUCUAUUCCUAAUUUUUUUUUUUAACAUACCCACUAAAGAUAAUUCAAUAAAAAGAAAUUUUAUUAGAUAAAAAAAAAAUUGUAGCAAUUUAGUAAUAUACAUUAAUACAUAAAGCUUUUAUUAUGUAGAUGAAAAGACAUCAUAUUAAAAAAAAAAAAAAAAAUUCAAAAUAAUUCAACACGUGAAUAUCUUAGAAUAUUAAUUUGUUAUUAUAAUAAUUGUUAAUGUGAAGAAGCAAUGGGCCCGGGAAGCUUCUGGAGGCCCGUGAGUGUUUCUAAUAAAAUUACGGAAAUGUCUUUAUAAAUUUAAAAAAAUUUAUCUGUAAUAAAAUAUUUUAACAUUUUAUUUAAAAGUUUUUAAAUUAAAAUUUUAUUAAGCAUGUAAAACUGAUUAUUUUUAACAUAAAUGGCCAACAAGAGUUAAUUCAUAUAUAUAUAUAUAUAUUUGUUUUAAUUACUUUUAAUUCGUGUUAAAGAAAUAUUAUUGUUAUAAUAAAACAUUUUCUGCAGUAAAAAAAAAAUAAAAAAUUCUAGCGAAUAUAUAUAUAUAUGUAUAUAAAAUACUAGGGAAUAAACUAAUUAAAAAUACUCAAGAUUUUUUUAAAAUAAAUAUUAAUGUUGUAGAAAAUGGAAUUUGGGUGAAUCCUUGAAGGUAGUAUCUGCAAUAUGUGUGUAUCUAUCGUCGUUGGGCAUGUUCGUCUAUAUAUAAGUCAACCCCUCUUCGCUCUUGUACCAAAUCAUUUUACUAUAACGACUACUGAAACCUAAAGUCUGACACAUGGAGGAAAUCAAAGAGGGAGAGAUGAACACAGCUCUGGUGUACCUUAUCAUCAUCAUCAUCAUCAUCAUCAUCUUCUCCUCUCUACUGUUAAUCAAAAAGCUUGUUAAAACACACAGAGGCCAUGCAGUAGCCAAGCUUCCUCCAGGCUCAAUGGGAUGGCCUUAUCUUGGAGAAACCCUUCAACUCUACUCUCAGCACCCAAAUCUCUUCUUUACCACCAAACAUAAAAGGUAAACACAUAUCUGUCAUGUAUGUACUAACGUUAAUAUGCGUGCAUGAAAUAUGAAAGGCAUGUGGGUUGGUGUAGGUAUGGGGAGAUUUUCAAGACAAACAUUCUGGGUUACCCUUGUGUGAUGCUGGGUAGUCCAGACGCAGCUCGAUUUGUGUUGGUGACUCAUGCUCACUUGUUCAAGCCAACGUACCCGAAGAGCAAAGAGCGGCUCAUUGGUCCUUCAGCUUUGUUUUUUCACCAGGGACAUUACCAUAUGCGCCUUAGAAAAUUGAUUCAUUCAUCUUUUUCCCUCCACCAUAUCAAAAACUUCGUUCCAACCAUUGAUGCUCUUGCAGUUUCGAUUCUUCAUUCAUGGGAUGCUGCUCCUAUCAUCAACACUUUCCAUGAAAUGAAAAAGGUCCCUCUACUUUUACUAAUAUAAGUAAUAUUUUAUGUUUAUAUGUAUGCAAGUAUUGAUGGGUGACUUGAAUUUUGUUCAGUUCUCUUUUGAAGUAGGGAUAGCAGCAAUUUUUGGACAUUUAGAUAUUGGUUACAGAGAAGAGCUGAAGAAAAAUUAUCGUAUAUUGGAUAAAGGUUACAACUGCUUUCCUACAAAUAUUCCAGGAACUCCCUUCAAAAGGGCAUUAAUGGUAAGUCACAAGCAAUCCCAUUUGAAAUUACUUUUGUCUAUUCUUAAUACUUAAUCCUGUUUUACUACAGGCAAGGAAGAGAUUAAACAAGAUUCUGAGUGAGAUUAUCAAGGAGAGGAAGGAGAAGAGGUUGGUAGAAAAAGAUGUUUUGCGGUGUCUUGUAAACUACAAAGAUGAGAAAGGAGAGGUUUUAAGUGAUGAUCAGAUUGCAGAUAACAUUAUUGGAGUCCUUUUCGCAGCUAAGGACACUACAGCAAGUGUCAUGACAUGGAUUGUCAAGUACCUCCAUGAUAACCCUCAACUUCUAGAAGCUGUUAAGGUAAGAAAUUUUUCUCCUUCACUCAAUUAAUUCAUGCGAGAGGAUUGUGUUAAUUCAUUUUAUGUUCAAAUUAUCUUUUGUAGGCCGAGCAGUUGGCGAUUCGAAGAUUCAAUGACGAACAUAAUGAGCCCUUGAGUUGGUCACAAACUAGGAACAUGCCAAUCACUCACAAGGUAAUUAAAUCAAACAUAACUUGGCAAAAUCUUUACACCCUUACAUCUUGAUAUAAAUGGCUAACACUGGACUUAUUCAGGUUGUAUUGGAGACUUUGAGAAUAGCUAGUAUCAUAUCCUUCACUUUCAGAGAAGCAGUGACUGAUGUAGAAUACAAAGGUAAGAGAGGGAAAUCAACAAUAAAACUUCAUUUUUUAUCCCCAAUUUGUAAAUGUUAAUAAAGAUUGGGUUACAGGGUACUUAAUUCCAAAAGGGUGGAAGGUGAUGCCUAUAUUCAGAAACAUUCAUCAUAAUCCAGAUUUUUUUCCAGACCCUGAAAAAUUUGACCCCUGGAGAUUUGAGGUAUGAGUUAAUCAAUGCUCUUAUUGGUUCUGUGGUUUACUUCUCUGAUAUUUUUCUUUAGAGUGAUGAUGCCCUGUAGAUGUCUCUGUUUCAAACCCAGAAUAAGCUCUUUUCUGGUAUUAAAUGUGGGAUUUUAUGGGUAAUGUAGGUCGCACCAAAACCCUAUACAUUCAUGCCAUUUGGGAGUGGAGUUCAUUCUUGUCCAGGAAAUGAACUUGCCAAGCUGGAGAUGCUUAUAAUAACCCAUCACUUGGUUUCCAACUUCAGGUAUCGCUAAAAAAUACAUGUAAGAAACAUAUGAAGAUGAAUCAAAAUAGUAAAACAAGAUUAUUAAGCAGAGACUACUUACAAGAAACAGAUAUGCUUAAUAAUUUUUUCCUUUUUUCUUGAGAAAUAAAGAGGGGGAAAAUGAGAGAGUAAAUAAGUGGUGGAGGUAGAGAAGAAUUUGAUGAUGAGAGGUAUAAAAACAUGCAAGUGUUGACAAGAAUGUUUUGUUUGUUAUUGCAGGUGGAAACUUAUAGGAUCUGAAGGUGGGAUUCAGUAUGGCCCAUUUCCAGUCCCUCUUCAUGGUCUCCCAGCCAGAUUUUGGAAAGAAUCCACAACUCCAAGCUAAAAGGCAGUUUGGGUCGGCGUGAUAGAUGCCGAGCAUCCCCUUAACAAGUUUAAUCUGCCAUUGAUCACUUACCAUUAUUGUUUUUAUUAGCUUUAUCACUGUCAAUUUCUUAAGUGUAGCCCAUCCCCUUCAAAAAGUUGUGGGGGAUGAUCAGAUGCUGCAUUUUCCACCCUUUCUAAUUUUUCUCCUUCAACCCUUCCCUAUCUCACCUUUGCAACCAGAGGUUCUUGUACUAUUUAAAUAUCAUAUGAUUGAAUAUAUAUAUAUAUAUAUAUAUAUAUAUAUAUGGGAGCAACCCAUAAGAUAAACCAACAUGUCUUCUUUUAUGUGUUGUUGCAAAACAUCAAGGGCAAGCAAAAUGAAAUUGAGUAACAUCUCCUUAUGAAUGUGAGUUAUCAACUGUGAAUCUUUUGUUUAUGCAUGCUAGUCUUUUUGAGCUGAAAGAGUAAAACAUGCCAUGCCAGGAUUGUCCCGAUUCAAAAGGCUGGAUAACUUCAAUCUUUGCUGUCUUUCUCACUGACCCUACAAAGGUGUGGUUAUUAGAGAUAGGUGGCCCUGAAAGCCACCACAUCAGACAUUUUCAGAGGCUAGAUGCACCUGUUUUUGUCUGUACAGUCUUCGGCUGCAUAUUGCAGCCAGAAUUUUUCAAGCUUUUUGCUCGCUAAACACGCGCAUACACGACCACCAAUUUUCCCUGUUUUCUCCUAAAAUAAUCAAAUUAUGUGAAUUAGACACUUUAAAUAACAAAAGAGUUUUAAUGAGUACCAUAGAAGCAACUUGCCAAUCCCAGAAUCCAGUAUUAUCAGCAUACCUACAAUUGUUGAACAGGCCUUGAUGGUUCAUCCAGGCAAAACCAUAAGAAAAUAUUGACACUAAUCAGGACUUAAUCAUUCUCAUCCAGGUCGUGAAGAAGGUUGUACGCAUGAAUUUCUUGUUGGAUUAUACUGCCAAUGUGGUUGACCUCUCAGAUGUACUGUCUCAUAGAUAAGCCAUUCUUCCAAUCAUCUAAGCUACAGCAGCUUUAGGUGAAUCUUAUUGUUAACCUACAAUUGACCAAAUGCAUAUAUGAAAAUUAUACAAAAAAAAGAAAAAAAGAAAAAAAUUGCAUUUAUCAUAGAGCAAAUAGGACAGUAAUAGAGAAUCCUCUAUGUCCACUUACAGACAAUAUAUCUCUUUCAAGUACACCAUAUAUAUCAUAUAAGGAAAUGUAUAUACUAUAGGGCCUGAUCAUAAUGGCAUCUCAUCCGGGUGCCAUUUUUUUUUUAACUUUAAUACAUAAAAAGCUGAUUAAAAACAUGACCAAGUUAGCUUAAAGCAUCUGGAGAUAUGGAGGAUGCAUAUUUAAGAAUUGCUGCCACAAUCUUCUCUUUGUCUCUGGUUGGGAAUGCUUCCAACAGAACUCCAUUUUUGUAGAAGUGGAAGAGGGGCACCGCCUGCAUUAAUUGACCGUCAAUAUUAUUAUUUUUUCAUCUGAUAGAGCAGAAUUCUAGAAAUUUUUUAUUUUUGAAAAAGAAAUGCUGAUUUGUUGGUCAGCUGCAUCUGCCAAAAUCCUCCCAAUUCAAAACAAGAAGUGGCAUAUCGUAACCACAUGUGGACCCAAAAGAAGACAAAUCAUCUUUAUUCUAUUCAUUGUUUCCUCUUCACAGGUUUAAUUGAAAGAAACCUUUAUGACCAGCUGGAAUCUAGCACAUUUUGUGAGGAAUGAAGAUUAUCUUCUAAAAUGAAAACAAAAGUAAGGAAGGUAAGCUAUCUGGAAAGCUCAUAUUACUAUAAAAAUUCCAAGUGAAUGAACAUAUUUGUACCAUUUUAUAAAACCAACCCAAACAAGUUAUCCGUCAAUUUGCAUUUUUUAACAUUCAUUUUUCUAUUGAGUUUUUAAGAUUCAUUUGGCAUUCAUUCAAUUAAAUGGAACAUAAGCUAUUAAUACUAUAGGAAAUUACCUUAAUUCGAAGUCGUUCAGCAACCUCAGACUGUUCAUCAUACUCAUCAAUUACCUGCAAUAGAGACAAGAUCAAUAAGAAUAUCAUGUAGUGAGGACAUGCUCAGGAAUUAGACUGGUAGGAAUUUCUUCAAAGGAAUCUACCACAGCAAACCAUAAAUCACUACCUUUAUAUCUAACCAUUACUGUCCUCCACCAACUUUUUAUGCUUUAGAACCUUUUUCAUCUUUUUACGUUGAUUGCUAUGCAGUAUGGAAGAGUUCAGUUUAUAGAUUAUUAGCACUCACAUUAUGUUUUAGGAAGAUUACGUCAGCUUCUUGAUCACCAGAUCCCUUGCACAAUUUUGAAAAUCCCUGCUCAAUGUAUUUACAACUUCCACAAGAGGUGCGAUAAAAGUCCACUACAACCAAAGAAUCAGUUACUUUGGCCUUUUCGAGAAUUCUAAGGAAUUCUUCAUCUGUCUUAAAUUCUUUAACGCAAUCUACAGGACAUAGAUCAUCAUCUUCAUCAGCUAAUUCCUCUUGCUCUUGGUAUUCCUCAGCUACUCCUUUGAUUUUUGCAUGUCGAAAUAAAUGGCUAAAUUUUAAAAUUCCAAAACCCGCAGUUUGACUGAUAGAUGGAAUUUUGGCCCUCAUAGAACAACAAUUGACCUGAUCUCUGCUGGGAUGCCAGCUGGGAACCAUAUAAGUUUCCCUAAAAUUAAGUUGUCCACAAAUUUUCCUCUCAAAAUUGAAAGAGGCCUUACUAUAAAGAAUAUUCUCCUUAGGCAUGAUAAUGUACAGCAAAAUCACCAGAGAAAUCUAUAUACCAUGAAAAUGAAAGGAUUUAUAAAAUAAAAUUCGGGUUUCCCACUUCCUUUCUUAUUGUUUCAUUCUAUCAUCGGAUUGUGAUAGACAACACUUUUGUGAUAAACAUACUCAUUAUAUAUCACUCGCUGUUAAAAUGAAAAACAAUAUAAUUAGAAUCUUCCCCUAACAGAAUAUAAAAAAAUCUAUAUCUUCUCCCAAUGAGAAAACAGUAUAACAGCUGUAUGUAAGCACUAAAAGAUUAAUCUACUAUACAGCAUCAAAAAAGUAGAAAUUACAGACUAAAAGUUAGAAGCCAUAGAUAUAUUAUAGUGCUUUCCGUCGGUUAACUGACCCAAAAGUAAAUUCUGCAUUUUUUAGGAGCAUCUUUCAGAAAUAGACAACAGUACCCAACUUUCAUUACUAUCACCAGAGUAACACCACAAAUUAGCAAGAAUGAACACUCUAUCAUCUUAGCCCAGUAAAACAGAAGAAACAGGAGAUGUUUUACUUCGAACAUGUCUACUCCAUGGUAAAACAGAUAAGUACCACCAGAAAAGCCACACUAGCAGAUAUGGGCAGAGAACGUGCAUAUAGAAGAAAAAAGGAAAACCGAGGAAGACUAUAAACUAAACUUAAGUAGCCAAUUGCACUUUAAAAAAUUCUAACAAGGUAGGCUUAUAAGUCACUAUUCCACACUCUUGAAAACAAUAACCUUGCCAGCCAGUUGACAAUCAAUCAACCCAACAAAGUUACAGAAACAUACAAAAGAGUUUUAAAUUACAAUCUAACCGAUCACAAAAACCCAGAACGAAAAUGGAUUGAAUAGAGGCAGAGAAUGAUAAAUUUCUUCUCAGCCAACCAAGUAAUUAAUAAGCUGUUACCUUUAGAACUGAGACAAAGGUUUCUGGCAGAAAAAGCUUCGAGCAAGAAACGGACACGCCAUAUCCAUAUCCGCUCUGCUGUCCAUUCCCUAUCCGGAGGAACAUGCCUAUAGUUCUUCCCUUUUUUUUUUGCCCCCUGCAAUGGGCCAAGUUUGUUGUUGGAUCGGGCUCAGUUUGUCCGUAAAAGUGCUUAAUGUUUUUUUUUUAACAAAAAAAACACCCAGUAAACACUAUUCAAAAAUAAAUCCAGUUUACAAAGCGAAAAAGAAUGAACAAAAAUUCUCUUCAAUGCAUGUCUUGUGCAAUUAGAUAUACUUAAACUUUGUAUUAUACAGUUUCUAAUCUAUGGAUUAGGGUCAUAUACUCUUAUGAUUUCAAUUAAUCAAGUAAGCAUUCCACAAUAAUGAAUUUUGUAAAAUUAAAUUAGCUACAAGAACAUUUUAGAAUAAUUAAUAAUUAGUUUUGUAAAUUAAAUUGGUUAUCUAAUUAUCAAAAUAUACUUUUUAUUAUUUUUAUAAAAUAAUUGAUAAGAUAAGAGUAUAUAAUAAUGUGUAAGAUCUAAUUUUCUUUGUUUAAUUUAAUAAAUUAAAAUUACUUUUGUACCAUAUAUUGUAACAAAUAAGUUAUUUAUAUUUUUUAAUUUAAGAUAAAUUAUCAAAUUAUUUCUAAAAUUUGGUAGUUGUUACAAUUUAGUUUAUAAUAUAUAUUUUUUCAAAAAAAUUAUGGUUUUUAAAAUUUUUUAUUUAUUUUAAAUACUUAAUUUUUUUAAUAACAAAUAUAAAAUAAUUAAAUUAUAUUUGGAUAUUUUAAUGAUAAUAUUAAAUAUAUUGUUUAUCAUUAUAAUUUUUUAAUAAUUUUUAAAUAUAAUGCAAGUAUUUUAAUUUUUUUUUCCUUAAAAAAUAAAAGAAAUUAAAAUUUUGGAAUAAAUAAAAAAAUAUUACUGGUAAAGUAUUAAAAAUUAAAUUACAAUAAAUGCUAAAUUUUAGAAAAUAAUGUAAUAAUUUUUCUAUUAAUUUAACAGCAAAUUCUAACACUUGUCCUGGCGGGGGUUAUUGAGAUGCGUGCUCACACUCUCACUUUAUCUGAUCUCUGACUAUCGGGAGAAUUAAUUUCGUCACCUCCCCGCCCGCCCCAUCCUCUUUCUCUCGCUCUCACGUCAUCAAUCAAGGCUCUGGAUGCAGUAUAACAAUCCUAAUCCACACAACUCCGAUUGUUCUCCGACCCAAUUUCCAACAACCAAAUGGCUACUCAGCUCAAGUCCGAUGCGUUGUUGGAGCAGAUGAAGCAGCAUCUCACCACUGAUGCUGGCAAACAACUCACCAAGAAGAUCGGCCUCGUCUACCAGAUCAAUAUCGCCCCUAAGGUCUUCUCUUCUCUUCUCCUCUCCGCUAAUAUCUUCCUAUAUAUAUACACACGCGCGCGCACCUUUGCAUUUGAAUAUAUGUUGUUUUGGUUUCAUAAUCUGAUAGUACAACGUCUGGAUUUAAUGCAGAAAAUUGGAUUCGAUGAGGUUGUAUAUAUUGUCGAUCUCAAGAAGGGAGAGGUCACUAAAGGUUAGGGCUCUCUUUUUUUUUUUUUAAAAAAAAAGUUUUUCCUUGAAAUUCGGAUUGCAAUUUUAUUGAUCUCUACAUAUCAAGAUUGCAAUUUCAUCUGUACUCUUGCGCCUCUGCCUUGAUCAUGCUGUUUGUUUCCUUAUGGUAACUCAUAUAGUCUUAAUUUUCCUCUAAUUACACAAUUUUUGUUUGAUUCAAUCCAUAGAUAUGCACAAACUGUUAAGACCAGAUACUUUGCUUGUGUGGUUUUGUGCUUGUUGCUUGUACAAUUACACGGAGUAAAAAAAGGGCACAAAAAGAACUUGUUCAGUUGAUUUAGACGUUUAUAUCCCUAUUUUGUUUUGAAAUUUAGGGCCGUAUGAAGGAGGGAAGCCCGAUGCCACGUUUUCCUUCAAGGAUGAUGAUUUUCUCAAGGUUGCCACUGGGAAGAUGAAUCCCCAAAUUGCUUUCAUGAGGUGCAAACAUUUAUUUAUUUUCCUUUCUUACCCCAGUAUUGCUUUGGGAUUUGUUAACUUUGUUUGACACUAAUGUGAUCUUAUGGGGUAUGGGGUGAAUGUAGGGGCGCAAUGAAGAUCAAGGGAAGCCUGAGCGCAGCCCAGAAAUUCACACCUGACAUUUUCCCAAAGCCUUCAAAGAUGUAAGAGGAUGUGCCACUGGUUUCUCUACAUUUGGGUUCUUGUCAUAGAAAUGGUAAUGUUAGGUGAAUCCUUUGCUCUGUACCAUAGAAAUAGAAAUGGAGCUUGUCCAUGGUAAUUUCUUCUUGAUAGACAAAAUUUAUUAUCAUCAUCAUCAUCAGAUAAGUAGGUGAUACCCACAUUUGAGGCUUUUAUUGCAUAAAGUGGGUAAAUGUUGCAGUUUCCUCUUUGUUCAUUAAUUUCGACAAAUAAUUUGUUGAAUCAUGAAUGAUAUAAUAUUGACAUGGAGUUACAGAUGAGUUGCUUACCGGUUAAUGUUUUGUGGGGUUUCAUUAUUAUGAGAAAUUCUCCAUGGGAUUAAGCACCUAUUUUGCACUUUUUUGGUAAUUACCAUAUGCUUUCUUCAAAUAAUAUGUUGGUGCAGUAUGUGCUAGUGUCAUGUACUUUCAUCUUGCCUGGUUUGCAUCUUAGCACUUCUCUUGAGGUCUUGGGUUGCUAAAGCUCGAAGCCAUCCAUCUGUCUUCUCAGUUGUAGUUUCAGAUUCAGUAGUAAUCUAAGACUGUGAGGUUCUCAAACACUAUCACGAGCUAUCCUCUCUUUACCGCUGAUUUUGUUAAGAAAGGUUUUGAAAUCUGUUUUCUGGUGAUUCUAAAUUAACAAUAAGCAGAGAUCAAAUGCUGGUUUUGUAUCAACUCAGCCUAGUAUUUUCCUUGGUUUGAAACUUGUGCUAUCCCAGAAUAUACUGUGAAAUCUGGGAGUAGAUGUUGAUUGUUUAGGCUACUGGUAAAGACUGUUAGAUUAGAUGAGCUGCUGCGCUUUGAGGAUGUAGGAACCCCUCUUCUGCAUUGUUACGUAUGAGAUAAACAAGUUGUCAAUUGCUGGAGUGUUACUCAGAAUGUUAUUUAGGAACGUAUACUCAAAAUUUUAACUGUGGUUGGAUAAAUAUUCAAGUGGUACGAUAUGAAAAUUCAACUUCAAAUAAAUAAAUCUAUUGCAAGAAGAACUAAAACAAUGCAUUAAGUGGAAUUCAAAACAUAUUGUUGAACUUUCACACAAUUAUCAUGGUAGGAAUAAUAAUAUGAAUAUUAAUAAACAGCAGCGUUACCGUGCUGUCAAUGAAUUUUAUACCAAAUAGAGUUCAAACCACUUUGUUAAGAUGAUUUAGGACAGGAAGAAAUUUAGUUGAUAAUUUUUUCUUUUUCAAAAAAGUUAUUGUAAGGGAAAUAGAGAUGACGUAUAAAACAUACUAAACAUACAUAUAUACAUAUGUAAGUAUAGGUUUUAUUAUCCUUACAAUUAGCCUUUCUACAAUAAUGCAAACUUAUCUCAACACCUAAUUCUUGUUUCCCUAAAUUUCCUUUAAAAAAAAAUAAAGGAAAAUUCUUGUUUCCCCAAAUAAAGGGACAUGAAACGCACCGCAUAAGGGCUCUCCAGGUCUUGAAAGUAUUCUUAUCGGGUGAUGGUGUUUGUAUAAACAGUAACAAAGCUCUAACGAAGAAAAUAUUAAAAUAAUAGAAUAAAAAAAAUUAAAGAAUUUUCUAAUCCGUAAUAAAUAUUAAAAUCUAUACAUAUAACUUUAUGCACUACCUGAUAAUAUGUACAAUGUGUACAAAUGUAAACAUUUUCCAAUCAAAGUCAACAAUUAGUAUAUUUUCCGGGAUAACACAAUUUUUUUUUUUUUUUUUUUUUUCCAUUCAUCCAUGAAUAUAAUUCCUUGAGGUAUUUUACUUCAUCGUCCUCUAAUAUUUUUUUUCUAUAAAUGGUUUUUUUUUUUGUCUGCCCUUCAUCUUCCUCCUCACAAACAAGUAUCAAAGCAUUUCAAGUUGCCGAGGCCUGUAAAACCCAACAACAAUGACUCCUCUCCUCUCUCUCUCUCUCUUCCUUGUCGCUUUCCCUGCUUUCACUUCUCCUACCUUGUUAUUUCAGGUAUACCCUUCUCUGACAUUAACCAAAAUUAUACAUAUAUAUAUAUAUAUAUCAUAGAUGCUUGGACUGCAUAGUUUUACCAAUGAAAGAAUUUAUAUGUUGUAGGGAUUCAAUUGGGAAUCAUGGAAAAAACCAGGAGGAUGGUACAACUCACUCAAGAACUCUAUCCCUGAUAUUGCUAAUGCUGGAAUCACUCAUGUCUGGCUUCCUCCUCCAUCUCACUCUGUUUCACCCCAAGGUCUUUUCUUACUUUCUUACUCAGUAAUUAUGUCUGAUAUUUCUCAUCGCAAACAUGAAUAUCUUACGUUACAUUACAGUAAAGGAUGAAUAUAAGAUUACUGUUGUUUCAGGGUACAUGCCUGGAAGAUUAUACGAUUUGAGUGCAUCAAAAUAUGGAUCUCCGGAAGAGUUGAGGUCUCUGAUACAAUCUUUCCAUGAGAAAGGAAUAAAGUGCUUAGCCGACAUCGUAAUCAACCAUAGAACAGCAGAAAAGCGAGAUGGUAGAGGAAUAUACAGCAUUUUUGAAGGUGGAACGUCCGAUGAUCGUCUGGACUGGGGACCAUCUUUCAUUUGCCGGAACGAUGAAUAUUCCGAUGGUACGGGUAAUCCCGACACCGGAGAAGAUUUCCCGCCAGCUCCCGACAUUGAUCAUCUAAAUCUCAGAGUACAAAACGAGUUAUCAGACUGGAUGAACUGGUUGAAAACUGAAUUGGGAUAUGAUGGAUGGAGAUUUGAUUUCGUAAAAGGUUAUACUCCGAGUAUUACCAAACUUUACAUGGAGAGAACUUCACCGGGCUUCGCAGUGGGAGAGAAAUGGGAUUCUCUCUCGUACGGAGAGGAUGGAAAACCCAACGUCAAUCAGGAUAGUCAUCGGGGAAGAUUAAAAGAUUGGGUUGAGGUUGCGGGUGGAGUGGUAACGGCAUUUGAUUUUACAACAAAAGGGAUUCUGCAAGAAGCUGUGAAAGAUGAGCUAUGGCGAUUGAAGGAUUCAAAUGGAAACCCACCAGGACUGAUUGGUAUCUUACCAGAAAGAGCAGUGACUUUCAUCGACAAUCAUGAUACAGGAUCAACUCAGAACCAUUGGCCAUUCCCAUCUGAUAAAAUCAUGCAAGGAUACGCUUAUAUCCUAACCCAUCCGGGCAUCCCAUCCAUUGUAAAAUUAAUCUCGUUUCCAUUUUCAUUUCUUGGAUUUGAUGUUCUGUUUGGCUUUUUCUUUUGGGAAUAAACUGCUAAUUAGGGUUUUAUCUAUACAGUUCUACGAUCACUUCAUUGAUUGGAAUCUGAAGGAUGAGAUAACAAAAUUGGCAGAUAUCAGGAAUCGGAACGUGAUCGGCGCCGGAAGCAGAGUAAAUAUUUUAGCUUCAGAGAGUGGGUUGUACGUAGCAGCCAUUGAUGACAAGAUCAUUAUGAAGAUUGGACCAAAAAUGGACCUGGGAAACCUCAUUCCUUCAGAUUUCCUCCUUGCUACCUCCGGACAAGACUAUGCCGUUUGGGAGAAAUGAAAACAAACAAUCAGAUCUUCUGCAUGUACUACAUGAAUAAGUAAUUACAUUAAUUAUAUAUUUUAAUUAAGAAGAAAAUAUAAUCAAUGAAGAUAUAGUUUAUAAAAUGGUUAUUAAGGAUGAGACUUACGAUUUUCUUGUUGUGGUGGGUGGGAGAUUUGGAUGCAUUUGUUAAGAUUGUAAGGUGGUAAAGCUCGACUGUUUUUUUUUUUUUAAAAUUGACCCAUUGACUUAUUGACUUGGGAAUGUCGUUGCCCUUUCCUUCUCCUUUUUGUUCUUUACAAUGACAAAGCUUGACUCUAAAUAUAUACACACACACAUGCAGAUAUAUAUAUAUAUAUAUAUAUAUAAACCUGUAUAUAAAGAUAUAACUAUUGGUGUUGAUGUUACCAUAUCAAAUUACAUCAUAAAAAAAUGUUAAUUAGGAAUUAAGUUCAUUACCUAUAUUUAAAUUAAUUAUUUCUAGAACUAAUUUAAUAUAUGCAUAUAAUGUGUUCCAAAAUUAAUUUAAUACAUACAUGUAAACUAAUUUUUUUUUAAAAAAGUAAUUUAAGACAUUCAUAUAUGGGUACGAAAUUAAGUUAAGAGUCAACAUGAGUUAUAAAACCGUUAAUGUUGUUGAAAUUUUUUCACAAAUGCAAUAAAUAUCUAAAAUUUAGUCAAACAACUGAUAAGUUUUUGUAAAAGCAGUUUCAAAUAAGGUGAUUAUUCAUAUAUAUAUAUAUAUAUUAUAAAGAGUUCAGAUAUAUCCUAAAAAAACGCCAUAAUAUUUAUAAUAUCCAUAUCAGUAAACAACUAAAAAACCACUAAAUCAAUAAAAUGAUUGAAAAUUUAUUUUUAAAUAUUAAAAAAAAAAGAUAAUUAUAAAACAUGACUAAAAACUAUAUGGUUGGCAAAAAGUCUAACAAUUAAAAUCUGAUUAAGUCGCUUUUGCAACUUCCCCUCGAUGAGAUACAGAGAUCAUUAAAUUUGUAACGAAUUCCAACGAAAUGCAAAUUGAGUAUGAAGUACAGGUAUACACGUUAAUUGAUGAAAAAUUCCACUAGCAUGUUUCUAUGCUGAAAUUGGAUAUACACAAGAAAAUUUUGGUAAUGUAACUCUCCUUUUUGCUGCUUCAACAGGACCUUUAUGAAUGAAAAUUACCUACCAGGAAAAUGGUAUGUAGAAUUAAUUGAACAUCUUAACUUUUGGCUUUCCAGUAGCUCUUAUGCGUUAAUUUUCUUGGGGGAAAACAAACCAAUAACAGCCAAGAGUAUCUCAACCCUUUGAAUUGAUCGUCGUCUUAUUUGUGUCUUUAUGCAGCAAUCUUGUCUCCAUGUUAGUCUUAUCUGACGGCUUCUUCGUCAGGAUAUAUGGACAUAUGUGCAGAUAAAAUACCAAACACUUCCUCUCUCAAUAUGUAGCAAACAAAUUGAAACUCAACUUUGUCGGGUUUGUUCAUCCUCCAAAGUAGUUUCUUGCAGAUCCAUCCGACCUGAAUCAGAAAAAAGAAGCAUAUUACUUUAAGCAGUUUCGUAUCACUUACUAGAUAAGACCAGAGAGUAAAUCUAAUCUCCAGCUUAUUGAAAAAGGAAAAAGAAAUUUUGGCUAAAUCAAACUCUCUCUUCACCAGUAAUUGGAAUAAUAAACUGGUUCAUGCAAUCAAAGGAAGAAUUUCUAGAAUUAAAUACACUUAAGAGGAGCCUUUCAACAAAAUUAAACAACCCUUGACCAUUAAAUAAUUUUGACUCAUUCAAAAUGGUAAUUUUACAUGUAUGAAUCAGUCCUAAAACAAAAUGGUUGUUUAUCUUUUUUUGCCUAAUUUCUCUGCUUGAGCUAAAAGGUUUUGUAAGUCAGUAUGGUAAACAAAAGGGAAAGAAGCAAGACUCAUAAAAAUCUGUAACACCACCAAAUGGCACUUGAGGCAACAAUGUUAAACAUACCUAACAAGGUAAUCAAGGAUGGAGGUCUUGAUGACUCAUUUGAUCUUGUGUCUGUACCUGCAAUCAUUCACACAGUAAGAAGAUAACAGACAGUAACUACUUGUCUAUGAUGCUAAUAUAAGAAUAUGUUAAGUGAGAUUAUGGUCGGAAAUCUAUCAACUAGAAAGGCAGAAUACCUGAAUUUUCAAGGGACUUCAGGAUGUCUGAUUUCUUAAAAGUAUAUCCGAUGAAAUUGGUGUCUUUUGAAGUCAACAUCUGCGUCAAAACAGCAAAAUAUAUGGAAAACAAAAUUUAAUAAAAGAAGACUCAAUAGGGUCGCUACAAAUAGAUAAAAUCUAAACAAGAAAGCAGAUAUUAAUUGAAGAACAUUAUAGCAACAAAAAAAAAAGUUUCAACAUCUUGGGAAAAGAAAGACUUCUUUUGGCAGAAAUCAUUCCCGGAAGCAAACAUAUUCCUGACAAGAUUGAAGAAACCAUAGACAUACAAAGUACGCACACAAAUGCAACCUUCUAUACAGGCAUAUAUUACCUUUCUCCACGGUCCUACUUGCUGUGAAGUAGAUGGCGGGCCUUCUACCUACAAACAUGUAAAGGCUUUGUGAGAGACAGUAAUAAAAAGGAAAGAUACCCAACAAGCAUUUAAGAAGAUUAAGAAAAACUAGAAUGCAUUUUAAUAGAGUAUUCAAACAAUCUGCUUUGCACUUUAGCUCUUUAAACAAUAUGAAAGUAUCUAUAAAUGAGAAUAAUUUGUUGUCUGAUAAACAGAGAAACCUUAACUCAGGGAAGUAAGUUUCAAUAGAAUCGAGCACCCAGACAAGAGCCCUAAAGCUUAAGCAAGGAUUUGUGAAAUUGAAAGAGCUUCAAACACGCAGAAGUUUCAUGUAUUAAUAUCUUAAAAAUUUCAUCUCUAAAGCCUAUAGUUCUGAUCUGCUUACUUACAUCAGGAAACUUCUCAAAAUUCUGAGUAUCCAACUCUCCAUUUACUGUAGGUUUAUAUGCAGCUUCCAUUUCAUACAGUUUCUCCCAGUGAAUGCAUCUUAACCAUGGAUGAUCCUGAAAAACAGUUUAACAAAUUUUAAAAAGAUAUUAAACUCCCAACUUUAGAAAUAGAAAAAAAAAAAAAAACAUUGCUGAGGAAUAAUAAAAUUUCUUACAUUGCGUAAGUUUAAACCCAAAUAAUUUGUAAUUAAAGAUGAACAAAGCGGAGCUAAGCAUAUCUUAAUUCUUUCUUGAGAAGCUGUCACCUUUAGCUCUUCUACUCCUCUGGUCCCCAGCCUUUUCUCGACAUUGCAGAGCAAGUGACAAAUCAAGUCCCUAGCCUCAGGUGAUAUUUUUGGUUCGUCGGGAAAUUUAAGGCAUGUUCUCCAAUUGAUUAUCUGAUAUAGGAAAGGAAUAUUAAAAAUUAGGAAACAUCAAGGUUUCCAGUGAAAUAAUCAAGAAGCAAACAAGGGUAACCACCUUACGGCAUGUGACUCGUGGAUCAUCAGAACAAAAAGGAGGAUAGCCUAUGAGCAUCUCGUACAUGAUUGCCCCCAAAGACCACCAAUCACACUCCAUUCCAUAACCCUUCUUCAGCAAGACUUCAGGGGCCAUAUAAUCAAGAGUCCCAACAGUUGAAUAAGCCUGAAGAAAUAGAUGAGCUAGUGACUAAGAAGAGCAUAGAUGACUAUUCACGACGUGCAAAUAAUGGAAACCCUAGAAUUUGAUACGAGCUUCUCCACAAAGAGUAACCAGAAACUUGAUUUGAUAUGAACAUAGGGUCCUGAAGAUAGAAUACCAGUGCACGGCGAUUGCGCUUCCACUGCUGUAAUUCCUCUUUGGGCAUCAUCCAAGGUGAUCUAAGUGAACCUGGCUGUCCUUCAGUUUCAUUUGUAGAAUCCUGGGAGGUAAUAUCCUCGUCCUCCAAUAAAAUUGUUGAAUAUUUAUCCUCCAGGGGCUUACACAGGCCAAAAUCUGAAAGUUUCAAGUGGCCAUUUCUAUUUAAUAUCAGGUUAUCUGGUUUAAUAUCCCUACACAAGGAAAAGAACCUCAGGUUAGAAGUAUGGAGAAAUAAAAUAUGCUAUUCUAUCUUCAACAGUUGGAUUGAUAGCCAUAGAUUAAGAGCUUUUAUCACUCAAUCAUUGCUCAUUAGGAUCCCAUGUUCACAAAUAGAAUAUCCUAUUUUGGCCCGAACUAACAGAUUUACGCAGGUGCACAAAAACAAUAUACUAUUUAAGCAUUUUUAUCACUUAGAAGAAGCCAUGCCUAGCCAUUCCUUAUAAUACAUUUCCUUCUUUUGCACUAGAUCGGACAAAACCAUAUUACGGUUUUAGUGGUUGACAGAAAGAAAGCAUAUUACUCCUUUUCAUUCUCGAUAGUAUGACACCAAAUUGGUUGCCCAAAUUACCUUGGCUUGAGCACAACAGAGAAUCCCAAAAUUCAAACAUUCAACAGGUACACUAAGCACCUUAGAUACCCGAAACUUCCCUCUCAAGCUGAAAGGCUAUGUCUCUUCCCUUAACUGAUGCCCCUUCUCCUCUAUAAACAGUACAUAUGAUAUUAGUUUUAGAUAACUGUCAUACCUAUGGAUAUAGUUGUGUUGAUGAAUUGACUGAAUAGCGAGAAUGCUCUCAGCUAUGUAAAAACGCGCAACAUCUUCAGAAAGAACAUCUUCUCGCAUCAGUAAUGUCAUAAUAUCACCACCAGGUAAAUACUCCAUGAUGAGGUACAAGAAGUCAGAGUCUUGAAAAGAAUAGAAAAGUUUCACAAUGUAACGACUAUCCACCUCCGCAAGUAAGUUCCUCUCAGAGCGGACAUGCUCAACCUUAAAUGAAGAAACAAUGAGAAUAUCAUUAUCAAUUAUUUUAUGUCACAAUCCACAAAAUAUGUGCAAAAAGCAGAUUUUUGGAGUAAGAUAGAUUUUUAUUCAAAUACGAAUAAGGUUGAAUACAAUUUUGCCGUCAACACUACAGUUAUUCCAAGUAGGACAUAAUCAAGGCUUUCAUAUGCAGAAUUUUAAGCAUUUGUCAACUUCUGAUUUAUCCAUCCAUGUUCCUACAGUAACCAAGUUCUCAGUCCAAUCUCUUCUUAACAUUCUCUUCUGCAAAGUUGAUUAUUUGAUGCUAAAUAAACUUUUACUUUCUUACUGAUAAAAAAGCACAGGUUCUUUAGGAAAAAGGCUCUCCAGUACUAGACUAACGAGGCACAUCCUUUGGAAGAUAAAAACCUCUUUAACAAUCUUAAAAUUAAUUAGUACAUUAAAUAUAAUAAAUUUAGACUACUGAUUUGUCCAAGUGGGUCAGGAGAUAUUCAAUCCACUUCUACAACAGUUGUUAUAAUGUCUCUUGACUACCAUCAACUAUCAGCAAAUAAAGCCGUUAUGUAUGUGGAAAGGCCCAAUCUCAUAAAAUCCCAAAUUUUCUGGUGAAGCUAUCAAUAGCAUUUUUGAGGUCACUUCCACAGUACAGUACAGCCUAUUCUCAGGUUUUCCCUUAUACUUGCUAUGUAUGUGUUUAUUCUCCAAAACAGUUUUAUGGUUACUUUCUGAAAUUAAAGUGUAUUAGAACUAGAUUUUGGCCAUGGGAGGAAAACACGUGAUACUCUUGUGAUUCUUCUAUGAUGAAUUCUGAUUCAUGCCCGUCCAGUAGGUUGCAUUGAUUGAAUCACAUAAAUCUAUUUUGUUGAUUUAGUUUUAUAUAUUGGUUUGCUUGUUUGUUUUUCAAUAUCACAUAACAGUAGAAUUGAUGUAUAGAAUAAUGGAGAUACAGUUUGAAAGUAGAUAGCUCAUCUGCUAAUGACUGAUUCACCUGUCCACGACUAAGCAUUUCUGACUUCUUCAAUUUCUUCAUAGCAAAAAUCUCUCCUGUACUUUUGGCACGACAUAGUCUCACCUAUUUUCAGAAAGGAGCAUAGUGAUGAGCACCAAAUCACCAACAAACAUAAAUAUUUUUCAGGCACAGGUACAAAAAUGGGGAAACGAACAUAAAUCUUCUCCAGGCACAGGUACAAUAAUGGAAAUAUAAACCAUCAGAAGCAUAAAAGACUUCCACUAUCAUAUUAAGUUCAUGUCAUUGUAACUAACGGACAAGCUCAACUAGGACAGAUGAAUCCAAUCAACUAAUGAACAAAAAUUUCAAUAAGAUGCCAAGGGUACCAGAAGUUGAUAUGCUGGACAUCAUCUACGGAAAGAGAAAUGUCAACAGAAAAUUGACAGAAAUCCAUGCGUACCACAACAUUUUUCUUACAUAUUUCAUCAAUAAAAUCUAGAAUCUUGCUUUUUUUUUUUUUAUCUGCGAGAAUCAAUCUUGCUAAACAUGCAACAAUUAUAUCAAGAGUAAUGGUACUGAAUUAAGGUGUGAAAAUGCAAUAUAAGUUUUUUUUAUAUACCUCGCCAAAUGCACCUUUUCCAAUCACAGUCAAUUGCUCGAAGUCAUCAAUCCCAACUUUACGUCUUUGCAGUCUCAUAUACUCUGUCUCUCUACGUUCUAAAUUCCUCAUCAUCUCUUCUUGUUCCUCAUUCGAUACCUGAGCUUCUUGCGCUUUCCUCUGAAGUGUACGCCGUCUGAAAUAUAAGAAGGAACCAUGUCCGAUAAGGUUGUAAACAGGGGAAAAGGACGCAAUUAAGUUCACCUCUCUGUUCUCGUUUCUAAUUAGUGUUAACACACAGGUCAAAGACCAAUAUCGAAGAAAAAUGGAGCAAACAAAAGGCAAACAAAAUAAAAGUCAAUAAUAAUACUCAAUACAUCUAUCCAAAUCAAUAUAUAUUAGUAUAAUAUAUAAAAGAAACCCAAUCGGAAAACUAGAAAACUGAAAUAGACAAAUCUUAAACACGGAGAAAUAUAAACAAUAGCAUGACUGAAGUUGACCUUAAAUUGAACUCAUAAGAUACUGAUUAUACAUACUCAAGAAAAAAAAAAAAAGUGAGUGUACAGUUAACACGACGCCAAGUUUUCAAAGGAACGCCAGAAUUCAACAGAAAUGAGUUCGAGUGGGAGCGGAAAUCAAAGAGCAUAAAGAGUUACGCAAAAUUGCACCUCUCCAUUCGAUCUUGCAAUCCUUGUAAAUGGUUUUUGUAGUGAUUCUCAAUGAACUGCUUGGCGGCGGCAGCUUUCUGUCUGGUGACCGGCGAAGAAACAGAGACAUCAGGAUCCAAAUCGAGACCCCGACCUGGCUUCAUGUUCAAAGCCCCUAACCUCACCGUACCAUCAGCACCGUCCAUUUUGUACCCUCCGAGAAAAAGAACGAGAUUAAUUCUGAAGCUAGAGAACAGUAAGGAACAGUCGAUCAAGUAAACAUAUGUAUAGAAGGAUGAAAUGGAAGCUUUGGCGUCACGGUUUCCGAGAUAGAGAUCUGGGAGCUGCCAGUAUGUUUGGGAAAAUGACAGAGAAAAUGAACGUAGGCGUUUUUUAGAGAAAAAUGAACUGGCAACCAUGUAGCGGUGACUCACUGGGUAAUAUAUCCAUAUAUAUAUAUAUAUAUAUGUAUGCAGGACUUGCAAGGAGGUCUUUUGAAUGAGGUAGUUAUAUUUAUCUUUUUUUAAAAAAAAAAAAAAAGAAAAAAGAAAAACAUAUUACUGGGAAUUGAGUGUUAUCGACGGUAUCGUUUGAAUAUAUUUAUUUUUAAUUAUUUUAUAAAUACUUUAAAAUUUAAGCCCUGAAUAUAUAUAUAUAUAUUAUUUUUCUGAGGUGUAUAUUAAACAGUAAUUAAUUACAUUUACCCCCUUAAAUUUGUUAUUUUUAAUUUUUUUUAAAAAUGAAAAAUAGGAAGUCAUUUCCGUCGGCGGAGAUCUAUAGAGGUAAGAAAGUAGGUGGCUUCUGUGAAUAAAUAUCUAAUGAGCUGUCAUUGAUAUUAAUAACAUAAUUAUUAUAUUAAUUUAAUAAUGUUUAUGAAAUAUCCAAAUUACCCUCCAACUUCUUCUUAACAAGAAUUUUGUUUUUGUAGACCCCUUUUGGUUACAAAAAGCAAAAUGUUGUUAGGGAAAUCAGAAUUGAUUUAGCAAGAGAAAGUACAAUUUGUGAAGCCAAAUUUAGUCUUAUAACUAAAGAGUAAAAAGAUCAAAUUAAAUGAAAUGAUUAUAAUAAUGUUUUGUGAGCUAAUGCAAGAUAAAAUAAAAUAAUUAAUAAUUUGCAUAUUUUUGUUUUUUAAUAGCUACCAAAGAAAAUUCUAUCAACAUGUGACAUAGAGAUGAUGCAAGAUAUUAUAAGAAAAUAUCUUUUUGUGGGAAAUAUUAUAUUUUUUUUUGUGUGUAAUAUUUCCACAAAUUGAUAAGUUAAAUGGAAGUGUAAAACAUUUAUUACAUUUAAAAAUAAGAAUCACAUGUGUCAGAUGUAAUACAAGUUAAAAAUAUUGACCAAUCAAAUGAAGACGUCUUAAAAUGAAAUGAAUGAUACAUGUAACUAACUCAGUACCUAAUAAUAUCAAAGAUAACUAACUUUAUUGAAAAUAAUUAAACGUACCCUAAAUACUAAGAUUAAAGCUUAUAUUGUGUUACAAUUUUUAUGUUAUAUCAUAAUUAUAGCAACACCAUAAUACAUAUUAACAUAAUAUAUUACAAGGCAUACUACAUUUAAGUAGCCAAGAUAAGAGUUUGGGAGGAUUUUAAAUAAUCUCUAUUUUUUUAUGAUCAAUUCAAAAACUCUCAUUUGCUCUUUAAACUUAUUAAGUCAUUUAUUUUAUUGACUUCAGUAUUAAAUAAUGCUUCUAAAACAAAAUUCGAAAUUCGUAAUUUGUUUAUUUUCUAUGUCAAAGUGCAUAAUCUACAUUAUCAUUUUAUCUAUUAACUACCGCUUCUAUUUGCUAACCUCCAUCAUCUAUCAAUUCUUACUUUCGUUUAUCAACUUUUACCUAGUUAUACCUUAUGUCAUAUUUAUUUUAUCAUAUAAUUUGUAUGUUUUUAACUUUAGAGAAUGAGAAAAGAAGGAGCCGUAAUUCAAGGAAUGUCUAAUAUUUUCAUGUAUUCAAAAUUUUAGGUUGAUUUCUAACACUAUUGUUUAAGAUCAUAUGAUUCAUUAUUCAAAUAUAAUAAUUUAUGAUUCAAAUUAUACUAUUUCCUACCAUAUAAAAUAAAUUAUAUAGAUGAAUAAUAAUUUACCAUUAAUCUUAUGUGAAUAACGUGAUUCAUAAUAAAUCAUGAAAACUAAAUUAAAUCAUGUUGUUCACCUAGUUUUUCUUAAAACUAGAUCUUACCAAUUUACGUAACUUUGCUAUUUACUUCGAAGUUACAAUUUUGGGUAUCAUAUAAUCUGUUGAAUGUUGUUAUUUCGAAAGAUAAUUUAUGUUACGCACAUGUACAUCAUUUUAUUCAAAGAUAAUGCUUUUUAGUUUACUAAAAAUGUUAGUAAAAAUUUCUUAAAAUAUUAUAGUCAAUCAUGACGUUUUUACAUGCCACAAAACUUUUGAUUCAUGAACUAUGUUUUAAAUUUAAGAUCCAUUUUUAUUUGCAUUUCUUGAUUAAGAAAAUUGUUUCUUAAGUUCAGUCUUUUUUAACUUUAAUUUAACAAAUAUGAAGUCUAAAGAUUUGUAAAGAAAAAUGAUGAAACCCUAAACUGACGUUUAUGAUGGAAAUCGUCUACCAGUCUCGUCAGAGUUCAGCACCUUAUAAAUAAUGAGUUGUCAAUAGUUCUAAUUGUUGAAUAAUGACCACGCAUAGCAUGAAUGGUGGAUUCCAAUUUGUUACCACAUGCUACAUCCUACUUUUAUUAGUUAGGAGGCAAUUUUGGAAGGUAAGCUGACGAAGAACUUUCGCUUGAUUGGACACUCGGCUUCUUCUUCUUUUCCCAUACGAAAUUUCUUCUUCGUUUCCCAUAUGUAUUUCCAACCGCAACUUUCCAUUGUCCCUUCAUUCGCUACACCAAACUGCGAAGGGAGAGACCAUUUCCUUCACAAUAAUGCAUCCAGAACUAUGCUGCCUGGUGGUGGAUGAAUGGUUCUAACAAGCAUUCAUCUAGCUUGCCUGUCUCUAUCUCAAAAACAAUGGUAAAGGUGAUAUCACAAUUAUGGGUUCUGUCUGUCUCUGUAACCUUGAUAAAUAAGCUCCAGCCACCUCAUAUUUCAUUCUUUAAAACUAGAAUUAAUUGUUUUGGUUCUGGGUCAUCACGCAAUACAUAGCUGAAGUUAUAGCCUUUCCUCAGCAAGAAAACUCCACGCAAGUGUAAAUUUUUCAAACUUCUCUUUGAAAAAUCCUGUGCCUACAGCCUACAUUAUACCAACCAUCAAAUCUCUUGAACUGCUGCACAACAAUUUGCUCUAUACAUUGUAAAAAACCACAAAACUUCAAUCGUCAUUUAUGCUGGAUGAUGCGCCUCAAAUUUCUCAUACUGGCCAGUCUCCUCGUUAAAUGAAUACCUGCAUUUUAAGGGGGGCAUGCACCCAUCAAAGUAACAGGACAGAGCAUUAGGUAUGAUAGUAAAACAAAAUGGAGCAGUGCUACAUACUCUACAAGGAAUAUUUUCCCAAAAGAAAAAGAAAAAAUAUCAUUCUUUUGAAGACCAGUAAAGGAGCACCAAUAUGCAAAAACAUUUGCAACUCUUUCAAAACAAAAAAGAUAUCUAAGAUCAACAAAACUAACCCCGCCUUUUUUUGUUGGACAUAAGAAAGAGAACAUAUGAAGCCAGUAAGGGGUAUGAUAUACGUACAAAACCAAAAAUUUUACAAAUCGAUCAAGAUGGCUAUGAGUUCUCCUAAAUCCUCAUGAGACACAAGAAUUGUCGUUUAACAAAAUACUGAGAGUCUAGAACCAUAAAUCAUAAGGCUGCAAAAAAAAGAAAAAGAAAAAAAGAAGCAUCCUUGAAAAUCCUUCUAUUCCUCUCUUUGCAUACCACCCACAAGAUCGAGUCAAGAGGAUUUGGAUAGUCAUUUUUCACCUUCUCUUAUCACCACAAAUACCUAGCCAAGCCCAAAUCUCAUCCCUCACAGAGCUUGCUAUCACCCUAUCAUAUCCAAGAAACCAAAAGCAUCGUACUGGAUACUACUGGCAAACUAACAAUGCAACAGGAGAUGAUUGAGAGAUUCCGCUCCUACAUAAAUAGCAUCCAUGGACCAAAAUCUUGUCUCUUUUCCUAAGUUACAAUCAUGAGAAUCCUUUCCCUUACAGCUUCCUAAGCCAAUUGCCCUAAUUUAGAGAUUCAUUCACCUUCUAAAAUAGCCUUUCAUGAGAGGACAAGUUAGAGAGAUGAAACUAGAAAAAUCUAAUGAAAAGGAAAGCCGCAGAUUUAUAUCUGUAUUUAGUCCAAUGGUAAACCAAGAUAUUUUAGCGGAAGAUAGCUCACCUUGUACACCAGAAUACUAACAAAGAAAUUCAUGUCAACAACAACCUGCAUGGCCACCAAUUCUAAUUUGGUUAACUUAUCUUCAAACCUGAUACUACUUAGAAACAGAGAAGAAAACAUCUUAGAGAAAGUAGAGAAUCUCUAUAAGGCCCGCAAAAGAAUUGGAAAUUGUUAGCAAUAAACAGGUGUUGCACCUCUACUGUAUUCUCUCCUUCACAAUGCCAAUCCCUUGGUCUUACCUCCUUGUCUCUGAUAAUCAACUUGUUCAAUAUCUCCAUAAUAAUAAAGAGGAGGAUCACCUUGCACAAAGGCCACUGGAAACAUCUACGGAAGCUCCUUUUCCAAAAAACAAAGGAAAUGGCAAGGGGAUAAAGCAAAAGGAUUUCCUCCUAGGCUUAGCAACUGGGAUAUCAUUUCAAGCCCAUAAUUCAUUUUUAGUAGAGCACUAACAACCCAGCUAAAGUUCAGGAGACGGAGGGUAUAAUCCCAAAGCCUUCUGAUCUCUGGAAACCAAAGAAGACGGAGCGGAUUCACUCUCAUUGUGGCAGAAAAGACACCUACUUAUUAUAAUGUACCUCUCUUCACAAGAUUGUUUGUAGUCAGAAUCCUAGUGAGGGAAGAAAAAGCAAUUCUCAAGGCCACUUCUGUUCUCCAUAUCUGUUUCUAUCGAGGAUCAUAUCCUGCACUAAAUGGUUGUUGUAAUUGGAUUUGACAACAAAGUUUCACUCAUAGAGAGGCUUUUGUAUAUGUAUAUAUAUGUAUAUUGAAUACAGAGAAAGGAGGAGAAAUAUAACCAUGAAGCUAUUCUCCAUAAUGGAAAAAAACAAAGAGUACAAGAGGAGAAAAACCUGCCAUGUCCAAAAGAUGACAGCCAGCCAAUAUCUAUGCAAAGUAGGCAAACUAGUCUUUGAGAAACGCCAUGCGCCUUAAGCCACAUGGACACUGGAAAACUAACCGUAUCUCAAAGAAAGCUAAAAUGAGAAUCACAAUUUCUGAAAAUCCUAACAAUUUUCUCUAACCAUAUUCCCACAACCCAGCAAAAAUAGCUCAGCACCAUAAAGCCUUAACAUCUUUUCUCCAAUCCACGGCUUGGAUAGCUGGAGAUAAAAACACCUGAAGGUGAAAAGCAAAAACCCAAGACACACCAGACUACAAAGUAAACAAGACCAGACUCCAAGUCAUCUCAUAGUGAAACAUUCAGCAGCUUUAUAACACAUCAUGAAUGCCCCAGGAGAUAAAGCACAAUUCGACUAUCUCGCUUGGACAAAUUGUAAGUAUCAGCCUAUUCAAGAAUGCAGUCCAAACAGAGGCUUUAACCUUUAAAGGGCCAUGAACCUUCAAAAAACACUUAUUUCAAAAUAUUAUUAUGAAUACAAGGUUGCUGGUUGAGAACGCAAAGGAUUUGCAAGAAAAAAUGCUAGAAGGAGCCAAAGACCAAAUUCUACGAUCAGGACCCAAAAAAAACCAAACAGAACUGAAGAGUAGUAACAAAGAAAUCAUUUCAGCAGCUCCGCAAUCCCUGAGAUAUCUUAAAAAACAUGUUCUAUGACAUAUGAUCCUUUAAGUAAUACAAAAAGAGAAAUAUGAUCACUAUGUCUCUGGAAUAAAUUGUACAUCCUUGGGAAAUAAGUGGCUAAUGGAGUAGUAUCAACCUAGGAUCUGCCCAAAAACUGUGGGAACCAUCAUCCACCCUCAAGGAAGAAAAGAAGCAUAGAGUCUCAAAAUAGUUUUUAGGGUUUCCUGUAAAUAGUAGAAGAGCUGAUUUUAGAGUCCCAGCCAUUCCGAAGUAAACCAAACUUGAUCUUGACCACUUUGUGGCCUUAAGAAGCUUCUAAACUGGAUAUAUUGAAAUCAAGCUUACUUCAGGAAUGCUCUNNNNNNNNNNNNNNNNNNNNNNNNNNNNNNNNNNNNNNNNNNNNNNNNNNNCUGUCUGCCAUCACCACCUUGAAAUGAAUAUGGUUAUAAAAUCUACCAAAUUCCUCAAAAUCUAUCCCCAAGAAGUAAAGUCAUAAGCACCUCCAAUCAACCAGACACACAACCUAUCUGCUACAAAUCAAACUUGUUAAUGCAUUUCUCCCAUAUAGAAUGAAUAUAAGACAAAAACCACCAUUUCCAUUUAAGCAAGAGCUUGAUUGGACCUUUGCAAUGACCUUAUAAUUAAACCCUCAUCGCUCAUUAGAGCCACAAGGUUAUCUUACACUCAACCCUAUCACCCCAGAAGAAGUGAUACUGACCUUACACACUAUAAUCUAAGUACAUUCAUCAGAAUUCACUCCCUUCCAAACCAGCACCAAUUUAGAAUACCCCAAUUCACCUUCAUGUCCGGAUAGGUAGGAAGCACCAAAAGCACACACCUAAUGUUAAUCAGGGCAGCACUAUCUCAGAAAAAGAAUGUGGCAUCUACAAACAUAAAACAUGAAAUCUCAACAUUUUGACCCCCUUCACCACAAAUAGCCUGUCCUUUCUAAAAGGAGGCAAUUAAAAGCUUCAAUGCAAGAGUAAAUUGGGGAUGGGAGAUUGCCUCGUCUGAAACACUAGGAGGACCAAAAAUCAAAUGGUCCAACAUUUGAUAAACGGAAAAGAGACCAUCAAAUUGCAUUGAGAAAUUCAUCUACAGCAUUUCUCACUAAAAUCCAUUUUCCCAAGGAUAUAUGGAAAAAAAAAGAAGCAUGGAACAUGAUCAUAAGCUUAUCUAUCGUCCAAUUUCCGAAAUAAACCUGAGGUUCCCUUUCAAGUUAGAUCAACCAUUUAGCAAUGAAUGAUGUAUCUAACUUUUUGGGCCUCCCACAAAAGCUUGUUGAGUUCCCCCCACCCCUUCGUUGACUAUCUUACCCAACCUUCCAACCAAGACUUUAACAAUAAGUUUGCAAAUGCUUCCCACCAAACCAACAGAUCUAAAGUCUUUAAAAAGUCCACCCAUAAGAAUGAGCGCUAAAAAGGAAGAACUGACCACUAGCCAACUUUCUAAACAUUACAAGUUCCUAAAAACAUCAGUAUAUCAUCCUUAACUUUAGUAGGAGAAAAGGAUGUCUAUGAAGAAGCCACUUGGACCUGGGUCGUUGUCCCUGUUGCAAGAGCAGAGUGACUCAUUCAUCCCCAAAUCAUCUAGCUUUGGUCUCGACAGCUUGGUCUCACUACUUAAGUUGAAGUGGAACACUUUGGCAGCCUACUCAGCUCUUUGUUGGUCAUAAUUUCUCUAUUAACCAACACCAAUUGGGAAUGAAAGUGUUACAGGACCAGAGUUUUUCAUCCUAUGAAAGUAUUUAACUUGAUUGUAUAUUAACAUUAUGAAAUUAUUUUACCAAUAACAUCUUUUUAAAAGAUUUAAAAAAUAGCAUUAUAUAUAAACAUUAGUAUAAUAUUGUCUUAGCCCUCCUCUCUUCUCUUCAUUAGCAUUCUUAAUCUCAUUCCAAGAAUACUAGAACGAGAGCAAGAGCUGAAAUUACCUCUUCUAUUCAUUACCUUCUUCUCUCAUCUCUUCAUUUUGUUUAUUUAUUUUUUCUUGACUAGCAUGAGUUCAUAUUUUUUAUUUCAGAAAAAAUAAUACUAGAACGAGAACGAGUCCUUGAAAAGGUAACAUAGUGUUACUUUCAUGCUUUGUCUUUCAUCCUCUAGCAUCUUUAUCUAAAAUGCAAUUUUCAAAGAAAUAAAAGGAUGCCCAUUGUUCAGAGGAGGCACAUGAUGGAGGAGGUGUGCGGGUGAAUUUUUUGGAUUUUAUAAGAUUAGGACUUCAAAAGUUAUUUUAUGGACAUUUCAGCUUCACUUGGUCAGCUUGUAGGCUCUCUAACAUCAAAGUUGCCCUUAGUCCCUCCCAAUACAAAAUCAAGGACUAUUAGCUCUCUACCAACUGCCAAGCACAUCAGCAAAAUUUUAUGAGCCCUUUGAGAGCUUAUAAGCUCCUCUUGACUAAAACAUAAACCAAGCCAAACACUCUCUAAGAAACAGAAACAUUUGCGGUUACAACAAAAGAAUCACCCUAUACUAGCACUAGGAGGACCAACGUCACGAAAGAAAACCACUUGAAGACAUUGCCAAAGUCAUCCAAGCUGCCAACCAAAACGUAAAACCAGAGAAGACUAGAAAGAGGAUGAAAAUUUGACCAAGCAAGGAGGCUCAAAUUACCUCCAGAAACCACCCUGACUAACAUGUAGACCUAGUGCGUCAGUGUUCAGUAGCGUGGGGUAAUGCUGGUUGGUCACUUAUGGCUAGCAAUUUUACUUCAGAGUUGGAUCCACUGAAUUGAAACUCCAAUAACAACAGACCUGAUUUACUCUCUCGUAAUGUUUUAGCACGACUAUAAUUUUUGCUUACCCUUUAGCUUACUAUAGGCCAUAUUGAAGCAAAUGUUGUGGCUUUAUUGUAAGGAGAACAAGAAAAAAACUAUAAACAGGAAACUAACACUAACUUGUACGGGAGAACACUAUAUGCGAAAAUACCAUAUAGGAAAAUAUAUUAUAAUAUCUAACAAUUACCAUUGGCCCAAUGCUGCAGAGUAAUAUAAUCCAGUGGAUGGGUCAUAGUAGUAACCCAAACUGCUGCUGUAAUAGUACCUGAACAAGAAUUUGCUGCAGUUAGAUUGAAAAAUACAUAGUUUCUAAUGGAACUCGUUAAGAAUUUGGAUUUUAAUUUUUCAAUUAUCAUAACUACUAUUUAGAAGAACUGUAGCAUAUGAUCUCAGAAACCCACAACGAUGGACUGAACAUAUAAAUAGGUCAUUUGAACAAGAAAAAAAAGCUUUUCACUCUCAUUUAGUCACAUCACACGAAAUUUGCAGAAUCCUAUGAACAAAUUAUGUAUUGACCAUUAUACACUCCAGCUCAUGUCAAAAUUGCAAAGAAUGAUUACAAGUUCCUAGUUCUCCAAGAAAAUGUUGACCAAUUUUUUCCAACAGUAAAUAAAUUACUAAAUAAGCUAAGUAAAAUUAACUCCAUAAUUUUUUCAUUUACUUUUUACAAGGAAAUAAGUGUUAUUAGAAGGGAAAGGGAAACAAGGAGGAACGAUAAGAUAUUCUCCUAUAACAGAAAAAACUAAAGAAUAUACAUAUACAACAAAGAGACAAAAAAAGAAAAAAAAAAGAAAUCAAAAUAAUAGAAUAACAGAAAAUGAAGCUUUUAGAGACCUUGGGGGAGGAGAGAGGGUGUGGCAAAUAACUAUUGUGAGAAAUCUCAAUGACUGGCUUAUUAAUGAGUAUGUGAAACUUCUUGGCACUUUAUCUCGUGUGUACCUGGAUGGUAGCAAUGAUAGUGCAAUGUGGUCUCUGACCAAGAAUAGGCUUUUUUUGGUGAAGUCAUACUAUAAGUUUUUGACUAAACAUGAUCAUAACAGCAUCAGUUUCCCAGUUAGACAAAUUGGAAGGUGAAUAUCACCCAGAAUCUCUUUUUUUGUUUGGGAGGCCAGCAGAGAACGUAUUCUUACCAUUGAUAAGUUGACGAGACAAGACAAGACUCUGGUGAAUGGAUGUUAAUAAUACAGGGACAAAAUACAGGAAAUAAUACAGUGGUGGACAUCCAUUGUAUUAGAGACCUUGGGAGAGGAGAGAGGAGAGAGGAUGUGGCAAAUCAUACAGGAAAUUUACAUGAUUCAGCAAUGUGCAUGACUACAUGAAGCCACCCCCAGUUUUUUUUUACAAUGAAAAAUUCUUAUCUGACCAAAUAGGCUUUUUCCUUUGUAUAAGUGAUUAAGGAGAAAAUUCAAAUUUACAAGCAUAAUCCCCUAAGGGAAAUUCCAAAACCGUAUUCUGUAACUUUUCACUAACUUUUUUUUUUUAAAUAAGUAAUUUUUCACUAUCUAGAACAGAUAACUGAUGUCUUAACAAAAUCACCAGCGAACUGAACUAGGAUAACUAUCAAAUUAGUUCUUUUCCUUUGCAUGUUUACCAAACCGACACUUUUUGUAGUUGUGGAACACUAUUGUUUUGAAAACAUUGUCCAGUCAUUUAAACCAUGCAAAUACCUACCACCCGCAACAGCGCAGAGGAUGUCCACCAUCAUACAAUACUGGCAUACCGAAAUGAGAAAUCGGGCACACAUUUUUUAAAACCACUAACAAAACAAGCUACAAACAAUUUCCAACAUAAAUAAUUUAAAACAGCUAUUUCUAAGAUAUAAAGAGUGAGAAUGAAUACCCAGAAGAUUCGUCAUAAAUAUAAUCAGAAGAUCCAUCAUUCAUGGAGGUUUGUAAGGCUCCACCUACCAAGCAGACUAUGUGUCAGAAUAAUAAAGUUAAAAAAAAAAGGUUAGACUGUUACAUCAAAAGAUUUUUGGUGGAGAGAGGAAGUUUACUUUCUGAAUCCAUGUUUAAAGAAUUCGAUGAAGACUGAUUGACUGCAUCUGAAUUGGGGCCAGAAGAUAAAUUAGUCCUAUUAUUUGAUGAUUUGUCAGUAUUGUAUUCAUCUUCAUCCGCAAACAUAUCAUAAGCAUCAUCGCCACUGCUUCCAAUAUCUGCAGCCGUUACAUCCAGCUUUGAAGUACCAGCAGCAGAAUUGGACAAUAUUGAAGAGCCUACUCCAGUGUCAUUUACAUCAGGGAGCAAAUUCUUGCCCGCAUCAGAUCCUCCAUUUUCCUUUGCUCUAGUUAGCAUCUCAUAUCCUUCUGAAAAUAUGAUAAAUAGAGAGAAUAUAAAUAAGUAAUCCAGAUAUAAAUAAUGCACUUAUCAUCAUUUAACUGGAGUUCUUUUACCCAUCUUUACAGACUAAAACUCACCGGGAACAGAAACCAUAGAAGCAUCUGGUUAUCUUACACGGCAACAAACCAAAACAAUGAACGCAUAGGCUUUGGAACCAAGAAACAUUUUAUAUACAUAAACUUCCAUGUGACAAAGGAUCUCACAGAGCAUCCAAAGGCAAUCAAAAGCAAUUGCACACUUUUUCCCAAAAUCCAUAAGGAUGUGCACCCUACUUGACCAAUAAAUAAAACUGCUUGAACAACAAUGAAAAAGUUGAAGAUAAGUAGAAAAACACGAAGCUUUUCACCAACCUGCCUCCCGCUCAAAAACCUCCUGUUUCUCAUGAUAAACAUCUGCAAAAAGGGCAGGUGUAAGACAAGUAAGCACUACAAUAAGACUGGGAAAAAAUUAUUAGCUUGUCAGGGGAGGGAAACCAUGAUGCGUAGCACAGCCAUGUGUAUAAUACAACAACAAAGUAUAUUCUGUUUUCUCUUUCUACAUUUUUUUUUCCAGGAAGGAGGAUAAAAAAGGUUUAUUAGAAAAAACAAAGGAAUUAAAAGCUAGGAAAGGACUUCCUCCAAUAAGGAACAAAAAGAGAGAUUACCAAAAAAGCGCAGAAAUAAGGAAAAUAACAUUUUUUUUAGAUAAAAAUUGUAAGGUAUAUAUUAACAAGGUACCAAAAAGAGGUACCCCCCACGCACAAAAGAUUUACGAAAUAAGAAAAAUAGCCUGUGAAAAAUAUUAAAUAGCAUCCUCGUUUUGUAGCAUAGAUAAAGGAAUGUCCCAUAAAAAAAAGUUCUAAGAGACAAGGCACACCAAAGGUCAUCAACCAAAUUAGAACAGUGUUUAAAAAUUUUUGCAUUUCUUUCCAACCAAAGGACCUACAAACAUCCAUUGAGCUUCAUAAUCUUAUCCUUAGGCAAGAGAAGAAUAAUAUCAUCUACAAAUUGCAAAAAAGAAAUUUUAGAAUCCUCCUCCUCCAUGAAUAGAUUCCUCAUCUCAAUUUCCCUGCUGAGCACCAUGUUAAGAACCCACCACCAAAGGAAAUAAGAAGAGAGACACUAGGAAUUCCAUUGCCAAAUCAUUAAUGACCUUUAAGCUAGGAUUUUAGUUACCUGUGAGUAAUCACACAUAAAGUGACAAAAAUAACAAGCAUAAUCUAAUCCAAGAUCUCCAUCUAACCCCAAAACCUUUUUUUUCUAUCAUCUUAUACUGGAACCAACCCACAGUUGACUCUAUCAUAAGGCUUCUCAAAAUCCAACUUGAAAACAAGGCUAACUCUCUUCAUUUUUUUGAUGCCUUUAAGAACUUAGAGACAAGGCAAGCAUCGAAAUUUGCCUACCAACAAUUCAAGCACUUUGGUUGAGAGAAAUGUUCUCUCUUAAACCUCUCUAAGUAAUGGUUGAAAUGAGUGACUUUAGCAAAUGUGAUACUUUUUAUACUUUGUAAUUCGAGUAAACUACUAAUUCGGAAAAAAAAACACUUACUAUAUUCACCAUUCUGAAUCAACUUGUCAGCAUCCUCAGUAAGCUGAUCAAAAACAUGCUUCAUCUCGGAUGACAUCUUUUCCUUCUUGUUAUUUGAAGUCCCUUUCAACCUUCUCAAGGCGUGUAAAACCUGUAAGGCAAAGUAAAUUUAAUUUAAAUAUUUUAAAACCAUUUAUAGUAUCAGUGGAAUGUAAAACUGACAUCAUAAUCAAAAGCAUUCAAAAGUCAUAUUAUGCAGGACGUUCUAAACUUCAACCAUUCCGAACUUAAACCAACCAUGCAAGACAUGUUAUAAAUGUUAUUUUUUCUAAUUCUUCUAAAAAAAUACUAUUGGAGCUUUACUAAACAAUACUACAUUUGCUUUUUCAUUAAAAGUCAAACUUUGGAGCUGUAAUCAAUAUCAUAACAAAAAUGAUAUUAGAACAAGGUAACACCAAGAGUACCACAUAUUGCUGAUCAAAGAAAGCUAGUUUAUGCACCCUGCUGUUAUGCACCUCUAUGAUCAAAUUAUCAAUACCAAUCUCCCUCCUAUACUUGAAAAUUAAUAAGAUAUCAGACAAUGACCUAAUUAGUGAAUUAACAGAUCAGACCUCAAUUAAGAUAAAGAAAAAUAAUAAGAAAUUGUGAAAUGUUUCACAAAAAAUAAAUAAAGCAUCCAUUAACUGAUCGUAAUUCUAGUUUUUUUAAUAUUAACUAAGAAAAACAGCAAUGAUAGUAAGCAAAAUUAGUGAAAGGGAUAGAAAGAUUAUAUUCCUCCCUAUGACGCAAACCAAAUACACAGCACUUCAUCAUGCAACAUCAAACUGCGGUAGGAAAUAGUUUUCUACGAUGACAUUAAAGAGAUAAUAUUUCUCUACUGUAAAGCAGCCAUCAGCAUUUCAUGUAAUAAUGAAACUAAAUUAUAGAAUAAUUUUUCUGUUGACAUUUGCUAUUGGGUUAUCCAAUAAACCUCUGUUGCAAUGUUUUUUUGUUCCUAAAUUACAAAUACAGCCAUUUUCAUCAAUUAGAAAGAUGAGUAUUUCCAAAAAAUGCACAAUAAUGCACANNNNNNNNNNNNNNNNNNNNNNNNNNNNNNNNNNNNNNNNNNNNNNNNNNNNNNNNNNNNNNNNNNNNNNNNNNNNNNNNNNNNNNNNNNNNNNNNNNNNNNNNNNNNNNNNNNNNNNNNNNNNNNNNNNNNNNNNNNNNNNNNNNNNNNNNNNNNNNNNNNNNNNNNNNNNNNNNNNNNNNNNNNNNNNNNNNNNNUAAUUCAGAGAACUAAACUUUUACCAAAAACAAACUAUAACCGAGGGGAGAUUUAAGUGUACCGUUUCUCCUGGCUCAAGGACAUUAGCAAUGCGCCUUUUUAUCAUUCCAAUGUCUUCUGAGGAAAGAUCAUGACCUGCAUCUUCAUUGUUAUCUUCUUCGUCAUCUUCAUUCUCAAUAUCAUUUGUUGCUGAGGCCACUCGAGAAUAUUUUGGAUUUGCUUCAAUACUAUCAAGCCAUGCAUCCUGGAAAAGAUAACAUGGAAGUGAGUUGCAAUGAGAUUGGUUCUAAAUUUAAAAGAUCAACAAGAAGAUUGAUGCAACAACUUACUUUAAUUUCAUUUUCAUUGACAUAUUCAAUGAAAUUCCCCUCUGCGUCAAAGUACCCUUCUUCCCUCUCUUUGUUUAGGUUGAAUGGUUCUAUGUUUAUCCCAUCUUCAAUCAAAUUCUCAUUAUCCUGUCAUAAAAAGUUCCUACCAUUACUAUCCUUCUGAUGAAUCUGACAAGUCUCUUCCAUUUCCAGCAAAUGGGCACACUAAAAUGCAAGUGCUUUGGAAAAAAGAAUCUCAAUGUAGAUAAGUAUGCAUUACAGAUUCUAAAGUAGGGUAACCUCACAACUUCUUUCGAGAAAACAAUAGAAAUAAAAUUGAUAAAUUUUCAAGAUAACGUUGUGCAUGAACUGUUGGAUCUCUGAUUUGGACACUUCAAGGCUGGACAACAUUUGAGUUUCGGGUCAUUCAAGUUUGCACAACUUCAGACUCAAAAUAUUAUCAUUCAAUUAGGACCAGGCCAAGUUUUGGAUAGCUGUGGUCAAUAUUUUGUCACUAACCACAGAACACUUACAGCUAAAUAAAAUUAUAUGUUCCUUAAUGGCUUAGAGAAAAGGUAACAUUUAUCUCCUAGGGAAAAAAAAAAAAGGUUACAAGCUAGGAGAGGGCAAUAAGAAGAUGGCAACAUCCUUGUGAAUACAAUAAUUCUUGUUUCCUUCUCAAAAAAUACAGAAAGAAAGAAAGAAACGGAGAGCGGAAAUGGGGUCACACCCAAAACCAUGAGAGAAAAACAAUGUUCAAGAAAGAAAUAUGCAUUUGAAAAUAAACCUCAUAAGUCACUUCAGCAGCUGAGACAUCAUUGAGGCCUUUACUUUCUUCACAGAAAAGUUCAGUAGUCAUCUGACUCCGGCGCUUUGCACGCUCUUUGGCAGCAAGACGUGGAUCCUUCAAGUCUGCUGGGUCAUCUUCAGUAUUUCCCUUGCCCACCACUACAUUUUCUGCCUUCACCUUUUUACCCUUGGGAAAUCGAACUUUCUUCUGUCUGUCAAAUUUGAUAUUGAAAACUAAGCAAAGCCCGAGACAAGUAUACAACACAUAAUUGCAAGUAAAUUUUUUUUUGAAAUAUAAUUGCAAGUAAAUGAUGUACACAAAUGAAUAUGAUACAAAAUCUCCAGCACCAGUACCUACACACCGGAUCAUUAUCAUUUGUUAAGUAAUUCAUUUAAUUAAAAAUAUAAUUUAGAUUUCUCAUCUUGUGAUGCAUUGCCAUUGAAGCCACAAAGUGUAGUGGGCACCGUAGCCGAUCUCUAAAGAAAGAUAUUAUCUAUCUAUCAGUUUGCAUGUGUGCGUAUAACAUGACAAAUCACUGACAAAAGUUUCCACAAUCCUAUAUUAAUUUUAAUGGAACGGUUGCGAUGAUUAGCUGAAAGAAAGAAUUGCAUAAAAUAACUUAUUAAUGAAAAAUGAAAGGAUACAACAGAUGAAUGGGUGUGCUAAUGACAAGAUUUUGCAUCUUUAAUCCACAUGGAUAAAUUAAAAUGAGAGGUAUCAUGUUCUAAGAAAGAAGGAAACAAAUAAUUUGGUAAAUUAACACAAAUAAACCAUCCGUUAUAUUAUCCCGCCAUAGACAACAUAAAGCACAUAAAGCACAUAAAGAAAGCAGUAGUGGGAAGAAAGCGGUCUUACGCAGGAGGUUUAUUGGAGUCAUCGUCUUCCAAGAAUGGCCGCUUAAGAUUAGAGCGCAAUUUCUCCCCCAUUGAACUCGAAGUAAAGUAACUUUAACAAAUGGAAAGGUUUUCGCAGUCUACACCCUAGAAAUUCCUGCUAAAAGAACUCUAAACUCUCUCUUUUUUUCCUCUAAUUUGAUCCCAUCAAAGAAGCCCUAAAGAAACAGACGAGACGAGGGACCUGGAAGAUUGAAAAACCAAGCAGAUAAGAAUUAGAGAAUACGGAGGCUCGAUUUUUCUCGUAUGAACCGGCGAGGGGAGCAGAACAGCUCCUCGGCCAGGCUGGGCCGGAUUUGGCCGGAGCCAGCUUUUUUAAUAGUCGGGCUCAGCCCGAUUCGGUAGUUUGUGUUUGACUUUUUUGCCAAGUAAUUUUUUUAAAACAUUUUUGAAGCCCGAUCGGAGAACCUUAAUUUUUUUUUUUAAAGACAAAUAUUUAAUUAGUUUCCAAAUUAUGAAAAAUAUUAUAUUUUAAUUUUAAAUACAUUUUAUUAUAAUUUAAUUCUCGAUUACAAUUAUAACCAAUCUUAAAUAUUAAAUGGAGAAAGAGUUUUUUUGUUUAAAACUGUCAAUGGGCCUGAAAUUAGGCCCAAAUACGCAAAUAUUGCAGGUUGCUCGCCUUUCGAUUAUCUGGAGAGGUGUUUAUAUGGCACUUUGCAGAACCCAUGGCUGGCUGUACUAUGACCGUUAACUUCUUCACUUCGCUUCACUUCGCUUCACUUCCAUCCAUUUUUACCCAAAACCAAACAGAAUCCCAAAACUAUGCUCACAUAAAGCUCCCCACUCAACCUUAAAAUCCCCAUGGCUUCCAUUUCUAAACCACCGCCUUGUUUCCAUCCUUUCUCUGCCCGUAUCUCGUUCACUGCUUCUCCGCUUACCUUAUCGUUUCCCCACUGUCACUGGAAAACGCCCCCGCUUCAGCUUCGUGCUUGCGCCAUAAGAACCGGUUCCGGCGGUAAUAGAAUUGGAAGCUUGGAAUCUUCAGGCUCUGAUUUGCUUAGGAAGCCCAGUAUACUGCCGGACAAGGACCCCGGUGGAGUUUCAGAAGAAAAAGAAGAAGACGUGCAAAGGAACGCAAGUUAUAAGGAGGAGGCUGAAGUGGACGAAUGGGUCGAUUGGGAGGACCAAAUUCUUGAGGACACUGUUCCGCUCGUUGGCUUCGUUAGGAUGAUUCUUCACUCUGGCAAGUAUGUAACGCCAUAUUUAGGCUCUUCUCUGUUCCUUCGUUUUUUUCUUUCCUCAAUUUACGUGUUGAAAUUGAAUUAUUUUGUUCAGUUUCGUGAAUCAACAAAAUGUGGAAAUAAUUUGAGCAAGUUUAUGAUUAGGGCUUUAGACCGGAAUUAUCAUAUCUGCAAUCAUAAUGAUUAGCAAUUGCGGCUAUACUGAUUUUUUUUUAAACGCGCUAACUAAUUGAAAGUAUUUCUCAAUAGACCGUAACCAAUUGAGAGUAUUACUCCUGGUUCUGUCUAUCACUAGACAAGUUAUGGUUUUCUGGCUCUUCAUUAAUUUGUUCCCGGGGAUUGGUUCCUGGUAAUGGCGGUGCUGACCAUUUAGGUGUAUUUAGGAUUCAAAUUAAUUUAUAAAAGAGUAUUCAUGGCAGUGAGAGAGUGUAGGAAGCUGCCAGCAUACCUUGCUCAUUUUGCUAAGGCUCUCAAAUGCACUGAAGUUCCUGAUGAACCUGUUGCCUUUUGUUGGCACAAUCUGAGUAUUGGCCUCAAUCUUCUUUUUUUCAUUUGCCAUUUGCAUUUUCUUGGCUUGAGUUAUUGGCGUGACAACUGGUAGAUCAUGCAUCUUUCUUCUCUUCUUUGUUUUGCUUUGCACUUUUUUAUAGUAGUUGUAACUAAAUUCUUUUUCAAGGCAUAGGGAUGGUUUUAUGAUUGUGGCACUUCCUUGCUUUUUGUAUAUCUUCUUGCAGAUAUGGGAGUGGAGAUAGAUUGAGUCCUGAGCAUGAGAGGACUAUUCUUGAGAGGUUGCUUCCAUACCAUCCAGAAUUUGAGAAAAAAAUGGGCUCUGGAAUUGAUUAUAUUACAGUACGUCUCUUGCUUUAGUCACUGCCCAUCUGAUUAUAGAUGUAGUGAAAGCUUUUUUAUUAGGCGCCACUUCCCUAUAUAUACUGUUCUUUAGGCAAAACUAUGAUAGUAAGUUCUAAAAGAACUCUUCUAUUAAGCAAUUUAGACAAGUUUUCUUCAUACUUUUCCAACAAUUGCUUUGUGAUUUUAUAGCCUUGGGUAGAAUCAGAAACUGCUGGAUAGGUGUGCCCCUGAGUUCUUUUUCAUUGCGUACUGAGAAGUAUAUGCAAUCUGGAGAAGUAUUUAUGAACUAAAGAGAUUUCUUUAUUAUAGUCCUAGCAGAUACCAAUAGCCUUCUACUUCACAAAAGUACUCUUUAUAGUGAAACCAGAAUAUGAUAGUGGCUGAUUUUACAUAAACUUCUGUUUGAUUCACUAAGAGAAAGUUGGAAUUCCUGCUGUACACAAUUGCAGCUUCCAUUUUUGUUUUAUCCACCAUGUUUCAAUUAUUGGGUCAAAUUUGCUGUUUCUUUUAUUGUUUCCAACCCCUUCUGGAGCCUCUAUUGUAUCAGUCAAAUAGAUAUAUCUUUAUACUUCUAAUUAUUUCUGGGUUUGUUCCUUCCUCUCAUUUCAUCAAGCAGAAUGAACAAUAUGUGGCAUAUGCAUAUAGUGUUCUGGUUCUAAAACUAGCAAUAUAUAUGACAGCUUGCACAUCACCCAUGUUGCUUUUUCCACAUGGACUUAUUCUGUAUUUAAGGGUUAUUGCUACCUUCAUCGUAAUUGUGAGAUAUCUUUUCAUCACAAUAGGCAGCUUUUGCUGUUGUGUCUUUUAUGCAUUUGAUUGUUCUAUUUAUAGUUUUUGAGGAGGAUGUCUUAUUAUCCGCAUUUGUAUUUUCUCCCUCUUGAUUCCUGAUAAUAUUUCUUUUUCUAUCAAAAAUUACCUUAUUUUCCUUUUAUUAUCAUGUAUAAAACUGUAAAACUGUUACCUUUUUCUAUCAAAGAUGUACAUACAUGCAGUAUAAAUACCUGUAAGUACAAGAACAAAUCAUCGAAGCAGAUACGGGUCAUUUAUUUCUCUCCCUAUGUCUUUCACUCUCAAUCUUCUUGUCUCUCUUUUAUUCUAUUCUUCUUGUGCUAUUUCUCUCUUAACCCCAAUUCUACACUUUCUCCAAAUUUACCUCUGACUUGGUAUUAGAGCACUCCUUAGCAUCAUGUGCGUCUCAGAUAGUACUCGGGCUCAAGAAACCAAGAAAAUUGAGGAAGUGGUAAAACAAGAAACACAAAGUAGUUGCAGAUGUGGAAAAGAAAAUGCAUCUUGAAUUACAAGGCAUCAAGCAAUUGACUAUAAGUAUGGGAAAAACCACGGCAGCUGAACUAACAAUGAAAGAGCAUUGCUUGACUGGACCUCCUAGAGAAAUAAAAGCUGGUACGAGAUGCGUGGACCCAAAAUAGAAUUUCCCAGGUUUGCUGGAGAAAACUUGUAUCGAUGGAUUUAUAAAGCUGAACAUUAUUUUGAAGUGGAAGCUGCACACCAGAAAGUAAGAGUUGCUGCUGUGUAUUUGGAAGAUGAGGCACUAGAAUGGUAUCAAAUGCUCAUGAAGAACAGAGAAAACCGAGGUUGACCUAGGUGGGUAGAAUAUGUAGGUCACCUUCACAUCCAGUUUGGAGAUACAGCUUGCUAUUAUGAUUUGACUAAACUAACUCAAAAUGGGUCCUGAAGGAAUAUUUUAAGGCUUUGACACCUUGGUGAAUAGAAUCCCCACUUUCUUGCUUCCUUGCAGGCUUUCAACCUGUAGUACAAGCUUUUGUAGGAACUGACUGCCAGUGAAUGUUCGACAUGCAUACAGUCUUGGAAGAUUGCAUGAUGAGGUUCUUGCAACAAGACUAUUCUCAGUCCAUAUAUCCAGUCAACCGUUAUAAUCCACCAAAAACCUAUUAAAAAAAAAAACUUUGGUGCCACCUAGAUCCACUUCUUGUGUACCACCAGAAACCAUUCAAAAGCCCUGUUUAUCCAACCAAGAACCCUGUUCUUCCUACCAAACCAGAACGCUGUACCAAUUUACCUAAUUGCGGUGUUGAUCUAUUCUCAGUGGCAAAUACCCAAACAGAACCCUGUAAGUGCUAGAAAAGAAAAGGGUCCAGAGCUUAAGCUAUUUUUGUGAUGAAAAAUACCACAUUAGACACCGAUGAAACACAAGAAAUUAGUGAUGGUGAUAGUGCAUGAACAAGAAAAUGAAGAAGAGACUGACUGCAGUCCCAAAGAGGAGGUUGAAGAACAUAUACAUGUGUACAUUUCUGCUAUCAAUGGCUAUGACAAGCCAUAAAAUACCACCACUGCAAUGAGGGUAACUGGUACUUAUGGAAAAAAAGUCAUUAAAUAUUCUGGUUGAUUCGGGCAGCAGCCAUAACUUUCUAGAAGCAUGGACUGCAAAGUACUUGGGACGCAAAAUCAGUCCUACAAGAGCAAUGCUGGUAGAAGUAGCAAAGGGGCUAUGCAAUUGAAUGAAACACCUGCUGUAAAGAGUUCACAUGGAAGAUGCAAGGAAAAGAGUAUGUUGCUGAAUAUUUUAUCAUUCUGUAGGAGGAACAGAAAUGGUGCUAGGAAUCAAGUGGCUGUAUUUAUUGAACAACAUAGCCUGGAAGUUCAAAAGAAGGAAGAUGGGUCAAGUUACAAGGACAAUCAGAGGAGAACAUCCAAGAAAUACCCCAAGCAAAAAUAUCCAAACUGCUUCAGAAAUAAAAAAUACAGUGCACCUUUACUUUGUUCAUGUUUUCUCUACAAAUUCAGACUUGAAUUAGAAAAAAUCUAAGCGAGCUGUAGCCAGUUCUAGACUUGUUUCAAGAUGUCUUUUCCGUACCUUGCCUCCUCUAAGGCCACCUGACCACAAAAUUACCUUGACAGAACCCAACAAGACGGUAAACAUCCAUCCCUACAAGCACUAUAGAGAACAAAAAGACACCAUAGAAAAAAUGUUCACAGAACUAUUAGAAUCUGGAGUCAUCAAAAAUAGCAACUGUUCAUUUUCGUCACCAGUUGUAUUGGUGAAAAGAAAGAUGGAACAUGGUGAAUGUGUAUUGACUAGAGGGAGCUCAAGAAAUGGACCGUGGAAAACAAAUUCCCAAUUCCAAUUAUAGAAGAACUCAUAGAUGAAUGAGGGGGAUCCACCAUCUUUCCAAACUAGAUUUAAGAUCUAGUUAUCACCAUAUCCUAAUGGCAGAAAAAGAUGUCCAAAAAAUAACUUCAACACAUGAAGAUCAAUUUGAGUUUUUAGUCGUGUCAUUUGACUUGACUAAUGCACCAUCAACGUUUCAGUUUCUCAUUAACAGUAUUUUCGGACCUAUUUUAUGCAAAUUUGUCAUUUUCUUCCUGGAUGAUAUUUUGGUUUCUAGUAGGUCUUUGCAACACAAACAACAUUUAACAGAAGUGCUCACCAUUCUCUGAACAUGUCAUAUAUUGUUUACUUGUGCACCAGGAAGGAAAUUAGUAUCAAACAAGAAAUAAGUGUCUUUUUUUUCAUCAUUACUGAGAACAUGCUGGAUCAUUGUGUUAGGUUUUGAGAACUUUCUCCACAUCAAACUAAGCUCAUUAUUUAACUAAUUUUAAUUAAUUUGUCAUUGAAUGAUAAUUCUUGUCUACGAUUGACAGGUAGGAUAUCAUCCUGAUUUUGAAGGCUCGCGAUGUUUGUUCAUUGUUCGAAAAGAUGGAGAAUUAGUUGAUUUUUCGUAUUGGAAAUGCAUAAAGGGCCUGAUUAGGAAGAACUAUCCCUUGUAUGCUGAUAGCUUCAUUCUCAGACAUUUUCGCCGGCGUAGGCGGAAUGGGUGAGGGUAAUAUUCUCAAGCUGUCACGCCAUAUUGUUAUUGUAUGAUGUCAAUUUUUUGUUUUGUUCUUAUAUUUUGAAGUGUCUCAUCUCCAUUGGGCAAAAUUAUAUGGUUGUAGAAGCAGUUGUUGCAGAUUCUUGAAGUUGGGAUUCUUGGGGGUAGAAUUAUUUUCCUGGAAGACAAAACCCAAGGCUGACCAACUGGGAUUGGGGUAUUUAAUUCACACCAAAAAGCUCAGCUGUCUUUCACUCACUAUUUUGCUGGAUCUUAAAUGAUAGGGAUAAUAGUUUACUCAUAUUUCACUUUUGCUCAGCUGUUGCUUCUGCAUAUUGGCUGCCUCCCUCUCCACCAUGGUCUUCCCCUCUCUUGCUUUCUGUGUGAUAGAUUUGGUCCCCAGCUACCUCCCUCCCUCUCUGUCUCUCUCUUUUUUUAAUAUUUGCCUCCAAUCAUGCUGAACAUGCCUAUUUUCCAGAGAACUAUUUUAGCUCAAAUGUUUGUGGCUUUGAAGUCAAGAGGUUGGCCCGAAUUCUUUCUUCUGUUAGGAAUAUUUUAUGAGAACAAACUGCCUAUCUCCAGUUUAUAAAUUAAAAUACAAUUGUGACAUGGAUACAUUUUCCUUCUUAACAUGGAUAGCAAAUGUUAGCUGCCUAUGUGAGGUGGUAAUUAUUGACUGAGACUAUAUUUUUUAACAUCAGGUUUGCAUGAUUCAGAAAAAAAGAAAAAAGGAAAAAGAAAAAAAGGAGCAGAUUUAUAUGGGGAAAAUUUAUUUUUAUGAUAUUUUCUCUUCUAAAGCAUGCACUGUCUCUUUUAGGGGGAAAAGAAAUUGUUUUGUUUCGCUAGGGUAAUUAUGAGAAUUAGGAGGGUUCUAUAACUUAAUUUGUCAACGCCACAGCUUCCGAAACUCUUCCUAGCAGUAGAUGGUACCGUUACCCAUGUUCUUUACGUAUAGACUAGGUUCUUUAUAAUAUAAAGCUCUACCAGCAUCCUUAAAGAUAGAAAAAGUCUGUCCUAACUCCAUAAACCUGACUUUACUAACUUAUAAUAUUAAUUGACCUGAUCACUUAUCGAAUAACUUGAACAUUGAAGAACUCAAUAAGUAAAUGAGAAUCUAAGCAGUCUAAUGCUAAAAAGACUUCUUAUUUGAAGACUCAGAAACCCAAAAUAUUACUGAAAUCCGAUAAGAUUGAUUCUCUCUUUCUAAAAAAGACUAUAAAUGUAAUCACAUCUCAAACCUAUAGACAACAUAAUUUCACAUGAGAUGCAGAAAGACCUGGAAAUUAAUAAUAAUCCGAAUAGAGAACCCAAUUUCCAAGUGAACAAGAAAUUGAAUUUUAACAUAAGAAACUUAUUUAGUGAUCCAAUGAGUUGAAUGACUGGAAACUUGAUAUGAGCAGAACCUGGUAUGAGUCUAAUGGAUUUGGUAUAUCUACAUUUUGGUGGGAUGAAGUGAUUGAUUCACUCAGCAUUUUGCUUCCAGAUUAUGAAGUUCUUAGGUGUAUCUCCAGGGAUUUGAACAUACUUUUGUAUCUACCGGUUCAGUGGAAACCGAACUUGAGAGGGACGCUAAUAGUUCUGACAAGAUUUGUGAUCAGUAAUCAAAGAUUAAUAUCUUUUUUUAUUAAAAGAUCAAUGAUUAACAUUUUGAAAGGAUAUUAAUAUGAUAUCCUGCAAGUCCUAGGAUAGGAAGCUAUGUACAUAUAUGUAAAUAGUUUAUUCGUGAGUUAUGAGAUACAUUUGGGAGUAUAGUGGUUUAUAUUUUUUUUUAUAGAUGAGGAUGAGGCAGGGUUAUGUUUAGAGCGUCCGCGUUUUUCCUGAACUUGCAGGUCCGGCUUGAAUCUAAGCUUUUGUUUAUAAGAUGUUUGCACAUGGUCUUAAAUUCAUCAAACUCAGAAUCCAAUUUACUAUUUCUUGAUUCCUCCAGAAAAAAAACAUAAAUAAACCUAAAAUUGUUGGAUUGUCCUCGUGAUCCUCAACACGUGGAUGGUGUAAUUGCUAAAGUUGCCUCCAAUAAUUUGUUCGACAGACAGGGUUAUUAUAUCCUUUGGGUGAUAUAAAUAUAUGGGUAGACACGUGUUUGUCUUGAUGCAAAAAUCCAAACCAUCUUUGUUGCAACCUAAUGGAAUCAUACACAAUGCACAAUAAUACAAGUGAAAAAGCUUACACUUCGACAAAAGUACAGAUGGUGAAAGGAGUUUUUGUCUUCUUCUAACAUCAAUAAGAUCUUCAACUUCCCACUUAGGAGUUUGGAUGAAAAGGACGAGUUACCUUCAAUAUUAGGGAAUUCAUACCAGACUCAGUCUGAUUCCCUUUUUCCUUUUUUAAAAAGUACAAGAUAUUUUUAUCCACUUCCAAUCUCUUCAACAAGAUAAAUAUUAAUUAUCGUUUCCAAUUCAUUGUGUGAAAAGUACAGCUUGUAGCAGCCCCAUCAUUCUAUUGACUUUAAACCCAAGGAACCCUUAUCCUGUUUACUGGUAGAAGUUAGGUGAAAGUCAGAGAGAAAUUUCAAAUCAAGACUUUAAACACUAAAUAUAUUUUAAGAAAGAAAAAGCAAGACUGUAUUGUCAUCUUAAUAAAAAGUCAACGGUCUUGCUCUGUAAACAGGAAGGUAAUUUACACAUGGGAAUGACAGGAAAGAGGAAGGUAAACAUAACACCAAGAAUUAUAGUAGUAAAAUAAGUUUUCUUUUGUCAGCAAAUGUGAUGUAAUUGCAACUGAAUCCAUAUAUAUAUAUAUAUAUAAUUGGUUAUAGAUGAACACAAUCCCCUAAAUUUUUAGGUUAUUAUCUUUUUAUUCUUUUUAAUUUUAUUUUAAAUGUAAUUAUCUUAAAUUUUUGUCAUUACAAAAAUUAUGUAUGGAUUAGACAGGUUCUUAUUUUAGAUAGAAAGUGGUCCGUAACUGAUAAUUACGAACAAAUUCUAGUGACAAAAUUUCAAAUCUUCUUUUAAUGUAGUAACAGAAUGAAAAGGUUACAAAACUAAAGUGUAUAAUAGUUGCAACACAAGUUUAAAGAUAUUAUCUGUUUUGAUAUCAGCUUUUACUAUUCUCAAAGAUUUUCUCAAUAACAACAUAUUAAAUCUUGCACCCAAUAAAAGAUUUGACAACAUAUUAAUUCUUUUGUCAUUUGGAAACGAAGAAAAAUUGCUAAGUGGUUGUGUAUGCUGAUGUUAAUGAAACAAAAUAUAUGUUAGUCCUAGAUAGAAGGGCAUGAGCUCAACUCAUUUAAUGGAUUGGAUUGACUGACCUCACAUGUAUAGAUUCUCCUAUUUUAGUGUAAAUUUUAACAUAUGGUGAUCUAAUUCUGUUGACCACAAAAUUUUAUUUAUAUAUACACAUAUAUAUAUAUGUGUGUGUGUGUGUGUUUGUAUAACCAAGCUUACUUAGUGAAUUACUUUAUGCAAUCAUAGAUACAAUAAAUAUAUAAAUAGAUUAAAUAUUUUUAUUCUUAUUUUUUCAAAUUGGUGUCGACAGAUUUUGUUUUAGUAAAAAUUUUAAUAUGUCAUCUUAAAGUAAAAGUAAAAUAAAAUUAUAAUUCACCAAAAAAAAUAUAUGUAUUCAUACAUAACUGAUAUCUAGUUUAACAUAUUUAAAAAAAAAAAGUAUGUUAAUGAGAAUUAUGCAUCGUGCAAUUAAUACUUGAUAUGACAUUAAAAAUUGAUAGAUUUAAUGAUAAAAAUUUCAGUUAAAAAUUUUAAUUUAAUAGAGUUAAGCAAUAUUUAAUACUACAAUCUAAUAUUUAACUUUAACAUCAUGUUAAUAGAAGUAAUGUGUCGUUUUUUAUAUAAUUAAUAAACAAAUUUUAAAUUAUAAAAAAAUAAUAAACUGUAAUUUACGAAUCUCCUACCUAAUCAAUAUAAAAAAAAAAACACAUACACACGCAAUCCAAUUGUUCUUGAGAGUUAGCAUAGAAUACAAACUGUAGUUAAUUAUGUUAUGAAUGUAAUAAAAAAUACUCUUUAUAUAAUAAGACGACAAUCAAAUGAUCAAGCAUAAACCGACGCUUGCUUUACUACAAAAGAAGUGUUUGUGUUUGGUGUAAUGAAAGUAACAUAUUGAAUGGCACGCAUCAAGAUUCAAUAAGGUGUAGAUCAUGUAGAUGUGGAGUAGUUCCUUCUAAUCAUUGCUUGCUCCAAAGUUAAGAAGCAAAAGAUAUAAACUUACAUGAUCUUGAACCAAUGUGACCCAUGAUAUUGAACCAAUGUGACCCAAUAAUUAUUAAGUGUGUUUACAUAAGUAAAAAAAAGUGACCAAGUUGAAGGUAAUUGACUUUGUUUAAUCUCUUACGAGUUUAUAUUUAGAUAGUUAAAAAAAAUGGUAGAGUUGUUUGGAUCGUUGAUUUCAAAAAAAAAUUUAAUAAAAAUAUUUAAUUUUAUUUACACACAAAUAUAUUGUAUAAAGAAUAGUUAACGUAAUUUUUUUUAGAACUAAAAAAAAAUGUUAAAUUCUUAUUUAAUACUGCAAAAGUUGAAAAUCAGUUAAAAAGAUAUUAAAAAUUAGAGAUUAAAACUAAAAUAUAGCUCAUUAUAAGUUAAUUAUUAAAUUUAAAAUACUAAAAUUUAUUUAGUUAAUAUAAGUAUUCUUAAGAUAAAAUUAUCAAUACGAUAAUUUAGUAGUUAAAAUUUUUAUAUUUAAUUUAAAAAUUAAGAAUUUAAAUCUUAUUAAAUAUUUAAAAUUCAUUACUUUACAAGUGUAUUAUACAGUGAAAGAUAUCGAUCCAUAAUAUUGAUUCAGUGAGAUUUAAAAUUUAAUUUAUUAGUAUAUUAGUAAGAUUACAGUGACUAAUUUGAAUUUAAUUUCAGUGAAUUAUGAUGUAUUUAAAUAAAAAAAUAUUUUGUAAUAAUUAAAUUUUAUUAAUUAGUGAACAUUUUUAAUUUUUUUAAAAGAAAAAUAAUAAGAUGGAAAAAGAAAUUAAUUAAAAUAGGAAUGAUUGGUUGAAUUUGGAUAUAGAAUUUGAUCCAAUAGUGUUUAAUUGGAUUUGCAAUUUUGAGAUAUAAAAAAACCAUACAAAGGAUAAUAUCUAAUGAUUAAUUAUGCCCAACCAACGACACUCGCCGCCCAUUACUGUUACCGUUGAUUGUCCGCAAAGCAACGUGGACCGAUUGGAUUUCUUCCACGUAAUCUAAUCCGGUUGGCUGAAUUUCGCAUCUCGAACUCCUCCCUCGUCCUAAUUGGUCCACGUACCCUCUUAUUAAUUGUAAUUUAUUAUUUAAUAUAAAAGCGAGGAAUUAGGAAGAGACGGGUCACACUGGUGCCUCCAGGCUCCAUCUUCCACCAACCAAGCCCUAAAAAGCCGAGAACCCAUUAAAAAUCUCACAAACUUCCACUGUCACUCUUCCUCUCCCCCCUUUUAUUUUGAACUUCGGAUGUAUGUAUGCAUAUCCUUUUCAAAUUCGGAAAUCCUUUUGGUUUAAGCAGUUUAAUCUGUUAUCCAAACAUAUCAAUUUGGUUGCCUUUUGUUUUCUGAUAUUAUUUUGAUUAUCUUGUAAUCAUUGGAUUGGAUCUGGUUCCACUCAUUUGAGGGAAUGGGUUCAUGUUCAUGUUUUUCCCGUGACUUCGUCUCCAAAAUGUUGUAAGUUGGGUUUUUGGAGCCGUUAAGUUCAUCGCCUUGCUGAGAUUUGCUUGCUUUUGCUAUGGAUUUUGAUUGGAUAUAACAGUGUUGACUUCUCGCUGAUUAUCAAUACCAGGCUUCAAUCAACUUCUUUUAUGCUAUGGAUCUCAUUGGUUUGUUUGGAUUUUAAGAAUCUUAACGCAACGGGACUCGUUACUUCAAUUUCUACCUCAAAUUAAGCUUUCGGUACUACUGUUCGAUUCAGAUUUUACAAAAAUGGCAACUAAUUUCAACUUGAAGAACUUCGGUAACGAACCGCUUGCCGACGGCGGCACUUCCGGUAAUAGACCGCUGGCCAAUGUUCCCUUGACCCGUCAACCAUCCGUCUACUCAUUGACUUUCGACGAGUUCCAAUCUACCAUANNNNNNNNNNNNNNNNNNNNNNNNNNNNNNNNNNNNNNNNNNNNNNNNNNNNNNNNNNNNNNNNNNNNNNNNNNNNNNNNNNNNNNNNNNNNNNNNNNNNNNNNNNNNNNNNNNNNNNNNNNNNNNNNNNNNNNNNNNNNNNNNNNNNNNNNNNNNNNNNNNNNNNNNNNNNNNNNNNNNNNNNNNNNNNNNNNNNNNNNNNNNNNNNNNNNNNNNNNNNNNNNNNNNNNNNNNNNNNNNNNNNNNNNNNNNNNNNNNNNNNNNNNNNNNNNNNNNNNNNNNNNNNNNNNNNNNNNNNNNNNNNNNNNNNNNNNNNNNNNNNNNNNNNNNNNNNNNNNNNNNNNNNNNNNNNNNNNNNNNNNNNNNNNNNNNNNNNNNNNNNNNNNNNNNNNNNNNNNNNNNNNNNNNNNNNNNNNNNNNNNNNNNNNNNNNNNNNNNNNNNNNNNNNNNNNNNNNNNNNNNNUCCAGUGGUUAUGCAACUCAGAUGCCUUACAAAGUAGCCCUCAUUUGCAAGUCCUGGAAUGAGGAGCGGAAUAGUGGGAAUCGGAAAUCAAGGAAUGACUAGUAAUUUGGUUCAAAAUGUUACACUGCAGGGUCGAGCCAUGGGAGUGGUUGGUUUAGGAGUUUCUCCCGGUGCUGCUGCUGCAGGGUCUCCUGCAAACCCAGCUGUCAUCAAAUGGAAUUGGUAAGAAUAAUGGAGAUACAUCUUCUGUAUCGCCUGUCCCUUAUGCCUUUAAUGGAGGUUUUAGAGGGAGGAAAUGCAGUGGGGCUGUGGAGAAAGUUGUUGAGAGGAGACAGAGGAGAAUGAUAAAGAACAGAGAAUCAGCAGCAAGGUCUCGGGCACGUAAGCAGGUUAGUAUUCGUUUAGCCCAUACCUAUUUCUUUUACUUUUGAUUAAUGUUCUGGUGGAGUACUUUCCAUAUUAUAAAAUUUUUGAACCGAACCUGGGCACCAAUCCAUGUAAUGAACUCUUGUAUUGUGGAUCUAAUUUAAUAACUUAAAAAUGAAGAUAUUUAGCAAGAAACGAAAAAGAAGUCAUGGAGAGUACAUAGGAAUGAAAUGCAUUCGUCAAAUCAACCAGUAAUUUUCCAUCUUGCUUUAUGCAUAUGAAUUCUGUUGAACUGUUCAGACUCAUUCUUGACGAAAUAAAUCUUUCUUCAGUGUCUUCAAUUGGAAGGCAGUUAAUAAGCUCUUGUCUUGGAUCUAGGGACUUGUUUCAUAUAUUAAAAAACAAACAAAAGGAACAAAAAAUCCUAUGGUAUUUGACUAUCUAACAAAAGAUCCUAUGGUAUUUAAUUAUCUCUGAACUAGUCUGUGAGACAUUAUGCUGGUUCUCACUUAAAGAAGGUUGAAGCUUGGAUGUAGUUUGAUGAAUAAUUCCAGCAGUUAACCUGUUUUUUGGGUCCAUAGACAUGCAUCCUAGAAGUUUAAUGAAAAAAUAUCGAGAAUGGGGAUGGGAUAGCAGUCUGAAUGGCAAUACAGAGAUCCUGAGAGGUCAAGAUGAUACGAAGUUAUAAGAUCCACCCAAGAUAAUGAUAAAAGUGACUCAAGGAAAAUGCCAGCACAUGGAAGUUGUAUCAGCUUCCAAGGCAACGACUUAUUAAGCUCAAUAACCUAGUUCUUAAUGCAUUCUGAAAAAUGCAUUAAGGUUAACAAAUAGAAGUUAUUGUACUUUAUUCAGAAAAUAAAUAGUUUCUUCAGAGUCAGUCUUUGGAUACACAAUUGAUGGUCUUUUAUCAUCUUCUUCCCUGAUGGUCUCUUCCAGGCUUAUACCAUGGAGUUGGAAGCAGAAGUUGCUAAGUUAAAGGAGGAGAACGAAGAAUUGCAAAAGAAACAGGUAAUUUUUGUGGUAAAGAAACUACUGUAAGCAGCAUGCCUCUAUUAUAUAUCUCUGAUAAAUUCACGUACUCAUUUCUGUUUUGCAGGAAAAGAUUAUGGAAAUGCAGAAGAAUCAGGUUUUGUCCCUUUCUUUUUCCAAUCACUUUUCAGGUUAUUCAUGAUAUAUAAAUAUUUGUUUUAUGUUCAUUUGUUGACGAUGUUCAUCAGCAAGACAUUGUUCUACACUUUCAUGUUUAUCUGUUUCCAACUAUGGAGAGAAACUUCUUAUUUUUUUGGAUUCAAAAGCAGAGGAAACUGAGAGUUAUUAGUGGAGAUAUUUCUGUUACUUUUACUAACAUAUACACCAAGAGAGUGCAAUUGCAGCUUUAGAAAUCUCUCAAAAUGUUGACUAGGUCUCUUAAAUCUUGUAAGUAUAAAGAGGGUGAUAAAAAGACAUAGCUUUGGAGCCAAACUCUUAUGGUCUUAGUCUCCCUCUUUUCAUUCUGUGAAGCUAUAAUGUCGUAUGAUGUAUACAUUUGUCUUCCGCUUGUGAACAUGUAACUUCUAUGAGGUGGAAGUGAGUGCAAUCUUGGAGCAGAACUGGGUAACAGAUUAUUUAAUAGAAAUUAAACUUGGAAGGCUAUAUCAUGACCAAAAGAGGUAAUGGUGUUGAUGACCUUAAUUAGGCAAAAGAUUACAUCAUUUAAUGGAACAUGUAAUCAAAGGAAUAGGAAAGCAAUCCAGACUUGAUCCUCUUAUGGUCUUGUUCUCCUUUUUCAUUCUUUGCUCUCCUCCUUCAAUAAACAGCUUAGAAUCAAAUACUCAUGUCAUAUCGCCUAUACAUCACAAAUAGGCCUAGAAAUUAAUUGAGUCUUGUCACUGACGGUCUAAUUUUCCUGCAUCUGCUGAUACUGUAGGUGUUAGAGAUGUUGAACGGACAGCGCGGAUCUAAAUUGCGGUGCUUGAGACGAACACAGACUGGUCCAUGGUAGAGGGUCCUCAGAUUGAGAUUGUGUAUGAUAGGUAGCUGUACAUAUUACGGCAACAAUGUAGAAGCAGAGGUUUUAGGUGGCGUAGAAGAAGCUUUCUAAUAUUUUGGAAUCUACUCGGUUCUAUGAUUGAAAGGAUUAGAUAGGGAAGGGAAGCUACAUACAUAUGUUUUGCUUUAGAUUCACGUGAUAUAUGAAUAGGAGAACAUCCAUGAAUCCAAUUCUGGAUGUUACAUUGCUCUGCUGAUGGGCAUAGGCCAGAAUCACAAAUUCUUUAUCAUCUAAUUAUGUAACAGAAGGAGAGAAAAAAUGAAUGUUGAGACAGGUGUGCAAUGGUUGUUUGUGUCUAUUGGAGAUGUAUACUGGUAAUAAACGUUUUGAAGAAUUAUGAUUACGAUUGUCCAGCAUACGCCAAACCCAUCUUCAUCCUCUCCUACAUCCUUAUUCCGUACUGUAUCUUAUAUUUCAUUUACUCCCAAUUAAGUCAACAACUAUAACCCACCACUACCAUCUUUCACGUACUCCCCCAUAACUUAUUAUCCCACUUAACAUUGCAUCUCCCCAACUCUGAGAAAGUGAAUUUCAUGAAUUUUUUUUUAAUCACAAUUAAAUUUAUAAAAUUAUUUUAUUUCGUAAGACUUUUUAUACAACUCCAAAAAUUUUGACGAAAAAUAAACUUUUACUUUUAUUUUAACUUUAAUGAAAGUUCAAAGUUAUACCUAAAAACAAGGUUAACAAACUUAAUAAAAAUAAUUAUUUUUUCAUUUAAAUAAUAAAAAAUGAUAAUAACAUUAAAGAAUAACAGUCUACAAUAACUAUUUUGUUUUUAUUUUUUAUUUUUUGUAGAAAAUUUUAUUUAAAAAAAGAUAUGUUCGUUAUAACAAAAAAUAAAAAGUAAGAUUAAAUUACAACAUAAUCCAUAUUUCAAAAUUUACCUCACCUUUUUUUAGCGAAAAAUAUUUUGAAUAAGCAGAAUUUUGAUUACAGACAUAAUUACUUAAUCUUUAAUAAAAGAUACUUAAAUAUUUAAGUAAUUGAAGUGCCUUACUGUUAACCUGAGAAGGAUUGGAAAAGAAUUGCCCAGAUAGGCUGCACCACAGUUUUAAACGACAAACAAAUAUCUGAAUCUGGGAGUUCAACGGGCACACAAGGAAAUUUCUUAGCUCUAACAAGUUUGAGACACUUCAGCCAUUCCAUCUGACAAGCACUACUCUAGUGGUUCCAAGCUGGCACGAUGAAUUCUGAGAUCCAUAUUUGCAGGGAGUCAAAAUUUCAGACCAGUCCUCCCAUUACAGAAACAAAGUGAAACUAUGCGGGUCACUAAUUAAGGUCAAACAUAUAAGAUCAUAUCAUGCAAGCUGCAUAUCAAGCAACUGCAGAACCUAGAAACAGCUGGAUAUAAUCAGUUUCGAGAUUAUGUGUAUCCCUAAUAAACUUCUAAAGUGCAGGGAAUUAAUAUUGUUUAAUUCUAGCAUGGAAACCCUGAGGCACAUUCCGUGUCCUUCCAUGAUAUCAUUCUCCUUCGAUCUCUUCCUCUAAAUGACCUAGCAAGAAGCUUACCACUAACUGGCUUACAUAAUCCAACAUCAAUCACUGAACUACUCUUUUUCACUUCAGAUGAUGGGGAACCGUCAUCCAUGUAAUAGUCAAACAACAUUGCAAGACAGCGCAGUUGAUGAGAUAAUAUAUAGUUCUCUUGAUCUACAGAUACCAUCUUUAACAUAUGAAGAUUGACCUACAUGACACAAAGGAGAAUCAGAAUAACUAAUAUAUGUUGAAGAGCUUAAUAAUAAAAAAAGAAAAGGUCAAAUCAACCAGACAAAGGAAAGUAAUUUUAGCAGGAAACUGUCAAAAAGCAAAAAAAAGAAAGCAAAGGGAUCAAUCCCUCUUGCAAUCCGAAAAUGACAGGACAGUUGGGAUAAGAGCAAUCAUAUAUCAAAACAUCAGAUUAUAAGCAAUUGCAUUGAAGCAUUUCCAGCGUUCAGUUUUUGCAAAAUGCUUGAAAAUGUGAUGAGAAAAGUAAUUCAUCAUGUACGUUGUUAUAAUAUAGCUAUGAUAUUCUAUCUGUGAAUUACCUCUGCUUCCAUUGAACGGAGUUCAUUAUAUCCCCCAGAGUUAUUGCUGUCAUCAUAAUCUUCUUCAGAACAAGCAUGGAGACUCAAUGCCAAAAGAGGAGGCCUCAGGGGAUACUCCCUGCUGAUCUUGAUCUGCCAGAGAGAUGCUAUGUCAAAAUUCCAGGUAGUCAAUGAGUGAUCAGAAUAUGAAGUUAAUGACAGCACUAAUACUACCUUUGCUUUCAAUUUCACAUCCUUCUCCUUUGCAUCCAUUUUCCUGGAUAAAGUAAGAUAGUAUUCUCUGACCCCAUAGUCCAUCCAUGAAUUGUCAGCUCUUUCAUGAAAUUCACCAGAGCCUGCAUUUUCUAUCUCCACCUCACUUGGUGCUGGUUCAUCUAGAUCACAAUCAAUAUCCAGCAUGAGAUCUGAGUCAUCAUAUUUCUUGAAACUCUGUGAUUUUCCCAGGGGAGAAAUAGUGCUCUUUGAUAUUAAAGUCAAUUGCCUGGAAUGCUCCAGGUUAGGUCCUUUGUUUGGAUUGAGUUUAAUAUCAUUUGCAGAAGAUGCAAAUGAAACCAAAGAGGGAAGCUCCCCGUCUUCCCUUGCACCUUCUGCCUCUUCCCUUGAUGGACCAGAUCUUCCAUCCAUACCAACAUCUACAGGUUCCUGUGACUGUUCGAUGCUAUUGACAGGCAGAGAUGAAAUCUGAUUACAUAGGGGCCCUAUGGCUGACCAUUCAUACAAACUGCAUAAAGGAGUAUGCAGUGCCCAUGGAACACUUUCAGAAUCCAGAGCAGGCCAUUUUAGCUUUGUAAGUAAAUCAAGCUGUUCCCUGUAGUUCAAUAAAAGAAGCCCCAAUUUUCAAUCAUAAAACACACAUCAUCAAGGACAAAUGCGGUUCUAGAAAAGCUCCAGCAUUAGUAUUAAUAAUGUGCCCACAGAAUCGACGCAGCAAAACCACAUAUCAUAAUCUAGCAAAGAAGNNNNNNNNNNNNNNNNNNNNNNNNNNNNNNNNNNNNNNNNNNNNNNNNNNNNNNNNNNNNNNNNNNNNNNNNNNNNNNNNNNNNNNNNNNNNNNNNNNNNNNNNNNNNNNNNNNNNNNNNNNNNNNNNNNNNNNNNNNNNNNNNNNNNNNNNNNNNNNNNNNNNNNNNNNNNNNNNNNNNNNNNNNNNNNNNNNNNNNNNNNNNNNNNNNNNNNNGAAAACGACAGAGCAGUGACUCACACAAGAGCCAGCUGAGCCUUUUUCGAGAGCGAAUUCUUUGCACAACUGUCUGUACCCGGUUCUGCUGGCGAUACAAUUGCAGACCAGAUACAACAGUGUCACUUUUGGCACUCUCAGUGCUAGGUUCUUGGCCAGUAAACAAUGGUGGGAGCUCGGGUAAAAAAUCGAUUCCUGCCAAAUGCUGAGCCCACUUAUAAGGUCGGGAAACUCUGUUUUCAUCAAAUGCUGGACCAUCACCAACAAGGAGCUUUGCUGACUGCAUUUAUAACCAGAAAAUUUUUAUCACGGAAUAGAAAAUCAAACAAUAAGAUGCAAGUUAGGAGAGGAGAUAUGGGUAUAAAGGAAAGGAAAUGUAUACACAUUCCAUACCUGAUGAGGAAGCUCAACACCCAUGUCAUCAGGAAACAAGUUGCAUAAUAUAUCGUUUUCAGAUCCUUCAAUUGCAACACAUACAACAUUCAACUUUGACAUGUAUUCGAACCUCAAAGUGAUGAGUUUUACAGACUUGGGAUCAUACGCCUCAUCAUCAAAUAUGUGAAGGAGGACCUUAAGUGGGUGAACUUGAUAUACUCUUGACUGAUCGAUACCCUCCUUGCUUGAAAUCCUUUUUGGACGUUUUCUCCUUCUCUGGCCAUCAUCUUCUUCAUCAGGUGCAUCAUCCUCCAAUCUGGAGCUCUCUACACUGGAAGAUAGGCCUGGACCAAAGAAAAGGCCUUCGUUGGUUAGUUUUGAAAUUAUAUCAUGCAGUGGUCAAUGAAGUGAAACAUUAAAUACCACAGAACCUGAGUUAAAUUCCAAGACAAGUUGAUGGAUUAAAGUACUCAAGAUCAAGAAAGAAACGGUAACUUGAAUGACUAACCCAAAACAAUCUCAUUGUCAACUAAACGUAGUCAAUUGUCCUAACUUGAUACUUACAACAACUGAAUAGACAAGUUAAUUGUGGAUUGAUUUUCCAGUAAAAUGGUAAGGUUAGCAUUGCUGGUGGCAAGAUCUAGCUCUAACUCACCAGGAUCCUUAUUUGCUUGCUGGCGGGCUGAAGCUUGAGCAUCCUUCAAACUCCCCACAAUUUCCAGCUCAAUAUUUUCUCCAAAUGCUUCUUUUUGUGCCAACAACUGUGAGUAGAGAACGUAGAGUGGAGGUGGAAGCAACUCAGUGGAAUGGUGCUGCUUUAGUUUCUUAGUGUGCAGGAGGCCCAACUGGUUCUGUACUGGCAAGGAUGCUUUCUUAAGAGACUUGAGGUGUGAAGGAAGAGUUGACAGGAACUUUUUCCGGCUUGCAAUAGUUUCCAGCAGACUUUUCUUGUGUUGUUCCAAUCUUGCACGAAGUUUACACAGUUCUUUGCGCUGAAAAAUAAAAAGAUUUUAAGUAUUUCCAUGUCCCAAGCUUUCUGUUUCAGCAUAUUAAAGAAAGGAUGAGAAAAAACGAUAACAAAACCAGUAGAACCAGAAAUUGCUUUAAUAACAACUCGACACUUAAAAAAGCUUGUGAAGAAAAAACUGAAAUCCGAAGUUCAUCCCUGGCAUGUUCAACCCUCUUGUAGAUGAAAAGAAAAAGGGACGCAAAGGGAGUGGUAAGUGCUUGCUAACAAGAGUUUCUCGAAAAGGGUAGGAAACCAGUGGUUAAAGAAUGUUUCAGUUUCUAUAUUUGUUGAAGACAACUUAAUCUAUUAUGCGGAUCCCCGAAGUUUGGAGCAUGCUCUUUUUCGUUUUUGUCUACAACAAAAAAGCAUCUCGUACGUUAGAACUAUCAUGAGUGCCAAAAUUCAAAAGCUUCCAUCUUGUAUUGCCACUUCGUUUGUCCCAAAGUAUCCUUGUCAUGAAAAAGUAGAAUUUUGCAAAACAAGUACAGAGCUUCCAAAGAAAAAGAAAAAAAAAAAAUCGAUGAAAUUGACCAGCUACCUGGUAGAGCUCAUAAUUAAGCCUCUUUAGCAUCAGAUCAUGCGAAAUGUCACUGGACAGCUUUUGCCCUUUAAUAUCUUCAGGUGCAUCCCGCAAAAAUUCUUCUUCAGGCACAAGUUCGAUAUCAGGAUACUUCGAUUUGAAAUCUUUGCAAGCCUUUAUAGCUUUAACAUAGUGACUCUUCUCAUACAUUAAAUUAUGAAGCUGCAGAGUCGUGAGAUCAACAGGCGCUUUUGCACGCUCUGUUUCUGCCUUAACACGGUCCUCCUGUAGCAAAAUCGACCGAUUCGCCUGCAACAGAAUCAUUGAGGUAUAAAAAUGCACCAACAUUCCAAUAAUUCCAGAAACCUAAGUUUUCAAUAAUAGCGGGUGGAAAAACCUAGGGUAGAGAGAGAUAGUAAUGCUACCUGACGUAGAUUAACGAAAUUAAGGAACAUUUGCGUAAGGAUUUCUUUGAGCUCGGAUUUGGGUUUGCCCUCUUUCUUCAUAGCAAGCAUUUUGGCCACAAUCUUUUCGACUGAAGCUUUGCUAUCUCGAAGCAUAUCAUAUGCCGAUUUCUCUAUCUUUGGCGGUGGAGGCGCUACCUGCUCAUCAUCUUCUAUCACCAUCCCUUCCUCUAUCUCGUCGUCUUCCAUUAUCUCCGUUCCUCUCCGCACUCAGCUUCGUCUCGCUGUGCGUGGAAAGGACAAGAAGGGUUAUUGAAAGUUCACAUUUUAGACAGCGUUACAAAACGGUGUCGUGUCUAUUUCGCUUGCUUUGCCGCCUGGCCAGCUUUGAGUCACUGUGUAAAACGACAUCGUUUUCCUUCGGUCGUUUUGGUGAUCCUUGAUAUAGUGGCUGCAGACAGAGGUGGAGUCUGUUGCUUAAUGUUGACCUAAAUUUGAAGAGAUCAAUGGGGACGGUUGAACUGGAAAGCGAAGCUCCUGCUAUCAAGAAACUGGGCUCCCUCUUCAAGCUCACUGAAGUACACUUAUGGUAACCUUCCUUCUAUAUAUCAUUAGUCACCUUUUCGUUUCCUUAGUAAGACAGAGUUGAACGAAUAUUUAACGGAAUCUAUCUCAUGAAUUCAAUCUUUAAAGCACCGAAGUUUAUACAAUCAAAAUCUCUUCCUUUAUCUGCUGUGCUUUGGUGGCUUAACAGGGAUGAUGGUUCAAAGGAAACGCUUGAAGUGUCGCGCUUCGCUGAACGCAAUGUUAGUUUCCCUCUUUCAACACUCUCAACGGAGUAUUUCCAGAAUAGUUUGCUUUUAUCUUGUAUUUCCUCUCAUUCACCCAAGUUCUUUUGUAUAAUACAGAAACUACCAGAUGACGGUGAUUGUGUAACUUCAGACAUCGUUUUUCCAGAUAUUGGCAAGUAUUCCAGUUGUUUUUGCUUCAUCUUUUACCACUUGAUGCUUGCCUGGCAUUUUAGAAAUACAUUUUUGCUUACGAUAUUCUAAGGCUUGCUUACCUUCUUUUUGAGCUUAGAUUGUCCUGAGGAUAUGGAAUUGAUAAGAGAGAUGGAUGAGUUGGGGCUUCCUCGUUCAUUUAACACUAACAAGGAGGUAAAAGUUGGAUAAUCUUUACUUAUUACAGGUAUUUAUCUAUUUAGGUUUCAAAAGGUUGCAUAGUGAACUUUAUUAAUUGUUCGGAAUGAGGUCGUUUUAUGUUAUUUGGUAGUUUAUCCGCUUUAAUUGUUGCUUUAUCUAUAAUAUUGGCAUUAUUGCAGAGAAGGAAUGGAAUUCGUCAUGGAAAAAGGAAAGGCACGCGCUGGAAGCGGUAUCAUAAUCACAAAGAAACACAUGAUAGACAAAAGGAAUGCCCCAGAGUGAGUGAGGUGGGGAUUGUAUCUCCUUCCGUUUUUCAUGAUAAGAGCAAUUCUUUUUGUUGCAUGUCAAUGCUGGGCCAAGGUGAAUACUCUCGCUAUAAUGUUGCAGUGGAUAUCAAUGAAUUGCAAUGCUGUACUCAGGAAGGAGAAGAUUCAGCUGAGGCGGCUACGAUUGCUUGCAGUAUUGUGAAGGAACAAAUCCCAUAUGGAAUUUCUGAUGAUUUGUCCAAUGAUGGUCAGGUCAUAACUCUCUUCCUUAUGCUGAUUUAUACCCAAGGAUGACAAGGAUAUUGAUGUCAGGAUUAAUUCAGGGGCCGAGCUUUCUUGCAACCAUGUUACAGAAGAACUUGACAGAAGUUCAGUCGAUUCUGAAUGCGUAAAAGGCUCCUUGAUAGAUUGCCAUAAUGAAGGGGGAAAAGUUUGCACUGAAAACAGUGCUGAGAUGUCAACAUUUCAUGAAACAGUUUUACAUGGUGGGAGUUCUGAACUUUCUGGUUAUGAUGACACUUGCAGCUAUAACUGCUACGAGGGAUGUGGAGAUUGGAAGGUAUUUUGGGAUUCUUUCUACUUGAGAAACUACUUCUACAAUGUUCAAACACAAGAAUCUACAUGGUACCUACCCCCAGGGAUGGAACAUCUUGCAGCCAGAGAGAUUAUUGAUAAGUCAAAUGGAACAAUUGCAAAGGUUACCCAAAUGGAUGUCAGUGAAAAUUCGUGUGCUACAAUUUCUUGUCUCAAUGAAAACUCUGCAGAAGUUUGUAAUUUGUAUGCUAAGCCCAAGUCGGCUGAGGUAUUUGUAGAUGAUGACAUACAAGUGGAGCAGCCACACGAGCUUUCAGAAAAAAUUGGACUUGACACUAACAACUCUGUCCCUGAAGGGAGUAUGCCUAUUUUAAGCAGUCACUUGGAGCUGCCAGAUGAACUUAAUGGGAUCAAUAUAAAUCAAACUGAUGAAGCUUUCUUAAGCAUAGUGUCAGAUGACCUGGAGCAUAUUGACUGGUAUUUUUUCCUUAUUCCAGUACCUAUGUGAAGUAACCUGCACCAGUCUUUGUUUAGGUCUCUUUUGCAAUGUUUUUAUCAUGGUAGACUGAGUUUCAUUGUUCAAUUAACUUUGUUAUAUCUGGGGGAAAGGGUGAACCAAUUUGGUGCUUAUGAGGUCUGCUGCAGUGUUUUCAGUGGAUACCGAUAGAUAGGAACUACUAGAUUCUUUUCUGCACACAAAUGGAUUUGUCAUCAAAUUACUUAAUAAUAGUUAAGAUUAGUACAUGAUACAUAUUUCCUUGUCUAGAUGUAUCCAGUUCAGCUUAUCUGUGUGAUCCCUCAGAAGCUGGGAAAACUUGGAUUUUGACACUGUCUUGCUUGCAGCUUGUCCCAUACAUCGUAUGAGGCUAUUUCUGAGGUCAAUGGUCAUGCGGAAGAUCAGUUGGUUGCAAAUUGCGACUCUCCUAUGAUGGAAGGGAAAAAGAAGACAAGAAGAUCACGAGUACGAAGUAAAUUAUCUAACAUCAGGAAAGGUUGAAUUUUUUCCAUUUGAUUAUCAUCAUAGUCAAUUAACAAUUUGAUGAUUUAAUUUCUCAUAAUAAAUUAGCCUCUCUAUGCAGAGCUUCAGCUGGAAGGGAUUCUUGAGGAAUAUCCAGCCAGUAUUGGCAAAUACUGGGCCCAGAGAUACCUUUUAUUCUCCAGAUUUGAUGAUGGUAUAAGAAUGGAUGAGGAAGGAUGGUUUUCUGUCACUCCUGAGCCGAUAGCGCAGCAUCAUGCUUCCCGUUGUAGGGGUGGCAUCAUAAUUGACUCUUUUACAGGUGUUGGUGGAAAUGCAAUUCAAUUUGCACAGAGGUUAGUUCCCACUGUCAUUUUUUUUUUAAAGUAUAGUUCCCACUGUCAUAUGACAGUGCUGUGCCAAUCUUCACUUUUAUGGUUUAUUUAUGAUAUGCUGCGGACCUUUGAGGUAAAUAUUUUUGUAUAUAGGUCGCAACGAUUGGUGCUUACUUAAUACACAUUUUCUUUUCUUCUCGGAAAAAACAUGUUGCUGCUCUUUCAGAUUAUUAGGCCAAAUACCAUUAGCAGUAAUCAGUUGAUAGUAAUGGUUUCUUGUAGUAAUGCACUCUUGGUAACUUGGACGAGCACCAUAAUAUGUUAAUGCCUUAUUGGCUUUGAUGGCUGAAUGUAAUUUUUUAAAGCAUUUUAGUUGAAAGUAUAGCUACUUAAUCUCUAAGACAUGCUGAGGAUCAGUAUUAUAUUUAAUUUUUGUUUUUCCUCUUAAAAAUUAUUGAUGGAUGAUGUAGUAAAGUUUAUUCAUUUUCCACUCACUAUGGAUUUAAUAUUGUGAUAUUUCAAGAGAAAGCAUGUUAUUGCUGUUGAUAUUGAUCCAAAGAAGAUUGAUUAUGCAUGUCACAAUGCUGCCAUAUAUGGAGUUCGUGAUCGUAUAGAUUUCUUGAAGGAGACUUCUUCCUGUUGGCUUGUAGUUAAGGUAUUGACGCAGCUUACACUUAGAUAUUAGUUAAUUACUUUCUGAAAAGGAGAUUGUUACUUGACUUUACGAAUAGUACUGAUUUUUNNNNNNNNNNNNNNNNNNNNNNNNNNNNNNNNNNNNNNNNNNNNNNNNNNNNNNNNNNNNNNNNNNNNNNNNNNNNNNNNNNNNNNNNNNNNNNNNNNGGUUUUCCAAGCUUGUUUCUAGGAAAAACAAUAUAGAGAAGGUCAGCAAUGAGAAGGUGGAAGUAAGAUUUUGUAGAAAAUUUACCAUCACUGACUAGCUUCCACAUAAUAUUGUCGUCUCUUGAAGGAUGGAUGAGAGAUUUUUGCAAAACCAAGAAGAGAAGGAUCCAUUCAUUAGCUCCUAAUGAUUGAGAUUAAGGAGGAUAGGGACAUUCUACUGGGUUCUGAUAUUGUACACAAAAAACAGUCCCCAAUAUUGCCCUCCACGAAUCUGCUGCUUGCAAAUAGGCCAGUUAAGUACUCCUUGAGAGGCACCCCUUCGCACCAAUGGUCAUACCAAAAGCUGCUUGUGUUACCAUUACCCACCUUUUAUAGCUUUGAAACCCCUUAGCCCUGUUCCAUCAAGCCAUAACAAGAUGGACAACACCUUCCACCUUGAAUCGCAUAUUCUUACAUUUAAAUGGUUAGGUGCCACUAAACACCAUUGUCAAGACAACUAAGGGAGUGAUCCAAGAAGAUGCAGGGAAGGGGCAAUUGUUCCUUCUCAUUCUUGAUAAUAUUUUUUUACUAAAAAGAUUAGCUCAUUGUUUUGCCAAUUUAUCAAAUUAUUGCAUUAGCUAACAGAGUCUAUUAAGUCUUAGCAGAUUCUUUUCCUCAUAGAGUAAAUAUCUUUGGAAUUAGGUCUUAACAAAAUAUAUGGUUCCUUGCUCUGAGAAAUAAGCAAACCAGAAAUGACAGCUGUUCUUUCUCGGAAAGAGCAAAAGCUGUUCCUGUCUCCUAACAGUGAAACAAAAGAUUAAAUUGUUGAAAAUUCUAAAAUUAACAGAGGAAUCUUCAACUCUGAAGAAGCAGCAAGCCAAUUUCGGAAAAAAAAAAGCAGCUCAAAUAUUCAUUUUUUUAAGAGGGAAAGACAAACUAUAUGAAACUAUGUUGCUCCAAUCAAAAAGAAAGAAACAAAACAAUUGCUAUCACAAACACAUUCGAAAAUCAGACCUUCUUCACACUCUGUAACAUAUUUUCUAUCCUGCAGCACACCUUGCCCCUCCUUUCCUUCCCACUUCUCAAUCAAGUUCACACCUCUACUGCACGGUCCAACCUCCUUUCUUGGUCACAGACAUCACCAACUGCCAUAAUACACACACCGGUUUUGGUCCCUCUCUUCUCCACCACACACAAAACCACCAUUUCAUCACUUUACUCUCACAAACACCCAAACAAGUCUCCCUCAUAAAAUCUCAGCCACCAUCAUAGUCUUGCCAAAUCCAAACUGUCUUCCUCUCCCUUCCCUACCGCACUUAUGAUCCUCUUGUACCAAACAAACCUCUCCAAGCCUUUAAAAAAAGUAGAAGGCAGAAUAAUUAAUAAUCAAAAUUGACACUAAAAGCUCAUUAUUAGUUUGAAUGUAAUGUAUACAUUUGUGAGUUCAAUUCAAGCUAUGAGGAUAGAUAGCUUGGUGCAUUCGGUAAUGUUGAUGAAGCAAUAAUAAGCUGAAAUUUAAGGUUUUCAAGGUUAUGUAACCUUGCUGAAUCAACAAAAAUUUACAGGCUUGGCCUCAUGUUCAUUUUGAAGGUUUUUUCUUGCUGAUGAGAGUUUUUGAGUUUGGGUAGCUUAGGGUUUGAAGUGAACUACAUAAAGUUAUUAUAGUAAUUAUAUUAUUAAAUAUUAUAUAUAUGCUCUUUUUACUUAUUAGAAUUGGAUUUUGGUUAAAAAUCAAUACUAGUUUGAUACAAUGGUAAAGUAUAAGCAAUUAAUUGUUUUAAUUAAAAUAUCAAGGAGCAAUUUGGUAGAAAUGAUAACAUACGGGGUUUAUAAUAAUAGCACGAGAACUAUUUACCAUUUUGUUGAGAUCCUAGAAAAUCAUAAACAGUUGCAAUAGUUGAUAAGAAUUCUUAUAUGCUCGAACUGUUACAAUGGUUGAUAAGGGUUCUUAUGUACCAUUUCAUGUGUAUAAAUAUUAGUUGUAAAUCAACCAAAAGAUGUAAUUUUUAUGAAAUAAAAUCAUAGUUUAUUAUUCUCUCACUAAAUUUUCUAUCUUUCUCUUUUCCCUCUCUACUAUUUCUUCUAUCUCUAUAUUUAUCUCUUUCUCUCUCUAAUAGCCUCUCUCUCUAUAUAUCUCUCUCUUUCUAAAACAUUCUUUCUUUCUCUCUCCAUUUCUUUCUUCCUCUAAAAACCAGUCUCCCUCUCUCUAUCUCUCUUCUUCUCUCUCCCGGACUUAGUUUCUUCUCUCUUUCUAGAAAUUUUUUUUUCUAAAAUUCUAAUUUUGUCUUGCACUUUCUUAAUUCUAAAUUCUAAUCAAUCUUUCAAAUUAUCUUGAAAUUACUCUAAAAUCAUUCAAACUUUAAUAUUUUUUUCAAAUUAUGGGUCCAGUAAAUCACAUGUUAAAACCGGGUCCUAAUACAGUUUGGGACUGAGGAAUAACUAUGUGACUUUUUUGGUAAGACUACAUUGUGAAUCAAGUAGGUGCACGUUGUGAAUUCUGCCCAUUUUAGGUUUCUCUUAACUUGUAGUUGCAUAUCUCAUAUGUUUUCAGCAUUUAUCUGAUUUUCUUCUCUGUGAAUAUCUUCUGUGCCACAGGCUGACACAAUCUUCUUGUCACCUCCUUGGGGAGGACCUGAUUAUGCUAAAGUAAAGACAUAUGACAUCAAGACAAUGCUUAAGCCACAUGAUGGGUAUCUCUCUUCAUAGGAGUUUCAUAUUAUACAAAGUCUGUUAGCUUUUUUUUCCCCCAAAUAUCAAAUUUUCUGGUUCUAUCUGUGCAGAUAUCAUCUAUUCAAUGCUUCUAAGAAUGUUGCUUCCAGGAUUGUCAUGUUUCUCCCAAGAAAUGUUGACCUCAACCAAUUAGCAGAACUGUCUCUAUCUGCUUCUCCUCCAUGGUCAUUAGAGGUGAUGUUUUAUAUAAAUAUAUAUGUUUCUCUUGCUUUCUUUAUUUUUCUUAAAAGUCUAUUGCUUUCUGUUUACAGAUACUUUUGUUGGCUUUGUUUAAUGAACUGUCACGCCUGCUCAACUCUCCAAGAGAAAUUGUUUUCUCUUUCAAAUUGUACUUUGUAAUGUCACUUGGAGGUGCUUUAUGCAUGUUAUUGUGCUCUAGAGUGAAACAGUUGGGCUAAGAAUUCAUUUGGAUGCUUAUGGAUGUACUAUAACACUAUAAGUUUAUGUAGUAUCCUGCCUUACAAUUGUACUCAUAAUGUUGGUGACUCAUCCAUUUCUGUGAUAGAAAUUGAGAAUUUGACCUCAUAGUAUCCAAAUGCAGAUGCAUCAUGUGCUUCUCUUAUCAUUGCUCUUCAGUAGGUAAUCUUCUUCUGCUUCAUAUUCCAGUUGGGUAUUUGAGCAGUGACCAUGCCAAACAACUAAGAUUAGUUUUCCUGGUACCAGCAUAUUUUCCUCAAAUUAUUCUUUCUUUUGUUCUACACUACAUUCUUGAAGCAUAUUUCUACUUUUUGUUCCCUUUUCUUCCUUCAUUAUAGGGUGUCUUUAGUCUCUUCAUAUAUAGCCAUAAAUUAAUGGCCUUACCAUUUAGAAGUUUCUGACCCAGGCUGGCAGGUGUCUGUAAAGCUGAUUCUGAGUCGUAAGAUGAUCAUUAGUUUUUUAUUAUCUUCUCUCAAUUGAAGAAAUCUAUUUAUAUUCUUCUAUUUGCUAAGGGUUGAUGUCUAUGGUCUCAGGUUGAGAAGAACUACUUGAAUGGAAAAUUGAAGGCAAUAACUGCUUACUUCUGCAGCAUGGCGGUUAACGGCGAAGGGUAGAAAUCAGUUUGAUCACAUCUAGGAUUGGCGGAAGGGAUUUGAAGUCUCUCUCUCUCUCUCUCUCUCUCUCUCUCUCUGUGACAGUAAUAUCACACGUGGAUGACCAUACUAACUGCCACUGGAAAUUUCUUUCUUAUAGUUUUAUAUCUAGUCUAAGUUUUCCACAGCCAUGCUCUUCCAAGAGGCAGAGGAAAUGUUGGUAUUAGCAAAACAUAGAGUUGGGAAAGACAGAGAAUAGUAUGUAUGGGAAGGUGAUGUUUGCAGUUAUCUUAAGGUUUAAAAAAAAAAAAAAAAAAAAAAAAGAAAACGAAAUCUAUAUCUCGGCAUCUUGAAAGUCUACUUCACAUGGGUGAAGGAGUUGGUUAUUAUUUCUGGUGGGACUGAUCAUCCCUGGAGCAUGCUGAUUGUUCCUCACUUUUAUGGUUUUCAUUUAAUGUAUAACUAACUAGAGGAGAGCUUUGUAUAUGUAAUGUUGCAUUCGUGUGGUUGAUUUAAUGAGAGAUGGUUUGAGUUGAAAAAGUGAUUGAUCAAAGCUGUGUUUAUGGAGCUACCUAAACUCCAAAGUUAUGUUUGUACUAACAUUUCAAAUGCCUAAUUGUUUUUUCUCGUCCAUUCUUUUAUCUUCAAAAAAUGCUGCAUUUCCAAAUUGCUUGUUGAACUCUCUACUCACACUGAAGCAGAGUGGAGUGGAUUAUCUUAUGGUUAAUAAAAUUAAAUCUCGUAAUUAUUAUCGUUAUUUUUUUCUAUUUUUACUGUGAUUAUUUCAUAUAUAUAUAUACUUUUAGAAAGCAAAAUUUAAAAAAUUACUAGUUAAUUUACCUGUCAAAAAUGACAAAUUGCAGUGUUGAUUUGAAAGCAAGUUGACUUCGUCACUCACUCACAUGAGGUUGUGGGUAUGAUGGCGAGGAGCUGCCCUGUAAUAAACGUUGUGGGGCUCUUUCAGAAAGAAGACCUGACAUUGGAAAGCAACUCAACGCACCUCAAUCAAGGGUUUAAAUUGAGUUGGUACCUACUGAUACCAUCUCAUUCAAAUGAAAAGUUCUUAUAGUGUUUGCCACCAUGAAUUUUAUACAAAUUGUAAAAAGAAAACAAAAAUUGAAGUCACAAAUCAAGUGUAUACAUACGAACUGACCCUAAAACUUCCCUAUGUAUGUAUAGCCUUCCCCAUCUUCUUCUUCAGUCUUCAUCGUAUAUGUAUUUAUAUGAUAUAAGGUCAAGACGUACCCACCACAUUACUUUAUUUAUCUUCGCACGUCCGUAUUUGGCAUAAAAUCUCAACCAUAUUUCAUUUAAUUAUUUUUUAAAUUCAAUACUCUCAAAAAAAAAAAAAAAUCAGGCAUGGCAACGUUUCUCCGAAAAUAUUUAAAUUUACUUUUUUUUUUUUUUUAUAUUUGUUUUUUACAAAUUUUUUUUAAAAAAGUAGUCGUUAAAAGUUUCUUUUUAAAUUAAAAGAACUAAAAACUUUUAACACAUUUUUACAAUAAAUGUUUUGUAAGUUCUUUUAUACUCAAAAAGUAGCCUUGAUUCAAAUUUUCAUGUUCUUUAUUUAAAUUAAUAUUCAUAUAUUUAUAAUAUAAUUUUUCCACAAGGCAAUAACGUACAAACUAUUUAUUUAGCAUUGACCGUAAAAAAAGGGCACGGUGAAAAUAGUAAAGGUCAAAAAAAAAAAAAAAGAGGUGAAUGGUGGGUCCACUUUACAGCUGUUGAUCUGCUAUUUUUUUUUUAUAUAUUUAAUUCUGAAAUUUAGAGAUGUGAUAAAUCAUUUCACGCAAUAAAUACCCACUGACACCAUUUACGCCCGCCGCUCAAACUUUUAGGAAUAUUAUAUGCUUAAACAAAAAUUAAUACAAACACACCCACAUCAACCAUUCAAUUUCUACCGUGGCAAAUGAAAUUUAAAUUAAAACACGAGUAAAUUUCAUGUGGGUUUCAUCUAUAUAUAUAUAUUUUUUUAUACGAGACAUCAUUUGACUUUUUACACCAUUUUUUUUUUAUUUUUUGUUUUCAAUUUUAAUUUAUAGUUCCAAGUGAGUAAAAUAAAAUUUUCUUAAAACAAAGAGAUUUGGAAGGGAGUGAUUGCCGUUAAAAUGUCUCAAGCAAAAACUAAAAGCAAAUAAAAGAUAUGAGGUGGUUGGUUGUGUUAGUAGCAAUCAUAAGUCCCAAAGUCAAACUCCUUAUUUAAUUUUUUUUAUUUUUUUAUUUUGGGUUCCUCAUGGAUUUUGAUUUUUGAUGGCCGCACUACUCGUGAUGUUAUUUCAUUAAUACAUAUAAUUAAUCAUAAUCACCCCCCCAUUAACUCCUAAAUCAAACCCAAAAACAUCAUUUAGUCUCUUAAAUUCAAACAAAAACUAGUGCCUCUUUUUUGACCACUUCAUUUAGAUAAGUAGUUGUAUUUAUUUAAACAAAAUAAUGAUAAUAUAUGUCAUUGUGUAUAUUUUAUGACUUCAAAAUUGUUUUGUAUUAUUGUUAAUUUUUUUAAAAAAAUUUUCAAAAGAAUAAUUAAGUAAAUUAAUUAGGUAAUAAAAAUUUAAAAUUUGCUUAAAGUUUAAUAUUUUAAUAUUAUUAUAAUAAUUUUAUUUCAAUAUUAAUAUUUAUCUAUGUCCAUUAAGUUAUUAAUUAAAAUCAAAUUUAUAAUUUAGGAUGAUGUAAUUUUGUACAAAUAAACCACAAAUAUGCAAUAGGGCCAAUAUUUAGUAUCAUUAAGUACAUUUUAAGUAAUUAAAUCUAUAUACAUUUUGUUACUUUUAAAAUUUGUUCUAUCGAAUCUUAUCAUAUCCGAUUUUAUAUAUUAUGAUAUAAGAUUGGAAAUAGAAUUUCAUACUGAUUUCUACAAAACAAAAUCUUGUAAUCUCAACAUGAUGAUUCAUUUUGAAUUAGAGUUGGCCCAUUGGAGAACCUACUGUCCUUUUCCAUGGAGUCAAAUUUCACGGUCAAGGCAAUUCACGUGAAAAGCAGCGUCACAUAGAGGAGACUCCAUGCUGGUUAUCAACAUUACAUAUAUAUAUAUAUAUAUAUAUAUACACACACACACACACAUAUGUUCCUUCUCGUUUCUACCCGCCAUAUAAUUUUUUGUACAAUCAAUCUCUCAUUGAGUGGGAUGAGAAGAAGCAAAAGCUGAAAAGGAGAAUGCCGGAGAUACUACAAAGCGGCUCUCUGAGAUCAGGGUACAGAACUCGUGAUGCCAGUCCUGACUCUGUCAUUUUCACACUUGACUCCAACUUCAGUCUCUUCUCCUCUGCUUCUGCUAGCGUUGAUCGCUGCUCCUUCGCUUCUGAUGCUCACGAUCACGACUCUCUUGCCUCUGAAAUCUCCCUGGUACAUUUUUAUCUCCCACGCUAAUCCAUCGCUGGUUAUUUCUUGUAGUGUAUAUAAAGAUCAAUGCCAGAAGACCUAUGAUGUUUGGUGCUUCAGUUGAGUUUGAUUUUAGCUUUUGAACUUGCCAUCAUUCUCCGUUCUUGACCUAAUGUUGCAUUUUGGUGACCUGUCACUUUCGUCUUACCCAGUUGAACAUUUUUGUCUCUUUCUGUUUUCUGUGCAUGAAUGAGAAGCGGAGUUGUAGGUUUCUCCUAACUCUCGCUCUCAUGGAUUCACAAUCAAAUUCUAUCUGAAUGUGGGGUUGGAAAUCGGGAUUUCUAGAUUGAAAAUGACGGAGAAGAUGAUAGAUUCAGUCUUAAUACUUUUUAUAAAUGAAAACUUGAAAGUAGAGGAUUUCUUUAUGUGGGUGGUGUUGAAAUCUGAUCGGUUUUAGUUGUGUAUGUGAAGCAUUUGGCAGCACAUGAUCGUGAUCAACACGAGAACUUGAACAGUCCAGAUCCAGAUCCAAACAAACACGCAAUAGUCCACAAGCACAGUCGCCUUUCCAAGAAAGGAGAGAGAGUAAAAGGUACACUAGCUUGAUUUUCACCUAGGUCGUGAAACAAUUUUUUUUUUUUUUAAAAAAAAAACAACAAAAGGAAAAGAAUCACAAGGGAGAGACAUUUAGAGCUACAAAUUUGAAAUUUCAAAUCCAAGUCACGCACUUACUGUUACCAUCUACUCUAUGCAGCUCAAAAACAAAACAAUGAUGCCAAGACAGAAGAGGAGACCCAGCCCUUAGAUUCGGCAAGAAACUCAUUCUCUUUAGCUCUUAAAGGUACCUCUCUCUCAACCCUCAAAAACUUAAACAAAUUCACCUCCUUGGAUUAAGCCUUUGUUCUAGCUCAAUCUUAGUUUGCCCGGAAGUAAGAAGCUAUUAAUUUGAACCAAUUUCUUUACAGAAUGUCAGGAAAGGAGGUCCAGAUCUGAAGCACUGGUGAGGAAGGUAGACAGACGAAGACCUGCUUCUCUAGAUCUAAACAAUGUCACUGCUUCUUCCCCGCGGUUGGGAGCCGUGAAAAAAAGCUCUGUUUCAACCCGGAAGCUUGGUGCCUUUCCCAGUCCUGGAACUCCCAAUUACAGGAACGCGAGUGUCGGAAUGCAAAAGGGUUGGAGCUCGGAGCGCGUACCGUUGCAUGCCAGUGGUGGAAGGCGGCAGGUGGGUGCUGCACUGUUGCCUCUAAAUAAUGGAAAGGCGUUGCCUUCCAAAUGGGAGGAUGCUGAAAGGUGGAUAUUCAGUCCCGUCGGGGGAGAUGGUGUUGUUAGGCCCUCGUUUGCAGCGCCACAGAGGCGGCCUAAAUCGAAAAGUGGUCCGCUUGGGCCUCCUGGGAUUGCGUUUUAUUCAUUGUAUUCACCUACUGUUCCCAUCUUUGAUGGGUGUAAUAUUGGAAGUUUCAUGCCAACCUCUCCAUUUUCGGCCGGAGUGAUGGACACAGAGAGAAUAGGAUGCACUUCUGGUGGCCAUGAUGGAGGCUUCAGUGUCCGGACAGAACCUUGCAUGGCCCGUUCAGUUAGCGUACAUGGCUGCUCUGAGAUGCUGACCCCACCAUCAUUGCCUUCCCAAGGUAAAGAUUUAACUCUUUCUGGAUUAGGAAUCAGAUUCUUUUCACAGACUCUCAAAAAUGGUACUGAUCUACUCCUUAAUUAGAACAGUUAAAACUUUCCUUGUGUUUUGUACUAGCAAGAAUUGUAUUGUGCACUGUUGAAACUCAUGAACUUCAUUCUUUCACAUAAUUGCUUUCUGUUGUUAUGUUAUUUUUGGAAGUAAAAGGGUUUUGGAGAAAGAUGACUACUAGAUAUGAUGACUAAUACUCUCACUUCCAUGCAUCUGCUGAUGUCUAAAUAAACGUACAGAUGAGAAGCAAGAUGGGGACAAUGAUUCAGCCACCGACAUUUCUCGCGCUGUUUCUAGGAGGGACAUGGCAACCCAAAUGAGCCCACAGGGAAGCACCAAUUCAUCUCCCAGUAGGAGGCCUUCUUUUUCUGUCUCCACACCCUCUGUCCUACCUAUUGUAGAAUCACAGAGUAUCCAAUCUGGUAAAUCAGAGGUGAGGGAUGUGCAGGUUGAUGAAAGGGUUACUGUGACUCGGUGGUCCAAGAAACAUAGAGUCCGAAAUACUAGGAAGAGCUCAGAAAUUGUUGAUGAUUGGAGAAAGAAAGCUAUUGAUUCUUCAUCAUGGGAUGUAGCAGAAACGGCGAAGGGCCUUUCCAAGUAUAUCUUCUGUUCUUAAGCAUUACCAUUCUUGUGCUCCUGUUAUUUAUUUGGCAAGUUAUUAGGCCGUAAAACAUCAAGUCAUAGUUCUCACUAAAUAAAAAGGUCAACUCUUAAAAUUCCCAGAAUGUGGAGUUUCACCUCUAAAUUACUUCUAGUCCCAUUCAAUAGAAGCUGAAUUCUCUACUUGCUACUAAAAAUGCUUCUCUUUUUUUUUCAACUUAAACUUAUCUUCUCUAGGAAGGAAGGUUCAACUUGAACUUAAGCUUCAAGCCAUGUGGAUUUUAUUAGCAUUUUUGUUCUCUUGCCACAUUCCUCCCAUCAUUUCCGAAAAUAGCCUUUCCCAAUUUCAAGCCAUUGCCAUUAAUCCACAAUUCUAACUUAUAAUUCAGAUAAUGUCUUUGAGCCAUUUGGAUGAUUGAAAAGGACAAGGAAAUUAACGAGUGUCAAUGACUACUCAUACUGCAAUCUUUUGUCCAUUUCAGGGUCAAAAGAGAGGAAGCAAAAAUUACUGCGUGGGAGAACCUGCAGAAGGCAAAAGCUGAGGCUGCAAUACGGAAACUAGAGGUUCCUUUUUUUUUUUUUUCUUGUUUCUCAACAAGGUUCCAAGCAUGCAUGUUUAGAAUGGUGCUAACUGAUAAAAUUCGGUGCAGAAAAUGAUUCUUUCCUUUUUUAGAUUUUCAUUGUCUUCUUCCUUUAACUUUUUGUUGUGGACACAGUAAAGAAUGAAACCAAGAGAUACUCUACCAAUUCCGGAUGUGUCUGAUUAUGAACUACUCCUUGGAAAUCAUCACAUGCACAACAAGGUCUAAUUAGUCAUCGUUACAAAAACUAAACUAGAACCUGAGAAAACUAAUAUAAAAGUGAUAGCUCCUUGCAGCAGUUGCUGCAGUUUUGGUCAAAAAGCUGGGCACCAAUUAUAUCAGUCUCAAACUCUUUUCUCUCUCUGACUGCAAAUUCUGCUGGCUGUCUUUAAACUAUGAAAUACACAUUCUUAUUUAAAUUAACAGAAGAUUAUUCUUAUUUAAAAUACCAGAAGAAGGAAAGCAAGGUGAUGGACGCCAAGGAGAGCACGAAGACAAAACAUAUAGAAAUUUUAUUAAGAUCCACAACCUUGAUAUCUUGGAUCUCAAUAAUCAAAACAUUAUCCUAGUAUUUGAAUAGUAGUACUUUAUUUAUAGACACUAAAUACAAAUAAAAAUAGAAAAUCUAGUAAAUAGAAAAAUAAGCUAAAUAGAAAGAAUUAAGAGAGUAUUUGGAAACAGGAUAUUAAAUCUUCCUAUUUCUUUUAUUGUAGAACUUUCUGAACGUUUUAUUUCUACUAGAAAAGGAAGUUAAAUCUUCCUAUUCCUUUUUCAGUGUAAAGCUUCACAAAAUGUUUAUAUCCCUUUAUUGGUUAUGCAUCAGAUCUCUUAUCACUGAAAUAUGCCUACUUUAGGAUUACAAUAUCUAGCAAUCUGUAAUGAAUUCGUAACAUUUCUACAGCCAUCCAUGAUGCACCUGCAAUAUGGAUUGAUAGUGUUCUUACAUGUGAUAACCUUGUAAGCUAAGCAUGUGUCUUAUAUAUGCUCUGUGAAAGUGGAAGGAGAAGACUAUUAUCUCAACCCUAUUGACCUAAACAUGCAUUUCAGAUGAAGCUGGAAAAGAAAAGAUCGUCAUCAAUGGAUAAGAUUAUGAACAAGCUAAGAUCAGCUCAGAAGAGAGCCCAAGAAAUGAGAAGCUCAAUGCUAGCUUAUCAGCCCCAUCAAGUUUCAAAGGCAUCUCACAAGGCUGUAUCUUUUGGUAGAACCCGCCAGAUGGGUUCCCUGAGUGGAUGCUUUACCUGCCAUGCUUUCUAAUGCCUCAUGUAGACAUCUGUAGCUGCACUUCACUCACUGAAAUACCUGGUAAUUUCUCCUUCUAACAGAAUCCUGAUUCAUUUCUUUCUAAUGGUUCUUUAAUAAAAAACACAAGGGUCCAUUAUGUCAUGUUUCCAGACAUAUAUAUAUCCUAUUUGUUGCUUCACUUGUUGCGUGCAUGAAGUUGAGUUUUUCUACAGAAUAGUUGCGGGUUAUACAUUCGUACUGAUUGCACUCAUUUUCUCCUAAUCUUCUCAACCUAGACUUCCUUCUUUGGAUUUUGUUGAAACUUGGUAGAAAAUCACCCAUACUUUUCAUUUGGAUGGUUUCUGAAAAUGCAUCUUGCUAACUACUUCCACGGGCAUUUUAGUGCUUCACUUAUGAUUAUAUAGCUUUGAAUUCCCACUUGAUACCCAAACUUCGGUUUUGUUUAUUGGAUAUAUUUACUGCAUGAAUUAACCUGGCGACAGUUAACAUUACCUUCGACAUGUACAUACAUUUCAUCUGAUCCCAUAUCGGGUUAUUAUUGUAGAUUGACAAAGUGGAGCACAAGAUAAACAUUGUACAGCUGAGUGCAUAUACCAUAUGGAGAGAUUGGAAUCCUUGCAGUUUUGAUCGGUAUGAAGAACAAGUAUCUGGAUCGAAGAUCUCAUAUAAGCAAUACCCUGUUGCAGUAUUCCUGGGGUUUAGUAUCAAACGUUUGACUAAUAAAUCUUGUAUGCAUGCAUUUUACAUAUCUAUGUCCAAUUUUUUUUUUUUUUUUUUAAUCAUGACAGUUUGCCAUAAAAAAUCAUUAGCUUCCCUUUCAUAAUUAAUACUUAUAUGAAUGAUAAGAGUUAUAUAUUUUGUGCAAUGGAACUGUUGUGUUUUCCACCAUCCCUUAGUUAUAAGAUGCUUUGUAUGGUGCUGUAAACAGUCUUAAAUCUAUGAUACCAUCGUGGCUGUUUAGAUAACAACAAUGUGUAUCAUAUUAUUUUGUCACUAAAAAGCUUUUGUUAUUAUUGUUGUUAUAAGAUGUUCGAAAAAUUAAUUACAUAUCAGGUGAUAAAUUAAUCACAGUAAUGAAGAUUUAAAUGAAAUAUCAAGUGUUAUUUUGAUCCUUCUUUUAUUGACAAGCCAGAAAUAUAUUUUCAUACUGUAGGGUUAAAAAAAAUGAAUAAACCUGAUACAAUUAUACAUCCAACAUAGAAAUUUUAACUAAAUUAUACAUAUAAUAUCAAGUUGUAAUUAGAAAUAAAAUAUAUUUGAACUAACAAAGUAAACAAGACACAAACACAUAAGAACAGAACUUACAUAUCUUACAUUAGACUUUCUUUAAAUACUCUCUUAAUCUUUCCACAUAAUAGUAUAAUUAAAAUGUCCUCAUUUCAAUAUCACAAUCCCAAAAAUAAAAAAUUCACAAUAACUUUGAAAUUUUGAAAAGUAAACGAGAGUUCUAAAUUCUAAAGUAACAUUUAUAAGUGCACAGAGUAUUUUAUUUCCAAUUAAACCAUACAGUAACUUUCAAGGUUAAAUGUUUUAGAUGUUAAAAAGUUAGAAAGACCCUAAGCGGGUAGCAUUCACAUAAUCUUGGGCACAAUGAUUUGCUAAUCCUGGGGUUACUAAUCCAAUUACCCUUAUCACUCUCAAAAACCAAGUUUCCUUAUAAUCUGGACCCUUAGCAAUCGGAAGGAUGAAGCUCCUUAUGAGCUCCCAAACUGCGUUUACCCUCUUGGGUAUGGCCCAUAACAAAGAAAAGUAGUUCUUGUUUUCUUCCUGCCAUGUCACCUGCAUGCAUGCAUGCAUGCCAGUUAUAAUGCUAUUUACUUUAGGAAAAAGGGUAAACUUUUUUCAGAGAGAGAGAGAGAGAGAGAGAGAGAGAGAGUACCUUGCAAUUAUAGAAACUAUCAACAAAGAGGGAAGGCCCAAAAUGCUUGAAAAACAGGGUUUUGUCAUCAUAAGGUAAUCUCGGCACUAUAUCAUUACAAUACACACACCUGCAAUAUCUCACACUGUACUUUCUCAACUUCUCCUCCAUGAACUCUCCAAAUUUUUUGUCCCCAACCCUUGGCUGCCCAAACGUGUAAACCCCAUCUAGUCUCUCCAGCAACCAUUCCUCCUCGUGUAACAUUAACACUGCCACAAACAAGAUUGCCAGUGACCCACCCAAGCUAUGCCCUGUGACUAUAAACUUGGCCUUGUCAUUAUCCUGCAAUAUUCGUUUCAAGAUCUGCCUGAUUGAAUAGUAAGCAAACGGAGGUGAGUUUGUGGGUCGUUGAAUCUCCUUGGGCCAUCCACGGUCUUUUUGUAAGCCGAGAGCUUUCAUAAACCCAGCAUGGAUCUUACCCACAUUCUCUAUCUCAAACCACGAGAUGUCCACGUCUGUGCUCCACCCGUCUGCAUCAAAUGGGUCUGUUCCUCUGAAUGCCACCACUAUGAGAUCUGGCUCACUUUUUGUGUCUCGGGCUAUGAAUGCUUGUGUUGAAAAUCGUUGCUGAUAAUCUGCCCCAAACUUUUUUCAAGUUAUUACUAGCUUUUAUCUUUGAUAUUAAAAUCAAAUUUCACUUUAGUUUAACCAUCAGAGUUUCCUGAAUUAUUUGUUUGCUAAUUCUAAUUAAUAAUACAAAGAACUUUAAUAUUCGUAUUGGGUUCCCUGAGUAGAUCCACUAUAUCCUAAAGUCACAACUCUUAAUUUUGAUUUUUCUUCUGCAUAUUCUCCCUAUGCCCCUUAACAUCUAUCAUCAUCUUUAACCUAUGGCCACUAAACGUGACACCAUCUACCCUCUUCGUUGCUGCCCCUGCUUCCUCAAUUAUAACCAUCCCUAACAAAGCCAAAUAUUUGUCCCUCCAUCUCAAAAUGAAAUUUGUAAUAAAAAUAUAAUUAAUUUGUAGCUUUUGCUUAAAUGGGAUUAUGAUAUAUUAAACAUAGACUUCAUAUUUGAUCUUAAAUAAAUUAAAUAUAUGGGAUAAUGGUGUAUCAAAUAGGACCUUUUCAAGAUCUUAAAAUUUAUAAUUCAAGUUUUUAUUUAUUAAUUAAAAUUAGUUAAAAUUAAACAAGUUGAAAAAGUGAUUAUCCCUACUACAGAAAAGAAUUAGAUAGUAUGGUGUGAGGUUAAGUAUUAACUUAGCUAUUUACGUAACACUUUUACACGAAGUUGACAACUCCGAAUUCAAGUUUCGAUUGUUUCAUUACAUAGCCACAGAUAAACUUAUUAUUAUUCAACUUCUGUCAAUGCAUUAUGAUAAAUUUAUCUAUGUUGACAAAGCUACCUACAAUUAUGUUCCUCUGAAAAUUUGGCCCUAGUUGGAAUAGAAUCCAUAAUUUCACCCUCUCGAGUCAUGUUAUGCUCUUGUAACAUCACACAUUAACUUUUGCCUAUCGUAGCUAUUAUUACUCCAAACAUGGCAAACUGUGACUUUUCAUCUAAAGUUUUUUCCAAACUAAGACAAGACCGCUCGAGUUUUGUAACCAGAGGCUUUUGGUAUGAAGUUUCUCUUGAGAAUUAAUCACAGAGGAGGAAGAGGAAGCUACCAAAAAAAUUUCUUUACUACUUCAGGAUUGCUGGUGAAUCUAAUGUUCAUGCUCCAUCAAUUAAGUGAAGUUAUAUAUACAUAUAUAUAUAUGGGUGUGUGCGUGUGUGUGUGUAUAUAUAUAUAUAUAUAUAUGGGUUUCCCUCAUCAAAAAACUGGAAAUCCCUUCUCUUUAUCAUUUUACCACAGAUUUUAUAAUUUCUCUGCAUAUUUGUAAUAUAUUUUCCCUAAAAAUAUCCACAAAAUGAAAACGAUGAUCACCUUAUUCAGGUCAUGCACGUCUAAAUUCCAUAUUUUAGACACGAAGUUCUAGAUUAUGUCAUUGAUCCAGCUCGCCAGGCAAAAUAGAUUAUGAUUGACAGGAUUUAAACUAAAGUUAUAACUAUCCACCCUCGAUUAUCUAAAAUAAUGCUGUACAUAUAUAUUAUAUAAGCGCCAACGUGAUUAAACACCAUUAGUCUAUUACUUUAAAGAGAGAAACCAACUCUACGUAGGUGACUUAACCAGUACUAUUAUGUUUACGUGAUUUAUAAAUUAUUAAGUUAAUGCCGUAAAUUAUUAUAUUAAUUAUUAAAUUACUAUAUUAGUGUUAUAAAUUAGUAUUAUAAAUUACUAUAUUAGUAUCACAAUUAUAAAAAUUUGAUUAGUUGAUUUUUUUAUGUAAUAAUUUUUAAUUCUUUUUAUAUUAUGUAAUUGUAUUUAUAUAUUACCUAUGAAUAGAGAAGAAUAAUCAUCCAUGAAUUAUUUACAAACUUUAUUGUUUCACAUGGUAUCAGAGCGUUUUUCCUAAAAAACCUCUUAAAUCAAAUCUCGUAUUUCUCUUUGUAAAAUCAAAUGGCUGAACUAACUCCUUUCAUAUCCAACAACUAAAUACCACCAAUUGUCAUCCAUCAAGAUAACUCUACAUUUCCUAUUAGUACCAUAUUAGAUGAGAUAAACUACUCAUUAUGGUCUCAGCUUAUGGAGAUGCGAAUUGGUGCUCGAAAUAAAGCUGGUUAUCUUACUGGAGAAAGGAAAAAAACUAUACCUAAAGACUUAAUUACAAAACAUGAGUAAUAGAAAAUUAGAAAGUAAAGAAUUGGCUUAUUGACUCAAUGAGUCCAUCCCUCAUGCAGCAAUUUAUUUGUCUUUCCACAGCAAAGAAAAUAUGAGAAGCUGUAUCAAGAACUUUUUAUGACAGAUCAGAUUAAACCUAUUUAUUUGAGUUAAACCUGAAGACAUUUUCUACUACACAAAAUGAUAGAUCAUUGUCUAUUUACUAUAAUGAACUUGUUGCUAUUUUUCAAAAAAUUGAUCAUAGAAUUGCCUCUUAAGCAGAAAUAGUCAGAGACGUUGUCUAGUUGCAUUCUGUAAUGGCUAGACUUCGAGUUUAUAUUUUUUUAAGUGAACUUGAUUCUGAGUUUGAUCAAGUUCGUGGAGAAAUCUUGCGAAAAGAUCCAAAACUAGAUUUAGAGAGUGCAUAUGCAUAUGUAAGAAAAGACUACCAACAACGACAGACAAUGGGAGGUUCUCGAGUGAUCUUAGAAAGCUCAGCCAUGCUUGCCAACCGAAAAUUGCAUGGAUCAUCCUCGACGUCAGCAAAAACUCAAAAUAAUCAAUUUAUUGGAAAGUCCAACAAUUUUAUAUGCAGCCAUUGUGAUGAAACAGGUUAUUCUAAAUAACAAUGCUAUGAAAUCGUUGGUUAUCUUGAAUAGUGGGAUUUCUUAAACAAACCACAGAAAAAGAUUGCAAGAAAAGAUAUGAUGAUAUCGUCUAAGGAAGUUGAAUGUAAUAUGGAGGAUAAUUUGCAGCCUAUAGCAAAUGUUGCUCACCCAAGUAUUAUUAAUCAAACAAAUAUUUUUUCUACAACUUCUAAGAAUAUAACUUGGAUUAUUGAUACAGAUACAUCUAAUCAUAUAACUAGAGACUCUAGCGAGUUACAAUCCAUUCGCUUAUCUUCUCAAUUCGUUAUAUCUACAGCUAAUGGAAGUAUAACCCCUAUUACUAGAUAAAGAUAUACUAUUUUAUCUACUUCUCAAUUCGUUAUAUCUAUAGCUAAUGGAAGUACAACCCUUAUUACUAGAUAAACAUAUGCUAUUUUAUCUAAUACACUCACCUUGGAUACAGUUCUUAUUGUCCCAUCUCUUGAAUAUAAUCUUUUAUCUGUGAGUCAAAUUACCUUAUCUCUUGAUUGCACAAUAACUUUUUGGCCUUUUUUUUGUGUAUUUUAGGAUAUUCUGACCUGAAAGAUCUUGAUUAUGAUAUUAAACGAGACAAACUCUACUACUUGAAAUUGACAGAAAAUGGAAAACAAAAAGUUAGUUGUGCAUGUCAACUAGUAGUGAAGAGAAAGCUUGAACAACUACAUAAUUAUGGUAUAGAAAAUUGUGGCAUCUUUCUUUUAGAUAUCUUCAAAAAUUGUAACUAUAUUUAUUUUUGAACUUAGAUGUUUCUGAUUUUUAUUGUGAUAUUUGUGAACUGGUUAAAAGCCAUCGCAUUCCUUACUUACCCAAUAUGAAUAAAUGUUCUGAACCUUUUAUUGUCGUACACUCUGAUAUUUGGGGACCUGCAAAGAUUCCUUCUCUGUCUAAAGCUUUAUAUUUUGUUACGUUCAUUAAUGAGUGUACUAGAAUGACCUGGGUGUCCUUACUUGAGAGAAAAAGUGAUGUUUUCACAGUUUUUCAAGCAUUUCAUAGUUUGGUGGGAACUCAAUAUUAAUGUCAGAUUUCGUGUUUAGCAAUCUUACAAUUAAAAGAGCUUGUUGAUGCAAAGUUUAAAANNNNNNNNNNNNNNNNNNNNNNNNNNNNNNNNNNNNNNNNNNNNNNNNNNNNNNNNNNNNNNNNNNNNNNNNNNNNNNNNNNNNNNNNNNNNNNNNNNNNNNNNNNNNNNNNNNNNNNNNNNNNNNNNNNNNNNNNNNNNNNNNNNNNNNNNNNNNNNNNNNNNNNNNNNNNNNNNNNNNNNNNNNNNNNNNNNNNNNNNNNNNNNNNNNNNNNNNNNNNNNNNNNNNNNNNNNNNNNNNNNNNNNNNNNNNNNNNNNNNNNNNNNNNNNNNNNNNNNNNNNNNNNNNNNNNNNNNNNNNNNNNNNNNNNNNNNNNNNNNNNNNNNNNNNNNNNNNNNNNNNNNNNNNNNNNNNNNNNNNNNNNNNNNNNNNNNNNNNNNNNNNNNNNNNNNNNNNNNNNNNNNNNNNNNNNNNNNNNNNNNNNNNNNNNNNNNNNNNNNNNNNNNNNNNNNNNNNNNNNNNNNNNNNNNNNNNNNNNNNNNNNNNNNNNNNNNNNNNNNNNNNNNNNNNNNNNNNNNNNNNNNNNNNNNNNNNNNNNNNNNNNNNNNNNNNNNNNNNNNNNNNNNNNNNNNNNNNNNNNNNNNNNNNNNNNNNNNNNNNNNNNNNNNNNNNNNNNNNNNNNNNNNNNNNNNNNNNNNNNNNNNNNNNNNNNNNNNNNNNNNNNNNNNNNNNNNNNNNNNNNNNNNNNNNNNNNNNNNNNNNNNNNNNNNNNNNNNNNNNNNNNNNNNNNNNNNNNNNNNNNNNNNNNNNNNNNNNNNNNNNNNNNNNNNNNNNNNNNNNNNNNNNNNNNNNNNNNNNNNNNNNNNNNNNNNNNNNNNNNNNNNNNNNNNNNNNNNNNNNNNNNNNNNNNNNNNNNNNNNNNNNNNNNNNNNNNNNNNNNNNNNNNNNNNNNNNNNNNNNNNNNNNNNNNNNNNNNNNNNNNNNNNNNNNNCCAAGAGAUUUCCAAAGUAAUAAUAAAUUUUUAGUCUGGAUCCAACCACGACCUUAAUGUGUAGACUUAAUUUGAAGCCGCCCAUCAUAAUGGAAGUUACCUACUUCCAUUAUCAACUUUCUAAAGAUGAACAGGGGUUUAUAAUUGCUUGCAAGGAUCGCAACAAAUUAUUUCUGUUCAAUUCUCAAUAUAUAUAUAUAUAUAUAAUUAUAAUAUCAUUUUUGUUUAAAAAAUGAAAGAUAAUGUGAUCGUAUUAAUAUAUUAAUAAAUAAUUGUCUCGAAAUUCUAACUAAACGUUACACGUUUUACACAUGAAUUCUUAAUUAUUUUCUAAUAAUAAGAGGAAAGAGAGGGAAAUUAAUAAUUAAUGAAGUUUUUAAUUUUCUUUUAAUUAAUUCAAAGUGCUAAAUGGAUGGAAUAUUUUUCUGCCCACCGUCCACCAUGUGUGUUAAUUGGGUAUGUUUCCCCGUAAACAAUGUCACGACUUAUGCAUAUAUAUAUAUAUAUAUAUAAUACUAGUUGACGCCUCUCAAUUAAAUGCUCUCUUUCUUAUAUUGGGUAUUUUCAAAACUAUUUUUCAACAAUCGGUAUAUAAUAUAUAUAUAUAUAUACAUAAAAGGUGCCAAAUCAAUUGGACAUGUAAGUGCCUCGAUAGCCCAAUAAACUUUACUAGUUGGGCUCAUCCAACAUUGGGAUUUCUUUGGAUUGGACUUGUUAUUCUUAAGCCCAUAAUCCAAACAUUUAUUUGUUUAUCAAAUGUGCUUAAAGUAUAUUUUCAAAUAUAUACAUAUAUAUGUACAUAUAUAGAAUGUUCGGAUUAAUAUAACAAAUGUUAAAGCUUCGUUAGCUUUAGUCCAAAAUGAAAAAGCUUUUCUUGUUUUAUUGAAAAUUCAUAUAUAUAUAUAUAUAUAUAUAUAUAUAUAUAUAUAUAUAUAUACACACACACACACACAUUAUAUGAUUAAAAUUCAGGGUAUGUCUGUAACAAAUUCAUAUUUUUUACACGAAAUUUAUUAAUUUUGUAAUAUUAUAAAAAGAUUUAAUAACUAAUUACUAGGCAAUUAUACUAGGUAUUAUAAUAAUUAAUUAUUAAAGUGCAUUAAAAUAUACUCCCUCUAUCGAAUACAAAAAAAAUGAGUGUGUAGUUAAUUGCAAGUAAUAAUUUCAGUCUCAUGAACUGUAAACUAACCAAUAUAAUAUAAUGACAAUUUUAUCAUAACAUUAUUAUAUUUUUACCCAAAUAAAUUAUUACGUUGCAGCCUUCUUCUUCUUCUUCUUCUUCUUCUUGAAAAGUAAAAUAACUCAUUAAAUUACCAGCAGGAGUUCUUUAAUUUUCUUGUCAACUCACACCUAAAAUAUGUAUACGUAUGUUAUAAAGAAAUUUAAUGAACCUUAGAAACUUCAAAGAAGGGAAAAUAACAAAAUAAAUGGUGCCCUCUGCUCACAAAAAAAAAGGAGUAAUUAGGUGAGGAAAGGACCACUUUAUCAGUGUGGAAAACUGAAUUAUGAGGAGGACCAAGAGGGGUCAUAAUAGUUGACCAUUCCAAUUGCACAAAUACAAUGGUUAUGGUCACCCAAUUUUAUUACGGUUUUGAAAGCUUGUGAUAUUUCCUCUAAGGGGGUCAUGGGCAUUGAAUAUUUGCAUAUAUAUAUAUAUAUAUAUAUAAUCUUUAUAUACAUAUACAUAUAGAGAGAGAGAUAGAGAGAGAGAAGGGUAUGGAAACAGAAUUAGGACAAAGCUUGGCAUGAGUGUGUGGGUAUGCAUCCCUCCUAUCAAAAAGAGACAGUGAGAGGAAGAAUAUUGUCACAAAGGAUUAGAUUGUGUCUCUCUCCAAUUGUCCCCUUCUAGAUCUAAUCCAACAUAUUUUAAUGCUUUGUUCACUUUUAUUUUAUAUUUUUUGUAUGUUUUUUUUCGAUGCUCUUAAAGAUUUUUAUCAUUACAUAUGCAUGAUGCAUUCAUAUUUAUACUGAGAUAAAUUAUUAUUAUGAUUUCAUUACUUUAACUCAUCUUAUAAUUUAGUCUUAAAUGAAUUUUUGUUAUAAUUAUCUUUAAAUUUUUUAUAUAUUCUAAAUUAUUAAUAAUGUUUGGUUUUUUAAAAAAAAAAAAAUUAAAAAUAGACUUAUAUUUAUUUGAAAAACACAAACAAAACUAAAGCUAGCUUCAUCUACUUGUCUCGUGCUCAUCUUAAUCAAAACCAUAUUGUUUUAGAGUAAAAAAAAAAAUUUAGAAGUUAAAUUGAACAAGGGAAAUUUUUUUUCCAUACUUAGCUCAUCAAUGAGUAACACAUACUUAUAACGAGAAAAGUGACAAACCAAGGUUGGAGCUACGACUCAUAUCUAGUACGUAACUUUUAAGUAGGCCUUUGGACCAUCAAGGCCAAAAAAGAAAAUAUUUUUCUUACUACGACACACAGUUGGUUGUAGCAUCCUCGUCCUCCGCUUCUGUUGUGCCGCCUUCGUGAUUUUUGCUUCCCUGCAUGGCACUACCACCAUUACUCAUGAAAUCUAUAGACUUUGUUCAUCUAUCAAAGACACUUAUAUAGUCAUCCAUAGAUGAUUAUGCAAAUUCUCAUAUGUUUUCAUCCAACUAGUAGUUUAGCCAAAAAAAAUUAAAAAUAAAAUAGUUUAUUUUUUAAAAAUAAAUUUAUAUAUUCUUUAAUUAAAUAAUAUACAUUCAUUAUUGAUAACACAAAAUUUUAUUUUUCGAUUGAAACUAAAGACGAAUAUAAAAAAAAAUAUACAAAAAGUAUGUGAGAAAUAAAAUAUCAAGAUCUUACAGUGUGAUACUCAAACGCUCACAUAAUCACAAUUAACUAAAAUCUGCAAUCUCAAUGAUGUCGUUCUGUAAGAAUUAAACAAGUCAAGAUUUAUAGUUUUUGAAACAUGAAAGUGUCUUUAAGUAAGAACGGUGUACCGGCAAAGGGUAAAUAUUAUUAAAGGACAAGAACCCUCAUAUAUUCCAAUACCCAAAUUUCUUAAGACUCAAUAGUGCAUUUACAUAAUUGAUCUUGGCAACUUUGGGGGAUGUCUCACAUGGGUAUUCUCUCGUAAAUUAGUUGACUCGUCCUUCCUCCUUUUCAAUAAAAAAAAAAAGAAAGAAAAUCCCCUUUUAAAAUAAAGUUAUAUGAUUAUAUUCCCAAGAUUGAGUGGGAUUAAAAUAGAGUUAAUAAUAGAAUGGAAUUGGGUUUGUUGUUGAGGGCAUGAUUCUUGAGACAUGAUCACUUUUGCAAUUCGACUCUGCAAGGGAAGCAACCUGCCUCCCCUUCGUUUUCUAUUUGUUUUUGUUUGAAAAAUGCACAUCUUAGUUGGAUCUCAUCAUCUCCUUUUCCUUAAAAUAUUUGCUCACCAUCUUUUCAAGUUUUCUUUUUAUAAACUUCUUCGCAAUUAUUGAUGUAUAAUUUUAUCUAUUUUCCAGGACAUAGUGAUGCUGUUUAUUGUUAUAUAUACACCCAUAUACAUAUAUAUAUAUAUAUAUAUAUAAGCUUAUUAUAAAGAAAAUGUGCUCUUGGUGUGGGUCAAAGGUGUGCGUUUGCCAGCUGAUGUUCAAGCAGUGUCCCUCUAAGUCCAGCCCAUUACUGGCGCCCUACUUAAUAACUACUGCCUAAAUCUCAUCUAAAUGAUCAAAACAAGUGGUUAUUAAAUUUAGACAAUUUGAUGAUUUAAAAUUUUAUGUUUUAAUUUACAUAAAUAAAAUUGCAAUUGAGAUUUACCAUUUAAAUGUGAAAAUUUCAAGAAUAUAUAGUUGAAUUUCUUGUUUUGAAACCAAUUAAAUUUACUUGAACUCGCGCAUGCAUAAUCAUAUGUGACACAAUAAUAAAAUCUAAUGUUUCUAUAUUCCAUGUUGUUUGCCAUCAAAGUAACUAGUACAUAAGAUAGAUUUGAAUUUGGAAUUUAUUAGUUAAAAGAAAAAUUUAACAUUUUACUUAUUUCAUAUAAUGGUCGCAUAACCAUUGGGUCCAUCAAAGCGUAAAACACCUUAGAACUUAAUUCAGAAAGUGACUGUCCAUAUUAAUGAGUUUGACUUAUAAAAAAUUUGGAGAUACACUUAAUGAGUCUAAAGGAUAAUAAUGAUAAAACUAUAAUUUGGUUUCCGCCUCAACAUAAUUAUAUAAAAUUUAACUGUUUAUGACUUGAUAGGGAGGGAUGAAGGAGUUUUGGAGUUGUUUGUAGAGAUCAUAAUAGUAAUGUUAUGUUUGCGGGAAUAAGGAGUAUAUCUUUCCUUUCGACAAUUGAUCUUGUCGAACCUCGAACUAUAGUCUAUGGAUGCAUGUGACAACAAGGAUGAGAAUCACAAAGAUGCAAGUUGAAGGAGAUUCGCAAUGCCUCAUCAAUUUUUUGAGACCUCGACAAUCAUUUCACUCGAAUGUUAGUUUGCUUGUUGAUGAUUUAUUUUUUUUACGUAAUUUUUUAUUUAUGUUUUUAUUUUUUGAAUUUUUAAAAAUUGUAAUUUAGCAAUCCAUACUUUUCAAUAUGGAACUCUUUGUAGUUAUAUGAAUAAAUUGUACUCUUCAGGAAUCUCCAACUUUGUUGUUUCCUCUCUUAUUGCAACGUGUUUCUCCUCGGAUCUAAUUUUAGUUAUUAUAUUAUUUUCUCCACAUACAAAAUUUGUACAUUUUAUUCUCGAAUUACAAACGUAUUUAUUAUUGUUAGAUUAAGUUGAAAUUUAUGAUAAUUUAAACUCAAUUUCAUACCGUAAUAAAAAUAUUCAAUACUGAAAUACUAUAUUUUAAUAUAAUUUUGUAUAUGUUUACAUCAUAUUUUUUUAUUUAAAAAAUUAAAAUGAGAUGGUGUGGAUUUAGUUACAUGGGUGAAAUAUAAAUGGAGAGGAAGUUUAUUAAUUGGAGGUGAAUAAGAGAAAGUUGAAGAAGUAGAAUGUAGAUAGGAGGGAUCACGUGGUUGGGUGGUGAGAGAAAGGGACGUCAUCACAGCUUGCCACCGCUUUGUCAGUCUUCACGUGGAUUUCCCAUGCAUCAUUCUCCCCUUCUCCUUCCCCUUCGCAUCUUAUAACUGAUAUACUCACCCACUGCACCACCUAAUACACAUGCAAUUCUACCCUUAGCCAACACGUGUUACAAUAAAACCUUUGUCUCGUAUGCCUUUCAUAAAACUAGUCUCCAUUCUCCUAACGCACCGGAGCGGCUAUUUUUUCCCUGGUUAACUAUGUGUCAUCAAGCACGGAAUUCUUCUUGUCCCAGCGCUACGACCAUCCGCAAAACAAGGUCAUCUUCCUCAGCUCUAGAUUUUCCGUGGAUUGGUUUUUCGAAUGUUAGGUCUAGUCUGUCAGUCCACUAAAAAAUAUGAUGGGAUUUAUAUAUAUGCUAUUUUGUUGGGUUCCCCACGCUACUUUUGCCAAUUUGCUACUCUGUCAACUUUCUUUUAUUUGUAAAAUAUAUAAUAUAUAUAUAGGACAAGAGUUAUGCCAUUUCCAUAAUCAUGCAUGUCCUCUAGACAGGUGGCUAAUGGCAAUGGAACUGUAAUUAUGAGUAAAGAUCGACAGAUAGAGAGAGAGGACAGAUGGUCGUGUGAAGAUUAAUAAUUUGAUUUUUGAACAGUUGGCUAUCUAUUGAGCCUGGAUUAAUUAUUCCAUAACAUCAUAACGUGGAUUACAAGAGUAGUCUAAUAAAGGUGCAAUAAAGAUAUUAGUUAAAAGCGUACAUAUAUGCACCAUGGUGUAUUUAUACAAUCGACCCAAACAGUAGUGACAUGUUUAGGAAAAUGGUUUUGAGCUAAUCAAUCAAGCAUCUCCAUAGUGUUGAGAAGGUUGGCAGAGUUUUCGCAGCUGUAGUGGAGCAUAGGUAGCAGCAUUGGAGAUUGGAACUGGAAAGCCAAUCCCAGGGGGAGACCUAUUAUUAGCCGCAGCUCUCUCAAGCGACUGCACUUGUGUCUUCAAGAACUUGACAUAGUGAAUUGCUUCAUCUAACAUGGAAGCUGUGUCCAUUUUAGUUCCUCCUGGCACCAGUCUUUGAAGUAUCCUAAUCCUCUCGCUUAUCCUCUCCCGCCUGUGCCUCGCUGCAACACUUUGAGGGUCCUUUGAUAUCUUCACAUUCCUCCUCUUUGGUGGCUUCACUGACUCUGGGUCUAUAUGAAUCGGUUGCAUGGCUGCAAUCCGGAAUAUCAUCUCCCUCAUAGCCGCCAUUGAAUUCCGCUUAUUCUCCUCACCGGAUAAAUCCCCGGCAGUCUCUCUCCACCUACCGGUGCUCAAGAAAGCAGGCGCAGAUGGGUCUUGAACUGGGCUACCGCCUGCAACUGGGAUCCCGCUGUGUGGUAUGUUUAGGAAGGAGUUGGUGGGUGAAGCAGGAUGAUCAGGAUUAUCAGCAAAAUGUAGCAUGUUAUUGAUACUGUUAUUAGUUGGAGUUGCACCUGGGAGGUCGGUGGUGGGUAACUCAUGAGCGAGGUCGUUGUAGGCCCCAAGGAAAUCGGAGACCUUGUCCAUCUGCAUCAUCGUCAUCAUCAUCAUCUCCAUCUGACCUUCUGCUGCAGACUUUAAGGGGUCAAUUUCCAUACCUUAAAGAAAAGGAGUUGCCGCAGAGAGAAAAAGAAAGGAGAAAAAAACGAGAAAUAUUAACGGAUAGACAGAGGGAUGGGGAAGAUAAAAAAGAAGAGAGUAGACUAAGAGUUUUAUCAGAAUUUGCAGUGAAGGAAAUGAAGUAGAUACAGCAGGGGUAAGAAGAAGAACAGUACUGAGAGAUUUUUUUGAAAAAGAAAAAAAGAAAAAAAAAAAAGCAACAGGAAUAAAAUAGUGAUAUCGGGAACAGACCAUUGCAAUCUAGUGGGGUGACUAUAUAUAACAACUCCUCCUUCAAUAUUUUAUCACGUAUAAAUGCUUUUUACAAUAAUAUAAUAUUUUUCUUUUCGCCCUUUUGUUAUCAACAAAGCUGGUGAGCUUUUCUUUCCUUCUUUUUUUUUUUUUUUCCUUCACGUGAAUUUAUAAUAUAUAGAUAAUAUUUACGUUUGGUUGUUGGUAUUUCUAUUUGAUUAUAAUAAAAAUUAAUGGUAAGUAUACAGAUUUAAUAAAAUUUUAAAAAAUAAAAAUAUUUUUUAGUUUUUUAAUUUUAGAAUAAAUAUCUUCAAUUAUUGAAAGUGAAACGUUUUUUUUUUUUAAAUAAAAGUCAAAAACUCGUAUAUUAUAUUAUGAUGAUUGGUUAGCUUAGGUACAUGGCUAGAAAGGCACAAUAUAGAAGUAAGAUAAUGAGUCGUUUUUUAUAUAAUUUUAGUUUUUAGUAAAAACUGUGUUACCCUAAAAUAAAUUAUUAUUAAAAAAAAUCUAAUUGUAACACGACUCAUUUAUCUCCAUCAAAUCUACGAUAAUUUAAAAGUUUUUCAAGUUAUGAUAAGUUUUUUAACUUUCGGGAUGGGUUCAAAUCUCUUUAUGUUGCUCGUAAAAACUUUAAUUUACAAUGUUUUAGCAAAACUGUAGUGUAUAGUUAUAAAUUUGAAGAUUUCAAUCAUUGGCAAUUGUUGAAAAUAAAAUAUUUUUUAUUAAAAAUAGUCAAAAACUCAUAUAUUAUAUUACAAUGAUUGGUUAGCUUAUGUACAUGGCUAGAAAGGCAUAAUAUAGAGCUAGGAUAUUGAGUCAUUUUUUAUAUAAUUCUAGAAUUUAGUAAAAAUUGUGUUGCCCUGUCAUGGUAAGAUAAGUUAUUAUUAAAGAAAAUCUAAUUGUAACACGACUCAUUUGUCUCCAUCAAAUCUAUAAUAAGUUUAAAGUUUUUCAAGCUAUGAUGAGUUCAUUAACUUUUGGGAUGGGUUCAAAUUUCUUUAUAUUGCUCGUGAAAACUCUGAUUUACAAUGUUUUAGCAAAACUGUAACGAAGAACUACAAAUUUGAAGAUUUCAAUCAUUGGCAAUUGAAGAUGAAAAAGAUGAAUGAUGAAAGGAAUGAGGUGGUGGCUGUAAAUUAGAUGGGGUGUAUGAUGUCUUAGGCUUUAUGGUUUUUGUUAUAUAUUUUUAUAUUUUUUAAUAUAUGUAUCAGAUCGGAUUCGAAUAGGUUUUUUAAAAUUUAAACUGAAUCCUACUCAUUCCAAUUGAAUAGAUCAAAAAACAUAAUAUAAUUUAAUUUAAUUCAACUUGAUUAAAAUUUACAAUAGUUGCUAAUGAAAAUGAUAGUUUUAGUACAUCAUUAAUAUUUUUAUAAUCUCCAUGAGUAAUCAUCAUUUAAUUAUUUUCUCAAUAAAAAUUUUAUCAUAUAUAUUCAUAGGGAAUUUUCUUUUUAUAAACAUAUUUGUAAUAUUUUUUAUUGAACAUUGCUAGCAUUCAUCUACAUGAUUGUAGUUAUAUCUCAUUUUUUUCAUCAUAUACAAUUUAAUUAUUUAAAUAAUGUGAAUAAUAUUGUUUCUUGAAAAUAAAAGUAACUUUUGUUAUUAAAACUAAUUUUUUAAAGUAAGAAAUUUUAUUGAUAUAUUAUAUAGAUUUUGUGAAAAUUCAUAUGACAAAAAAUGAGUUGCAUUAAGCCACUUGAAUGUCCAUGGAGAACAAGGAGGAACGGAAAGGAGAAGCAUUAGUGAAAAAAGUCAUGCGUCUAAAGAACAUAAACAACUAGGAAUUCCACUUUCAAGUUAUGAUGCGCCUCCCUGUGCACUAUGCACAUGUGUUACAUGCUAAAAAAAUCCCCCUUAAUAUUUCGAUCUAACUCUAUCUCUUCAGUUUUGUUUAACUUAUUAUGAUUCAUAUCUACUUAAUUUUAAGUUUUCAAUACUCACUAAUGUCAGGAUCAUUAGAGGUUUAAUUCAAAUAAUAUUUGUGCAAAAAAGACUGUUUACAAUAUAUCAAAUUAAUGCACACAUAUAUAUAACCAUGAUGUAAAAUAUGACCUAAAAGACUCCUAUUAAAAGUGAGUAAACUCUAUUAACAUAAGAAUUAUCACUUUAUAAAAUCUAAUAAUUCAUAUUUAUUAUAUUAAGAAUAACUUUUAUCAGUAACACUUAUUAACAAAUUCAUUAUAAAUAUUCUAAAUUAUUAUAAGAAUUAUCUGAUUAUUUAAUGUUAGAAGUGUAUUGACUUUUCGCUCGUAUAUAUAAUAAUUAUUUUUAUUAAUCCCGAAAGAUGAAAUUUUAUUAUCAUUAAUCAUCAAAAUCAUGUGUUUAGAAAAACAGGUAGAGAUCGUAUGUGCUUAUAUAUUUUUAGAAUUACGAUUUUUCUAUGGUAGGGAUUUAAUUAUAAAGAAACAAAAUAUAUAUUUAUUUUCUGAAAGCGAUGAAUUUAAAUUAAUGUGAACGAAAUACAUUAAGAUUUCCAAUUUGUUUUUGACAAUAAAUUUAAAUUAAAAAAUUUGUCGUGAGAUAUGCUUUCAAGUGGGCCAGCAAAACAGUUGAUGAAGGGGUAAGAGGAGGUGCAUGUACCAAUUCACGUGCCAGGUGUCAGAAGCUCCGGGCCGUCAGAUUAAGCGGGAUCAAUUUACGCUAACGUGGUGAAGCUGCAUCCUAGCAAAACCCUCCCUAACGGGGAACGCUUUCCGAGAUGGAUCAGGUACUGAAGCAACCUGCUUCAUGUGCUGGAAUUUUGUUUUAACGAACUUUUUCAUUUAUCUUUUUAUCACACAGUUAUUUAUUUCUCACUUCUUUUUUCUUUCUUUUUUUUUAAAAAAAAAAAAUUAUUUCUUACUUUUAAAUCUUUAAAUCUCAAAAAAAAAUUUACCCCCCCCCCGGGGUAAAUUUCUGAUUCCACAACCAUUCUUAUGUAUGUAUGUAUAUAUAUAUAUAUAUAUUCACUCUCUUGGUGUAGGUCACAAAAAUUAUUUGGGCCGAUGCAUGCAUGGAAGACAACUCAAGAUUCAACUUACGUACCCUUAAUGUUACGGAGUAGUAUAUAUUGUAUAUAAUGAUUAUGUAGGUAUAUAUAUAGAUGUAGCAACUAGGAAUAAUUAAACAGCUGGUUAUUUGAUUUGCUAUUUACAUUUUUUUACCGUGUCAGGGAGAACCCAGCAACAACUUAGUGCAAUAAUACCAAGAGACAUUGCAGGUUACUGUCUGCUAUCGUUUAUAUAGCCAGCUCCCGUAUUUGUAUACAUUGAUAUCAUUAUAAAUAUUGUGUAAGUUUGGUAUAUAGUUAGCACGAUUUUAAAUAUAAUAAGAUCCUAAUUAGCCUGCAUAUGGGACCUAUUCAGCACAUACGACCAUAUUAUAAAAGACAUAUAUUUUAAGUUGAUCGAUAUGUGUUAAAAUANNNNNNNNNNNNNNNNNNNNNNNNNNNNNNNNNNNNNNNNNNNNNNNNNNNNNNNNNNNNNNNNNNNNNNNNNNNNNNNNNNNNNNNNNNNNNNNNNNNNNNNNNNNNNNNNNNNNNNNNNNNNNNNNNNNNNNNNNNNNNNNNNNNNNNNNNNNNNNNNNNNNNNNNNNNNNNNNNNNNNNNNNNNNNNNNNNNNNNNNNNNNNNNNNNNNNNNNNNNNNNNNNNNNNNNNNNNNNNNNNNNNNNNNNNNNNNNNNNNNNNNNNNNNNNNNNNNNNNNNNNNNNNNNNNNNNNNNNNNNNNNNNNNNNNNNNNNNNNNNNNNNNNNNNNNNNNNNNNNNNNNNNNNNNNNNNNNNNNNNNNNNNNNNNNNNNNNNNNNNNNNNNNNNAAUUAAUUAAUUAUGGUGUUAGCGGAUUAAGAAUAAGAUAGAUGCAUAUAAUGUAUGUAUAUGUAUAUGGAAGAUGUGUUUUACAUAAUUAUAUUUAUAUAUAUAUAUAUAUAUAUAUAAAGUCCCAAGAAGACAUGUUCUCUGCCAAGAAAAGUUGGAUUGGAUAAAAAGAAUCCAGGGUAAAGAGAUCUUGCUGUUGGGUUGUUUUUAACUUGCAUUAUCACAGUUGCACCACCUUAUCUUCUUCCCCACAUCUCAUUUAUUUUUUUAAUUUUUUAAUGUUCCUUUUGUAGCAUUAAAUACUCUUCUAUACAUACAUACAUACAUACAUAUAUAUAUAUAUAUUUUAAUAUUCCUUUAUUGCUUCUCCCACUUUCUUCUCCACCCUCCUUUCCUCAUCGGGAAUUGAAGGCAGCCUGAGAGAAAAAGCAAACAAAACCAUCAUUUUUAUUAUUACUCAAUAUUUUAAUACCAUUAUUAAUUAAUAUAUAUAUAUAUAUAUACGCUAUAUGGUCCCAAAUCUCUCUCUACAUGAUUUUCAACACUUCAAAUUGUAUAUAAAUAUAUAUAUAUAUAUAUAUAUAUGAUCAGACAGUCAAAAGCAUCUUCUUCUUUUUUUAGCCUGUGCGUAAAUUUAUCGCUACUACCAUACGCCAUUCAUCUUCUAAGGAAAAGAGUGUAGGAGGAGAAUUUUGAAUGUCCAGCACGCUUUAUUUUAUUAUAGUUCUUGCUUCCUCCUUCCUCCUCUUCUUCAUAGCUUGCGUGAUCAAAUUGUGUUUUCUCAUUUCACAAAUUUGCUUGCUGCCUUAAAUGCCAUGCCAAAUACCAAAACAUUCUGGUGGAAAUUGAAUCUGAUAAAUUACCCUUAUGCAACCUUUGGUUAAAUAUAAUAAAAGAACGUUAACCCAAUAAACUAAAUUAAAAAAUAGUUUAAGAUCAAGGCAAAAUAUAUUGAUAUCUUAUUUGAUUAAUACAUUUCUUCUAUUGAAUUGUUUGAUAGUAAAUUAAUAAUAGUACAAAUUAUAUGUUAUGUGAUUAUUAAAAUGCUCUUUUUAUACUUUUUUUUUUUAAUUUCAAAUUAUUAAUGUAUUGUCCAAACUAAUUUUAUUGUAAAUUAAAUUAAUUAUAAAUAUAAUUUUUUGAUUUUUUUAUUUUAAUUUAGUAUAAAAAUGAAAAAAAUUUGACGAAUGAUGAAAUUGAAAAUAAUUUUAGAAAAAAUGGAUCAAAAUUUAGAUUAUACGGGUAUUUUUGAAAAAAAAUCGGAAACCGGGGGUCGAAAUACAAUUUAAAAAAGUUUUACCACGUAAGAUGUCCGGUCAGCAGCCCCGACGAACCGGGACGUGUCGCGUGGCAGUGGAUGCUGACGCAGUGCCGCACGGGCGAUCUGCGUGUCCGCAAUUGAAUGGCUCAAAUUCGUUUCCACACGCACAAACGGUCCGGAUGCAUUUCCUCCCCAAACGUGAUCGAACAAUCAGAUUUAAACGCGAUCGGACGAUACAGAUUAGAUUGCGAUGAAUGGCUCAGAUUAGAUCGCGAUGAACGGUCCAGAUUCACUCCCUAUUUAAUCGCGAUCAGACGGUUUAAAUCAAAUACGAUGGACAAUCCAUAUUAAAAGGUGACGAGUAUAAAUAACCAUCUUUCAUACCAAACCCUAACCCUAGCUGCCAAUCACCCUCGCCGAACAGAAGACAAGUCGCCGAGAGGAGAGCUGCCGCCACCCGCUGCCGUGCCAGAACUACUUCCGACUACCAAAAGAGGUAAAAAAAAAAAUUUUACUCGAAAUUUAAUUUUGAACACCCCCGUAACCAAAUUGGAGCAAAAGGACCGGUCAAUUGGUCGCGCUGCCGUCACGAAAAAUUUCACAAAACGCCUCCGAUGAAGUCCUUCCCGAUUCCCAUUCUGCAUAAUUUUUUCACAAUUGUGAUUACCGUUUCCUUCUCUACAUGUUGACUGGAGCAAAACACCCAACUACAACGUGAGCUGGAGGAGCUGCCGCACCGGAGAGCGCCGCCACCGGUAAGUUUCGAUUUUUUGUGAUUUUUCGGUCAACCGAGACCUCUUAACGUAUUUUCUCGCAGGUAUUGAUGCAAAACCGACUAAAUUCGGACAAAAAUUCAAGGCGCCGUGCCGAAAAUUCAGAAUUAGCCAAAAUGGGCCAUGAUACUGAUUUUGGGUUGUUUGGGAUAUUUGUAGAUACGUAUAAAGUGUUUUAAUUCUCGAAGAAAAAUUUAAGGAACCUGAGGACCACCAGUAGGCGCAAUCAAUAGCUUAGCCUUUCGAGCAUCAAAUUGAGUAAGAAUCCAUCAUCUUAUUCUCUGUUAUAGAAUUGAAAUCUAAUUAACAAUAAAUACAGUAUUUUGUACAAUUUAGAAAAUAUUCAUAAUUAAUUACGGAUUGCUAAUGGAGCCAUAACCGAAAAUUAUUUACUGUUGUUCCAUUGAUUGUUUUUACAGUUUAAAUAUAUGAUAGUGCUUUAUUGAUUGAUUUUAUCGUUUUGAAUGCAUAUGUUGUUGUUUUAUGUGUUUACGGUUGAAUUAAAAAAAUGGAGGUUAAAGGUAAACGAAAAAUUUUUGUGAUUAAGUGAAUGGAUGAAACGACAGUCUCAUUAGAUAUCCUCGGAGAUGGUGGACGGAACGUGUAUAUAGAAAAUUCUACCGUGAACGUUGUCUCAUACCGGAUGGAGUAUCAAGACUUGGUAAUUUGGCGCUCAUAACGGACGGGGUAUAGGAACGACUCGCUUCACCCUCAUACCGGACGGGACAUUGAGAUUUAGUAAUUUAGCGCUCAUACCGGACAGGAUAUGAGGAUGGCCCGAAAUUGAGAAUGUAUAAAGAAAGAGUUCAUGCGUAGUGGAGAUAUCCCUAUGGACCCCCAUGAAUACCAGUAGGCUGGUGAAAAAAUGGCAGUUGUUGGUUUAAUGAUUUGAAUAUGGAAGUAUAAUGUGUGUUAUGUUGCCGACUAUAUAUAAAAUCAUGAUAUGUAUAAUGUUAUUGUUUCUAUAGAUUAUUUUUAUUAUUGAUAAAUAAAUUUACUUAAUUAAGUGUUCUAUUAAUUAUUUUAAUUUUCUAUCAAUCUUAUUUUCUGUGUCAGUGAGUUGGGGUAAUAUUCUUACUAGAUUAGUGUAAAUCAUUCCUUAUUUAAUUACUUCAAUUUAAAAGGACCAGAAUCCAGAACCCGAUCCACAAGAGAGUUACGAGUAGAAUACUAGUUUUAUUUACUUUCCGCUUAUUUUUUUUUUUUUGUACUUCUUUCAAAAAGAUCAUUCCUGUAACACUAUUCGGUAUUUUAAGUUAUUGUGUAAAUAAUAUAAAUCUUAAUUUUUUAUUACACUUCCGCACUUAAAUUAUUAUUUAAUUUUUUUAAAUAUUUUCGAAAUAGUUACAAUUAAUAUGACUAUGAAUAGGUUAAUACUUUUUGUUAAAACUAUUAUUAAUUAAUUGUUCAUCAAGAUAUAUAUAUAUAUAUAUAUAUAUAUAAUAUAUAUAAUGGAGAAAAGUUAGUACUAGGCUAUAAGCUAGAUUAACUAGAAAAUAACCCAAAUUAAAUACCCUAAUAAUCUAAAUAUAGUCUGUUUUUAAGUUUAUAAUUAAAGAAUAUAACUGUACGUUUUCUUUAAGUAAAGUAGGAUCAAUUAAGGUUUAAAUGAAACUUUAUUUGAGAAUUAAUUAUAAUAAAGACUGUAAAGAAAAGUAUAAACCUCACUCUUGUUUAGUUAGACAAAGUAAAGUAUAUUAUAUACAAAUUUGGUCAGUAAAAUAAAACUAAACUUAUAAAAAAUAAAAUAAAAUAGUUGUGAAGCUGCUGCAUACAUGGUAGGAUAUUUUAAAAAUAUAUAUAUAGCUUUUAUAAUAUUAAUAAAAUAAUCCUAACCCCUUAAAGGAAUUAAAGGUAAAUUAACAAGUAAUCUGCCUUAUUAACCAACCGGUAUCCAUACGUGGGAAAGAAGCACUAACAAUCAAGAAUAUGACAUAUUAAGGGUAUCGUACUUGUAGAAUUUGUCAGAAACUUAGAACUCAGCUGUAACUAUUUUAAUUAGCCAAAAGUAUGAGAUUUAAUUUAACUACAACUAACAGUCGAGAUAUGACGCUUCUUUUUAGUAUGGAUAAGUGCCGUUCGGGGCACUUGUUCAAAAGCUUUGGGCCUUGAUUUAGAGUCCAAUGCUCAAUGGUCUAAAGAAGACAAACCAAAGGAGACUGAAAAACGAGAAAAUAUAAGAAUGCUGCUUAUGGGACAAAUGGACUUAUGAUUAGCCCCUACAAGCACGAAUAGUCUUCAUACAACUUAAAUAGUUCCAAACAAACCAAUGGCAAUAACACAGGAUUGAUUAUCCACAGACAAGUUUGCUAUCUUAUUUUCAUUAAUGGUAUGAUAAAAAUUCAGAUGACUUUCUAAAACUAUUAAUUUAAAUAAAAUAUUACAUUAGCUUAUAUCCAUUAUAUCAAAUUUCUCUAAAAAAACAACAAUCCGCUAUUCCAUGAAAGAUGUUGGUACUAUCAACUAAUCAUAAUAAAGAAGUUUAUUUUGUGGAAUUCUCACUUUCCGAUAAUAUCUCCUUUCAUUCAAAACUAAAUAUGCAUGAACUUUCCUAAUUAAGUCAUGCCAUAAAAAUAAGAGUUAGAAAGUGAGGUAACUGGAUUAUGGAGAUUGGUCAUACCAGGCUGAAGUUCUGAAGCUCUUGGCUGCAGUUUAACUUGGAACCUUCAAUCCAGAACUCAUGCAGUCAACUUAAUCACAUGACAUGACAUUUCUUAUUGCCAAGAAGAAAAACGCACUACAUAAGCUGCAUCUUCAAGAUUAAGAAAAAGAAAUCACCGUGCAGAAUAACUGCCACAUGCAAAUUUAAGGUUGUUGAGGCAAAACAUUUUGCAUGUCUAAACAUGCAAACAAUGUUUAUGAAUUUUGGGAUCACAGUAUCAAACCAUGACAUCCUCUGAAGCACGCGGUAGUAAAUUUCCUUCUGCACUAUAAGUUAGGAAGUAACAUUAACCAGUUUGGAAAAAAAAGAAAAGCAUGUAAAAUCUCUUAAGUGUAUAAAAUCAAAGAAAAUGAGAGGAUGAUACAGCAGAAUCCUGGAAAUUUAAUCAUAGAAGCGAGACAGUAUCUUCCACCAAUCAAUAAUCUUGUCCAUAAUGGAGGAGCUGAAAUACUUUUCUCCACAGUUUACAACAUACAGAACACAGAUUACAGCUUAAUGCUAGAAGGUCAUUGAGAAGUAUGAAAUGCUAAGAAAAUCCUCAAAUUGAUGGAACCAGUAAUAGUUAUUUGGAAUAAAGAUAAUGAAGAAUGCAUUUGAGAAUAUUUCCAAGAUUGCCAGUGACAAAAAAGACAUGCCAAAUUGUCGCGGAGUGGUCAAAAAGUUUUUUAUAAGUAUAUCAUAGAUUUAGAUUAUUGUCCUAAAACGUCAGCUAUAUGCAGAGAACCUAGUCAAGAACAACCAUGAAAGAUGAGGAAUUAUAGUCAAAGGAGGCCCUAUGUGCUUGCGUGAGAAUGCAUCCCUCAACCAUCUUCUUCUUCGUCUCCUAGAGGCUUGAAGGUUAUGGAGUUCAAGCAUUGUGUUUCUUAAUGUGUCUUGGGUAGUUGAUCCUUUGUUGACGGAUGAGAUUUGGGCCUAGAAUUGCAAGACCGAAAAGAAGCUUAUUUCGGUCUUCCAUUUAAGUGAUUUGAUAAGAGAGAAAACAAGAGGAUGAUGCACAAUAAGAUCUUAACUUAGAAUACUAUUAUCUUAAACUUGUUUAGUUUAUUUAGGUAAAUUUUGAAUCUUAUUGUGAUUUAAAAACUUCUUGUAGCAUAUCCUUCCUCUUGAAAAGGAAUAGAACUUUCUUUCUUAAUGAAAAAAGGGAAGAACCCCAAGUCAUUGCCUUUUGCUCAGCACUUCCUUUCACCAAUUAGAGACCUUCAACUGGUUACUCCAGUAAUUCUAAUGUUCCAACUCAUAAGAUUGCCGCUAGAUCAAUGAAAAACGACAUUCUCAAUCACAUCAACGAUCACUAGCCCCAAAUUUAAAAAUAUUGCUUCUAGAAGAAGCCAUACUAGAAGCUCAAGCUCUAAUCGCCACCAAGAGUUGGAGACAUCGACGUACCAGACACCUUUGACUUAUUUUUCAGGAAUUUAAGCUAUGAAUUAACCAAUUUGCUUCAUUAGAUGCCUUUGUUCUAACAAACUGGUUCAAACAUGGUGCCUAAGGUUUUCCGGCAGGUUUUUAUUGUUCUUUUUAGGUUUUUGGUCAUAUUUGCACCAAAUACACAUCUUCAAAGCAUAUUAACUACCAGAGCAAUUAAGAAUGUUCAAAGGUGAUAGCUUUAACAUGGAGCCCAAUAAUUCAACACGUAGUUACCCAAUUAGAAAGUAUAUAUUAGAUCAAGCUUUUGGCUAUAUAGAUGCAUACAGAACAUUCAAAUACUUCCAUCUAAUCAAGUUCCACUUCAGUUUCAAUGUCUUAAAAUUGAUAUCUAUGCCAAAAGCUUUCCAAUGGUCACUGCAUUUAUGAGAAUUGUUAUCAGCUGGAGAUUGAGUAUGGUCCAAGUUUAAACUCAAAUAAAAAAUUUUGCAGAUACCGUACAAACUUCUUAACUCGAGCUUAAAGCUUUGCCAAUAGUAUGUUUGAAGAAGUGAAGAUUGAAGUUUCUCCUCCUUUAAGACAUAUAGGUAUUUACAGAGAUUGCACACUGACAAUAGGAAAACUAAGUAAUUGGAAAAAUAGCUAUAUAAGAAAGACCCACACUAGAAAAUAACUGUGCAAAAUAGAUAAUAUAUUGUAACACACCUCUCACAUUUGGAGCAUAUAUGUCAUAUAUAUCAAAGUUUGCUACAAACAAAAUUUACACAAGCUAAGAAUAUGCAAACAUAUCAACUAGUUGGUCUCCUAACUGCCCGUAAGUAGUCUAAAUCGCAUCCUGUCAAAGUUUUUCUUAAAUAAAAUGAUAAUUAGGCUCCAUGUGUUUAAACCAGAUUGGAAGCAAUAUGUAUUGCAACUUCGCCAACACAUAAUAAAUCCAUUGAUUGUGAUUGUAGAAAAUCAAGCUCAUGAGAUAGAUGUUUCAACCAAAUUAACUCACAAGUGAUAGGAGUCAGAGUUUGAUAUUCUGACUCAACAGCAGAUCUGGUAACCACAGUUUGCUUCUUGCUCUCCGAAUACACUGUGUCACCAUCCACAAAAAUAUAGUAACCUACCAUUGAUAAAUGAUAAAAAAGAAAAAACUAAACCAACCCAAUCAGAAUCUUAUAUAUUUGGAUUUAAAGUAUGUACAUAACUCUAACAGAGCAAUCCACGACGUAAUACACCUUUGAGACAUCACAAGAUACAUAAAAUGGCCUCCCAAUGAUUUCAGAUAACUAUCCCAUCUGCCUACAGCUGAACAGGUUAGCUAGGCCCCAUCCUUUUCCAGUUUGAAAUUAGAUAAGUUAAAGAUGGAAGACUUUCUAGACCUAAUUCUCUUGUGAUGAGGUGAGUCGUCGUUGGAGAAUUUAGCUAGUCUUCAAAUCUCUAAGAAACUAGCCAAUAUAUAAGAAACUAGCCCGUGUGAAAUUACGGCUCAGCAAGGAAACUCUUAACUUCAACUUGAGGCUGCCCCAUCAUAUCCCCAUCCAAACAUAAAUAAAUAAAAUCAGUCAUGAUCGUAAUUUUUUUUAAUAAAAGAGAGCAACAAAUUGAACAGUUAAGAUAAAUGAAGACAAGGGAAAACUGAAGGCCUUGGACGAGAGCCAGUAAAGGACAGAGCCAAAGGAGGUGGAGGGAUGGCAGAGCUUGGAGGAGGCAAGGAAACAUGGCCAACAGCAGACAACCUGUGUGGGAGCAAUGCACAUGAUUUGUAAUGGAGUUGUCUGCCCCUGUUUAUAGAACCUAGCACCUACUGCCACCAUCAACUGACAAUGAUACAAGCAUUAGUGACUCCAUGUAUUUACCAUCAAAAUCUCUUCAAUAGAAGAGAUGAAUGUUCAUUUAUAAGGUGGCCGAAUUAUAGGUAGUUGGAAGUUGCUGUACCACGUUCGAGUUAUCAUAAACAACCUCACUUUUUAUUAGAAUACAACUUAGGUGGAAAAAACAUUCAUACAAUAGAUAAACAUUUACCCAGUCAUGGUGGAGUUAGAAAACCAAAUUAACAAUCGGUCAUACAGAAAGACUGAAGAAUAGAAACUAAAAUAAAAUAAAAUAAAAUGGUGAUAAGCAUAGAGUGGACAAAGAAAAUUCCUGAUUAGGGCCUAUAUGAAAGUGUCCUAGUUGGGUGAAUAUGUAUAUUUGACAUUCUCAAAACUAAAACUUACAAAAGACAAAAGAUUAAUGAUUACAAACCAUAACUAAGGGGGGGAUAACUAAAAACAUCCAAAAAGUAAUAGGAAAUCCUAAUCUCUAAAAGUAAAAUAAAGAUCUCUUUUUCAAAUCUGAUUUCUGACAAAAGACUCCAUUCAGAUCUAGUUUAUCCAUUUCCAACAACCACACAAAAGAAAGGAAAUUGGCAAAGAAGAAAACUCAAACCAAAUAAAAAUGAAGGGACAUGAUGCAGAAGAGAAUUAAUACCCAUUUUAUCAAUGAAAUAAGAUUCUAAACAGAAACACUUCUAAGUAGCAGAAAGAAACUCAUGCCCACAUGAUACUUCAUGAUUUACUCAUUUUCCGAAAACUCAAACCAUUCAUACAACUCACUAUUAAUUACAAAAGAAAGUCUGACGAUACCAAAACCUAAAUGUGCUAGACCUAAAAUUGUGGAAAAUGAAGAAGAACUUAUCCUACUAAAUGUUGCUAGCUAGGAAGUUAAAUGAGUUACUUGGCAGAAACAUGCACAAGAGACUACGUGAAUUUCUUGUAGUUUAUCUAACUCAAGCAGGGUUGGUUGGUUUAUCAAAUUUUUGUGCAGAGAAACUAAUUACAAUGCAUGACAAGUACAUGAAACUCAAGAUUUAUUCUGGGAAAAACAACAAAUAAGAGAAAAUCAGUUAUUUAAAGCUCAACCAACCACAAAAUGAUUCAAAUAAACCAACUUAAUAUAAAAUCAGGAAAGCAAGAUUAAAACACACUAAACAAGCGAAACUCAAUCCUGCAACAUAACUCUCGCCAAUCCAUCAUGAGGUUAUGAUGUCCAAUCAACUGAGCCAGAAUUGAUGAGCCAAGGGACAUUACCAUACAAUGCCAUUAAAAAAUUAACAUGCCUCACACUCCUAAGAUUCAAACCCCAAUUCUAGUCUACGCCAGACCUAACCUAAUGUACAUAUUGCAUCAUACUUUGAAUUUCAAAUUCUCACUUUCUACAAACUUGGGGAAAAAAAUCAUUAACCCCAGAAAAUGCAGAAAGUCUCUUGUAAGAAUAUAUGUAAGACCCGUGCAUCCUAAUCAAGAUCUUUGUCAAGCAAAGGAAAGACAUGCUAACUAGACCUAGUACUCACAUGACAUAGAAGACAAGCUUAGCAAUGAAACUGAACUAAAAGUUCGACAAAACAGAGAUUAAACUACCUCAAAAGGACGAAACAUCACAAAGCUUUUAAAAGAAAUAGAUAGAUGUACAUGCCCUCAUUUGAAAACGGAAUGUCAAGUCAGCCCCAAAUUUUAAUAUUUGACACCUAUACAGUCCAGCUUUCACUUCACGAAUCAGUUGCUGCUCGAAAAUACCUAGGUUUUGAAAGAAUAAAUUGAAGUCAGCCUACGGCUUAUAUGUCAGGUUACAACCGAAGUAUAAGUAUGACCUAUGAAAAGAAUAAAAGCAAAUAUCAUUGCUGCAUUGAACCGUGGAGGAUUGAAGGACCCAAAUAGAUUUCGGCCAAAAACAUACAUUACAAAGCAAGCACUAUUGAAUCCUAAAACUCGUGUCAAAGUGAACAAACCACAUCUGGUAAUGAAAUAAGAAAAAAAGAUCAAAAGAGGGAAAUGCAAACUUCAAGCAAGCUGACAGACACUAUCAAACCGUGGACGAUUAAAACCAUGAUAAUAACAACUGCUACAGCAACAAUAAUAAUAAAGGAAAAUUCCAAGAAACAUAUUCAAAGGGACAUGAAUGCUCGGAGAUAUGAUUUUACCUGCUUGUAGAAAACCGAGACUCAAGCUGCAGUUCUGGUGAGGACCGAGACGCACGAAUGCGAAGGACAAAAGAUCAGAAAGGUAGACAUGGCGCGCCUGAGCUCCCGCCGGUUGAAUACAAAAAGAUGGAGAUGUUGGAGUCGAAGAUGAAAUGAAGAUUCAAAAGAUAAUAGCAUCAUAAACCAAGAAGGAUAGGAGAGGGAAAAUUUGCAGUAGUUUGUAGGAGUUAAUUCAAUUUCCAUGUAAUGUUCGCUCGAAUAAUUUACUCAACUCAUGUAGUAAGCGUGCAAAGAAGAAUAAUUUUCGCUCGAGACUGUUGGCGGCAGCUAUUGUUAACUGGUUGGGCUUUCGUUGGGCAUGGGCUUGGGCUUGGGCUCGGGCUUGGGCUCGGGCAUCUUUAAUUAAAUGAUAUGGGUUGAGGAAUUAAGAUAGAUUAAAACUCUUAUAACUAUAUAGUUUCUUAAAUUAUUAAAUUAUUUAUUAUAGACUACCCCAUAUAUGAAAAUCCAAAUAAAUUCCAUAAAAAUUCCAAAAAUAUUACUGCUGAUAUCCUCUUUUUGGAUGAAAGGGAUAUCAUAAUUUUUAAAAAAUUUUAUUUUUAAAAAAAUAAUUAGAAGCAUGUAUGUUGUACCCACAGUGGUCUGCAUGGUAUAAAGAUAUAUAUAUAUAUAUAUAUAUAUAUAUAUGGAAAUUGUCAUUAAAGUGGCGUACAAAAAGAAAUGUGAAGAGGCGUCAGUAAAGUUGGCAUUUUUUAUAAAUUAAAAUAGCUAAUUUUUUUUUUUUCUCUUUUUAUUAUCUUUACUUUAUAAUUUUGCAAAUUCGCUUCUUCUAUUCUUUUAUCUUCAUUAAAUUUUGUUUUUAAUAAAUCACUUUAAAUUUUAAGUUGAUAAUAUUUCAAAACAAUAACUCAGUUCUUUAUAUAAUAUAUUAAAAAUAUAGAUAUAAUAUGCAAAAAGUAGUUUGUGGGAAAUUAUAAAUUUUGGGAAAAAAAAAAAAAAAAAAAAGUAAAAUGUUUUAUUUUGGGGUCCAAUACACGGCUGUUGAGAGCAAAGCAUUUGUACACAAAAAGAGUUGCUCUUUUAAAGCAUCUUUUACCGGAUGAUCCGUAUCCACUUUUGAAGACCCAUCACCAACGCACGCUGCUUUAUUAUUAUUAUUUUUUUUUCCUCUUGCACACAUUACAAAUUAUGUAUAAUAAUGAAAAAUCUUCAUCGAACAUCACACGUUCGGCUUGUAGUCACGUGCCACAGCAGCAGCAUCACACGAGAAAAGACAAUGGGUGAAACGGAGGAGUAUCUAUAGUGGCAAGAGAACUAGGGUUAGGGUUUAAAAAUUUACAAUUUAAAAGGAAAGGGUAUGAUUGCAGAACGACAAAGAUAUCCUAAGAAAUGUGUCUAUAUACCUACUUUUCAAUAUCAUGACUCUAUGAGGACUUUAAAAAAUAGAUGCUUCUUUUAAUUACUUUCGCUUUCCCAUCACAGAGUUUCUGUGUUUUAUGCGUUAAUAUCCCCAUGAAAAUGCAUAAACAACAACCGAGAAAAGCAAAGGCCCUGUAGUCAAACUUUAUCUGAGAACUUUACUUGUAUGGGUAUGUUGUACAAGAGACAAGUAAAGCCAAUAAAGCAGAUGGGUUUUUGGGCAAAAGUGUUUUUUAUUGUUUUUUUUUUUUUAUCUACCAGUCAAGCCUCUUGUUUUCUUUAUUUGUGCGUGUGUGUGGAAGAAGCAAAAAGAGGUUGGAACUAGUAAAAGAAAAAAGAACACAGGAGAUGGAUCCAAGGAUAGUUUUCAAGAUGUUGAUCGGAUAUACUUAAAGUAGGAAAAGGCAAAGGUUUCUGGCCUUCUGGAGAAGAGUAUAGAAGCAUUGAUGGAAACCUUUCAAUUUUACAUUUUUACUCACUUCUCUUAUAUUUCGCUUUCAUUCAAUAACUCACUCUCUAUUCUCCUUCUAUUAUUAUUUUCAAAAAACCCCAGAUUUAUUUUUGUUUCUUCCACUGCGUGACUGACAGACAGUUCAUAGAAACGAGAAAGAUAGAAAAUUAAUAAUAGCAUCCAUUAAGAAAGGAUACAUGAUAACCUUCUUUUUUUCUAAAUCAUAAGCAUGCUUUCUUUUUUCUUGGCAAUAAUAAUAAUCAUAAUUACACUGCUAAUUGGAUUUUGAACGUAUUAUCAUUUGGUGUCAGCUGCUCUUUCUUUUUUUUUUUAUCGGUUUCUGAAUUUAAAUGCUUCCAGUUUUUAUUCUUUUUCUCUCUUCUCAAAGAAAGAAGCCAGGGUUGUACGUAUCACCCAUUAAUGAGACUAAUCAGAGAGAGGCCUAGAGAAAUUGUCCAUGGAUAUCAACUAGCCCUGAACCUUCUCAGCCUUUUCUUCACUACCCAGAACUGAAAGGAAAGUCAUCAUCAACAUGCUCCCUCUCCCUCUCCCUCCUUUGUCUUGCUUGCAUUUAUGUGAGUGAAACAAAGAUACAUAUUCAAUAACAAAUUAAAAAUUACGAGAGAAAAAGAGAGAGAGAGAGAUCUGCUUCCAUCCAAGAGCUAGGAAGCACUAAACUGCACCAAUUAAAUUGAAGAAACAGGAAAGAGAUGAUUGAUGUUUGGUGAUUCUGAACUGGCUAGCUUCAAUUUUUUCGAUGAUCAUUCAUACUUCUUACCAAAAGCCACCUGCAUUCAUGGCUGGGCAGGGAAUAGAAGACAAUGAUACCGGCAGCACUAAAGUUAUAUACACAGCUACAAACAUUCAGACGCACGCACUCACAUAUUUCAUCAACAAUAUUAUCAUCAAGACUCUCUAAGGAAGAACAAGGAAUCAAAAAAGAAAAAUAAAAAAUGGAAACAGAAAAUUAACUAGAAGAAAAAGAAGUAAGAAGCUAAAGAUAUAAUAUGAAUGGUUAUGAUGAGGAAAUAUUUAAACUAACAUGUUGAAGGAGGCAUGAGAUUCAACCCUAGGUCAUGAUCCUUUUCUGAUAUCAACCGAGCCUUGUUAGUCUCCGCAGUAGCCUGAGCAGUACCAUAUUCUGGGUGCACUCUCUUCUUGGAUUGCAGAGGAACGCCGAAGAGCUUGGUUUUGCAGUUAGGCUCUUCAAGAAUCGUCACAGUGCUCUGUGAUGUGUUGCUUGGAGAGUUCAAGACCUGAACUUGAGCAGAUGUUUGCUUAUUACUGUUAGUAGGAUAAUACCCAAGAAGAUGGUUCAUGGGCUUCUGCACCAGGGAACCGUUAACAAUGGAAGCAGGCGUGGAGGACGGCGGGUUACAAAGAAGCAAAGAGGAGGGGUAAGAAUUGCUAGGAGCAACUGGCUUGACAUGGUUCUGAACAAAGUAGAUGAUAUCAUUAUAAAGCUUUUUCAUAUGUGCAAGCUCCGACAUGAGCAUGUUGUUGCUUCUCCUCAAUCUCUCGUUAUCCUCCGUCAAAGCGGUGAAGGAAGUGUUGUAGCUGCCGGCGAGACCACCGACGGUACGUCCUGUUGGAGAAGAGAGGGGUGGGGAGUCGCACCAGUUGGGUUGGUCGUCGGAGUCGGAGGGAGAGAUGCUAACUCGGCUGGGGAAAGGGAAGAAAGUUGGGCCAUUGACAUGAGGGAGUGGAGAAGAAUGGGGAUGGUGAUGGUGGUGGUGGUGAUUUAUGGCUACCUGCGGCUGUGCUGUUUUCCUUCGGUGGAUCUCACACAACAAAUGCUUCUCUCCCUUCUUGAAGAACUCGUUUGCAAACUCCCAUCUGUCAGGUACAAUCUUCCUAAAACCCUAGUUCCAUCAACCACCCAAAAACACAAAACCCAAAUCAGUAAAGCCAUAGAAUUAAUAUAUAGCAUAGAAGAAAUGUAGGUAGGUGGGUAUAUAUAAUAUACAUAGGUGUUAAGCUGACGAACAAAGCUGGAGAAGUUGUUGUGCUUGAAGUAGUUGGGUAGGAGGUCACGAGCGAACUCAGGAGGACGCCAGACGACGAAGGUGGUGUCGUCUUCACCCCAAGAGACUAUAUGAUCAGUAGAUGGAUCAUCUACCAGCUGAUAGGUUUUGGUGAGGAAAGGUGCUGGCACAGAUUUGUGUGAAUCAAGUGAGAGUAAUAUGCCCUCACAGUUAUCUAACAUGAGAGCAGCCAUUAAUCAAACCUACCAAAUUCCUCUUCCUUCUUUUCCUUUUUCCCCGUUGGUUUCUGAAUGAAAGGUGAAUGUGAAAAUGUGAAUACUGAACCGGAUGGAGAUGGAUAAAAACGUUCUAGUUGGAGAGAGAGGGAGUGGAUGUGUGUAUAAUUUUUUUUUUUUUUGAAAGUAAAAUAAAUAUAAAACUAAGAAAAGGGUAAAUGUAAAUAUAAUGUAUAGAAGCGUAUAUAUAUAUAUAUCUAUAUAGAUAUAAUAUAUUUGUUUCCGACCUCGGUUAUGUAGUGAGAGAGAAUAUGUGUCUGUGUGUCUAGAAGUGUGAAAUGAGAAGCUUUGGGGUUUCAAGACAAACCCGUGACUCUGACAAUCAUCCCGCGCACACCCACUUAAAAUCAGGAUGGAAAUUGACAAAUAUGCCACGCUUCCUUCUUUCUUCUUCCUUCUUCCUUCUUCCUUCUUCCUUCUUCCUUCUUCCUUCUUUCCUUUAUUACUUAUUAGUCAACCCUCCUUUCCUAUGUCAACAAACUUUCUUUUUUUCUUCUUUCUUUUCCCCUUUCUCAUUUUCAUCACCUCUCUACUAUUAUAUAUCUACAUAUAUUUAUACUCCUAUACAUGUAUACAUUUUCACCUUUCAAAUAAACCUUAAAAUUGACCCCUUUUCUUUUUUCUAAACAAAAAAAUUAAAUUUAACUUUAAAUUAUUGUUGUAAUCAUUAGAACCCUCGUAAUCAUAUUGUUUUUUUUAUUUAAAUACAUUAUUAUUUACUAAAAAAUUUAAUUUAAUUACUAUAAUCUCAGUAACGCAAUAAUAAAUUAGAAUCUAAAUUUUUUUAAAUCAAAUAUUAUGUAUCAAUUAUAAUAUAUAUAAAAAAUUAUAAUUUCUAAGUUUUUAAUAGAUUUUGAACUUGUUAUCUUUAAACAAAAUAUAAAAAUUUUAUAUUUUUUCAUGCAAACUCUUUUUCUCCCUACAUCUUUAACAUUCAAGUUCAAGAUGUACCUAACAAUGUAUAUUAUAAUAGGAUAAUAUUAAAGUAUAUAGCUAGAAAGUGGAUGGGCGUAGUAGUAAAAAUACACUUUAAAAUGUUAUGAAUAAAAAGGAAAUUUUAUUUGCAAAUUUGUAGUCUUGUAUUUAUUGUCUAACAUCACUUGAUUUUCUACACAAACAAUGUAUGUAUGUAUGUAUGUAUGUAUGUAUGUAUGUAUGUAUAUAUGUGUAUAUAUAUAUAUAUAAGUUAAAAGAUGCAUCGAACUACGUGAUGUGAUUUAAAGCCUGUUGUUUCGUGACGACAUUUCUUCUUCUUCUUCUUCUUCUUCUUCUUCUUCUUCUUCUUCUUCUUCUCCUUCUUGAUCUCCUCUUCCAUUUUCUUCUCUCAUAAUAUAUAUUCCAAACAUCAACACAUGCUCUCUGCUCAUUACAAAACCUUUAUCCACUAAAUUACAAUUCUAUAUAUAUAUAUAUAUAUACAUAUACAUAUAGAGAGUGUUAGUACCUUUCUUUUAGCUUGCUCUCAGCCUAUAUUUUUGGCUCUUGUUUUUCUCGGCUCGGCUUCUUGCGCUGACGUGUCUCAGGUGACUGAAUUAUUGGCCCCAAAAGUUGCUUCCAUCAAUAACUCUUUCCUUCUUUCUUUCCCAUUUUUCGUUUUUAAAAGAACAACUUUGCCUUUCUUUCUUGGAAUCACCCGAGAAAAACUAUUUGUUUUUCAAGAACGCAACACAACACAAACUAUAUACAUAGAGUCUCCCUCCUUACUUUCUCAGGGUAUUUUUCCUCACUAAAUUAUUAUUAUAUUCGAAAAUAAUAUAUGGGUAUAUUGUAGAAAGUGAAAAAAAAAAAAAAACAACAACAUAUAAUAUUACAAUUGGGUGUUAUUAAUUUCAAUAUAAGAGGGAACUAUAAAUGAUAAUAAUGAGCUUAGGUUUCCAUGAGUGGGUAUUGGGGGGGAAAUCCCUAUAAUUAAAAAGAAGUUUUAUGUUGAUUUACUGAAAUGGGGGGCAACCAGUGACAGUAGAAGUAGGGACCCAAAUCCAAAGGUGAAACAAAUGGAGAAAAUGAUGACUAAUUAUUUCACUUUGAUACUCAACUUAUUAUUUUCUGAUCAUUCUCAUGAUAUAUAUUCUUAAUUUAAACUGUCCCCAUAUACUAUAUCAUAUAUAUCUCACUAUAAUAAUGACUUCAUUCAUUUACCCAUUAUUUUCCUUGAUUUUUCCCAUCUUAAAAUCCAAAUUCUUCCUAAUAAUAACCCAUAUAUGUAUGUAUAUGUAUACAUAUAUGUACACACACACCCCCACUUAUCUCUAAAAAGAAAAAAAAAGAAAGAAUCUUCCUAAACAAGCCAAAUCUAACAUGACAACAAAAAUAAUGAAAAUAAGAAUACCCAAGCCAAAAUUUUUCCAGUUUUGCUAGGUUAUUUUUAUUUCAUACAAAAGAAAUUAUUGGGCAACCGCUAAUCGUGCAUAUUUGUAUAUAUUGAAUCUUGAAUCUAACUAAAUUGAAAAGAUAAAAACCAAACUUAAAUUUGUUUACAAUUUCGUAAAAUUUUCUUUCUGCAAUAUUAAUAUUAUAUUUUAACUCUUUGCAUCUUGUCCAGAAUUUAUGUAUUUUAUUCUUAAAGAUGGUUUGUGUUUCAUGAAUAAUAUUAAUAAAAACUGUGCAGAUCUAUAGUUACAGAAAUAUAUUCAUAUGGGUGAUAUAUACAAACGGGAAGAAAUCAAGUGACAUUAUGAUUAAAUCGCCCUUUACAUAAUUUCAACUUAGAGAGGGAGUAACUUUACUUUUGAUAGUCACUGCAAAUUUGCCUUUUCUUAAUUUAACUUGUAUAUUGCAACGGCUCGUUUCUAGCACAGAGUUCUUAUGUCAUGAGUUAAUUAACUACAAAAAUAAAAAGGCCAAAUUCCAAAGCAAAACCUUGCUUGUAUACAUACACGAUGUAGCUUGUAUAUAUCUAGUUAAUUAAUAAGCCAAAAUAGAUCAGUAGUCACAUGUGUGUUGUUGGGUGAUCAGAGAAAAGAUCAUCAUCAAGAGAAAACAAAAUUAAACAUUUUAGUUUUAAUUUUUGUAGCAUGUGACAUGAUUAUGAUUUUUAAAACUUAGUAUAUAAUAAAGUUUAAAAAACAAUAAGAAGGGAAUAUUGUCAGUUUCAAGUCCCGAUAUUCAAGUGUAAUUGGAAAUGCCUUUGAUGGGAAGGAUAAAUAGAUCACUAAUUGGCAUCCUAAUAGAGUAAACAUUAUGUAUAUGUAUAUAUGGUUGUGGAUUAUCAUCUUUGUAUUCUCUGCUCUCUGCUUCUUCUAAUUUCUUAAUCCUCCACCAGCCUUGUGUACUGAUCUGCAAACAUUUCGCAGCGGCUGACAAGGAGACAGCAGUAGUUUCUCUUGUUUAUUAAUGUUUGAUGGGUGUGUUGUGUGCAUGUAUGCCAUUCUCGUGAGUCCUUUUUUGUUGUUUUCCCUCAUAAAUACCAUUUAUAUAUUUAUUACUAUGCACGUAUUUUUUAGAUAUAUAUACACACACACACACAUAUAUAUAUAUUCGUGUAUUUACAUGCAUGCAUAUAAUUAAUUUCAGCUGGGAAUAUCUGCCUGGUUAAUAGCUCAACACACCCAUCGUCUCUAGAUGCUUCCCCAUAUAUUUAUGCUUAUUCUCAUCACCUUAUCCUUUUUUAUGGUUUUUGUAACUGACUAUAUAUAUAUAUAUAUAUUAUAAUAUGUGCUAUUUGCUGAUUAACCUAAUUAUGGGGAUAUAAAUACUUAUUAGAUCUGGUGGGUCCUAUGUCAUUCAUGAUCAGGAUCAGCAGUUUAUCGGGUACUAAUUAUAGUGGUAUAUGGUUUUGAUGGAUGAACAGCUAAUUAAGAACACAACAAGAAAGAAGAAAAAGAAAAAGAAAAGGAAAAUGAUGUACGUUAGAAAGGAUAUAUAUAUAUAUAUAUAUAUAUGCAGUGUGAGACAACUAUGAUAAUAUAGAGAGAGAGAAAUUAGGGGGCCCACAAAGUAUAUGGAAAUCUAAACCCCCAUCUCUCUACAAGUUGUCAGCAACUUAGACAGAUCCUACCGAGCCCACGAACAUCCAUCACUGCCAAAAUCCACAAAACAAGACACUCCAGUACUCUACUCUAUAGAUAUACAUAUACUUCACUAUAUACACACACAUUUACUCUAUGCAUAAAUACUUACUGUAUUUACUCAUAUACAGGUUGAUAAGAGCUGAGCUAAGAAGAUUCUAUUCUAACUUCUAAAACGCAGUGAAAGUGAACCCCACCCUCAAUUCUCACAUGACCACCGCCGAUUCCUUUCAGAAAAGAAGAAAAGAAAACUGCUUGCUGCAUGCUUAUAAUAUAUAUAUAUAUAUAUAUAUAUAUAUGCAGAUAUAUGUUCUUUUUUCUGGUAGGCUAGGAAGAUGAGAAAAAAACGAGAAUUCCAAGGAGAGACAACUUAAAAGACAUACUAAAAGUGUAUUAUAUGUAAAUUAAUUAAUGUAUAAUUUAAGCCAAAAGAAAAAAAAAAAAAAAAAAAAAAAAGAUGUUCAGUAUAGUAUAGGUGUGUGUGUGUGUGUGGGUGUGUAUAUAUAUCUAUAGGUAGCUCCACGUCUCUGUAUUUGUAAUUCGAAAGCGAAAAGGAAUCAAAAUGAGUAUUCAAUUAAGACAAAUGUACAAAGGUUCCUUCUUCUGUCUCUUGUUGCACUCUCUUUUGUCUCUUCCUCUGACCAUUUCUUGCACGACGAACAACAUACAGCCAUCCUCAAGCCUUAUUUAAAAAUAUAUUUGUCUGUUUAACCUCAUAUCUUACAACUUUCAUUUAUUUAUACACGCACAACAAAUGGCACCCACCUCUCUCUCUUCUCUCUUUUGCUCACAUAUAUAAAUAAUGAAUUAGCUAGGGUUGAGAGAGAGAGAGAGAUGUGUGGAAGGAAGAGGUGUUAGUCAAAAAGAAACAUGUGCAGAGAGGGAGUGGGUGGAUUUAUAUGUGAGAAUUAAAGAAAAUGAUGAAGAGAGGUCACGAGGGAAUGGAAAUUAGAUAUAAAUGAAUGGAGACAAGAUGAUCAUGUAUGUCUAUCGAUUUUACCAAUGAACUUGAGAAACCAAAGAAGAAAAAAAAAAAAAAAAAAAGUACCCUCGAAGCCUUACUAAUUUGUCCUUUUUUAUGUUAUGUGAUUGAAAUCUACUCCUUCUAAAUCACCUCCCUACUGAGUAAGUAAAAAAAAAAAAAAAAAAGUUUUGGCAGUGCCAUGUACUAUCACCACAGCAUUAUUAAUAAUGCAUUCAAUAAUGUGGAACGUCCUAUUCUUUUUGUUUCAGUAAUAAUUUUACACUGCUAAAACGUUACAAUUUUGAAUAUACUUUUCAUAUAUGUAAAUGUCAUAUCACUCCAACAAAAGGGUAGAAUAACUACAUAAUUUUAAUUAACUUAAUUCUAAUUAUGUUUCAUUAUAUUAAAUAACUAAUUAGUCGUUCUAGUUAAUUGGAAUAGGCAUGGAGAAAAAAAUUGCUUUGAAUAUUUCAAUCAUAUAUAUAUGAUUGAUAACAUGUAGUAAUUAUUAGAUGUACUCAAAAGUUUACUUCUUUACAAAAUAACUAUGAAAAUUCAAAAUUUUACCACAACUAUAAACCUAAGUGAAUAAAAAAGAUUCCAGUAUGAAUUUUAACCUAUGGUUAGACUUAGGUUCAGUAUAUAACUUGGGUGGUGGUGUCUUGCUGCAAUUCACAAUAAAAUUUUUAACCUUUUAAAAACUAGAGUUUAUAAAGCAUAAUGGUUUUAUUCUUUAUUAUUAUUAUUAUUAUUAUUAUUAUUAUUAUUACAUUUAUAACUACAUUUACCAGAAAUAAAUGUAUGAAUUUUAACAUAGUUAUAGAAGUAGUAAUAAAAAUUUCAUGAACAAAUUUCAUGAUAGGGUCUUGGUAAAUGAGAUAUCUGAAUUUUUCAGCUACUUGUUCUCUAACAAGUUAAAAUUUCAAACUUUGUAUUUUUUUUCUAAAGAAUUUUUCUUUAGAAAAAAUAAAUUUUCUCAAAAAUAUAGUAUGUAUAUGUCCACCAAAAAAUUACACCAAUAUACACACAUAAAAAUGUCUAAAGAAAGAAAGGUUGUUGAGAUUAAAACCACAUAAAAACAACAUUUUGUGAAGUAAAUUUAUAAACCCUAAAUAAUCACCGUAUUUACCAUCAAUUAAAGAUAUCGUAACUUAAGAUAGAAGAAUUAGUAGUAAGAUAAUAAAUAUCAACUUUAUCACUUUUAAGUAACUAACAAACUGAUUAUUCCAAAAACUUAAACUAAAAAAAAAAACAUAAUUAAUUGUUUAUAUUCUAAUGUAUCCCAUCACACAGGUGAAUAAACUGAGCCCACAAAUCGUGUAUAUGCAUCUCAAUCAUAUGCAAAGUUAAAUAAAAUGGGCUAUUAAAAUUUAAAUAUUGAACAUCCAAUUUUGAUACUAUCUUAAAUAAUUGAUUGAACUGAUUAUGUAAAAAGUUUAACUCGAUACGAAAUGACAUAAUUAAUUAAUUAUAUUUUUAAUCACAUCAUAACACUAGUAGAUAAUGUAAGAAAAAACUUAAUUUUCGCCAAGAAAGAAAGCAAUAAAAUAUUCUCAAUAAUAAUGGCCUUAAAAUUCACUUUCAAAGUGAGCAAUCUUAGAUAACAUUCUACUCUUGUGCAUAAAGGAAAAGAAAACAAAUAUAUCGAGACCAUUCAAAUUUAUAUAUAACUACUAAUAUGACACUCGUUACUCAAUGAUAAGUGAUAAGGUUUGGUGGAUUCUCUACUCUAUAUUUGCCAUAUAGAUCAUUUGUUAGUCAAAUUGAUUAGCUCCUAUUAUUCUAUUCCCCCCAUAUGAUCCCCUCUCCCCAUAAACUGCUAGUGCAAAGAUCAUUCAAAAAAAUUUUAACAGUUUACAUCCCCUAAUCAGACAUCCUUCAAAAAUCGUAUUUUUAUCCAAUUAUUAAUUACCAUAGAGAAAUCUGUUAUUGAAUUUUUUAAUUAUCGUAUAAAGGAGUAUAUAUUAACUUGAUGACAUUUUUCCACUCUGUUAAGGUUCUAACUGUUAUUUACGAUAUUGGAAGAUUUAAAGCUUAUGGGUAAAUAUAAGUUUUUUUUAUCACGGUCCUUGAAAAUGCAUUAUUCUCUGUACGAUGAAAUUAUUUAUAUAUCUUUGUUUCGUAUAUAUGUUUUCUUGAAUUAUUUGUUUGCACGAAGAGAAUUAAACUAUUUUGUUAAGUAAAAAAAUGAUUAUUAAUUAAAUUUGAUUGUAAGUUGAAUGUCAGUUUUUAAGUUAGGUUUGCCACGAUGCUAUGCCUUUACUAGAUAAUACUUGAUUUGCAAACCCUUCAUUUGUUACUUGGUUGGAUAUCUAGCAAAUGAUCUAAUAUAACACUAUUGGAUAUCUAGCAAAUGAUCUAAUAUAACACAAUGUAAUUUCAAUGCUUCCAAAAUUUAUAUAAGCAAUAGCUUUUUUGCUUAUUCUUCAUACUAAUUUGCAGGCAAAUUUAGUGCUUUGUAGAAUUAUAAGUUCAACAGUUUUUGAGUCACUAAGAGUUUAGAUUUUGAACUACAAUGCAUGUCGCAAUUAUAAUAAACAAUGAAGUGCUUUACACUAAAUAUUACAAUAACUUGAAUGGAAGGAACUUAAUAGCAAAACGACCCAGAGCAAUCAGCUAAUUGAUCUAAUUUUAUUUUCAAGGCCCACUACGUAAAAAAAUCACUACACUUGGUGUUUAUCUAAAAUUAGAGACGUGAUGGGAAGUCUGAUCAAAUACAUAUAAAUGGCAAAAAAGGAGGAGGCAGUGAGGUGAUCGUUAGACAUGGUAAGAUAGGGAAGAAUGUUUUGGUAAGAAACAUUAGAAAAAUGUUGUAUUUGAUUUUAGUUGAAUCCAUGCAAAAAGUAGUUGUAAUAUUCCCUGCACAAAAGACGUUAAAAAGCAGCUUCUAUCAGAGGCCUAAUCCCUUCAAAUGGGUCCAGAAAAUAAUUAAAAGGGUUUCCAUAUCAAAACAUUUAGACUUUCAUGGCUUCUUAUCGAUGCAACAAAGCUCAUUUUAACUCACUUUAAGAGACUAUAACAUUAAAAGGAUAGAACAACAAGAGACGUCUUUCCAUUCCACUAUCCUUCUUCUUUUCUUUCCUUUUCUUUUCUUCCACUUUCAUUCACUCUUUGUUAAAGACAUGAAUUCAAGUUCUACCUGAAAAGGAUCCUACAACAAAUAAACGUGUAAACUUUGUCAUACACACAGCUCAUAUAUAUGUACACACACACACACGCACAGAGUAUAAUCUGCUAUUGAGAUAUUAGUAAUUAAUAAUUAAUCGUUCCCCACCAAGCUAAAGACAUUUCACUCUUCUUCAUGCAUGCAUGAUACAAAAAUGAUAACAUGUGAUAGUGGGUGGGUUGUAAUUAUAAUUUAUUUGCUUUUAAUCAGUGCAAUGACCAGGACACGGCCGAUCUCGCAUGUCCAAAGAUGGGUCCCAAAUUACAUUAAUUAAUUUUUUUUUUUUGAGUUCAAAAGAUACAUAAUUAGCGUUAAAUAUAUAUGAGUUAAACAUGAUUAAGUACCAUAAAAGUAGACCAAAAAAGACAGUGGAAGUGGAAGAAGAAAAUGGUGGGUUUUGUUUGGUUAGAAGAAGGGAACAUAAAGUCUGUAGGAUCACAUGCUUAUCACCUUCCUUUUCCUCUUCCCCUCAGCUCGUCUCUUCUUUUUAUACUGUGCCUACAAAUGAAUAUAAUGUAAAAGUGUUUAAGAAAAUCAAAUUUGAAUUAAAGAAAAAUAAAAAGAAAAGAAGACCCCACUAGAAUUUGAAGGCUGCUUCUGCUGCUAAUUCUACUCCUCAAUCCAAGGGAUUCCCCUUUGAUGAUCAAAGCCUCUGCAUCCAUCUGGGUCCCCCCAUCAUCCUCACCAUCAUUUCAUGCAUAUACAUGAAGACCCACUACUCUCAUCUAUUACUUACAAAAGCAAUUUUUAAGUGCUUAAAAGUGCCAUUUUUUCCAUGUGACGCCCAAUAAUUCCGCAUACUAUAUUUGCCAAUCUAUUUUUUUAUAUACAUAAUUUAUGUUUAUCUUUCUGCCUUAUCGAUAUUCGGUGAAAAGGAAAAAAGAACUGUGUAUAAUUUUGUAUUGAUCGGAUGGUAAUCGGUUCUGGGGAAAUGCAUUUAUCUUUGAAUCAUUUGGAGUGUUGGGCUGAUGCGAACUGUCCAAGCACUCUCAUAUAUAUACAUACAUAUAUAUUCAUUGGCCCUUUUCAUUUUUUUCUUCAGAAAAUAUUGUAAUAUGAUUAAUAAUCAUAGAAAUAUUAUUGCCACCUAAUUAUCCACUGAGAAAUCCCUUUUUUGAUGGUCAAUCAUGUCAAGCAAAAAAGAUUUUCGGUGAUUAUUGGAAUUUGCUUAAUAUUAGGAAGGAGCUUAAAAGGCAUAAAAUGUAUAAUUGAAAAUUAAUUUGAUAAUUUUCUAUUUAUAGUUGCUAUACGUGUGUAGUAAUAGGUUUUAAAUUUGAAGACUAGGGACAGUAAUAGUUCUUUUCAUUUCUUCAUACAAUAUAUUUAUAAAUGUCUCAGGAAGAAUCUAGAAAUUCUUUCUUCUUCUACAUCUUUACACAACUUUGACUAUAAUUUUACAUUUAUCUAUAUCUUCUCUCUUUUUCUAUAUAAUUUUAUAACCUUGUAAAAUCUUUUGUCAUCUUUUAAAAUUCUCUUUUAGUAUCUUCAAAAUUUUUUAGAAAAUUUUUAGAUUUUUCUAUACUCAUUUAAGUAUAACUUAGAAAGAUCUCAUCGAUUUAACAUUCCUCCUUAACGGCCUCUUUUGUGACUCCAAGCAUAAUCUGCAGUUCUUCAAACUUUGCUCGUGGUAUUGCUUCAUGAAGAUGUCUACCACUUAUUCUUUUAUCUUACAAAAUUUGAGCUUUACCUUCUUCGUUGUGAUUGUUUCUCGUAUAAAAUGAUAAUUUAUCACAAUAUACUUUCUUCAAUUGUAGAAUAUUGGAUUUUUCACUAUGAACAUUAACAAGGCCAUAGAACAUGGAAAAAUAUGUGUUUCACACAAGUCACAAUAAAUCUUCUAGAUAAGGUUUUCCAGCUAAAGAGCUAAUACAUUAUAAGUUACGACCACAAAUUUGCAGUUGAGGCAAGAGUUUCAAAUAAGUACAUCUAAGAUGAAUACUUAAAUUUGAUCCAAAUACAGUUUAAGAGAGAUAGGAUAUUGCAUGGCUAAACACAUCAAUAAUGUAAAUCUUAGAAACAUGGUUGCAAGGAUACUAAAAAUUUGCUGCUUGAAUACUAUUAUGUCAUUAAGCCCAUAGAGUUGGCCAAUACUCUGAUUCCAUUGAGCCAAUAGACCAUCCAAUCUUGACACUUUGGUGACCUAUUAUUUUGAACCGCUUGCUAGAAAACACAAGCUCGAAUUUGACUCCUUACUAUACACUUCGAUAACCAUAGGAACUGAGCCCUCAACUAACCCAUGAAUGCAACUUAUUUAACCCUCUUCCUCUCUUUUAUUAUCUGAAAAAAGAAAAAAAUGGUAUUAGCAUCAUCCUUCCUAAGUCCCCAUAAGCUUGGAUCUUUUCCUUAUAAAAGCAUUUUCCUCCACCUUAAGAAGCAUCUGGCGUUCCCAUUUCUGAUUCCUAAAUUUUCAAUACCAAAGGCACCAUUACAAGCCACUUCUUGACCUGUAAACUACUAUCUAGCUCCUUAUUAAUUUAUAAAGUUUAAUUAGUUUUUUUUUUUUUUUUUGUACAAGUUAAUAUCUCGUGAUUCAUUAUUAAGUUAGAGGUUUAACCUAAAACUGUCAUGAUCUUCAACCACAUAAGAAUCUCUUUUUUAUUUAAUAAGCUUUAGUAUUAGAUUUAUGAAAGUGUUAAAUAUUCUAAAAAACUUAAGACUUCCAUUAUUCAAAUCCUAAUGUCAAAUUGUGAUAACCCAACCAUAAAGCCUUUGUCCAUUAACCUAUCAUAUUUGCUAAAGGGUAGAUAAAUCAUUUACAUUACACCAAGUGAACCUUCUAGCAAUCUUGGUGUCGAGCAUGUUUAUGGGUGUUUUAGCUUUUGCCUUUUCACCCAAAGACUUAAUAUAAACUUUAACUAUUUCCUUUGUAUUAAGAUUACUCUUACAGCCUUGAAUAUCUUUUCUUUCCCUAUAAAAAUAUGUUACUUACAUGCUGAUAAAACCAAAUUAAUUAAGCCAAAGGAACUUCAAACUCUAAUGUCUUCCUCAACCUCUUUAGUGCCCAAUAGUGGGAGUAUAGUUACUGAUGUAACAAAUAACAUAAAUAUACUAAUUGCUUUAAAAUAUAUUUCUCUCAUUAGAUUAUAUAUGGCUUGACAUCAACCACUUAUCUAAAUUCAUGCAUAGUCAUUUAUAUAGCUUCAUUGGUUUACUAUCAAGAAAGUUUUGUAUUGUCUCAAAUGAAUAGUUUAUUAAGGUGUUCAUCUCACUAAAUAGACACCAAGUUCUGCCUCCUUGCCUAUUUAUCAUCUAACUCAGACACCAAAAUUGUAUUUAUCUUUAUCUUUCCAAGACUCUCAUAAUCUAUUGUCAUCUUAUACAUUAAUAAGAGGGAUUAAAUAUAUAUAUAUAUAUAUAUAUAUUUAUAUAAUUGAUUCUUUCAUUUUCUUGGGUCCCCAUCUAUGGCAAUGUUAAGCGUAACACUGAUAUUUUAGCAAUAAAUCUAAGUUCAAUUUCUUAGUGUAUUGACUUUUUUUAGAAAAUGAGAGCAUGCAGAGUAGUUUAUUUUAAGAAGUCAGGAUAUAUCUAAUACAUUCAUGAAAGAAAAUUAUGCACUAUCUUAUAAAUUACUUUUGAAUAAAUUAAAUUAAAAAUAAAAUCAUAUUUAAAAUGACGCACUAUUUUAUAUAUAACUAUGAAAGAAAAUGACGCAUUAUUUUUGAAUAAAUUAAAAUAUAUAUAUUUAAGACAAUAUAAUCUCAGAUUAUACAUAUAUCUCAUUUGAUCAUAUUCUCCACUCCAAGAUGAAAUAUAUUUUCGAUAUUUUUACUUGGUCAAGGAUAAAGUCAACAGAAGUCAAUUCCAAUGGUUCUAGAUUGCUAUACAUUGUUAGUUAGCUAUCUUCUUAUGAAACCUCUUCCAUCUUAGCUUUCUCAAUUUUUGAAGUCCGAAACAUGAUAGAGAAUAGGUAUAAUCCUAAAUUAUACGUAUCCUAUCCUCAAUUCAAAGCAAUAUCCAAAAUGUAAAUAGAUUAGAGUCAUAUAUCUUGUAAAGCUAUUCAACUAUAAAUAUAAGGCUGAUCAUGGACAGCUUUUCCAUCCAACUUAUACCUCUUAUUCCUUUAAAAAGACAAAACUUAGGUCUCUAUAUCAUAUAAAAUAUUAGUGAAGGAGGACUGAGAAGAGGACCCAGAUCUGCUGAUCACAAGUGAGCAAGUGAUAAGGCUGCAGGCUGGUGCUGGAAGCAUGAGGUGUGGGGAUGAUUAUAUAUGCAAGCACAAGAUACAAAAGUUCAAGUACAUAAAGAAAUAGAAUAACUUUAUACGUAGAGAUGUAUGUAUCACGUGUAUUGAAGGGCCAAAGAAACAAUAUUAAUUCAGGAUUAAUAAUGCAUGGUACAAAUAUAUGAUGAUGAAAGGAAAGCAACCAAAAGUAAAAGAAACAAUGGCUAAAAGAGAUAAUACAAAGUGGAGGCAAGCCAAUACAGAUAUAUCCUGGCCCCUUUGACCCCAUCUCAUCCCAUCCCACCUCAAAAAAAAAUAAAUAAAUAACAGCUUUAUAGGGAAUAAGGAGGAUUUUGGAUGAUUGAACUGAAGUAAAUUAAUUAAGUCACCUAGCUAUUUUCCUUAAUUUUGAAAAUGUCAUUCAUAUCGCCAUCCAAUAUAUAAACAUAUAUAGCUAGCUUUUACCUAAGGGUUUUUCUUUUUUUCUCUUUUUUUUUUUCUUUUUUUUUGUAAGAAUAAUUAAAGAAGAAGUGUACAUAGAAAAGGCGAACUGGACAAUUGACAGUACUCUGAGAUCGGGUGGGGUUUGCGGUGGGAUGUGUAAGUGGAUGUGGAGGUGGAAAUUGUGAGUACGUGUAUCUGUGUGUGUGUGUGUGUGUGUGUGUGUGUGUGUAAGAAUAAUAAUGAAAAGAAGAGAAUAUAGGAAUUCAUAUGAAUAAUAAUUGAAAGCAGAUAGUUAUAAUCAUGGGGGAAGCAUAUUCACUUUCCUCUUUGUCAUCACUUUCCAAGGCAUGAUUAGAAAAAAGGAUCAUCUCUCUCCCUUUUCAACUGGUAAAGCAUUCUCUACUUUUGAGCCUUCUCUAAUUCUAAGCCACAAAAAACUAAUCUUGCUCCUCAAGACUCCUAUAUAUGUAUGUGUGUGUGUGUAAUGUUAAAGCUAAAUAAAUCAAUAAUUAAAAUAAGGAUUUUAGCAGAAGGUGUUCAAGAUCCUGGUGAUCUAAUUGCUGACAUUAACGACUUACAAUAAGGCUCAAGCUUUUCUGAGCUGAGGCUCACUUGCUAAUUUAAGCUUAAGCUGAUAAAUGAUGAUUAUCAGAAUUAUAGUACCGCAUGGAGGUCGGUGAAAAUGACAAGUGCUGUUCAACUACCACAGCUUACUAGAUAAGCUUUGUCUCCCCUGAUUAAGUCCAUUUUGGACCGAAAGUCACACAAUUAAAACAGUGAUUGUGUAACUAUUAACAGCAAAUUAGCAGUGAAUAUCAAAUCCUUGGGAUUGUGAUCUUUUGCAUGCGUAUAUCAAAUCCUGCAACAUAAAUCUAAACCAACUUCACAUCCACAUGUCAUUUUUUUCUUAUCCAAUUUCUCAACUAUAUCUACCUACUUAAUUGAUCAAUCUAUACUCUCAAAAUCAGACAAUGUAUACAUAUAUAUAUAUAUGUAUAUAUGGUGUCAAUUCACCAAACUCUAUGCAAAAAUCAAUUUUUAAUAAAAAUGAAAAUCCAACAUUUAAACACCCUUCUAACUUUGAUACUAUGUUCAAUAAUAAACUGAUUGAUUAUUUCAAAAUCUUAAGUUAAUAAUAUUUAUUUUUUAAGAGAGCAUAAUUAAUAAAUAAUAUUAAAUUUAUUAGAGUCAAAUUAUUUCAUUUAUAUGUGUAAAUACCUUAAAGUUUUAAAUUAUACAAUUGUAGAGUAAAAAAUAAAUCUAAAAGACAGAUGCUUGUUGUAUGACUCCGAAACUUUAGCAAAGAAAACAUAUCAAUCAAUUUUUUUUCAACGUAACUACAUAUUCCAUUAUGAAUACUAGUGGGGACAACUGCCGCCACCAGUACUAUAUAUAUAUAUAUAUAUAUAUAUAUAUAUAAAUAUAUGCCCCCCCCAAAAAAAACCUUGGGUUGGUUUCAAGAAGAAUUGAUCUUGCAAAGCCUAGAAUCUUAAAGGCCGCGCCCGAUGCAGAAAAUUGCCCAUUAAUUUGUUUGCCAAGAUCCAAUAAUUACUAGAUUCAAGAUUUUUUGUUACUUCAAUAACGUAAAAAUAAGUCUAAAUUUUACCAUACCAUGCGUCAAGUACUUGUCUAAGGGUUAUAUUGCGUACCAGGAAAAAUUAAAAAAAUGGUGUCCGCCGAAUAUAAAUUUGCGCAAGAUAAAACAAUAUACAAUUACUUUAAUAUUUCUGUACUAUUUAAUUAUUACUAUAAUUUAAGUUUAAAUUAUGAUUGGUAGUUAAUACGCUAAUUAACUUUUAUUUGCUAAAUUUUUAGUCAAAAUUAAAAUUUUAAAUCAAUGAUGUUAGAGGUCUACUACUUUAAAUAGUAGUACCACACGUUUUGGUAAAAAUAUAUAUAUAAUCAUAUUGGAAAACCAACUACGGAUGCGGGCAAAGACGACUACAGCUGCCUCACUCUCCAUUAGAACCACCAUUAAAAUUCAAGCAAAACAACCAUCAUUAUCCUAUGCUAGCAGAGAAAAACUAGUGAAAUCAGUUUUAGAUUCAAUCCCUGAUUACACCAAAUAAACAUAUUUGCGAAGCCAAACCACUGAUUCUCGCAUCAGAAGCUGUUGGUGAAAUGUACAGACUAGAAGCAAUAUCAUUUUUAUCCUAACAGGUGGGAUAACUCUGUUUUCCUCGGAUUAAUAGGUAGUUCAGGCGUAAGGAGAUCAAGGAUGCUAAUGAAGCCUUGGCAAGUGGUUUCCAAUCAAUCCAAGAGAUCGGUCAUUAUAUUGGAAGGAAAAUAAGUAAAGAUGUUAUACAUAAUAUGACUAUUCCAUUAAAAAAGUUUCUUUAAGUUCAAAAUGAUCAAUAUGUAGAAUCAGAACAAGUGAUUACUGAGUUUAGUGCGGGAACAUACAUUUUAAAUUAUAAAGAGAGAGUUAGAAAGCAUAUUUAUUCUACCUCAAAUGGAGAAAUGAGCGAUGUGUACCACGCACCUGAAUUUAUGUAUAGUAAUGUCUAUCUCUUACCAAAAACAAGCUAUUUAUGGGUAUUAUCAAAAGGUUAAUCCAGAUCCAAUCUAGUUCCUUUUUUGCUCCACAAUGACCAAGAUGAAGAGAGAUAAUCAAUGUUCAACAAACACACAAGAAAAAUGAAAAAAAAAAAAAUAUAUAUAUAUAUAUAUAUACAUAUAUAGAAUGAGAUGAUUACCAGAUAAGGUAUGGAGAAUUCAUGGUGAAAGCUGCUUAUUUGCUUGACUAAUACACCAUUGGUUUCAACCUCAUAGACAUUCGCCCUCGAGUGGAAGAGUCUAUGUACAGCAGAAGUACAAGACCGUCAUGAAGUUAUUUUGUCAUUAUAGAGUUAUGAAGUGGAGAACAACUAACCAAUGUAUACCACCAUUUGGGAAGACAAAAUGAAAACGAAGAGAAUGAAAUACAGUUUGAAUGGUGGAGUAUGGAGAAAAAAGAUUACAAUCAUCAAGUCUCAAAUGCUCUGUAACUAAGAGCUCUAUAGUUCCAGUUAAGGUGGGGAAUUAUAAUGGAAGCUUACCUGGUAGCUUCGAUGGAGGGCUGGCCUGACUUUCUCCUUCAAAAACAAAAGAAUCUAGAUCAGUAAAGCAAUUGUUUGAAAUUGACCUUCAUUUUUUGCCUCCAUCGUUGUGGAUCUGGUACAGAGAGGAACAAGCUGAAAAAUGGGAAAAAAAGUAGUAGCUCUUGAGAAAUGGAAUCGGCAGCUUCAACGUUCCCUCCACUUUGUUGAAGAAGUGAUGCUUCAUUACCAUCCCACAUCCCCAACCAGUGAAAGAAGAUAUUCAUGAGAAGAGAGUCUGUUUGUUACACUGAUAUCACAUCGUCCAAGGACAGAGCAAGAGCAGUGAUGGUAGAAAUGACGAGGAUGGAUCUCCUCAUUAAACAUGAGUGAAAGAAGCUUCAGAGAACCGUUUACAAGUUGAAGAUUCAAUACAUUCAGUGAGAAAGCAAUUAUUUUGGAGGCUACGGAAGGUAUUGUUUAAAAAGCCUAGUGUCAGGAUAAAGUGGCUAUCUAGAGAAUUAAUCACGUGAAUAGACCAAAUGAACUACCCAACAGAAUAUUAUAAAUUGGGCAGAACUUUUUCAUUUUUAUGGCAAAAAAAUUUCAUAAAAAUACAAAGCGAACAAUAUGCAGAGACGGACAGUGCAUAGCAAACUGCAUCAGUCAGUAACUACGAGAGCCAUUGUCCAUAUAUGAUAUGUGUGUAUGUGUGUCAGUUUAACCACUCAUGAUAACAAUAUACAUAGAUAUAUAAAUAUUUAUAAGUAUACUCUUUUGUGUGUCUAGGUAGACGAUAAUCUUCUGUUCUCAGCUGCUUUCUAUAAACAUAAUUCAAUCACACUACCAAAACGUUCUCCACAUCACAGAGGGAAACCUGAACUGCAAUUUUGGUUAACAGAUGAACCACCCCAGUACUAGUGCAAAGCAGGAGUUAGAAAGAAAUUCUCUCUGUAUUACCACCUUCUUUUCUUCACUUCUAGCAAAAAUCCAUCAGUUUCCAGCAGAUGGCUGCAGAACCUAAUUAACAAGGAUCUGCCAAUAUCCUGUUUUAAACAACAUACCAAGGCAUUCUAGAUGCCACAACACCUAAAAGUAAUCUGAAACAUGCUGUAAUAAAGUGCCAUAGCACAGUGGAAUGUGACUCAGAGACUUUUUUUCUAAACAAAAAAAGAGAAAAAGAAACAAUCAAUUCAUAAUGACAGGUAUUAACUUCACGCAAACAGAGUUAGGAUUCAAGUACGGAGAAUUUCAAGAGUGUGCACGUUACAGAGUUCAGUAUUAGCAAUCCAAAACCAUAGAAAUCGAAGGACAACUAUAAUCAAAAACUAAAAAUUAACAAAGUUGUUAAAACACUCAAUUAACGGGAAAAUAUUUAGACAAUUAUAAUCAUAACAAUAUAUGUAACGAAUAGAGUAUCACCUAUGUAUAUAUCGGAUAUCUAGAUGCCUAUUAUGUCUAGGAUACUAAAAUAGGAAAACAAUGAGGAAAAUAGAAUUUGCAACUAAAAAAGAAAUUAAUAGAACUAAUAAAAUAGAGUAAGCCUCUCCUAAUAAUAAUCUAAGAAGCCAUUUCUAGACCUACAUAUUAUACACCUUAUCAUAUAAGCCUGAUUGUCCCACAUCAUAGAGAAGGGCCUUUCAAGAGAAAUAAAAUGAUAGAAAAAAUACUUUUAAAAGAGCCCAUACACAAGCAUCCAAGUGACAAGAACAAUGCAUAUCAGACCUAUAAUAUUAGAGCAUUAACAUAUAUCUAUUACAUGUAAACCUCCAUUCCAACAAACUUAGAUGACUGACACAAUGGACAGAAACUAAGCUUACUUUCACAGUCUUUACACACACAAAGAUGCUUACAAGGUAACAAAAGCAUGCAAAUAUCAUUUACCCCGCAAACCUUGCAAGUCAUCAACUCUUUCAUGUCACUGUUAUCCUUGCAGAGCAGGUGAAAAUCAAUCGCACGACCGUUGCAGCAUGAAGCUGUAUCAUCUACUUCACUGUCACCACAUCCUUCUUUACUAUCUCUACUUUGAGCAUAAACUUGCUGAAGAUUGAACUUGAGGGCAGCAAUCAUGUUUUCGUUAUAUCUAGCCUGCUGCUGCCAAGCACCUGCUUCCAUAGUCAAUUGUUCCAUUCGUUCCUCAAGUUCCAUGUUCUUUUUGUUAAUAAUCUCCAUCUCUGCUUCUUUUUCCCGCAGUUUUUGGAUGACUUUCUCUUCCACGAAUGAGACAGUCUGAAGUUGGUCAGCCUGAACCUUAUCCAGGACAGCUUGUCGUAAUCUUUCACCCUAAAGAACAGCAGAACACGUCAAAGAAUUUAAUCGAAGGAUGGACAGGAAAGCUGAAAAUGAGCUCCUUCACAAAAAUUUUCACACUAGGAUAAUAAAAUUAAAAGCAAAAUACAGUGUAAUAUUCCGUAGUUCAGGGUCUUUCAGAUUCUACUAUUUUUAGCAAAAUACAGUUUAAUAUUCUGUAGUUCAGGGUCUUUCAGAUUCUACUACUUUUAGCAACUUCAAUACUCAUGGUAACCAUUUCUCAAGCAAUAUAACACCGUUAAUUUGAACACCUGGACUACCUGAUAUUUUAAAAAUUUUGACGCGUAGAAGGUAUUAACAAUUGAAAUCUUCAAAAAGAAAAAAAAAAUCUAUAAGUUUUAUUAAUUUUAGUACACGCAUAAACUUCCCAAAGAUUCUCAAGUGGAAAUCUUGUUUUUCUUUUAACUUUAUGUACCUUAAGUUUUAUUGUCUGGUUUAUUUUAGUUCUAAUUUUAGAAUAUUUGACUUUUUUAAUUACGAAAAUUCUAAUAUGAGUCUUUCAAGUGUCAAUUUUGUAAAGUUCAGACUGUUCAAACUAAUUGUUACGUUAUCUUAUUAACGGCCAACUACAAAUACUAAAACAGCUAAAAAUACAUGUAAUGAAGCUUAAUAACAAAAUAUGCUCUGCCCCAAAAUAAACAAGCAGACAAAAAUAUUUCACCUUGGAAAGAUUAACAAUGACCUACCUCCUCUAACAGCUAGACGUAGAAACCUAUUAGAAAUUCAAAAGGGGUUCAGUACAUUGCCUCAGUUCCUAGUAUACUUGGACAGGAAAGAAUUUAGAAGAUUGCCCCAACUCCUAGUUCCUAGGAUUGCUUACCCAAAGCAAGCCAAGAUAUCCACUGUCCUCAAACAUUUAAAGAAAAAAGACUUCAACACCAACAAACACAAAACUUCUCUGAUUUGGUGCCAAUGCAACAUAUUCUCUGAAAAUUUCCAAAUUUAAUUUAAAUGUUUAGCAUAGAGAAGAGAAAGCAACUACUCAUUUAUCAGUUGCCAAUCUGUCAAAAUAAGUAAUUAACCAUUCAGUAACAACAGUCAAAAAAAUAUCAAAAAAAUAAUUCCCUAUCAUUUACACAAUCUUGUCAUGGCAAUUAAAUCUUAAAAACCUUGGACCUUGAACCUUUCUACAGUGGAAAAUAAAAUAUGGAAAGAACACGCAAUCUCAAGGAACAUAAUGCACUUAACAUCCACAUAGCACAAUAAACACAUUGGACAUAAUUACCGCAAUUACUAACCCAAUUUGAAAUUGAAGCCAAUAAAAAACCAAUUUCCCAAUUCAACAUUACUUAAUGAUUCCUUGACACGUGGGAGUACCUGAACUUUGAGGAAUCUAUCAAUUUCUGCAUCUUGUCUCUGUAACUCGCAGUCAAUGUCAUCACCAAGGAGUGAUAACAGAGCUGAGUCAUUGGAAGAGGCCAUGCGGUUAUUAUCAAGUGACAAACCCAACCCAGUUGACACAGACCGUGCUUGCAGAAAAUCAACUGAUGAUAUCUGUGAAUUAAUCUCAAAAAAAUCUUGCUCCUUUAGUCUCUUUCUCUUGGAUUCUACUCCGUAAUUCCACUGCAAAUCAGGCCCGUCCCUACCAUCUGUCACUGGGGCAGGCCCAGGUGCAAACCCGAUCACAUGAACUAGAAUAACAAAUACAAAACACCAAAACAUUAUAAGCUGAUCUAUAAAAGAAAGAAAAAAAGAAAAACCAGCUUAAAUUAACCAAAACCACGCUGGUGCUAGAGAAAUAUUAAAUAUUCUCUCUUAUUUAACUUUUUUUCUUUUGGCAUAGUUCCUAUAAAGUUUCUCUCAAUUUAGAUGAGUUAAGCUCGUAUCAGCCAUAAAGCCCCGAACGUACAGACAUCCACCUAACAAUUUGUUCUAAAUUACCUAGAAACUAAAAGAACAAGAACUCCACUAUUAUUAAUUUCUAAUUUUUCUCGACUUUCAGCAACUAAGAGCAAUGUAAAGAGAUUAAAUGGAUGAAGAUAGAAAAACUUACAGGGAGGAAUAUAUGGUGGAUGUUGAGACUGAUCUUGUAGGUUUGUGGAGCUGUAAUAAGCGACUGCCGGCGAAAUCUGAUCAUCGACUGCAUAUAAAUUCCUGAAAAAUUGACCCAAAAAAAAUUCAAUAAGGAAUAUUUUAAAGUUUAUCAAGUAGCAAAAAAAUUAACAUAUCGAUUGUUUCUCUUAGCUAGGGUUUUGGAAUGAUUUAAAUUAAAGCUUUAGACAUUCAAGAUAUUUACCUGAAAGUUUUGGUCUGCGGUGGUUGGUGCUGCUGCUGUUNNNNNNNNNNNNNNNNNNNNNNNNNNNNNNNNNNNNNNNNNNNNNNNNNNNNNNNNNNNNNNNNNNNNNNNNNNNNNNNNNNNNNNNNNNNNNNNNNNNNNNNNNNNNNNNNNNNNNNNNNNNNNNNNNNNNNNNNNNNNNNNNNNNNNNNNNNNNNNNNNNNNNNNNNNNNNNNNNNNNNNNNNNNNNNNNNNNNNNNNNNNNNNNNNNNNNNNNNNNNNNNNNNNNNNNNNNNNNNNNNNNNNNNNNNNNNNNNNNNNNNNNNNNNNNNNNNNNNNNNNNNNNNNNNNNNNNNNNNNNNNNNNNNNNNNNNNNNNNNNNNNNNNNNNNNNNNNNNNNNNNNNNNNNNNNNNNNNNNNNNNNNNNNNNNNNNNNNNNNNNNNNNNNNNNNNNNNNNNNNNNNNNNNNNNNNNNNNNNNNNNNNNNNNNNNNNNNNNNNNNNNNNNNNNNNNNNNNNNNNNNNNNNNNNNNNNNNNNNNNNNNNNNNNNNNNNNNNNNNNNNNNNNNNNNNNNNNNNNNNNNNNNNNNNNNNNNNNNNNNNNNNNNNNNNNNNNNNNNNNNNNNNNNNNNNNNNNNNNNNNNNNNNNNNNNNNNNNNNNNNNNNNNNNNNNNNNNNNNNNNNNNNNNNNNNNNNNNNNNNNNNNNNNNNNNNNNNNNNNNNNNNNNNNNNNNNNNNNNNNNNNNNNNNNNNNNNNNNNNNNNNNNNNNNNNNNNNNNNNNNNNNNNNNNNNNNNNNNNNNNNNNNNNNNNNNNNNNNNNNNNNNNNNNNNNNNNNNNNNNNNNNNNNNNNNNNNNNNNNNNNNNNNNNNNNNNNNNNNNNNNNNNNNNNNNNNNNNNNNNNNNNNNNNNNNNNNNNNNNNNNNNNNNNNNNNNNNNNNNNNNNNNNNNNNNNNNNNNNNNNNNNNNNNNNNNNNNNNNNNNNNNNNNNNNNNNNNNNNNNNNNNNNNNNNNNNNNNNNNNNNNNNNNNNNNNNNNNNNNNNNNNNNNNNNNNNNNNNNNNNNNNNNNNNNNNNNNNNNNNNNNNNNNNNNNNNNNNNNNNNNNNNNNNNNNNNNNNNNNNNNNNNNNNNNNNNNNNNNNNNNNNNNNNNNNNNNNNNNNNNNNNNNNNNNNNNNNNNNNNNNNNNNNNNNNNNNNNNNNNNNNNNNNNNNNNNNNNNNNNNNNNNNNNNNNNNNNNNNNNNNNNNNNNNNNNNNNNNNNNNNNNNNNNNNNNNNNNNNNNNNNNNNNNNNNNNNNNNNNNNNNNNNNNNNNNNNNNNNNNNNNNNNNNNNNNNNNNNNNNNNNNNNNNNNNNNNNNNNNNNNNNNNNUUUAUACACAUCGUCAAAUAACAAAACAAUAAUUGUCACCUUUUCACCAGCCCAUUAGUAUCAAUGAGAGUUUAUAGGGAUGUCCUCGCUACACUGACUCAUUUUCUUUAACAAUUUCAAUUAUGGGUUGUCCCCAUACCCCGUCCGUUAUGAACACCAAAUUAUUAAAGCUCAAUACUUCAUCCGGUAUGAGGGUGAAGCGGGUCGUCCCCAUACCUCGUCCGGUAUGAGUGCCAAAUUACCAAGUCUUCAUACUCCGUUCGGUAUAAGAUAACGUUCACGGUAGGGUUUCCUAUGUACCCGAUCCAUCCACCAUCUCUCAAGAUAUCUAAUAAGGCUGUCGUUCAAUCUAUUUAUUUAAUCACACAACUUUUCCGUUUUCCUUUAGUCUAUAUUUUUCAAAUCAACCAUGCUCACAUAAGCAAACAAAUAUGCAUCAAGGAGUGCAAUCAUAUCUCAAAUUUUCAAUUAAACAGUAGUCACGUAAGACAGCAAUUCAUGCAUUCAAACCAUAAAAUUGAUAAAUCAGAUACUAUCAUGCUUUUAGACUGUAAAAUAAAUCAACAGAAAUUAACAGAGAACAAUUUUCGGUUCAGGCUCCAUUAGCAAUUCAUAAUUAAUUAUGCACAUUUAUUUAAUUUGCAUAAAUACCAUAUUAUUAUUGAUUUAGAUUUCAAUUAUAUAAUAAGGAAUAAGGUGAGGGAUCCUUACUCGAUUUGACACCCGAAAAGCAAAGCUAUUUACUGCGCCUACGGACGGUCUCUAGGUUCCCUGAAUUUUUAUCCGGGAAUCGAAACGCGCUAAUAGUACCUACAAAUAUUUCAAAUAAACCCAAAAUCAGUCCCGGAGUCCACUUGACCAAUUUUAGAAUUCCGGCACGGCGGCGGUCCACCUCGGGUCGGCUGUUUUUAACUGUUUUUGGCUGAAUUCGUAUCUAUCCUUGCGAGAAAAUACGUUAAAAAGCCUCGAUUGGUCCAAAAAAUACAAAAAACCGAAACUCACCGGCGGCGAGGCUCUCCGGUGUGGCGGCUCCUCCGGCUCACGUUGCAGUUGAGUGUUUUACUCUGGUCAACCUAUAGAGAAGGACACGGUGAUCACAACGGUGGAAAAAUUACACAUAACGGGAAUCGGGAAUGGCCUCAUCGGAGGUAUUUUGUGAAAUUCUCCGCGGCGCCGCCGCCGGGUUUCGCAGGUAUUUUUUAGCCAAUUGGCAGGUAUUUUUACUCAAAUUUGGCCAUGGGUGAGCUUAAAAUUGAAUUUCGUGCAAAAUAGAAAGUUUUUACCUUUUUUAGCUGUCGGAAAAGGUUCUGGUGCUGCAGCGGGUGGUGGUGGUCGGCUCCCCGGCGGCUGGGUCGUCUUCUCCGGCGAUGGGUUAUGGCGGCUAGGGUUAUGGUUUGGUGCGGAUUAAGAUUAUUUAUGUCCAUCCGCUUUUGAUCUGUGACGUCCAUCACAUUUAAUUUGAACCGUCCUAUCGCGAUUAAAUAGAGAGUGAAUCUAGGCCGUUUAUCGCAAUCCAAUAUGGGUCGUUCAUCGCGAUCCACUCUGUACCGUCCGAUCGCAUUCAAAUCUGACUGUCCGAUCGCGUGUGGGGAGGGAACGCAUCUGGGCUGUCCGUGCGCGCGGGAACGGAUCUAGGUCGUUCAAUCGCGGGAACGUGGAUCGCCCGCGUGGCGUCGCGUCAGCGUUCGCUGCCACAUGAUGCAUCCUGACUCACCGAGCGUCUGAUGUGGCGAAACUUUUCAAAAUUACGUUUUGGUCUAUAUUUUCUGAUAUUUAUUUCAAAAAUACUCCUAGAACCCAAAUUUUCACUUAUUUUUUUAAAAUUAUUUUCAAUUAAAUUUUCCAUUAAUUUUAUUUUAUUUUUUACUCUAAAAUAAAAUAAAAAUUUAAAAAUUAAAAAUUAUUUUAUUACAUUUAAGAUAAAAUUCUAAAUUACAAAAAAAAAAAAUCGGGUGUUAUAAUUAAUAAUAAGUUAAAAAGAUUAACUAAAUUAAAAAAUUUGAAAACUACAUUAUCAAUUUGUCUAAAAAUUGUGGCAAAUAACAAUUUAAACAAAAAUUAAUAGUUUAUCGUUUAAAUUAUUAUUUUUGUUUAUAUAUAUAUAUCGUUCUUAUUGUAAAUUUUGUAAUAAAAUUAAAAAAUCAAUAAUAAAGUACUGAGAGUAUAUUAUACAGCGCAAUGUCAGUAUGUAUACAUAUUAUUUUUAUUUAAUUUAUUAAAAUAGAAACUAUUACACCUUGUUCUUAAAACAAGCUUUACCCCUUAUUCCAUUGAUUAGAUUAUCAUUUAUUAUGCAAGAGGUGCAUGUGCAGUACAUGGAAUUGCUUCGCACAGGGACAAAAGACAUCCAUUCAGAUGCUUAGGGAUUAUUGUUGUUGUUAUUAUUAUAAUUAUUAUUACUUUUAUAUAUGCCACACUGUUGAAUCACUAUAUUUAUUUUAUUAAUUUCACUUUUUUUAUAUUUUAGUUCUAAACAAAUUUUCAUAUGGUCAAUGCUUUUUUAUCUUAUUAUAUAAGAAUUUACAUGCUCUUUUUUAAAAUAAAAUUUUAAAAAGUAAACAUUUACAAAUAAAUCGGGUAAAUUUAUAAAAUUUUAAAAUAAAAAUUAUGUAAAUCUACUUAUAAUUGACAUAUCAAUAAUAUACCACUUUAAAAUUAAAAAUACCCAUCAAAGGCUCAAAUUUUAUAUAAAAUAAACAUUAUUAAGUAACAAAUUUGACGGCAUAAGAUAGAAUUUAUAAAUGAAUGAAAUAUAAUUUAGAUAAUAGAUUAUUGACUUGUACAUUAAUAUGAGUAAAAAUAAAAUAAAAUUAAACAAAAGAUAAUGCAGAUGAUAUGUCUCACACAAGGCACAAAUAGAAUCCCCGAAUCCGAUAUGCUUUCUCACUAUCCGGGCACUUGGGCAGCCAAAAACCUCCCACAACCGCGUUCUAUCUAUACUUUUUCUCUGCCCGAACAACUCAAAAAGCUGCCCGUCGAGCUGUAUCUCAUGAUCUUCUAUCUAUUCUCAUCUCAUCUCCACUUUUCCCUCCGACAAAAGAACCCAAGGAAAUAAGAAUAAUACUGUCACUGCCAUAAAAGAAAAUAUGUCCAUCAUGUGAUCUUAACUGAAAUUUUUGUCAAUCAUAGGUGCAGGACUUCUUGAGUGAAAUUGGGACAUUGAGUUUCUUGGGAUCGAAGGUUAUAUCGCACUCGAUUCUCUUGUAGAAUUUGGGCUUAACCAAUUUACCCAACACAUAAGCUCUGGAUCUAACCACGAAACUCAAUUUCAAUGGCACCGGCAAUGCGGUAGUGCCCGUUGAGCUGCUAAGACCUGCUCCACUUCCAUAUAAAGGGAUUUUGUUUCCCAUUACGUUCACGGCCACCGAUCUGUGGCCUUUCCUUGAUUGAUAGAACUUCUUCAUCUGCAGUACCCAAUUGAUCAUAUCAGAUAAUUGAAAGCCUGAAUUCAGAUAUCUCAGUAAUUAACAAGAAAUGGCGUAGGGAUAUCUUAGACUUACGGUUCCCGAGCCUAUAACGAUUUGAGAAUAGGAUAGAUCUAGCGGAGUUGAUGUCACAUGGACCCCAAAGAACGUGCCAGUGUUGCGAUAGAUCAUUCUUACAGUCGAGUUCAUUGUGAUCAUAUCAGUGGCAACGCCUGUGAAAUCUGACCCAGCUUGAAUUUUGAAUUGCUCAAACGUAAUGCUCUGCCAAAAUUAACCACAACCCAUUUCACUAUUCACUCCGUUAACACUUUAAAAAAAAAAAAAGUAGAGCAGAAAAAAUACAAAUCAUCUAACCAACCUUCAUAGUGAUUUUGGGUUUCUGUGGCUUACUAGCACCCCAGAGAAUCAAAGAGAAGAAAGAGAAUAGCACAAAGAAUCCGAGAAAAAAAGCGAGAAUAUAGCAGCGACGAGGGAGUCCCUUUCGACGCCCUUCUUCUUCGAGCAGGCCUUCUUCUUCGAUCACAGCGCAUUCCUUCCAUUGUUUCUGGCCCUUCCUGUCGCCCCGAGAUCCAUCAUUAGGGUUGAUCUUGCGGGAUCCGGGCUUCAAUGAGCCGGAGAACCGACUGGAAGAGGACUCCCGCGAGUGGCGACCAACGGAAGAGUGCGAAUGAGGAGGUGACCCCAUGGGACUGAGCACCGGCGUCGAGUGAAACGACGUCGCUGUCUUCUCCCCAUCGUGGGAGUCACGAGACGGGCUCUGCACAUAGUAAACUGGUCGGCGAGGAGAUCGCGUCGGCGAGGAGGGCGCCAGGCUCGUCACCUCCGAGUCCGUUUUAGCGUGCAUCUUUCUGCACGGGCUUUGCCUUUUAGAGGGGAGAAACACUGAAUUGUGUAUCUACCAGAAGAAAUACGCUACAGAGGCUUUGUUCUGCAACCUUUGGAUGGUGACUUUAUUUUUAUGGAGUAGGAGGAAAUAAGCUGUGGCUGUAGCUGUAGCUGUAGCUGUUUCAUCACUGGAGACUAAUUAUAUUUAUCAAAAUACGGUUUAGUAAGGGUUAAUUAACACUUAAUAGCAAUAGUUAUUCGGAUAAUUUAUUUUACCUUUUUAGUUGAAUAACUUGUGGGGAUAAUAUUUCCUCGUCAUCCAAGGUGAAAUCAAUUUAAGAACAACAAAAAAAAAGCGCCGACCAUUCUUAUUCAUGUUAAUAAUUCUGAAAAAAAAAAUAGUAAUUUAACUUAAUAUUGUUUUAAUCAAGCUUUAAAUCUCGAUUAAAAAAUAAAUUUAAGCUUAAAUUAAUAUAAUAAUAUUUGGGAGGAAGAAACUGGGAACAAGCUGUAUAAUGACACGACAGAGCACAUUCCAGUUGGCACCGUUCCGUCUAGCAUUUUGGCUGUGCUUCGCUUUCUUUUCAAUUUCCCCUUUUUUAACUACAAUUUAAAAUUUUCUACACUCGCGCGAGUACCAUAUUUAUUAAACUCGCGUAGGGUCUUUGGAUUAGUUCGUUUAAAUUUUUUAUGCUAAUAAAAUAUAGACGUACGUUGUAUUUGGUUUAGAUAUAGGUCGAAUAAAAAUACUAAUACUAGUAUGUUUUAAAUUUAAGCUAAAUUAAGUUUAAAGUUUUAAUUAUAUACAAUAGGUAAUACAAUCUAAAUAUGAUAAAUAUUUAAAUAAAAGUAGUAAUCAUCAAUUUUAAGUCUAAGUUAAAUUAUAUGUUUUUGUAAUUUAUUUUUUACAUGUAAGAAUGGAGAUGGUCAUCCAUCCUUGUUAAUGCAUACAUAUUAAUCAUAUUCUAAUAUAAUAAAAAAUUACUUAUACGGAAGUAUAAUUUGAUUUAAAUUAAUAAUUUUAUAUAGAUAAAAUGACAUAUCAAUAAUUUAAUUAAAUAAUAAUUGAAUAUAUCAUGAAAAAUAAUAUGAAUUUUUAAAAUUUAUUUUGUGUUAUUUUUACUUUAUUUAUAUUAUAAUUUUUUUAAGUAUUUCUAAUUUUUGUAUUCUAUAUAAUUUGUAAAUGUUAUAAUUAAUAAACUCUUAUUUAAUUAUAAAUAUUAUCAUAACGUACAAUAUAACUAAUAAAUUAUUAGUAAAUUACACAUAAACAUACAUAAGUUAUUAGUAUAUAUUACAACGUAAGUGUAUAACAUAUCAAUGUCUGUGUUAUAUCACAAUUGUAAACAUUUAAUCCAUUAUGAUUUAUAUCAAUUCAUAUAUUUAGUGUCUGAUACUCUUUAAUACUAAAUGAUAUCUCAAAUUUUUUAUUUAAUUUAAAAGAGUAUAUAGUUUUUUGUAAAUUUUUAAUUUGUAUCAUAUUAUAACAAUAUUUUGAAAAGUACAAUAAAAUAUAAAAUUAUUGAUGAGUAAUGUUAUAGCUAAUUAGAGCUUAUUAUUUGAUCCAGCAUAAAACAAUGAUAAUAUAUAUAUAUAUAGCUCAAAUGCUUAGUUUGAGGUCUCAGCAACCCUAAUGGCCAAUAGAUGAUGCCCAUUUAGUAACAUAAUUGAUAGUGGAAUAAUAACUAUAAAAAUAAAAGUAUUAUCAAUCAUAUUAAGUUUAUCUCUCUAAGUUCAUUGCUCAUUUACAUAUUAAAAUUAUGAAUUGAUAUGUCAUAUUUUUCAAAGUAAAUUAAAUUUUAAGAUGAUAUAAAAAUUAUAUGCACUUAUAUUUAUUGUUGUCUUUCAAAUAAAGUGAGUAUACAUGUGAAGACAUGACUUCUCUUAUUAAAAUUACAUACCUUGUUGAAGGGUUUUAUUCGAGUUAUUGACUGAUAUAAUGUGAUAUAUUUAGGUGAGCUUAUAAAAAUGUAUAAAAUCAUAAAUUUAGAUGCAAAUAUUUGUUAACAGAGUUUGAGAAUUGUUACGAGAUUCUUAAUGCUUAUGAUAUUAUUGAUUAUUUUGCAUUAUACUCGAUUUUUUCUACUGCUAAAAUUAAACAAUAAAUUUUGUAUAUAAAUUUUAAUUUUACAACAAUAUUUUUGUGAUAUAUUAGAGUGUAUUAUUGUGAUAUUUUUAAAUCACAAAAUAUAAUAUAAUACGAGAAAUAGAUAAAAUUUUUUAAAAUAAAGAGAUUGGAUAUUGUUACGAAGCUACGUCACUAACAAUGAGAAUAGAGAAUAAAUUUUUUUUGAGACUAUAGGCAAUUUUUGACACUAGAAAAGACAUUGAGAGAAAAAUAAUAAAACAUUAAAUCUUUAUUUUUAACAACUAAAUCUUGAGAUAGAGAUUAAUAACUACUUAUUUUUUUAUUAUUUUUCACCACAAAAUAAUUUAAGGAUUAUUAUUUUUUAAGUGUUGAUAAAUUAGAGGUUUACAGCUAUGUAAAGACAAGUCAAGAUGUUAAUAGGUUAACAAAUGCCAUUAUUUUUGUAUUAACGACAUUUAAAGAGAAAGAUUAAAUUAAUUUAAAGUUUAAGCCAAUAAAAAGUAAUUAAAUUAUCCCUUAAAUAAUUAUUUAAAAAUAAAAGUAAAGUUGUUAUGUAAUCACUUAUGAAUGUGACAAAAUAACUAACAAUAAGAGCGUGUGAAAUAAAAUUACGAAAUUGCCCAUCCUAGAAAUUUCUAUGCGGACGCAAUCCCUAGAUUCUUUCACUUCUCAUUUCGUCCGUUUCCAACACUAUUAAUAUAAUAUUGUUUUUGCCCAACAAAAUUUAAAAAUACCGGUAAAUUCAAAAUUCACCAUGGCUUCCCUUAGUACAUUGCAAUUGAGACCCAACUAGAGCCGAACAAGCAGGUGCCGCAGAUAAAACACCAUCCAAUCAGCUAACGCCACGUAUCCGAACAAACUCCAUGUUCUCCCAAAAUCUUGCACGUGGUGCAAUUCCCGAAUUUCAAAUCCCUGUCAGCGUGUCAUGGCCCGUAUCGGAAACGCGUUUCGCGUUUCGCCAAGUAGUUCCGGGUUUCUUCGUUACGGGUAAUUCAAUGUGUUAUCCAAGGGUAUUCCUGUAACUUCACUUGCUUUCCUUUUUUCAUAGACACCCAAAGCUCGUAACCCUAUCCGUAAUCCGCUUCACUUUUUAUUAGUCGACAAUAAAAAAUAAAAAACAGACCUGCUAAUCUCUCUCCCCAUAAUUCUCUUCCCAACACCUGAUAUUCGCCGAAGUCUUCUCCCUCUAACCUACCCUGUUCUUCUAUGCUCCAGUGGCAACUAAAAUGACGAANNNNN
rnacentral:lncRNA from 1 species